rnacentral:lncRNA from 1 species
AAGUGAAGUUGAUAGACUCUCCAAAAGUUUUUCUUUGUCUUCUCUGCCACCAGAUGAGUCUAUUGCAAGGUAACGAAUCUGAUCACCAUUGUCUACUGUACAUAUAUCCCGAUCAUUAAUGACUUUGGAAGACUUUGACAAUGACUCUGCAAGGUCGUGGACCAGAUCAUGCAUCUUAUAAGAUGUUGAUGUUUCUGACUCAUCAAUUAUUUCUUCAAACAAUGAACUCUGCAAUAAAAUUCUCAGAUAAUUAAUUCCAAUUUCCUCCAUCAUCAUUUGGCUGUUGACGUCUGCUUGGAGGAAACCUUCUGCCAUCCAAAGUUCGAUUAGCAUAUCUCCUUUCAUCUCAGUAUCCUUAGGAAAUAUAGAACAAUAUGCAAAACAUUUCUUAACGUAUGGAGAUGGCAAAUUAUCAAAACUCAACUUAAGUAUUUGCAUCACACGAUCUUCAUCUCCACUCAAACUCGAAAGCCUAUUCUCCAAAAUUGAUCGCCACUCCUCUUUUAUAUGUAAAGAUGAUAGACCUCCGAUUGCACUUGCAGCCAAUGGUAGACCAUCACAUCUUUCGAUUACUCUCUCUCUAAUUGCUUGUAGUUCAUCAGGUACUUCUCCCUCUCGAACUGCUUUUUCUUUUACGAUAGACCAACAAUGAUCAACAGGUAGUGUAGUGGGGCCCACGUGCACGUCGGCCUGGCCCGCAAGCUCGGCUAGAAGGAGGUUCUCGGCCCAUCAGGUCGGCUUGGGGGCCCAGAGGGCGCGGUCUCCCCAAGCGGAUGGGCCGCGCGGGCUGCCGAGCCCAAGCACGCCUUAACUGAGUUAUGGAGCCCUAGGGAGAGUUCUGCUCCCAUAAGGACUCCCUGUUCUACUAGGAGACUACUACCUGUGACUCUAUAAAUACCACGCGUAGGAAAAACAAACGACUAUACUCAUAGCAUAAGCACUACUCUUUUAUUUACAAGUCUGUUCUGACUUGACCGUCGGAGUUGCUUCAGGGGACUCAGCCCCGCAGCUCAUUUCCGUGCAGGUCGAACGCUUGACCAGCUCGAUCCCCGAUCACGAGGCCAGUUCGGACCUUCACCUCGGCAGUCGCAUCAAUUGGCGCCGUCUGUGGGAACACGUUACUUUUCUUCAUGAAUCAUGCCGAAAACUAGGUCGCAAAGAAACGCUGUUGGAUCCAAGGGGAUGGAGCGAGGCGGCCCCCAAAACUCUCAUCGGGAUCCGACACCUGAAGAAGGAGGGGCGGGGCCCUCACGAAUUUCGCCGAACAGCUGGUUCAAACGGUGGCAGCAAACCUGCCCACCUUCGAGGCGAUCAUGAACUACCUCAAAGAGCAGUCGGGAGGUCAGUCCGACAAGGAGCCUAAGGUCCAAGGAGCCGACCUGUCAGGGUCCCGAACUGGUAGUCCCAAUCACGGGGCCAAGCGGGCGCAUCGGGAACUCACGCGUGAGCAGGUCGAGGUCGUAGAGCCAUCUCACAAGAACUCCCGAACUGAACAUCCGGAGCCCGUCCGGAGGCUCUCCCCCGGAGGGAGCGACAACAGGUACGGGACGAGCUGGACCUAAUGCUCGACCCGGAGGCGGACAGGUACAUUGCUUCCCCCUUUGCGCUUGACAUCGAGGAAUACCAACUGCCCGCGAAGUUCAAAAUUCCAACGAUGAAAUCUUACGACGCCACUAUGGAUCCGGAAGACCACCUGUUCGUGUUCAUGACGUAGAUGCGCUUACAAACGGCCGCGGAUGCGGUCAGGUGCAAGACCUUCCCGAUGUUCCUAGAAGGAAGGGCUCGGCAGUGGUUCCAGGGACUUCCCCCCAGAUCGAUCAGUUCUUUCACCCAGCUCGCGCGACUGUUCUCAGCACAGUUCGUUUCCUCACGAGCCUUCUCUAAAAGCACCGCUCACCUUCUGACCAUCCAACAAAGGGUCGAGGAAUCACUGCGUGAGUACAUGGUGCGGUUCAAUAACGAAUCCCUCCAGGUCCGCGACCGAGACGACAAGGUGGUCAUGGCUGCCUUCAUUAACGGGCUACGGAAGCAGAAGUUAUACACCGAGCUCGUGGAGAGACCGCCCAAGUCAGUUCGGGAGAUGCUGGAUCGAGCUCAUGAGAAGGCCAAUGCUGAGGAGGCCAAUCGCUUGAAGAGCGCUCAGGAGAGGCAGAGGGAUGACAAGCGCCGAAGGAUAACCGACCAAGGGGACGUGCGACGUGACCAAGGGCGGAAGAAUACCUAUGACCACCCGCCUAGAAGCCGGCCCUUAGGGGGGGACAAGCCUUGGACUUCCCUCACGGCCCCCCGAGCUCGGGUCCUUGCGGUGAUGGAGCAGGAAGGGCUUUCCCGACCUCCCCGACCCUUGGCCGGGGAUAGAGGCAGACGAGAUCAGGACCUGUACUGUGCAUAUCACAGGGAUGUGGGGCACGACACUGAGGACUGUCGUCACCUAAAGAAGGAGAUCGAAAAGCUGAUACGAAGAGGUCAUCUCGGGCAGUUCGUCCGUGACGGCGAGCAGAUCAGAAGCCAGGGGGAUUCAAGCGAGAUCGGACGACCAGCUCGCACGACCGACCUCGAGGUCCCCGUGAUCGGACUCCGGAGCAGGGGGUUCAGAACCUAGCCGGGGUAAUCAACACCAUUGCAGGGGACCUGCGGGGGGAGAUAGCCAUACGGCUCGGCGGAACAACCGGCCUCCCCCAGCGGGGAGAGCUCGAACAAACGUUUAAAGAUGUACGAGGAGAUCAUCUAUGGGCCAGAGGACGCGGUACCUUUAGCCUCCAACAACCAUGAGGCGAUUGUGAUAGAAGUCAUCACGUGCAACUACAAAGUAAAGAAGGUAUACAUCGACAAUGGGAGCGCCAUCGAUGUGUUGUAUUACAAAACUUUCAAAGAGCUGCAGUUGGAGGAUAAACAGCUCAUUCCAGUUCGUACUCCUCUGAUAGGAUUUGCAGGUCCGCCCGUAAGACCAGAGGGAAUGAUAACUCUCAGGGUCACUGUGGGGGAAUCGCCGAAGUGCCGAACUAUUCCGGUGAAUUUUGCAGUGGUAAAGGAGCCGUCCUCCUACAACAUGAUACUAGGGCGUCCAACAUUAAACGCACUCUGAGCUGUCUGCUCGACCUUGCACCUCAGCAUGAAGUUUCCAACGCCUGAGGGGUGGCCGAGGUGCUAGGAGACCCGGAGUAGCACGAGCCUGCUAUAUCGCAACCCUCAAGGGUAAGGAGAAGCUGGUGCGCAGACAGUCCUUCUGGAGCCCUGGGAGCCUACUGAGAAGGAGGAGAGGUUGGAGACGGACGAGAAUCUGGUUGAAUUGCCUAUCUGCACCGAGCGACCCGAUCGUGUGGUUAGGGCGGGAUCUGGACUAAACGAACUGACGCGGAGAGCCCUGGAGUCUCUCCUGGAGGAGUAUGCCGAGAUCUUUGCUUGGAGUGCUGAUGACAUGCCGGAGUUCCUCCUGAACUGGCAGUUCACAAGUUGCAUGUGGAUCCAAGCAUCGGCCAGUGAAGCAGAAGAAGAGAAACUUUGCACCUGAACGCAACGAGGUUGUCAAAGAAGAGGUAGGCAAGCUGUUGGAGGCCAGAAUGUGAAAGAGAUCUACUAUCCGACCUGGCUGGCCAACCCGGUGCUGGUCAAAAAGGAGGACAAGGCUUGGCGAAUGUACGUGGACUCACCGACCUGAAUAAAGCUUGUCCGAAGGAUUGUUAUCCCCUCCCUCGCAUCGACCAGCUGGUAGACUCGACUGCUGGAUGCGAGAUCUUCUGUUUUCUGGAUGCCUUCAAAGGGUAUCAUCAGAUAGCCCUGGAUGAGAAGGAUCAGGAGAAGACUGCCUUCAUCACCGAGUACGGCACGUACUGUUAUACUACCAUGCCCUUUGGGUUAAAGAAUGCUGGCGCGACCUAUCAGCGGCUGGUCAACAAGAUGUUCAGAGGCCAGAUCGGCCGAAACAUGGAGGUAUAUGUGGAUGACAUGCUGGUGAAGAGCCGGACUCAGGAGCAGUUGAUCAGCGACCUCCGGAGAUCUUUGGCGUCCUAAGGAGCUCGCGGAUGCGGCUAAACCCCAAGAAGUGCACUUUCGGGGUCAGUCGGGCAAGUUCCUUGGGUAUAUGAUAUCUAAGGGCGGAGUAAGAGCUAAUCCCGACAAGUAAAGGCUAUCAUGGAUAUGGCCCUCCCCGAAGCAUAAAAGAGGUCCAACGGCUGGCGGGCAGGAUGGCGGCCCUAAACAGGUUUUUGUCCAAAUCUGCCAGUUCGGGCGUUCCCCUUUCUUCAAAGCUUUGCGAAGAGGGCCUCAGUUUGAAUGGACCCCGAGUGUCAGCAAGCGUUUGACGAACUAAAAGCCCACAUCGCUCAGUUGCCAUCCUUGACCUCUCCCGCGCAAGGAGAAACCUUAUUCAUCUAUCUGGCAGUAGAGGAGGAGGCAAUCAGUGCGGUUCUAGUUCGGGAAGAGGGCAAAAUCCAGAAGCCCGUAUACUAUGUCAGCCGGGCUCUGCAGGGCGCGGAGCCAAGGUACACCUCGAUUGAGCGGUAUGUUUUGGCAUUAGUUCACGCGGCCCGGAAGCUCAGGUCGUAUUUCCAAACUCAUCCCGUGAUAGUAAUGACCGACCAGCCUCUCAAGCAAAUUCUUUCGAAACCCGAUGCCUCGGGAAGAAUGGUGAGGUGGGCUGUGGAGCUGUCCGAGUACGAUCUCAGCUACCAACCCCGCACGGCCAUUAAAGCCCAAGCAUUAGCAGAUUUCAUAGCCGAAGGAAUUUCCUUUGGGCAACAGGAAUCGCAUGCCGAGCAGUCCAGAGACGCAGCUAAGGCCGAGCAGGCCGGAGAGGCUGCCGAGGUCGCGCAGGCCACCAAGUUCGAGCUGACCCAAGACGCAGCUGAGGCCAGGCAGGCCGGAGAAGCUGCCGAGGUCACCAAGUUCGCUAAGACUUCCAAGGCCGAACAUACCAUAGACGCAGCUAAGGCCGAGCAGGCUAGUGAACCUGCCGAGGUCAUACAGGCCACAAUGGAAGCCACGGACGAUCUAAACGGAAACGCAGUGGAGGCCGAGCAGGUCAGAAAAGCUGUGAAAUACGAACAGGCCACCGGAAAGGUGGGUCAGUCCAUUCCAACCUGGACUCUGUUCGUGGACGGCUCGUCAAGCCAGGAAGGAUGCGGAGCAGGACUUCUCUUGACCAGCCCCAUGGGGGAUGAAUUAGCCUACGCCCUAAGGUUUGAUUUCAGGGCCUCCAACAACGAGUCCGAAUACGAGGCCCUGGUCGCGGGGAUGGUGAUAGCUCGAAAGUUGGGGCCGAAUCAAUAGAAGUCUACAGCGAUUCGCAGCUGAUAGUAAACCAGGUAGGGGGAAGUUUUGAAGUCAAAGAGGAGCCACUAAAAAGGUACGUCGCAAAAGUGCAUGAGCUGAGAGCUCAGUUCAAACUGUUCACGCUCAAGCAGGUCCCGCGAAGCCAGAAUAAAAGGGCAGACGCACUGUCCAAGCUCGCCUCCACCUCAGUCGGCACAUUGAACAAAAAGGUCUUGGUGGAGGUCGUCAGGAGCCGGGCAUAUGAUCAGGUAGAUGCGGCCGUUAUUCAAGUAGUGAGCUCCUGGAUGGAUCCCCUCGUGCGAUACCUGGCCAAUGGAGAGCUCCCCUCAAGUCGGGUGGAAGCACGACGAAUCCUUCUCAAGUCGCGGGGGUACGAGCUCUCGAAUGGGGUACUCUACAAAAAAUCAUACCUGCGUCCAUGGUUGAGGUGCGUAACUCCGGAGGAGGGAGACUAUAUCCUGCGUGAGCUGCAUGAGGGUAUCUGCGGGAACCAUGUCGGACCAAGAGUUUUGGCCAAAAAAGGAAUGUUGUCUGGAUAUUACUGGCCCACUAUCUUCUUGGACUCAGCCGAACUGGUGGCUCGGUGCAAACCCUGCCAGCUGCACGCUCCGAUCCACCACGCCCCAACUCAGGAGAUGGUGCCUCUUCAGAGCCCUUGGCCUUUCUUCCAAUGGGGGAUAGACUUGCUGGGUCCGUUCCCUCGAGCUCCUGGGGGCUAUGAGCACGUGGUGGUGGCUGUGGACUACUUCACCAAGUGGGUGGAGGUCGAGCCCCUUACCACCAUUAGCAGCAGGUCGGUCCAAAAAUUUCUCUGGAGAAAUAUCGUUUGUCGAUUUGGUAUACCUCGGGUCCUGGUCUCAGACAAUGGGCGACAGUUCGCGGACAGUUCUCUCCAAGGCUGGUGCACGGAGCUCGGAUCCGACAGCACUUCACCUCGGUAGGUCAUCCCCAAGCCAACGGGCAGGUCGAAAACGUUAACAGGACUGUCCUGCACGGUUUGAAGACGCUCCGCUCGAGCGGGGUGGCUGGACGAGCUGCCCACCAUCCUAUGGGCCUACCGAACCACUCCCCGAACUGCCACUCAGGAGACUCCUUUCGUUCUGACCUAUGGAACGGAGGCUGUGAUUCCUGCGGAGAUAGGUGUUCCUUCGAACAAGGUUCAGAACUUCAUAGCUCAGGACAAUGAAGAUGAGCUGCGUCUUAACCUGGAUUUGCUGGAAGGAAGGAGAGAAGAAGCGGCUAUACGCAUGGCUAAGUAUAAAGGACAGGUUGCGCGACAUUACAAUGCUAGGGUGAGGCCUCUAUCCUUCAAACCAGGGGACCUGGUCCUAAGGAAGAACAGCGUAAGUCGGUUUCGGGCACGGGCAAGCUGAAUCCAAAUUGGGAAGGACCCUAUGUGGUGAAAGAAGCGGACCGAGCUGGAUACUGCAAGUUAACUCACCUAAGCGGAGAAGAGGUCCCGCGUACUUGGCACAAUUCCAACUUAAGGAUUUUCCGUUAAGCUCGCGCAUGACAGUUCGUUUCAAGGUCAAGACUUUGAUUAAUGUUAAUGUAUUUGGCUAGUAAGUUAUUUCAGCUUAUAGAAUAGCUCGUUUAGGUUGGCAUAGGGCCGAACUGGUAUGUCUUAUUAUGAGAAACCUUGCGAAUGCGAUUAAGUAUAAAGCAAGAGGAAGGCUUUUCAUUUCAUUCAAUAAAAACUGUACAAGGAAGAACAGAGCUCAUACAAAACGAAUUGCCUACUGACAGUUCGGUCCUAUCCUAAGUCUUACUCUAGUUCUCCCCUCCUCCUCCUCCUGCUCGGAUUCGGGGUGGUCACUGGCAGCAGGGGGUCAGCGACCAGGUCGGUCAAUUUCCGUCCAUGAGUGUAACCCUACAAGCGGUCGAUCUGCUCCACGGCCCGGGGAUUGUAGCUGGGAAAGUUUCCCAGGUCGAACCCGGGCAGACCUAGCCCUUGCACUUCCUUCAGGGCUUGGGAAUACCCAUGUUGCAGAACGGGGGUGUUUAAGAUAGCCAGAUCGCCCCUGAAGUCAUCCGACCUGAGGAAGGCCGCACGCCCUCCUGGCCUCCCUCAGCCCUGGCCGCUUCCGCCUGAGCCGCCAGCUCGGCUGCCUUCUGCUGCUCCUCUUUCAGCUGGGAGGUCAGCUCGAAUUUUUCUUCAGCUCUAGCUCGAAGUUUGUAUGGACCUGCGCGAGUUGCUUCUUCAGGCCUUCAGCUUCGGCCACAGCUGCUUCGUUCUGGCUGAGCAGUUUCUCGUUGGCCGCCUUUGUUUCAUUCAACAGGGGGAGCAGGCUUUCGUAGCGCUUGGCCAGUUCGGACCCAACCAGGUUCACCUGAGCCGUUCCCGUGUAGAAGUAGUUGAGGAGGUCGGAUGACUCCAUGGCCUUGGUCAAAUUGUAGUCCCGUGGGAGGAUGGCCCCGUGAGCGAGCUCCCGCGCCACCUCGGGGAACUGAGCCCGGUCAUUUAUGGAUAGCUUCCACUGGGGCAGAAGUGCAUGGGGUGCUGGUGCGUCGUCAACCGAGUCUGGGGGUCGAAGAGCAGGGAGCUCUGGCGUUGCCACAGGUUAGGGGGAGCUUCAGCUCUGGCUUGCUCUUCGGCGGUGGUCACGCCGUAGUGGCCGCCUUGGGCAGGCUCAGGUGUUGACCUCUCCUCCCUAGCUGGGGACGAGGGCGUCUCCACCCUGGCUCUCUUAGCAGUUGUCUUCUUUUUCUUUUUCUUUCCAGCCUCAACCGCCUUGGAGGAUUGGGCGGGAGCUGGCUGAGGUAUGGGAGCUGGCACCGAGCUGGCUGGAAUGGCCGAGGGACUCUGAGUGGUAGCGCCUGGGUUGGUAGUACCACCGAUGGACAGAAGUGAGGAAAACCGCUUCACUGCACAAACAGAAGUCCAGGAGGUCAGCAGAUGCCCAUAUAUACAAAAAAAAAAAAAAAGAGGAAAAGACGGAAGGGCAGGAUAGUUACAGGUGUCCAGCUCGCCCGGGGUGAGUGGCCUGUCCUCUGGCGAGGGAUCCGAGGAGCUAGCUCGGAUCAACCCCGCCGCCCAAAGCUGGUCAUUGCUGAACUCUUUCACGUCCAGCUUCACGUCCGAGCUGAGUAGGCGGCUAAGCUCGGACACGGGGAGCAGGGAUGGAAGGGGAUCUGAGACUUGAGUCUCUGCUCUCCAAGUAAGGGGAGGAAAACCUAGGUUCUUCACGAAAAAGAACUGAGGCUUCCAGUCCUUGAUAGAGGAAGGUGCCCCCGUGAACAGCUCGCGGGUGGGGGUUUUUGCUCCACUUCGGCGGGCAAAGUAGAACCACCCAGGCACCUUCCCGCUGACCUUCAUCUGGAAGAAGGCACGGAACAGGUCGAGAGAAAAGGAAAUUUCGAGUGUUCGGCAAAGGAUGAAGAAGCCUAUGAUAGAGCGAACAGCGUUGGGGAUGACCUGGGUUAUGCGAAUACCCCAGAAGGUAAGAAUGAAGAAGAGGAAGUUGGGGAUGGGCAGACGGAGGCCAGCCAUUAGCUGGUCCCUGUAGAUCGCCACGAAACCAGUGGGAGGUCGGCUGGCAACCUCCCUGGAUGCGCGGCCCUGGGCUCGAAUUGGGCUGGGAUUUCAUAUUUUUCCGCCAGCUCGUCAACAUCUUUUUGCUCCAAGGCUGGGGGAAUAGUGUCGACCUCUCCGAAGUCGCCACUUGGCCCCUCGAGGUCCCCGCUGCCAUCUGACCCGGAGCUGCCUGAUCAGCUGCUCCGACUAGAGGCUGGGCAGGUCGCUCGGCUGGGCUCAUUACUCUAACAGGGGACAGGUUAGGAGAGGCUAUGGUCUCGGUCCAAAGGAAAUAGAAGGAGAAGAGCUAAAGGAAUCUAAAGAGCUGCUAUCUAAGAGUAUGGGGCUAGCUGCUCUAUGCCUAUGGGUUGAACUGGUGACGUCAGAACUAUCAGAACUGUAAGAAGACAUAAAAAGGAAAGGGGGACUUACUGGUGAAAGGAUGACCUAAGGAAUGCGCGGGCUGAUUCUGGGCUCCUAGGGCGGGGCGACCCGACGUGUUCUCGAAGAGAAAAGGAUGAAGCAGCGAGCUAGGGAUUGAAGGAGCGAACUGAGGAAAUGAGAGAAGGAGAGUGAAAAUGACGCUUGGAGGAUCCUAUUUAUAGGCAACGACAGCGCGGGAAAGCGAAGAGGCGCGCAUUUAUUCGAACAGUUUAUGGGAACCGUUCCUAACCGCCCUAAUUAGCCGAGGCGACGGUUGAGGUGACAGGCGCGAACUGACGCGACGGUUGCUUGCGCCACUCUCUGACGGGGGGUCCCACAAUGAGCUGACACGACCUCCUGGAAUCCGGCCUAGAUUCACGCGCACGAUCGAUGACUCUAGACCUGAGGGGGGCUAGUGUAGUGGGGCCCACGUGCACGUCGGCCUGGCCCGCAAGCUCGGCUAGAAGGAGGUUCUCGGCCAUCAGGUCGGCUUGGGGCCCAGAGGGCGCGGUCUCCCCAAGCGGAUGGGCCGCGCGGGCUGCCGAGCCCAAGCACGCAUUAACUGAGUUAUGGAGCCCUAGGGAGAGUUCUGCUCCCAUAAGGACUCCCUGUUCUACUAGGAGACUACUACCUGUGACUCUAUAAAUACCACGCGUAGGAAAAACACAAGGUACGCUACUCAUAGCAUAAGCACUACUCUUUUAUUUACAAGUCUGUUCUUCAGGGGACUCAGCCCCGCAGCUCAUUUCCGUGCAGGUCGGACGCUUGACCAGCUCGAUCCCCGAUCACGAGGCCAGUUCGGACCUUCACCUCGCAGUCGCAUCAGGUAGUUUUCCUAAUCGAUAGGCUUCAUUUUCCAUCAUGAAAACUCUAGACACACACUGCGCCACUGGACCUGGACGAGUAGUGACCAAACACCAGCUUCCAUUGGUUGGAUUGAGCCCCUUCAAGGUGUUGAAAAAGUCCUCCCACAAUGCUUGAUCAUCAUUCCACACAUCAUCAAGGACUAGGAGAUAUCUUUUUCCCCCUGGGUUGUUCCCAAUUUUUUCAACGAUGACGUCCCUAAGAUCCACUUCAACCUUUUCUUUCGUCAAAUGCACUAAUAUGAGUUUGAAAAGCUCCUCUAUUGGAACUUUUUUCGAUACACAAACCCAAAUCUUUAUGUCAAAGUGUUCAUCAAUUUGCUUGUUGUUGUAUAUGGAUUUAGCCAAAGUUGUUUUGCCUAAACCUCCCAUACCAACUUUGGGAAGAACAGAAACAACCUUCUCAGACAGGCUCAACAAAAUCUUCACUAUCUCUGAUUUCAUCAUCGGCUCUUCCAACCAUUGGAGCAACAACAGAGUCGGUCUGCCGACCUCUCGUGCCUCCAACAGCAGGAGCAGCAGGGAGGGCAGCAGGCACGACUGACUUACUUCCAGUCCAAAAUCACGGGCUUGUUGAUUUAUCUCCUUCAACUUCAGUUUGACGUCCCUGACCUUAGAAGCCAUUCUCCAACGAAAAGCAAUAUUAAUGUUAGAGAAGGAGAAGAAGCAGCAUACCUUGAGCUUGUGUCGGUUUCGGGACUCCACCUGGUGACGAAGAGAUUCAUAGUGGAGCUCAUCCAACACAUUCUGAGCAUCAUAAGCCACCUCCUCGAGACACUUCAACCAUUCAUGCACUACCCGGUCCUGGUUUUGUUGCUUUUCCUCAGCAUCAGACAAGCGAGCAUUGAUAAACCGAAGAGAUCGAGUCAUGCUGGCCAGAUCCUUCUUGAACCCAACUAACAUACCAAUCCUAUCAGAGGCAAGAGACAGUGCCGUUUCCAAUGUGACCUGAAUUGUGGCACCGAUAACAGGGUCGGCCAUUGGUGUUGCCUUGGAUUCAGUGUUGAGAACAAGAUGUUUUUUUUUUUUUAUGGAAAGUUUUUUGCAGCGAGGAACUGGUAAUCUUACCUAGGCUACUAUAAUUGGUUAUAAAGAACGGAGCGUUAAUAAUUAUUGCGCGUAGACCUGGAGUUCUUCUCUGGCAAAUUUGUAAGCUUUUGCAUGGGCGUGUUUACAGAGUAACUUUCUCAAUUAUUGUAGUUGUUGGGGCACAUGUUUUCUGAUUAAAUGCCGGGGCCUUCAGAAUUUUUGGUUGUGGACCAUAUUUGUUUUUGUCCACGAUCAAAUCGUAAAAAGGAGAGUGAGAUUCUGCUUUGGUUACAUGCAUGUCAUUGUUAUUUGUUAAUCCUUGGAAAAUGAAUUUAUGACAUAAUUUGGUCUGAAUGUUGUUCGUUUUGGGAAGCAAUAAUAAUAAUGUUCUCUGUUUUCGCACUAGCUAUGAUGCAUUUUGCUUCUUGGCUUAGCAAUCAGGCUUGAGAUUUUAAAUUACCUUUUGUACUUCAGCGUUUCAAGUAUAUAACAUGAUCGGUAUGAAACCCUAGCCUUCUACUCCUCUCUUUAAAAUCUGAUAGUCUUUAAUUCAAAUCGAUAUUAAUCCUUUUUGUUAUAUUAUUUCUUAUUACUUUCCUUUUCUAGUUGAUUUUGGAUCCUUUUUUUUAUUACUUUUCUAAAUUUUUCUCCUCAAACUGGAUGUCUCUCAAUCUCUCUUGUGGGAAUUCAACAUACUUUAAGAUGAAUUUCAUUUUGUCAUUAUCAAGUUUGCACUUGAAGAAUUAAAGUUCAUAUGGGGCUAAGUCAUACUAAUUUCAUAUCUUUGACAUUUAUUUAUCACAAACCUCAAUUCUUCUUUCCUCUAGUGUUUCUUUUCUAUAUCAACUCUCCUUAAUCCCAUUAUUGUCUCACAGCAUAAUCCAGAAAGUGUCAGUAUAUAAGAAUUCUUUUGAAGUAAUUAUUACUAAUAUAUAGUUUCCGUUUCUUGUGGAAUGUUCUGAAUCUUUCCUAAAGCACCAUUUUCCAAUUUGAGUUCCAGAAUUGUUGCAAACUUUUUUGAUUUGCGCAUCACUUUGCAUGUAAGAAUUCAAAAUUUCACCACCAAUUAAAUAUAUAGUUUUCCUCGCAACUUGUCCCGUUUGGAUUGCUAUUUUUAGGAAUUUUUAGCUGUUGCUUGGCAUUUUCAAUUCACCUUUCUUUGUAGUGUAGUAGUUGCCGGGAUUCUUCAGCUGCCGUUGAUCCACAUGCCACAUGCUUGGGGGGCCAUCGGAUGUGGAAAUUUCCACCCAAGAAGGAAAAGAAACCGUGUUGAAUGAUGAAGAAAAGAAAAUGGCAAUCAUCAUUGACACUCUAAUAAUUGCCAUGGAGAAGUUUGCCUGGCAAUUUCACUUGGCUUUAUUGAUCAAUGCUUAGCUGGGUAUUUCAUCUUUUUCUGAUUGAAAGCUGGCUGGGGCCUUUGGCUGUGGAAAAUAUCUCAAUAGUUUGUCGGAGCUGUGGUUUGACCCAAGACUGACCCCCGCCACAAAAAAAAAAAAAAAAAAAAAGCCUAUGUUCAACGAUCAAAAUGUAAAGGAGAAAGAGGAAAUGACAACCAUAGCUGGUGACUUUGCAACAUUAAUUGCCUCAGUCAUUAAUCCUUGGAAAUAGACUAAAAACGUUAUUUUGUGGGGGAAAAACUUAAAAAAUAAUCCGUGGUUCACUUGUCAAAAACAUGAAGUGGAGUUAGCAAUCAGGUUUGGCAUGUAGCGACAUAAUUGGCCAAUGGUUGGGUGCUUUCUUAGCUUUUUACACUUGUGAAAUUGCCAAAACAGUCGCUCGUAAUUCCACAAGCUUUCUAGCACUUUAAAAAUUCAAACAUUUUGUUUCAAAAUGUCUUGUUUAUGUACAGCAUACAAAAUUUAAGUGGUGAAAGUUUAAGGCGUUUCUUUAUUACUAUAUUUUUUUGAAGUACAAUAUACAAUCAACUGGAGUUAGAAGUAAAAUAGACCUUUAGCUCACACUAUGAUUAUAAACUUUGACUGAAUUGGAUGUUUUGGGAAGAGGGAAUGAGCGUGUUCUUGCAGAUUUCAAUUUUUACAAUUGAAUUAUUUGCCUAUGAUAUGAUCACAAGUUUAACUUAAAUGGAGUUGCGAUAAUAGAAGAUUCUCGAAAGAAGACUUCAAAAGGUGGAAAUUGAAAAUGAGUGGAAAUUAAUGAGGAAUUAACCAAUUAUUUGGAUUCCCAUUUUUGUAUCCGACUCUUUUAUAAUUAGUUUUUCUUAUAGUUUUCUCGCUCCUAACAAAUUUAUCUAAAAAGAUAAAUUUGAAUUAUUUGUUCUUAUGGUUCCUCUCUCUUCUAACAAUAUGAUAAAUUUGUAUAAAUUUGUUUAUCCAUAUGGAUUAACUUAGUGUUAAAAAAUUUUUAACUGUUAGCUGAUAGAUUUAUCAAUAUUGCUGGAAAUUAAAUAUUUUUUGAUGUAGAAAACAAAUCGCAAAAUCUUUUGUACUUAGUUAGGUAGGAAAAUGUAACUAGGUUUAUGGUUAUUAUAAAAAUUGUAAUUAUCUAAAAAAUAUCCGUACACAAAAAGGUAGAAUAUCUAUUGAUUUUUUAAUAUGUGUUAUCAUAUUUGAUGAAUAUUAUUAUAUUAUAGUAAAACUAUGUAAAGAAGUUUUUAAAAAUUAGUAUGAUAGUUAAGUAAAUUAUUCCAUUAAUUUUCUAAAAUUAAUAUGAAUGAACUUGUAAGAUCAUCAUUAAUUUUUUAUUUAAAUUAUUCAUGCUUGCACGAAUUCAGAAGAAAAUAAAAAAAUAAACCAUGCCAAGGCAAAUGCAAGAUGCUCGUUCAAAUUAAUGUUGUACACGUAUAGGAGUCACAAAACGGUUUGGUGCACUAGCAGACGAAAGGGGACAUCUAAAGUAUUAGGACAAGUUUUACAUUAAAGUGGGAGAUUUGUAACGCAAUUGAGCGAAAACAAAUGAGGUUGAGGAAAACUUUAUAUCAGUUGCAAUACAUUCAUAAAAGCUAUGGCACAUUCGUUAAAAUAAGAAAUAUUUAUUAAUUUGGUGCAGUGUAAUAGCAAACCAAGGAAAAAAAAUAUGAAUGAUCCGUGAGAGGGAAAGAUGUCAUUUGACUUAAAAUAAAAUGUGAUUGGAUAGAGGUUUAGAUGAACAAAAAAAUUAGAUUAAUAUUGUAACACUUUUUGUGGCUUGAUAUAAUAUAUAGAGAUAGAAUGAUGACUGGUAAAAUAAAAAAAAUGAUUCAGGUAAAUAUAAAUAAUUUUUUCAUAUAUUUGCGUAAUGAUGAUAAUGACAGGGUGAAAACAAUGCAUGCAAAGACGAAGGUUGAUAAUAAUAAUGAUAACUAUGGUGAGAUAGAUAGCAAUUGCAAGUUGCACACCAUGCAAUUAGUGUUUUAGAUUAGGUAAAUUUGCACACCACUAUUGCAAAUAAUUCAGUCAAUAAGAGAUAGGAAAACAUAAUGCACGAAAUCCAACUUUUAGAAUUGUGUUAUAGUUUAAUGAUGACUAUGUGGUGUUUUUGUAGACAAAUAAACAGAAAAACAAAUAAAUAUACAAAUUUGAUAAAGAAAGGUGCACUUCUACAGGACCGAAACUAAUUGCUCUUAGGUCCCAUUUUGCUAUUUUUAAAGUUUUUAUAGAGACUUUUUCGUUUGGAUUGCUAUUUUUUGAAAUUUUAUAGAAAAAUGUAUUGUAGAAAUUUAAUAUCUAUGAGAUAAAAAAGUAAUUAAAAUAUGUGUUUAUGAAAAACAUUAAAAAUAUUCCGUAGUAGACUGCAAUCCUAGCAUGGCUUGCGAUUUGAUCAAUAUGAAAUAAAAAAGUAAUUAAGAAAUGUGUUCACAAAAAAUGUAAAAAAUUUGCCUUAGAAAACUACAAUCCAAACAAGUAGUCUUCUCCCGUUCAAGAAACGCAAUGAAAAUAUUUGUUGAAUAAUUAAACUUAUCCUUUCAUAAGCCACUUAUACCGGGGAGGUAUGGAGGGAGGCAAUGAAUAAAAAGUCUUGGGUUCGAUUCCUCCCACUUACACAAAGAAAAAAGUAUAAAAAAAUAAAAAAAAAACCACUUAUACUAGCUAAGAGUAUUUCUGGUCACGUCUCGUGUUAUAUAUUAUUAAUCCUAUCAUAUUAUCCAAAAGCAUUUGUUGGAAAUUGCAUUCUUAAUUUAGAUUAAAAAAAUAAUAAAUAUUUGUUGGAAACGAAGGAAAAGUGACGCAACCUUUCCAAUUUGUAAAUUCAAUUAGGCUUACAUGUAAAACUAUUAAAGUGUAUCAGCAUGAGAGAAUUUAGUGCUUCAUCUGACGCUUGUAAAAUAGACAAAUGAAGUUUUGAAAUUCUAGCACUUUUGGACCAAUACCUUUUUUUUAAGGCAAAACCAAUACCUUAGGUAACCACAAGAUCUCAUCUUGAUUUGCUGUUUUUCUUAUUAAAUGUUGAAUCUAGAAAAUCAUGUCUCAGAAAUAACUACAUAUACCUGGAAAAAAAAUUUAGUGCUAGGAUAAAUAUACUGCUAAGUUAUGGAAAUUCUCUUUUCCAUUUUAGCAAUUUGAUUCUUUGGACGCAUGAUUCUAUCUGUUAUAUUUGGCUUCAAAAUAUGUUACUUUAGAAUGGUGUUUGGAUGUGGAUACAUAAUCUGUAAUUAUUCUCACCUAUAUUUAUUUUCUAAAGGUCUGUCCACUUUAUUCGGAUUUCUUACCUAUUUCACUCACAAAUGCAGAGGUAGCCAUUGGCGUUUUACGGUGAAGAGAAGCCAAAAAAACUACCAACCCCUUUAUUGCUCUCUUUCAUCUUAUUUCUCCAUCUUUCAUCCUUCUUUUUCGUUGUGACCUACAAUUAGGACUGCAAACCACUCAAGCGCUAGCGAGCCAACUCAGUCAAAAGUUAAAUCGAGUUCAGGUAAUACUGAAUCCGAGUUGAGCUCAAUCCAACCAAGUUGAGCUACCGAAUUCAAGUCGAACAUAAAGAAAUUCAAUUCAUUAAUUGACGAGUUAGCUCGAAUAUAUAUAUAUUUAUAUAUAUUAUUUUAAUAUUGAUAUUACACAUAUAUCUGCCUAAUAUUUUUAUUAUUUACUAAGCAAAAAAUGAAUAUUUUAUUCUUUUUUAAAAGAAACAAAAUAAUUAUUUUUUAUUUUUUAAGGUCGAGCAAGCUCAAGCUUGAGUAUUCGAGUUUGAUUAGACUCGAAUUUGAAGUCGAGAAUGAACUCGAAUUUUACAUUGAAACUCGUCGAGUGGUUCGAAUUUGGUAAAACUGAGUCGAGCUUGACUUUAUUAAGCUAAAAGUGGACUCAACUAGUUCAUUUGUAACCCUACUUACAAUGCUUUGAUCACCAUUUUAGAAAGUUUAGUUGUGGGCCUUGGUGAACUGUUAACGGGGAUGCAAUUUGUUGACAUGCAAUUGGCUAAUCAUCCAAGUAUUGCUACUGCUCUAUACAGUUUUAACAAAGUGGCCGAAAUUGAUAAAAGGAAAAACUGUUACAGCAUUAGUGAUUUAUUGGUUGUAAACACUUGCCACAAGAAAAUGCAUUUGCUUAUCCGAACACUAUCCAUGAACCGUUCAGUAGGUGCUUGUCUUCAAUAAUUUCUGAAAGAUUAUAUAAUGUGUGAAUGUUUCAAAAAGACAAUACAAUAUGCAAAAACUAUUCACUGAUAGUUUCCAAAAGGAGUUUAAUUAAGCUUUACUUGUCGGUUUAUUGUUUGAGACUCUGACUUAGCAUCUAUAAAUGAAUGCAAUAACUGGUAGGGAAAAAAUCAUUCGAUUGUGAUGUAUUUUUUGAUUUUCUUGAAAUAAAAAAUGCAUAGGGAAAAAAAUAUUAGAGAUUUAUCCUUUGCAUGGAGUUCAUAUCGUUACUACUUUUGCUACGUGGAAUACCUUGUCUGAUGGAUGUCUGCUUGAAAUAUGCGUUAACCUUUAUGGCUUCCACAUAUUGUAUGUUUAUCCUAAUAAAUCAUCUUGUAUGGUGCUAAUAUUUCAAACAAGUUUUGGAAUUUUGCUGCAAGUUUAUCUUCUCAAAAGAUAAGUCAAUCGAUUUGAUUUGCGUCCAAAAAUGUGGGUGGAGUUUUGUUUCUAAAUAAAUACUCAGAUAAAACCAAUCCAAACAAACAUAUAUAUGCUUUGCUGAGGCCGACAGCUGUUUCUGAUUGACAAAUUUUAAAUGCUGGGGCAUUCAGUUGUGGAAAAAAACUCUCUGACCCAAGAGCACAAGAAACUGUUGUCUUUAAGGAUAAAAAUGUACCAAAAAAAUAAUAAUAAAUAAAAGGAAAAUGACAAUCUACUUUGGCUACAUUGUUCAGCCAAUUUCCAGUUCUUGAGAAAUAAAAUAGACGUUCAACGCCCAUUUUCUAAUUCGAUUCAGUUCUGUGACCCCUUUUUUUAAUUUUCUAUAAUUUGAGGUAUAUAUAUAUAUAUAUAUAUAUAUAUGUAUAUGCCAAUCAUAUCCCAAUGCCAUUUGGUAGCUUUGCUUGGUCACUAUUCAACGCUUCCCUAUAUUUGUUCUAUUGUUCCCGUCAUUCAGAAACAAGGGGACAAAUCCUUAUACUACUGUAUAAGAAUAAAUUGUGGUCAAAUAUGAUUUGAAUUUCAGCCAUAUGGAUAGGGACUUUUUGAAAAUAUGAAAUAUUGUGUAAUUUUUUAAAAUCUUUUGAUACAAUUGAGGGCAGCAUGUAUUUAGAUAUAUUUACCGAAAUACAGUCAUUUUGGUACAUUUAAAACUUUGAUUUAUGGGGACAUUUAGGUAUUUUUGGAAUAUAAAAUUAUUUUGCAACCAUUUUUGCAUCGAGUACAACUCAUAUAAACUUAUGUGUUGAUAUAAUUACUGAAAUGAUAUUAUUGACAUAUUUAAUUAAAGUGUGAUUUUUGUUGUACAAUUAACACAAAGAUAUAUUAACACAUUGUGCAAUUAAAACAUUGCUAUAAUUAGCCAUUAAAGGAUAUUUCUUUGUUUGAAAUAAUUUAUAUCUGCUCUUGGGCAAUUUUCAAUUAACAUCUAUAGGGGCUUUUUAAGAAUGAUAAAAUUGUAAAAGUAUUGAUAAAGUAAAAUGUACAAGUGUGUGCUGCAAUUAGAAUGUACUAUUAUUAGUUUUGUCAUAUUUGAUGACUAUUUCUUUUCGGAAUAUAUAAUUAUUUAUCCAAUAAAAAAUUCUCUCUAAUCACAAGCACCAAACAUCAGCACGAUGCACUGGCACUCCCUAGUAAUCACAACAAAGAGAGGAAGGCAACCGAAUUGAUCAAGAAAGUGGAGCGAUCGAUUACAAAUGAAUAAUGUCAUAUUGCCGCAUAUUACUACUGCCUUAUUACCAUUAGAUAGGCAAAAUAUUUGUACUUUUCAAUUUUCUAUUUGGAGGUAAGGUCUAAUAUCCCCUUCCUUUCUUUGUAACUUUUUCGAUGAUUUUAUUAAUAAAAUGGGUAUAUAACCCACCCGCCAAAUAUAAUUGGCGGUUUUUUUUUUUGGUUAAAAAACUGUCAUACUGCAAUUAGUUGUUCCAAUCAUUGGGUGCAAUACUCUGCGUAGGGAUGUACGCGAACCGAGCUACUCGCGAGCUACAAUGACUUGGCUUGAUCGAGUUCAAGCCGAGUCUCGAAUUACCCGAAUAUACAUUCAAAUCGAAUUCGAGUCACGAUUUUGCAGCUCGUGACUUGACGAGCUACUCGUCAAGUAGUAUAAUUUAAAUAAUAUAUAUGUAUUAUAAUUAUAAAAUGACCGUUAUGAUUAUAAUUUAUACUGAAUUUACAAGCAGGGUACCGAGUCAAAAAGCUCAAUUACUCGACUCGAUAAGGUUUGACUCAAUCGUCGAACCUUAUCAAGUCGAGUCUCGAGCUUUUAAGGAUCUUCUUGAGUCAAGCUCGAGUUGAAAUUCUCCGACUCGAUCAAGUUCAAGCCGAGCUCGAGCAUAGUUAUUAUAGGCUGAAUCGAACUCGAGUGUAGCAGUACUCAACCUCAACUUGGCUCGAGUACAACCUAGCUCCAUAUGAAGAAAUGGGUGUGUUACUAGAAGAAAGAAAAGAGACCUCAUGGAGUAGAGUUCACAUGGAGGUGCGACGUGUUAAAUUUAUUCACAGACAAAGGACCGCACGUGUCCCUAUUUUUAAAAUUCCUUUUUCAAUAAAUGAGCCUCAUGUAUUACGUUACGGGCAAAUGCAAACCCCAUAUUUUGCAAAAGAGCAGAGGGGCUCUUUUUUUUCUUUUUUGGUGCGUCACAGAGGUGCUCUUUUGCAAAAUAGAGAGCUGCAUUUGGUUUUCAAUUUUUUUAAAAAAAUUAACAUUUCCAAAACAAAUUUAAAAUUACCAAAAAAGGGUUUGGAUGCCGCAUGUAUGCAUGGUGCCAAUUGUGCCAAAAUCGACAUCCCUAAAUAAAGAAAAUUACCACUUUUUUCUCAUUUUGAUGAUUUUUUUUUAGUUUUUUAACAGUAUUAUAAGAACUUACUCCAUAAUUUGCAGAUGUCACUGCAAUAUCUAAAUUAGAGAGGAAGUCCUUGCAAGUUCACACGUUUUCGGUGAAAACUCUGUGGUCCAUCAAGUCCGUACAUUUCAUUUAUAGGAGCCUGAAUUCCUUGGCGCGGGAUACAGAUGAACCUUCCCGUGUAAUAUUUUUUCAAUAUUUUAUAAUUCUAGGUGAACUAUUUAUACAUCCUUAUAAUAGAUGUGUGACGUUCUGUUAAUGUUCACGUGAGAUUCUAUGUAUAAUAAUUACGUUUCUAUCGUAAAAUUUUAUAAAUAAUUCACAUAGAGUUAUAUUCCGUUCAAAAAAUGUUACACCAUUUAUAACAUUUGUCAUACUCAUACCCCUAAUCUGAAUUCCGCAUGACACACUUAAUUUAGUUAGAAGUUAGAGCUUGAGGUGUUAAACAUUUCGCGACUUUGAUGAACAAGGUAUGCCAGCCCCACUCGACGGUAUGGGUAUCAAAAACUCUCACCGAACCGUGGACGAAAGGCCUUCUUUAUUCGGUAGCAAUAUGGUGGUUAUCUUAGAAUUUGGUGCAUUUCGAGCCCUUUUGAAUUGCUAUUUUCUGACAUUUUCGUAGAAAAAUAUAUUAUAGUAAUUUAAUAUACGUGAAGUAAAAAAGUGAUUAAAAAAAUGUAUUCAUAAAAAAUGUAAAAUUUUUUUGAAAAAAAAAUGGCAAUCCAAAUAAGGCUAAAUUUCUUCUUCUUUUUUUUUUUUUUGCCCUUAACUAGAAUUCUCAGCCAACGUAUUUUAGGUGAUUUUCGAUAAAAGGUUUAUCCAGUUUAUGUAAGGACAGCAUCAUCCUCACCAGCACCAAUAAACAAAGAAAAGAAAGAACACAUACAUCUAUUGAAUUGUUGACGAAAUAAUAAACAGAAGGCGAGGUGCCCUAUGAGGCAAGGGAAAAUGAAGACGUGGACUACUCCAGUAGCAUUGAGCAGAGACAAAGUCGUAAGAAACGAAAAGGGAUAUAAUUUUUUCUUUUUUCUUUAUAAAUUUUUCAUUAAAUUUUCUUUAUUUCAUGGACUAUUAGAAAAUUGUGAGGAGGGUUUGGUGAAGCAGAGAAAUAAUUAGAAAGUGUUGGCUGGUCCAUGCACGCUAUUAGUCUUAGCAGUAGGGUCGCCGUUGGAAGAAGGGGGAGAAUGACAGGACAGCACACCGUGAGCUAGCUACUAGAUUGGACAGACUUUUUUUUUUCUUCUUUUUGUUUUUCGGGUAGUGGAGAGUGGCACAAGAAUUUUCUAAAAGAAUUUAAGAAGAUAUAUUCUAAAAGAAUUUUAACAGACACAAGAAAAUUUUCCAGAGAUACGGAUGCCCAAUUAUUUUAGUGGAGAUCUUUUCAUGAAAAUAUUUGUCUGACGAUCUUUUUUUUUAUUUAUCGCAAUAAUAAAAUUUUUAUAAUCUAAUUUAAUCUAAUCAAGAAGAAAGGAGAGGGAGAUUCGAUAUGAGUAGAGACUCCAUAAAAAAUGAUCAAUUAAAGUCAUCACACAUAAUAAUAAAUUGAUGGAAGGUAAAGAUUGAACUCUUUCACCUCCCACACUAUCAAGACUUAAGUCUUGUGUGGUGACCACCGGGCCGCAAAGGCGCAGUGUUAUCACCUUGAGUCUUGUUCGGUUACAUUUCAUUUAUUUUCAUGGACCCGCCAGUGGGCAUGACAGUUGCCAUGAAACUUGGAUGCUAUUCUAUUAAUUGCCAUGGAAGUUGCUUGGGAUUUUGACUUGACCUUUCUUAAUUCGUGUUUUGCUGAUUGUUGGGGCCUUCAGUUGUGGAAAAAAUCACAGAAGGUUGUUGGAAUAGUGAUCUGACCCAAGAGGCACAAGAAACUGUUGUCCUUAAGGAUAAAAAUGUACCCAAAAUAAUAAUAAUAAAAAAAUAAAAGGAAAAUGACAAUCUACUUUGGCUACAUUGUUCAGCCCAUUUUCUAGUUGUUGAGAAAUGAAAUGAGAACAUUUAUUAUAUUUGGAAGUUUUCAAGCACAUCAAACUUAAAGGAAUUUAACAAGUCGUAACAAAACUAUACGGUUACUUCAAAUCCGUUUCUAAUGUUAUUGAGGAUAUUUGCGUAACAUCAAUGUUUCGGAUUUAUAUUAAAUAUAGAAUCUUACUGUAUUGAAUUUUCUUAUGAAACAGAGAUUUGGAUUAGGAAGACGGUACAUAAAUAUUAAUUUGUAAAGCACUGUCGAUCGAUUUGAUUCUGGUCCAAUACUUGGUUGACCAAGAAAAAUACAUAGCAGUUGGAUGCUCGGAUUCAACAUCUGCUUUUGAUACACACGCUUGCGGGGCCCUUGGAUGCAGAAAUUCCACCCAAGAAGGACAAGAAAUUGUGUGUUGAAUGAUGAAGAAAAGAAAAUGGCAAUCAUCAUUGAUCAUUGAAACUAAUAAAUCUCUUUUGACAAGAAUUUUCAUAAACAACACCUAAGUUAAACCCACAAGAUACAACUAAAAAGCUGACUUUUGGUUACACCCAUAAAACUUAAGUACUACUCACGCACACUCUUAACAAACAAUGUGGGAUGCAGAGAUAGGAACAGGGAGAGUCUCUACUAAGCACUAAGGAGCACUCAUUCACUCCGAUUUUUUACCUCUUCAACAGGUCUUUUUUUCUUUUGACAAGAAUUUUCAAACAACACCCAAGUUAACUCCACAAGAUACAACCAAAAGGCUGAUUUUUAGUUGCACCCAUAAAACUUAAGUACUACUCACACACAUACUCUCAACAAACGAUGUGGGACGCAGGAAUAGGAAUAGGGGAGCCUCUACUAAGCACUAAGGAGCACUCACUCACUCCGAUUUUUUACCUCUCCGAUUGAGACUAAUAAAUCUCACUCCUUAAUUCUUUGGACAUGAUCGUACAAUUAAUCAUGUCAUCUAAAUUGCUUAUAUUUAUUUGAAACAUUAUUUAAGUACUCCUUAUUUUGUUUGCUUUCUGCAGAGCAUUAUGCUAUGAAAUAAUUAUUGUAAUAUUUUUUAUAAUAUAAUAUAUAUGAAAUAAAAAAAUAAUUAUAAAAAAUAAGUUAGAAAAAAUAUAUAUAAUACAAAUAAAAUAUUAUUUAAAAUAAUUGGGUAUUGAAACACCCCGGAGUUCUCUAUUUCCAUGCUAGCUAUAUAUUUUCCCUUUUUGUCCAGUUCGGAAUAGCUAGAAAUUUACAGUGGGUGCUUUUGUUUGCUCUUCAACAACCGGAAAAAAUGCUGCGGUAGUGCAUCUUUGACAAACUUGCAUGCCAUUAUUGACUUGGCCUUUAUUGAUCAAUGGUUAGCUAGGUAUUUCAUCUUUUUCUGAUUGAAAGCUGGCUGGGGCCUUUGGUUGUGGAAAAUAUCUCAAUUGUUUGUCGGAGUUUUGGUUUGAUCCAAAUCCCCCCCACCCCCGCGGCAGCCCAAAAAAAAAAAGCACGCCAGAAAAGAAAUGUUCAACGCUCAAAGUGUAAAAGAGAAAAGGAAAUAACAACCAUGGCUGGUGACUUUGCAGCAUUAAUUACCUCCGUCAUUAAUCCUAAUAGACUAAAAACGUUAUUUUGCAGGGGAAAAACUGAAAAAAUAACCGCUGGUUCACUUAUCAAAAACAUGGAGUGGAAUUAAUAAUCAGGUUUGGCAUGUAGCAACAUUAUUGGACAAGGAUUGAGUGCUUUCUUAGCAUUUAUGCUUGUGAAAUUGCCAAUAUAGUCACUUGCAGUUCCACAAGUUUUCUAGCACUUAAAAACUUUAGACAUUUUGUUAAUGCGCAAAUUAGGCAGUUUAUUUGUUAAUAUUUCCCCCUUUAUUUUGACCAAAUGUUGUGAUAAUUUGCUAGAUUCUACUUAUAUUUGAAUUUUUGUGUGAUUUCUAGGAACUUCAAGUCAAUUGAGGCAGAAAAGGAGAAAUUGAAGCCUAAUUGAGGAAAUUCCAUUAAGAAAAUCUUGAUACAAGUUUCUUAGUUGAUACUUGAAAACCGCUACAUCAGGGAUGAUGGGUGUGGAAACCACCCAGGAGUAUUCAUCUACAAUGCCCUGUUCGGUUGAUGAUUGUUACUGCAUCAAGUUAGCAAGCAUUUUGGGCUUUUGCUUUUGGUUAGUUUACGGCAAAGAACAGUACAAUUGAUGCAGCAGAACGUCCGCAUCCCAUUGAGCUUCAAUUGCACACGAGGCCCAUUUUUGGAAAAAAAGAAGAAAGAGAAACGCUAAAGAAGCCCUGGGGGGACGCGAGGUAAAACAGGACCUCUGGUUCAACUGAAGAGGAUAAAAGAGGAGAAAACGGAAGGGCAAAAAAAGGGGAGGACUUUGAAAAUCAACGCAGGCCAUUCUGUUCCGUCCCGUUUUUCCUUCCUUUUCCCAAUUUAUUUUCCUUUUUCAAUUAAGAACUCGAGUAGUACUUUUGGCUGCAAUUCAACUAUGAGGAGUGGCUAAUUUCUUCAUCUAGUCAGAGGUUAAAUCGAAGCUUGGGUUCGACAAAACUAUGAGAUCGAAUUGAUUUGCCUAUGUUCUUUAAUUUGCAAGUAUUUAUAUAUUUCCUGUUCACUUAUGCAUAUGAUUAUUUCUUGCAAUUAAAUACUUGAUCACUGUUUAAUUGUGUGAGUAAUUAACAGCCAUCUAAGAGUGCUCAAUCCGUAAUUGUUGGAUAAUUUUAGUGCAUGUGGCAAUUGACAUGAUUCAAUUGUAGUAGAAACUUUUGAGUUGUUGUUGCGGAAAUAUAUGAUAUAGCCUAAAUAAAUCGAGCGUGUGUGUUUGUUGGUUAUAAUUGGUGGCCAGUCUAAUGAUUAAUGCUGUCAAUAGGUUAAAUCCUAAGAGCGUGUUUAGGACUGCUUAAUUGGCUAGGGCAAUAACCACAGAGCUUGUUAUGGUUAUCGAAUCAGGAAGGUUAGGCAGGUUGUCAGAACUUGUUGACAACCAUAACCAGUUUAUUUGUAAGUGAAAGAUUUUAUCUCUGCAUCUGUGAUCAAUGAUUCGAACCAUUAGUGGAGAUUAUACCUUUGAUUAGAGAUUUUCCUUCCGUUAAUUUACUUUAUAUUUAUUGUUAUUUAUUUUAUCUGCGAUUGUCUUAUUUUUAAUUUGAGCAAUUAAAUUAGACAGUUCCAUAUCAAUUCCCCCCAGUUUUAUUUAAUGUUACAUUCAUUCAAAAUAAAUUCCCAAGUCCCUGUGGAUUCGACCCUGCUCACUGCUAUAUUCGAAUUUUAUCUUUCACGUAAUUAAGAUACUUUGGUAUAUCGGAUCAAGCAAACUCUGGCACCAGGGUGAAGUUAGUAACCCAUUGCACAGCCUAAGUCCCUGCUCCAAUACCAUAGUGGACUUAAUUCGUGACUUAAGAGUAGGAAUUUUAUUUUUGCUGGUUUGACACCCACCACAUUUUGUGUCAAAAUGCUUGUUUUUGUGCAAUAUACAAAAUUUAAGUGGUGAAAGUUUGAGGAUUUUCUUUAUUAUUAUUCUUUUUCUUUUGGAGUACAAUAUAUAAUCAACCGUAGUUAGAAGUGAAAUCGACUGUUAACUCACACUAUAAUUGUAAACUUUGACUAAAUUUGGAUGUUUUGGGAAGGGGUUAAAUGGCGUGUUCCUGUGGUUUCAUUUUUUACAAUUGAAUUAUUUGCCUAUGACAUGAUCACAAGUUUAACUUAAAUGAAGCUGCAAUAAUAGAAGAUUCCCGAAAGAAGACUUCAAAAGGUGGAAAUUGAAAAUGAGUGGAAAUUGAUGGUGAAUUAAUCGGUUAUUUGGAUACUUGAGUUUCACCUAUUUUUGUAUCGGAUUCUUUUAUAAUUAGCUUUUCUUAUAGUUUUUCUCGUCCUAACAAGUUUAUCUUUUAAGAUAAAUUUGAAUUAUUUGUUCUUAUGUUUCUUCUCUCUUCUAACAAUAUGAUAAAUUUGUAUAAUUUUUUUAUCUAUAUGUGAUAGGACACAAUUUGUUGUUAAUUUUAUGGUUAAUUUUCCUCUUUGUCCUUGCCAAAUAUUGUUUUAAUUGUUGAAAUGUACUUAUAUUUGGUAUUUGGCCCUAAUUACAGGAAGUGGAGCAAGCAAGUGGUAAAAAGGAGACUUUAUUGAGAAAAACACUCCACACAUGGGAAGUUCUAAAAGGAAAUACAAGCCGGGCUCCACAGGAUGCUACAAAAAGGGAUUUCCUAUCUUUAUGCUGAAAAUGAUGGACUUAUACUAGGAGUCUUACAGGUAAGAGGAAACUAAAAACAAGGACUUUGGCAGAGCUCCAAUUCUUUGGCCCUUGGACUCUCAAUUCAGUGGAGACCACCGAGGGAAGUUAGGCAAUUGUUUAGAUUAGGAACAAUGGGUGAUUACCUUAUUCUUUUUCUCUUCUUAUUCGGUUAGGAGACUAAUCACGUAGGUUUAUAUAUUGGAGGCUAAUGAGCCGCAGGGAAGGGGGGGCUUGGACAGUAUCACGUUGGAAAUUUUUCUCAAACAAAUGAAGAACUAAAUUCUUAUUUUCUAGUCGAAGGUCAAUUUGAGGACUCGGUUCCGAACAUCUGUGAGAUCUAAUUAUUUUACUUAUUUCUUCUAUUUAUUGGUAUUUGUACGUUUCCUGAUUUAAUUGCUUAUGAUUGUUUGUCAUUUGAAUGUCAAGGGUCCGAUAUUCGAAUUAACCUAAUAAUCUGCUGUCAUAUUAAUUGAUUGAAUCCGUAAUUGUUCAAUUGAUUAAUUUCAGUGGCGACUAGCGUGAUUGGUUUCAUGUUAGGGAAACAUAUGUGAUCUAACUUAAACAAACCCUCGUAGCGUGUUUGUUGGUUAGGGUUGGACUUUUCUAAUUAUUAAUGAAUCGAGUAAUUAAAUCCUACGGUCGUACCUAAGAUUAUUUCUUGGUUAGAGAAAUAGUUAACGGUCAUACCUUAACUAUCGAGAAAUUAAGAAAAUGCUGGUUGUUCAUCGCGCGUGUAUGACAACUAUAACUAAUCUAGUAAUGAAUAAUUGAGUUAUCUUUGCAUCGAUGAUCAGUUGAAUGAACCAUGUCUGAAAAAUUGUACCUUUUACUAGAGUCAUAUUGGAUAUUGAUUAUUUCCUAUUUAUUUCUUUUAGUUGUUUCAUUAGUUAGUUAAUUAGUAAUUUUAUAAAAAUCCCCCAUGUACUGAACUUUAGAAGAAAUGAAUUAUCCCCAGUCCCUGUGGAUUCGACCCUACUCACCGCUACUAUACAUAAUCUGUAUUUUCUCGAGUAGGUAAUUAUUAUUGUACAGGCUCGACACCCUGUCAAUUUUUUGGCGCCGUUGUCGGGGACUGGUGCCAGAUUAAUUUGUUUCUUUUUGAGUUCAUCUUGUUUUUAUUUUUUAUUUAUUUUUUUCUUAUUUUUUUUAUAUAGUUUAUGGCUUCCAACAUUCCGUAUUUUGGUGAUAGACUGGAUUUUGUUUCCAGGGUAGGCAAUGAGGCUUGUUUUUUUCUGAGUUUGCAUAUUCGGAGGCACUAAACUCUCUUAGAGAAAGAAUGGCUGCUGCCAACCUAUGAAAUUUGUUAUGCCAGGGAUCAUUCAACCGCAUAUGUGCCCCGAAUAUCAAGACUACCUGAGUGAGUAUCUCAAAAAAAAAAUUUGGAGAUUCUUCACCUCAAUCUCAAAUGUGGUAUGACCCUUAUUCAAACGGGUAUGAUCAAGGAUGGUGGGAUAACUCCAACGUUAAUUAUGAAAGGGGCCAAUGAGUUUUCAACAGCAAGAGUCUCAACAAUCGUCAUUCAUGUCAGAAUUGCCCUCACAAACCAUCAAUGACUCUAAGGAAGGUGAGAGUGCAAUUAUCAUGACAAAGUGAUAUGGAACUGCAAUGAGUCUCAAGAAGGAGGAUCCAAAGAUGCAGUUGAAAAGGAAGUUGAAGGGGAAAACAUGAGACUCCAACAUCAAUUACCUAGUGAACGAAUCUAGUGAGUAAUGCGAUGACACCCCUCCAUCCCUUAAUCUAUAUUCCCCUGACUCUUACUCUAUAACUUCUGUUAAUGAGAUUGAUUUUGUUAUAUCGGAAGUUUUUGAGUCUCAUUGCAGAAUGAGUUAAGAGAGCUAUGGUCAAAUAUCUUGAACCGUUGAGUGCUCUUGAUGGAGGAGUGAGUGGAGAAUUCAGAUCAUUGUUGACUUAUUUGGCGCCAUCUACUAGUCCAUGGAAGACCGUAACUCGUGUGCUCAAAUAUUACUCUAUUUACGAGGGCUAUCAGGAGUAUAUAGAGGAUGAAACAUUAAAACGAGCCACAAGAUUUUAUCCUCCAUGAACAAAAUAUGAUAAUGUCUAGCCAAAGACAUUAAAAAAGACGCUUUUUGGGAGGCAACCCAAUUGUUGAUUUUGUUAUUUUUGUGUUCAAUUUUUUUUAAUAUGUCGUUUCUCACUUGGAUACUAGUCACUCUUGAUGUUUUUCACUAUGACCAGGAUAGGUAAUCUUGGUGCCCAUGCGAGGAGGGCACGCGUUAAGCAUCUAAGUUCAAGACUCAUGGGCAGUUGACGUUUGUAAAACAUGGCGCGCCCACGCCGUGUUGGUAAAUUCUCAACUUCUCGCGACGGCGGCAGAAAAUGGAAUCUUGGCAUGCCCACACGAGGAGGGCACGUGUUAAAGUGCGAAAAGUGACUCAAGGGCAGUGGACGUUUUACAAUCUGGCGUGCCCACGCGAUGUUUGACGACCCAAAAAUGAAUUUAAAAAUUUUUUUUUUCAAAAUUCACAUUGGAAAAAAAAAAUUCAAAAAUUCAAAAAAAAAAAAUUUUUCUUUUUCUUUUUCUUCAAAGAUUCAAAUUUUGAAAAUUUAAAUUCGGGAAAAAUUUGGAAAAACCAUUGAAAAAAAAAACCCAAAAACUAUUUUUUUCUCUUUUCUUUUUUCUUUCUUUCUCUUUUCUUCUUUCUUCCCCGUUCCCCUUUUCCCCUUUUCUUUCUUCUUCGCCCCCCCUAGCGAACGCCGCCGCCCUCCCCUGCUCUCUCCUGCCGCAACCUCGCACAACCGCACGCACCGCCAGCGCGCUACUCUCUCAGACACUGCGCCUUCCUCCAAUUCGUUCCCACCUCUGCAGGCAGCCUCAGCUCCACCGCCGCCUCCAAGCUCCAAGCUCCACCUCACGGACCACCACCAACUCUCCUUCGCACGCUGUCGCCGGCUAGCUCUUCCUGCCGCGACCACGCUCGUCCUCCUCCUCACUCUCUUCUCCUUGCGCGACCAUCGUGCAGCUGCUCCCCACUCGCCGACCCGCUACUGUCCGUCACCACCCAAGCCGAAUGCACCAGCAGCUCCCAGCUCUUCCUAUUGCGCACGUCCAGCUCCGCCGCCGCUGCUGCUGUCCGCCAUCUCCUUGCUGCGCAUCACCACUGUCAAAACUUGACAGGUGGAGGUAUUGAAAUUUCUACCUCGAUCAGUAUUUUUCGGGUUCUUCUAUUGCUGGAUUUAUUUGAGCUUGUUUGGGUUUCUUGAUGGAUAAAAGAAGGUGUUGAUUUGGCAUUUUCUAGGGUAAAUUUGGACAGAUUUGGGUUUAAUUGCUGCCAUAGUGGGAUUUUUCUAAUUUUUGUUGAAUUGUUGGUCGUUUGAUUUAAUUCCUCCCUGUGUAUACACCAGUGGUACUGGUUGCGGUGUGCUUACAAUUCUUAAAUUUUCUCGAAUUAUAAUCGGUGGUUGCUGGAAUUGCCUGUUUGCUGGGAUUCUUAAAUUCUUAAGGUUUGGUCGCUUGAAGUGGGUAAUUGAAUGUCCAAUGGUGACAUUUUUGAGUUUCCCUUGCUCCAAUUGGUUGAAUCAUUGCUCUGUUGAGGUCCCUGUUAGUAUCGCUUGAGUUCUGCUUUGUUAGUUUCUGUAUUGUGCCCCUUGAUCUUAUUUUGACUAAAUUAGAGACCCAGUGCAUAUUCAUUCAAUUUGCUGUGUUGUUAGGAUACUUUUCUAGCCUUUGGGUGCCUCAGUUGUGCAUUUUAUUAUUGGAUUGGCCAUGUGGUUCACUUCUUUCCUGUGCAUGCACAGUGUAUUGGUUGUGCUAAUUUGCUUACAAUUUCUUAUUUCGAUAUGGUUGAGCAUCUGUGACUGAGUAUCUUCGAUUUGCUGCUUUGUUGGGAUUUUUUUUUUUGGUGUCAAUUGAGUAUCAUUUGGUACUUUCUGCCUGGAGUCUAUUGAGCUGCCUUUGGUUGGGGUUUAUUGCAUUUAAUUGGUGCAUUGGACAGCUCCUGUGCCAUUUCCGUUGCUUAUUGAAGUAGGUUGCCUCUAUUUGCCUUGUGUGGGAGUAUUUUGUCCUUUUCAUUUCAAUUGCUAAAUUCAUUGGAGCACUUGUUGUGGUUUUGGGAUGCAUUGUUAUUGCAUUUGGCUAAGCAGGGGACCACCCAGGGGCUAAUGACUGGGUCCAACUCCGAAUGCAAGUUGAGAGACUGGAGACUCGAGUGACCCACAUUGACGCCGACUUGCAUAACAUGGCGCAAAAUUUGGCAGCACUCCGCCCGACCCACCCCCUGUUUUGACAACUUCAGGGAAGUACCGUUGCCCUUCUCUUUCCUUUUGCUGUUAGUUUAUCACAUUGAGGGCAAUGUGUGAAUUAGGUGUGGGGGGGAUCAGUUUGGAUGCUAGUAUUUUCAGUUUUCGAUUUUUAGGUUUUUUUCUUUGUUUUUAGUUUGAUAUUUAUCUUCUUUUCGUUUAUUUCUUUUAUUCGUGAUCAGGUCUUAUUUGAAUACCAAAUUUUAAUGCUGGAUCAUUGUCUUUAAUGCUGCUUUUGCCAAGUUUUAGUAAAAAAGGGUGAUGCGGAUACGGGGUAUCAAGUUAAUGCGGUUGAGUUCAGAAAUAUCUCUUUGAUGAAUAUUAGUAAUUGCUUGACUUUUCUAAUUUUUGGUUAACUUCUCUAGGCAUAGGGAAUGAUUGUUGGCAUUUUUCAUGUGAAUUGGUCCAAUUAUUAAUUUUAGUCUCCAUGCUUGAGAAUUUGAGGCUGGCUGCUGCUACUCCUGUGUUAUUUUUAGUUAUAUUGUGUUGUUUGGCUAUGAAUAAAAUCGACUGUGCUCCGCUAGUCAUUACUACUGAGUAACCGGGGAUCUUCACCAAAAGUGUCGAUUCUCGCAUUAAAAAGUAGUAAUUGCCAUGAGUGCGUGGUUGUAUAGUGAUAGGAGCUGAGUAAUCGGCUCUUUCAUCGGACAAAUGUUGGAGUUCGCGUCAAAAGGCUCCGAUGGCUAAAGACUAAGUCUUGGGUUACCAUUAUCAUUCAAUAAAAAAAAGAGAAAACAGAAAAAUAUGAAAAAAAAGAAAAAUAAGUCAACUUGCCUAUUUGUGAUUUUAAUGUGAGAUUUUGAUUAAUAUUUGGACCAUUUGCUGGUAAAUGUGAGCAACCAUUCCUUUUUCUUAGAUUAGUUGCUUUAAAUUGGAGGAGUUGGUGGUUAAGGGGCUAACCGAAGUGAUUUUUCUUUAAUCUCGACCUGUGAUGCUUGAUAUUGGUUUUUCUUGGGUAUCUUGGCAAUACGUUAGUUGGAGCAAUAGCCAUUGUCGAAUUUUUGGUGUUUCAUUGCUGUUCUCAUGCUUGAGGGCAAGUAUGAUUUAGGUGUGGGGGGAAUUGAUAAGGCACAAUUUGUUGUUAAUUUUAUGGUUAAUUUCCCUCUUUGUCCUUACCAAAUAUUGUUUUAAUUGUUGAAAUGUACUUAUAUUUGGUAUUUGGCCCUAAUUACAGGAAGUGGAGCAAACAGUGGUAAAAAGGAGACUUUAUUGAGAAAAACACUCCACACAUGGGAAGUUCUAAAAGGAAAUACAAGCCGGGCUCCAGAGGAUGCUACAAAAGGGAUUUCCUAUCUUUAUGCUGAAAAGGGUGGACUUAUACUAGGAGUCUUACGGGUAAGAGGAAACUAAAAACAAGGACUUUGGCAGAGCUCCAAUUCUUUGGCCCUUGGACUCUCAAUUCAGUGGGACCACCGAGGGAAGUUAGGCAAUUGUUUAGAUUAGGAACAGUGGGUGAUUGCCUUAUUCUUUUUCUCUUCUUAUUCGGUUAGGAGACUAAUCACGUAGGUUUAUAUAUUGGAGGCUAAUGAGCCGCAGGGAAGGGGGGCUUGGACAUUAUCACGUUGGGAAUUUUCUCAACAAAUGAAGAACUAAAUUCUUUUUUUCUAGUCGAAGGUCAAUUUGAGGACUCGGUUCCGAACAUCUGUGAGAUCUAAUUAUUUGACAGGUUGUCGAAGCCUGUGCAAUAAUAAAACCUGCUCAAACUAAAAGUUAAUUUCUGUAGAUAGCAGUAAGCAGGGUCGUAUCCUCAGAGAUUAGGUAUAUUCGCUUCUUAAGAAAUUCAAAGUAACACAGGGGGGUGAUUUUUGUAGGAGCAACAGCAAUUAAAUAACUUCAAAUAAGAAAUAAAAAUGAAUAACUAACUAGCAAUUAAACCACAAUUCACUGAACUUAGAGCAACAAUAAUUAAAGGCCUAAAUCACUUAGAACAAGGAAACAAUUAAAAAUAAAAUGAAGUAGGCAACUAAAAAGUCAAAUGGCAAUUUACUAAAUCAAGGUAAUAUUAAUUAAAGAUCUAGCCAAGAAAUAACUUCAGCAAUGGUUCACCUAAUUGAUCAUUGAAGUAAGGGCAAUUCCAAUUAUUUAUCAUAAAUAGGUUAUAACUACCAAACAAGCGAUGACAGUCAGCUCCUCCUUACUGUGUCGGUGAUCAAGGUACGCCCGUUAAUCACUGCUCUAAUUGAGAAAUAAUCCUAAGUACGCCCGUAGAAUUUAAUUCCCCAAUUGCCUUACGUAUUAGAGGAGCUCUAUUCUAACCAAAUAACACACUACCAGGGUUAUUUUAGGUUAGCCCGCGUAUUCUCCUGACAAACCCAAUCAUGCCAGUUAUCACUAUUUUUAGACAAUUAAACAAUUACGGAUUUAACGUCCCAAUUGAUAAUAGAUUAUCAAAUCAAUUAAUUAUCCGGAUCCAAGACAAUCAAUUAAUUAAUAACCAUAAGCAUAGCAAUCAAGAAAUAUGCGAAUACCAAUAAAUAAAGGAAAAGAUUAAAUUAAAUCGAUCUCACAAUUUUAGGCGAUUCAAAGCAUCCGUUGUUCCUUGACUAGAGUGAGAAAAUUAGCUCAUGUUCGAUGCGAGAAACCCACAAGAAAUUGUAAAGAGAGCUGCGGCCAUUGUCCCUUGAAAUUGGGGAAAUUCAAUUCGGUUCCAAUGUUUGUAAAGAUAGAAAAGCUACAGCAAUUGAUUCUAUGGUUUCUACUUGUCCAAUCAUACGAGAAGGAAAGGAAAAGCUACUUGAGCCCACAAGGAAAAGUCAAAAGACUAAGCUAAAAGAGACACAAUCCAAAGCUAAGCUCCUAAGCAAUCCUCCAUACGUAAUAAGGAAUUAGCUAAAAGACAACGGGGCCAUCCCAAAAAUGCUCAGCUCUCUACUUGCGGCCGCUCUUGAAAUUGGGGAAAUUCAAUUCGGUUCCAAUAUUUGUAAAGAUAGAAAAGCUACAGCAAUUGAUUCUAUGGUUUCUACUUGUCCAAUCAUACGAGAAGGAAAAGGAAAAGCUACUUGAGCCCACAAGGAAAAGUCAAAAGACUAAGCUAAAAGAGACACAAUCCAAAGCUAAGCUCUAAGCAAUCCUCCAUACGUAAUAAGGAAUUAGCUAAAAGACAACGGGGCCAUCCACAAAAUGCUCAGCUCUCUACUUGCGGGCUCUUGAAUUGGGGAAUUCAAUUCGGUUCACAUAUUUGUAAAAGAUAGAAAAGCUACAGCAAUUGAUUCUAUGGUUUCUACUUGUCCAAUCAUACGAGAAGGAAAAGGAAAAGCUACUUGAGCCCACAAGGAAAGUCAAAAGACUAAGCUAAAAGAGACACAAUCCAAAGCUAAGCUCCUAAGCAAUCCUCCAUACGUAAUAAGGAAUUAGCUAAAAGACAACGGGGCCAUCCACAAAAAUGCUCAGCUCUCUACUUGCGGCCGCUCCUCUGUGGUAAAAUGAGAAGUUUCCAGGCCGUGCUUUUCUUCCCCAGCAAUUACCGAAAUGGGCCCAAGUGUUUUUUUCUCUUGCCAACAAUGCCCUUAGGGUAAGUUUUAUCAUCUGAACUUCUUUUCUGUCGAAUUAGCACCUGUUAGUAUAUUUUCGUUCUAUUCCCUGAAAUAAAUACAAAAUACUAAAAAUGAGUAGAAUCCAGUAAUUAAUCCGCAUCAUGUCAGGUAAUAGGGAAAAUUAAUAAUAAAAUAAAUGAGAAAAUUACACCCUAUCAAUAUUUUACUUCUUUCUUUUAUUUAUUAGUAUUUGUACGUUUCCUGAUUUAAUUGCUUAUGAUUGUUUUGUCAUUUGAAUGUCAAGGGCCCGAUAUUCGAAUUAACCUAAUAAUCUGCUGUCAUAUUAAUUGAUUGAAUCCGUAAUUGUUCAAUUGAUUAAUUCCAGUGGCGACUAGCGUGAUUGGUUUCAUGUUAGGGAAACAUAUGAUUUAACUUAAACAAACCCUCGAAACGUGUUUGUUGGUUAGGGUUGAAUUUUUCUAAUUAUUAAUGCAAUCGAGUAAUUAAAUCCUACGGUCGUACCUAAGAUUAUUUCUUGGUUAGAGAAAUAGUUAACGGUCGUACCUUAACUAUCGAGAAAUUAAGGAAAGGCUGGUUGUUCAUCGCGUGUAUGACAACUAUAACUAAUCUAGUAAUGAGUAAUUGAGUUAUCUUUGCAUCGAUGAUCAGUUGAAUGGACCGUGUCUGAAAAAUUGUACCUUUGACUAGAGUCAUAUUGGAUAUUGAUUAUUUCCUAUUUAUUUCUUUUAGUUGUUUCAUUAGUUAGUUAAUUAGUAAUUUUAUAAAAAUCCCCAUGCACUGAACUUUAGAAGAAACGAAUUAUCCCCAAUCCCUGUGGAUUCGACCCUACUCACCGCUAUAUACAUAAUCUGUAUUUUUCUCGAGUAGGUAAUUAUUAUUGUACAGGCUCGACACCCUGUCAAUAUGGAUUAACUUAGUGUUAAAAAAGUUUAACUAUUAACUGAUAGAUUUAUCAAUAUUGCUGGAAAUUGAACAUUUGUUGAUGCAUAAAUAAAUUGCUAAAUUUUUUGUACUUAAUUAAGUACGAAUAUGUAACUAGGUUUAUGGUUAUUAUAAAAAUUGAAAUCAUCUAAAAAUUAUCCAUACACAAAAGGGUAGAAUAUCUAUUGAUUUUUUUAUAUGUGUUAUAAUAUUUGAUGAAUAUUAUUAUAUUAUAAUAAAAGUAUAUAAAGAAUUUUUUAAAAAUUAGGAUGGUAGUUAAGUGUAAUUAUUACAUUAAUUUUCUAAAAUUAAUAUGAAUGAACUUGUAAGAUCAUCAUUAAUUUUUUAUUUAAAUUAUCCAUGCUUGCACGAAUUCAUAAUAAUUUUUUUAAAAAAUAAACCAUGCCAUUAUUUGAAUGAGUAUCAUUAUUUUUAAAUUUCACUAUUUUACUAUUUCACAUUAUCAAAAUUUUCUUCUUUUCUACUGUUUGCCUUUUCAUUUUUAUAUUGCACAAUAAUUUUAUAUUUAUAAAAUUAUAGUUUACAUUAAAAAUUACUUUAUACUUUACUACCCACUAUUAUAUUUAUUUUUACCUUUAUUCUUAUAACAACCCACUGCCAAAUAAUAAUUUAUUUGUAUAUUUAUUCAGGUAAAUAUCAAUUUUCUAUAUAUUUUAUAAAAAAUAUAUAACCAAAUCUUAUACAUAAUAAUUUCAAUGAUUAUUUUUCAAAGAUUUGGGAAAUGCAUCUUCUUGUAAAUUGAAUGAGUUUUUUUUUAUUUAAAAACUUUUUUUAGGGUUUAACAUAAAAUAAAAAUAAUUGAUUUAGCAAAUUUAUCUGGACCAUUUUCUUAUGUUUGAACUUAAAAAAAAUUAACCACAAAGGUAGCAUAAGUUUUUAAUUUAAAAAAAAAGUAAGCUGCAGGCCGCCGCGCUGAGCCUGCAAGUUUUUUCUUUUUUAAGAGAAAGUUAUGUUCGUUGACCGCCUGCGGCUUUUCUUAACAAAUUUUCAUGGCUAUAUAUAUAUAUAUAUAUAUAUAUAUAUAUAUAAAGAAUUCUCUUGUCUACCGACCCGGUAGGCAUAGUAUUAUACUACAAUGUUGUCAGAACAACAUUGUUCCGACUUUUUAUUUUUUCGGCAAUAACCAGAGUAAUUAGCAAACUAGAGAAAAAGUAACGCCAAAAGCUUCCACGGAAUCCUAGAAUUUACUGCGCCUUCGCCUGAGUCUUUCUACAAUGCUGCUACCCUACAUGCAUUUGUCUUUUCUGAGUCUUUCUAUAAUGCUGUAAUAAUUUUCUCAGCUACCAUAUUAGUAGAUUUUCUCAGCUACGCUAGUCUUUCUAUAAUGCUGUAGUAAUUUUGUCAGCUACCAUACAUGCGUUUAUAUUUUAUUAGGUCUUCGCUGGACUCUAUAUAAUGUAGUAGUAAUUUUCUGUGCUACUAUACAUGCAUUUGUCUUUUCUUAGGUCUUUGAUAGAUUCCUAUUCGCUAGACCAUACAUGCAUUUGCUAGAAAUUGAACAAAAUUUCUUGCUCAAAGAAUUAAGGGCAUGUUCCAGGAUAGUUACACGUGAAGUAACUAUAAUUAAACAUGUCACAAAUGCGUAAGAGUUAAGAAAAUAGUAUGGUCUAAGGAUAGCAGUCCAAAAAUUGAAAUUGCUUAAAAUUGUGGAGGCAGAAGUGGCUGAACUAGCCUUAAUCUUGAUGAUUGUAAUUGCUUCUAGAUAUUGUACUGAUUGAUCCUAUGCACCAAUGGUACUCGCGCGGAGACAUGAUUUGGAGGAUUUUGCAGUUUCAAAAUAUCCUUUAUUUCCAGUGCAUUCAGUUUCAAAAGACAAAGAACAAAACUCAAUGAAAUUUUCUCUAUGGUCACAGACAUUAGGAUCUCUUUAUUGUCAGCCAAAAGCAGAAGAAAAAUAAAAAUAAAAAUUUUCAGAGAAACCUGGCUUUGGUCCUGGCCAAACUCGUUCAAUGAUAAUUGCUUCAGGUGCAAAAGAUUAUAGCAAUAAUCAUGUUCAUAAGGACUAACUACACUUUACACCUCUAAAUUUGCACUACUUUUUUGUAUUAUAAAUUUUAAUUUUGGAUGCUUUGUGUUUUAAAUUCUUAAUUUUGGACACUUUGAAUCUCAAAUUUUAAAACUGAGGAGGAUAGGUGCUGGACUAAGGGUCUGUUUGUUUUGGCGGAAAAUAUUUUUCACAUUUUCCGUUGUUUGGUUAUCAAUUAAUUUGGGGAAUUAAUGAUUUCCGAUGGAAAAGAACUUAUACCGAGAAAAGGAAAAUAACUUUCUUGUCUAUCAUUCUGAAGUUAUUUUCCUUUCACACAGUUUUCACCGAAAGAUGGAAAAUCACAGCCUCACUCCACCUCCCAUUAAGACAAUUGAAGACCCACUCCACCACCCAGCUUUCCCCCUCCCCCCUGCCCUUCUCUCUCUCUCUCUCUCUAGGAUAUCAAAACACCUAUAUUAUCUUUUCUUGGCCCUAGCAAUGCCAAACUUGAACAAUAGUUUGAAGAGUUAAGAACUCUGGUUUCCCAAUAUCAAGAAAAUAGAGUAGUAUUACUUUGAGUUCGGUCAACUUUGAUUAGUUUUCAUGAGGUACUAACUACACAGUGGCUGCGACUUCUGGUAUCAGGUACCUUUAAUUUACUACCUUUAGUUGCCAUAGUUCACUUAAUUAAUGAUUAUAUGCAUGCAAUCAAUUAAUAAUUAUAUUAAAUUUUCAUAGUCAUCAAUUAAACUUUCAAAUUUUCAUAAAAGAGACUCUUCUCCCCUUAAGGAUUUUUUUAAAAGGAAGAUAAAAAGUCAAUUAAUUAGUAUCAUUAAUAAUUGCAUUUAAGAAUUCAUGGUGUAAUAUGAAUAAAUAUUUUAUAAAAAUGAUAAUAUGAUUAUAAUGGAUAGAAACUAAAAAUAACUUGUAAUAAAAUGAAUGUUUUGAAAGUAGAAAACAUUUGCAACAUAUCAAAAAAUAUUUUACUGACAAACCAAACACCGAAAAAUGAUGAAAAAAGGAAUUUGGAAAAUAUUUUCACUAAAUAACCAAACACUGGAAAAUUAUGGGGAAGGAAAUGAUUUUUCAGGAAAAUGACUUCUUUCCCUAGGAAAAUAUUUUCAGUCCAACCAAACGGACCCUAAAUCACAAAUAAACUGGAUUAAGGUAAACACAGAUGCAGCUCUGAGUAGUAAGAGCAACAAGGCAGGCUGGGGCAUUGUGGCUAGGAAUUGGCAGGGGACGCCGAUUGGUACCUGGGCAAUCCCAACUAGAAGCUGCUCAAGUGCUCAACUGGAGGAAGCAAUGGCAAUUAGAAGGUCAAAAAUGGUGAAAUGCACUGUUUGAAUCUGACCGUAAACAAGUGGUGGACAAGUUAAAUACAAAUGAAGAGGAGGCUGGCAUUGCUACCAUUCUAUUGGACAUUCGAAAACUAAAAGAGGAUUUUGACGAAUGUUGCUUUUCCUUCACAAAGAGGAGAAACAACUCUGUAACUCAUCACGUAGCAAAAUUUGCUAUUAGUCUGAUUGAUAUAGCUCAAUGGAAGUACGACUUCCCAAUUUGGCUGCUGGAAUUAGUCCAAGCAGAUUCAGUCGAGCAGUUGCUCUAAGUGUGUACUUUAUAUGGGGGUUAAUAAUAUGUUAUCAUUUUGGAAAAAAAAAAUCUCAAAUUUUCAAGUUUAUCCUAUUUAAAUCCUAUCAGUGACAAUGAGAACAUAGAAACUAGAGAAAAUAUCAGGCCAAAAGGAUCCAACAAAUCCUGCAAUUGACUCAAGUCUUUGCUAAAUUCGUUUCAUAAUGCUGCAGUUAUUUCCUAUGCUACCAAACAUGAAUUUGGCUUUUCUCAUUUAAAUCCCCGCUGUCAAACAUAAUUUAUUAAAUCAGGUUUUGCAAAUAUAAACUAAAGGAAAGUCAUGCACGAGCCUGGACUUCUCUACUAUAAGCUUAUUACUACAAACAAAAAAUUUGCAUCUCCACAUUAAUACGAAAAUUGCUAAUAAAGGACAAAUUAUUCCUUAUUAAAACUCAAAUACUUGACUGUUUACUUCAUUGCUUGAUGCUUAAAACUAAACUGCAUAUGUGUGAACACACAAAAACAUUUGUUUCUGAUAGUUACAGCCUUAGCCAGGCCUUAUCAACAUCUCAUUCAACCUGCCUUAGAAAAUAGAAAGAAAAUCACAUUCAAUUCUCAAUUCUUUAUUUUGCACUAUUUUGUUGGGUGAGCAAUUAACAGGCACGUGAAAUAGUGGCUCAAUGGGGGAAGAAAAAACGAGGGCUAUUCCUUUUUUGUUUUUGGAUUGCGUGAUCAAUUAACAGGAAACGAUAUAAGCAAAACAAUUCUUCAUGUUCAGGCCCUUGAUUUUCCUUUGUGAAUAAUGAACUGAAAAAAGAAACUUAAAAAUACUGGUUCAAUUGAAUCUUAAAAUUAAUGCAAAACAUGGACAUGAAUGCUGUAGUGUCUGAAGUACAAUCUCGAUUUAGUACAAGACCUCUGAAACUUGAAUACAUAAUGUUCCAGUUCCCCAAUUUUAAAACCUCUCAAGCCUGGCCAGAUUCUUCAAUUCUCGAUUCUCAAUUAAUGGCUUCAUGUAUUUUCCGUUAUGAAAUUGACAAAGUCUCCAUUCUGGAGCUCAUUUCCAGUUGUCUCGGAUUUGGUAUCACUUGAAACUGGUCUGUAUCAGGGCCGUCAACAAAAACCAGAGGAAAUUUGCAGCGCUCAGACCGGCAAGCACCCAAUAAUAGUAAUUCAAGUGACUCUCAUUCAAGUCAUGCUGAAACCAACUCUUUUUCCCUCCUUUCUCGCUAAUCUUGCCCACCAAAUGAACUGAUAAAACACUUCCCAUGAUUCCCAGACCGGAUAAUCCAGGAUUGAGGUAGACAAGGUACUUUUUCAUCGAUGGGGGACUUUGAUCAUUCAAGAAUUCUGCAACACUGUUCUCAUAAAAUGAGUCUAGCCCACCAAGAAGAAAGAAUUGCGGAACAAGCAAAAAGACAGUCAUGGGGAUUUUCUCGUUAGGCUUGUCAAUUAAACCAUCACUUCUUAUCACAUGUAUCCCGUGAGUUUCUGCAAUGGCCGCAAAUAUGCAACAUAAUGCUGAGCAUAUUGUAGCUAAUGCAAUUCCAGUUGCUGGUGCAUACCUUCUCGCCUCCUGCCACUUUCAUACAGUUGUAUACCCUUUUAAAACCCAACUUCGCUGCUUCAUAUAGCAACAGAAGGGUUGAAUCAGGAAAUUUCAAUUUCCCAACCUUGUAAUUCAGGUGGCUUGCUUGCUCUACGAAGUAUGUGUUUCCCACGGAAGUAACUACAGAACAAAUUAUGCAGGUGAUCCAAACUGGAAGCAUACAGAUUAUGACCCGUCUUUCUUGACUUUGAGUCCUGAAUCUGAUAAUAUCCCUGUCAGAGAACCUAAGCAAAGGAAGAGAACAGCAAAAAAAUUCCUAUGGUCAGAAGUUUCAUUAUCUCUUACUUGAGAACAAAGAAAUAGAUCUGUAUUUGAUUUAUGGAACACCCGACACUCUAUUCCUUUUCAAGUGAAAGUUGAAAAACAGGGAAGAAGGGCAAAAAUUAAGACUAUGAUCAGGAAGAGGAAGAUGGAAAAGGAAGGAUGUGUGGGGUGAACCCAAGUCUGCUGCCCUGGUAUUCGCAUGAACCCUGAAUGAAAAGAAGUGUUGCCGCCAGUGUGAAAAUUGCUGGAAUUCCAAACCGAAGUUUCCAUGGGUGUAUGUAUGGAAGUGCAAUUAGUGCAAUAACCGCGACAAUGAGCACAAAGAUAACGCCUAAUGAUCUUAGGCCCGAUAUGCUGCUUCCGUUUCUUUGGUUCUGUCUCUUAACAAGCUCCAUCAUUGCUUCUACUGGUUGAAACUGAAGUUUUGAUAUAUCCUCUUCAGGUUGAGGGCUUUGUUGCCUGUUGCUUGUUUUAUCAACAACUUGGCUCCUUUCAAGCUGAUCCAAUGCAAAUGCAGCUAAUGAAACAUUGUGCCCACUCACUCCAACAGCUGUCAACGCCAGACCUGUGUAAAAGAUAGCCUUCUGUGUGUGACCAAUGCAAUUAGGCUGGUAAUUAGCACAGAUGUGCAUUAACUUGUGCAGUGCUGGUGGCGUAGACAUUGACAGAAAACCCAAGCCCUGCUCAUAAUUUUGGAUAAUCAGUUCAAGAAAGUCCAGUAAAACUGGAAGCUAUACUUCUAUCAAGUUAGGCCGUGAAAUUGAUGACUAAAUGGAAGGAGGGGAGGAAGAACUGUGAAUGAAUUUGCCGACAGGAGAACUUACAGAGGAAAAGGCUAUACUUGAGAGAAGCAGUAUCCAGUAGUUAUCCACUCCAAAGUCCCCAAAUAAGAAAGAAUAAAAGGGACCAAUUUAGUUAGGCCAGUGUAUACAUUCAUUAUUCCUGCAGCAUGAGUAAACCCAACUUUCCAAACAUCUGUUAAGUACUUCUGCAUUAUCCACGUCACGUAAGUCGCCAACAAAUCAGCCCAUAUCAGAACUGUUAACAAGCAGAGGAAGUUAAAGAAUGACAAGGCCUUUGAUGACUCUGAGAUGAAUUAAAAGUACCCAUUAUUCUGACAAAUGCCAUUGCUUUUUCGAACUUCUCGUUGAAAUCCUGAGUGUGAGAAAAAUACUAUCAGAACAAAGGAAAUUAAGCUGACGAAUAGAGCAGUUUCAGAACCAUAUGGUGGCCAUAGCAAGCUGAAAGAAACCAGAAUUAAUAGUUUGGAUUGAGGUUUUUCUUUAAUUACCUCCAGCAGCUAUGUGUUCUGCUGGUCUGCGAGGGAAAAAGAGAGACGGAGAAACUUCUCUGCAAGAAGUCGUUGUUAGGAAACUAGUUUAAUUUCUUUUAAACAGAUUCCUUAUUUUGUGUGAAAGUAACUAGAUUUCUAAUUGAUUUUAGUUACUUAAAUAGUAGUCAAGGAAUUUCCUAUGUGUACGAGUUUAGGAAAAGGAGUUAUUUCCUAUUCUAAAUCAGGGCAGGAAUUAGGAAUGAUUUCCUAUUAUUAUUUGGGUUUUGUCCAAAUAAUGUUCCUUAUAAAUAGGUGGGUUAGCAUACUACAUACAAGGGCACACAAGGGCGACAUGUAGCCUUAUACAUGGAUGGUGAAAGAGGGUUCUUGGGAGAUGAGAGAUGAUAUGAAAGGAUUGGAUUUGGAUUCAAAUUGUAUUCUUGUAUAGAGUUUUUCUCUCAUAAUGAAGAACGAGUUUCUCUCCGGGGAUGUAGGUUUAAUGGUAGAGUCGAACCAUGUUAAAUAUUGUGUGUCGUUUAUCUUUUAUGCUUAUGGUUUGUUUAUCAUUAAAUUAUUAUAUACUUGAUAUUUCAAUAGUUGUUUGUUCCGCGCUUUAAUCCUAACAAGUGAUAUCAGAGCUUGGUUGUGAGAUUGAGCGGCUCACAAGUACUUGAAUCCCAACAAACUGAAUGGUUGAAUUAAGAGUUUAUUUGUUCAAGGUUGGAUCCUGGUUAAUUAUUGAGAUCAAGUGCGUUGGUGGCUGUUACCAAUUGAACAAUUUAAUGGGUGUUAUUCUUAUUUCAAAAGUUUGGUAAGAAACAUUAAAAGUGAAGAAUGGAAAGUUGAAAAACAUGAAGAUACUUGACAGUGAAUCUAUACCGGUGAUUUAAGAGUCAAGAAAAAGAUGGAGUCUAAUGUCGAUUUUUGAACAUAAAUCGUUGGGUUGAUAUCUGCUUCGGAAGCUGCCUGUCCUUCAACUGUAUAUCUAUUAGUCUCCACAGUCUUAUUGCACCUUUUGCUCUUGACUAUCUUAACUCUGUGGCCUCAUCUACAGCUGCACUUCCCGCACCUUCUUUCCUUCAAAACCCAUCCUUCUAUUGUUUCAAAUGAGGCAACAUCGUAGCUUUGGAUAAUUUUAUAUGUGCUCACAGUUCACAAUUUGAUACAUUGAAAUUAUCUUCUCCAUAAUUUCGAGACCACCAACUGUGUGGCUCCAAAUUCGAACUUUUAUUGGCCUGGUCCAGUUUGCUUAGUAAACCGAGAGUUCGCCUCUCACGAUUUACAAUCCAUCUAUUUGUCUAUUAGCAGCUAGGAAAAAUGACUUGUUUCGUCUUUUACAUUUUGAUGAAAAAUUAAUUUUAUUAUUUACUUUUAAUAUAAAGUAAAUUAGUCCCUCAUAUUUUAAAGUGAACCAAGUUAGUCUCAAAAUAACCUGAUAUAGUCAUAUGGAUCUUACACUUAAUCAACAUAAAAAGAAAAUAAAUUUAAAAUUAUAACAUAAAUUACAAUCCAUUUUCUCUAAAAAAAAUUAAAAUUUUUUAAAAAAUGACAUUAAGCUAACGUAGGAAGGGAAAAAUUAAAAUUCAUAUCAUAAAAGAAACCCCCAAGUUACAAAGUUUUACAACUAAAAAAUGUUUAACUUUUAUAGAGAAUGGUUUGUUUUAGAUGUUAUAAUUUUUAAUUUUUCUCUUUUUAGAGAGAAUAGUUUGUUUUAGAUGUUAUAAUUUUAAUUUCUUAAGAGAUAAUUGUUUAUUUUUGAUGUUACAAUUUUUAAUUUUUCCCUUUUAUGUUGACUUAAUAAAAUUUCCUAAUGAAUUUUUAAUUUUAAAUUUUUUAAAAGAAAAGGGUUUUUUGUCAUAAUUUUUAAUUUAUUUCAUUUUUAUAUGACUUAAUCACAUGUGCAUAUCAAGUAUAGUUAGAUUUGGAAGAAAUUAAAGUGACUGUUUCUAUUUCACCCCUAAAAUCUAUAUCAGGUUGUCAUUUUGGGACUAACUUGCUUCAUUUUUAAAUAUGAGAAACUAAUUUGAUUCAUUUUAAAAGGGAAAUUUGCCAAAUUGGUCCUAACAUUUACCAAAAACACUUUUUAGUUUCUAACAUAUAAAAUCAGCCAAAAUUGUCCUUCACAUUUAAAUUGUGAUCCAAUUUGGUCCUAAUGCUCAUUUUUGCUCCUUUCUCCGGCUAAAAAUAGCACGCCUCUCUCACGUGGCCAUAUUUUCAAGGGCAAAAUUGGAAAACACAAAUCCCAGAUCCACUGGGGACGAUCCCUGACCUCACGAUCUUUAUCUUGUUUCGAUUCUCUAAGGACAGGUUCACCACAACAGAGUGACUGACUGAGUUCACCUGAACAGAAGCAUAUUUGGAGGUGAUCAAAAAGAGGGAGUGAAGUAAGGUGAGGUGAGGUAUGCGACGCGCGCCAGUGGCGUCGAGCAGCGGCGGCGGCUGCUUCUCGUGGAUGCGGGCUGCAGCGUCGGGGCAGGCAGAGGAUGAAAGAGAGCCGCGCAGUGGCGACGCGCUGAGCAGCGGGCGGCGUGCGCUGGGUCGCGGGUGAGCUGGUGGAAGGAUGCGGUCGACUAAAGAGAGAGACGAGGGCAGUGCCAGGCAGCGGAGCAGAGAUCGCGCGACAGUAGAGAAGAGCGGCGACGAAAGCGAGGUUGGAGGGGCGGAGGAUGCGGCGCGGUGAUGAGGGCUCUCGGUCGCGAUGGAGAAGAAGAACAGGGGACAAGAGAAAGAAGAAAGCUUUUGUUUUCCAAUUUUGCCCAUGAAAAUAUGACCACGUGAGAGGGGCGUGCUAUUUUUAGCCGGAGAAAUGAGUUAAAAACGAGCAUUAGGACCAAAUUGGAUCACAAUUUAAUGUGAAGGACAAUUUUGGCUGAUUUAUAUGUUAGGGACUAAAAAAGUGUUUUUGGUAAAUGUUAAGGACCAAUUUGGCAAAUUUCCCUUUUAAAAUGUAGGACAAAAAACAUUCCAAGAUGUGAUGAUUGAAAUUCAUCAGACCAUCAUAUUGACUUAGAAGAAAAUAUGAAGGCAAAAGGUUAAUUGAUGAUUGAAGUUCACUAUAUUAUUGACGAAAACGGAAAAAAAAAGAAGAAAAAAGUGGUUACGGAAGAAGACAAAGCUGAAAACAGAAAAGGCCCCAAUAUGCUCUGGAAUAUGAGGUGCGAUUUGGGAGAAGGGGUUUUUGUCAAUGGUGUAGACAAUAUGCGUUUCCUUUUUACCCACAAAUAAAGAGCAAGAUUAUACCACUUCUUUCCACCCAAAAAUAAAAAAAAAAAAAAAGAAAAAAGAAACCACAUACACAAACACUCAAUUUUAUUUUAUUUUUACAGUCCUAAUGAAACUUUUAAUAACUGCCAAUAGCUUACUAUCUUCGAAAAAGCUUAGUAUCUUCUGAAAAAAGGAAAAAAAACUCUCAUUAUAGGCCUAAUAAAACCCUCCAAUACUUGCAUUGCUUUUUUUUUUUUUUUUUUUUUGUGUUAAAGGUUUUCUUCCACUACAGCAAGUGGUUCUUGGAUGAACCCAAAUUUUGUAGGAGGCAAAAGGCUGGGCCAAGAUAGGACUCGUAUAAGGACUUAAUGGGCAACACUUCUGUGGGUGAUUGGAGUAACGGCUAAUAGAAUGACAAUCGCCAAGCAAUCAUUGCUGUGUGAAAAAUGUCCUUUCCGCUUUAGUAUUAUAGUAGUCUGCGGGCCCGCGCCACGCGCAGGGUAGGCAUAUGUAACCCCUGUUAAUAAUUUGUGUUUGUCUAGUAAUAUUUUGUAAAGUUUGUUUUGUAAAUAUUGAUGUAGGAAAUAAUUUUAUAAUAUGUAAAAUAAUUGUGAGCUAGUUAUUUUUGAUUAAAUGAGGAUUAUUGGAAGGAUUGUUGGUAGGUUAUUGUAUAAAAUGUAGUUUAAUGUUGAAUAAAAAUAUAGCAUAUAUGUGCUGAAAUAGUAGAAUAUGAGAAUAGUAUUGAACGGUGAAAGUGUAAUCUUUAUAGUUAUUAUUUUAUAUUGCAGGAACUUCUACAAGUUUGACAUCCAAUAUCUACAUUUGAUAUUUGUUCAUAAUUAUGAGAAUAUAGUCUGGACUAAUAAUAUGGUAUUGUAGCAUUUUUUCGAACUUUGAUGUUCCAACAUCUGUGUUGGUAAGAAAAGAUGAAUAUGCUAUUUUUGUUUGGCAAUAUAUGAGCAACAUCGUCGUGUUAGAGUUCUUGCAAAAUAAAAUAGAUGAUUACAGUAAACAUGUAUGAUUUUUUCUUUUUUUUUUAAUGUCACCAUCCAAACAAAACUUCUGUGUUUGAAAGGAUAAUCAGCAUUUAAUGCUAGAGAAAAAGUAACACUAUCAAUGGGAAAUAAAAAAAACGCAAACUCAAAGUGAGAAUUUUCCAAUGAAGAAGGCUGCAUUCAAUAUCACAUGAGGAGCUACCAGGGCACCGACGCAAAUGGACCGCAAUAGCCAAAAAUAUCAAUCCAUACCGAAAUAACCAACGGACACCCUUUUUCUGUUCAUUCAGUCAACUCUCACUUUUAUAUAGUUAGAUUAGAUUAGAUUUGGAGAAUUGUUAACGGCACUCUAUUUUUUUUUGCUAGUGACAUUUCCAUUAUUAUUUUUAACAUAUGAUAUUUAUUUAUUAGACUAUAUGAUAAAGUAAAAGAUGGGAAUGCGAUUAACAAAUAGUGAAGUGUGUUAAUAUUUCCAUUGUAUUUAACGGAUAACUAGAGUUUUAUGUAUUAAACUUUGUCGUGCUUUAUGAGUAGUCACCUUUAAAUGUCGAAAAAAUGUAUUGUUCUUUAGUACACUUAGUGAUGAUUAGAAAGAUAAAAACAUAGUGCUAAUAUGUAUUUUUAGUGAUAUUGUACAUAAAAGCGUGUUACGGCAAAUUCUUACUAUGGUUAAUUAAAAUUUUAGUUUCAUGGACACAUACCCACAUUACUCUACUUCAAUCAAAAUUACAUAAUCAUCAAUCAUCACGAUCAACGUACUUUCAAAUACAAUUUGCAAGAGAAAUUUUUUCCUCAUAAAUUUCUUAAUAAACUGUGUCAAGGGCAAAAUUUUUGAAUUUAAUGGAAGAUAUUUCUUUCUUGUUAUAUGAGAUAAAUGUACUUGAUAAAUUUCUUUUUUUAUAUUAUUGAAAGGAUUUGUCACAUUUGAGAUCAAGUGAAGGUGUGUAUUUUAUAUGUGUUUAACUUAGCCAAAGAGUCUCUUUCUUGAGUAAUUUAGUACAGUCAAUUUGUUCAAAACGACAUCAUAUUUAUAUUAUGGAGUUAUAUAUAACAUGUUGCGAAAAGAAAAGAAAAAGUUGGCUAUUAACAUCUUGAAAACAUAGAAUGUAAAAGAAAAGGCCAUAAAUAAAAUACUUUGUUUUGUUGUGAAACUAUAUCUUAUCUCUGUUAGCAUUCAUCAACUUUAGAAUAACGUAGCUUGGAAUUUAAAAUGGUACUAUUAAAAUCAUGUUAACACUUUGAAUAAAUUAUAAAUGAGCUCCCCUAUUGUUUAAUGCUCGUUUGUAUAAUCCUUUACUAGUUACAAAAUCAAUAAAUGAGCUCCACUACUUGGGCUGCUGGAAGUCAUCCACUGUAAAGAAGUCACUGAAAAUGUCAAGGCUACCCCAUUAAAAGGCGCCACAGUUACUGCCCAAAAAUUCUGAAGUUCUCUAUUUCUUCCAUUGGCUUCUUAGUUUCUACUUUCUAUUACAAAGGUAUUAAGGAGGACAACUUCCAAUAGUUUGAUACUUUCAAAGGGCUACGUGUAACUUUUGAAACAUAAGAGAUCGUGUGAUAAACUUUAAAUUGCAGUGAUUUAAAAAGGAUAGGUUCAUUAGUUUGAUACUUUCAAGGGGGUUGCAUGUAAUUUUUGAAAUAUAAGAAAAUCAUGUGAAAAAACACUAAAUUAUAGAUCAUUAAAAAAAAUUUACCCCUGAUUCUUUCUAAUAUGGUAAAUACACAUUAAAUCAUACCAUAAGCUCUUACACAUGCACUGAAAGAAUAAGGGGCAAGGUGGAGAGGAAAUUUAAUGACACAAAACCCCUAGUGUUUUGCGGUAUUAACACAUUCCUACCCAUGACAGAGAUUCUAUGCUCUGCUAUUAUAACUUUUGAAACACACACAACAACUGCUGAUUAUGUCAACUGGUUAGUUUUACAUCGUCUCUUGAAUGAAAACAAAGAAGAUGCUUGAGAUUAGGACAAAUGGGAAGAACCCCAGCUUAUGUAAUGUUAAGCAGACUGUACAAAUUGACCAUUUCAUUUGCGCCUCACAACAUCUGUUUCUGAUUGUUGGGGCCUUCAGUUGUGGAAAAAAUCUAGGAGGGUUGUCGGAAUAGUGGUCUGACCCAAGAGGCAUGAGAAACUAGGGCUGUCGAUCGAGUCUAAUGAGUCGGAUUUUCAUGAGCUUGAGUCCAGUUCAUUUAAUUUAUUAUAUUUUUGGUCUUCGAGCUUAAGUUUCGAAUUAAUAAAUGUGAAAUUCAUAUUCAAUUCACAUAAUAUUCGGAUUGUGAGCUUUAUUUAGGCUUAGCCCAAGCUCACUUAUUACCUUAAUUUUCUAUCUUAAUAUAAUUACUGUGACCCCCACUUCUCCCUAAGGCUAAUCAAAGGGUAUCCGCGGGACGCCUGCCUAGCUCUCGCCAGGACUCAAGCAAUUCCAUUCAAACUUAUUAUCGGACCACACAAUACGGUCAAUAACUUAGAUACAAUAAAUGCGGAAGCGUUCAAGUUUAAUAAAAGUCAUCCGUUAUCCAACCCGCACAUCGGGUGUUCAACAACCAUCAUAAAUUCCAAAUAUACAUCAUGCCCCAAAAGUUACAUUCGGAUUCCAAAAAUACAACCCAAAAGCCAAAAUAUAGUCAAAAGUAAUAGAAACCCUAAACAAAAGCGUAUCAGGAAGGUUUCUUCGAUACCUCGCCAAGUUCAAUCCUGUUAAGGAAAACAAAUCUACAGGGUGAGCAAAAACGCCCGUGAGGCCAAGAACACAAAUGCAGGCACAUAACUCAGGUAACAAGUCCCAAGUAACAAUUCAAGUAAUAAUUUGCAAGUAAUUAAUAAUGCCAACAAAAUAUAACCAAAAACAAUUCAAGGAUAUGGUAGCUCUCAGGAGUUAAGUUCCACAUUUUGCCGAUGUCAUUCGUAUACCUCCCCGCGAUGACUCUCCGUCAACCGGGUUGAUAUUUCAUAUCCGUAGUUCACCACUUACUUCUCAUCCGUCCACCCCACACCGCUUCAGGCCCGCACGACAUUUAGAAGGCUAUACUCCACGAGUAUGCCAAGCGAGAUCUCUCAAAUAGAUCAAGCUUAUCAUGUAAUUCUCAUGGCUCACCAAGGUUCCCGACCAGGCCCAUGCCGGCUCGAGUUCCAAGGUCGGCCUAUGAGUUUGGGCAUCGCCCAUGUAUCAUGUAAGUGUCGAGGAGAUUCACUCCAAUGACGUAUGCAGCCAUAACAUACCAUGUCAUGUAUUCAAGCAUUUGAUAGAUCUAAGCAGGUAUUUCAAGUCAUGUAAACCAGGUAAAUCAUGUUAUGUAUGAGUCAUUUGUUUUCAAAUGAGAACGAGUGCGAUAAAGUACACACUCGACUCCAUUUUUAAAAAAAAUCAAGUAGGCUAAGCAUGUAAUCAAAUCCAUAGAGUUUAAGUAGUCAAACACUUGACACUCACCAAGUUACGCAAGCAAGCAGGUUGGAUUGAGUGUUCAAACUUCCACGGUAGGGUCCUCUUGGAGGUCCUCGUGCGUGCCUGAACAUCGAAUAGAAGACCAUUACUAUAGGUCCCUAAGAGACGAGGAGAUCGAACACAAAUGUGGUCUGGAAAAAUUUUGGAAAUUUCGUUUGAGUUCGUCUUUGAAGUUGGAUUCGCAAAAAGGUACGAGACUCGAGUAAUAUCGGAUUAUUAUUCUUGAAAUCAUUGGAUGGAAACGAGUACGUGCGAAUAAAUCUCAAAACGAACGACCAAAGUUGAAAGUGGACUGGCCACAUCACAAUCCGGCCGGAAUCUGGCCGGAUUCAAGGCCGGAUUCUAGAAAAAUGCUUCCCACGCGGAUUUCUUUUGAAAUUCCAGAAUUCUCGAUUUUUGGUAAAAUCUUUGAAAAAUCAUAACUUCUUUUUUACUAGUCAAAAAUUGAUAAACUCGGUACCGUUGGAAUCUUCUUUGAAAGUACUAAAAGUUUUUAGAAGACACUGUUCCAUGAAUCUAAAUGGAAGGUAUUAAAAAAUGAGCUUAAAGUUGCUGUUCCAGAUCACCCAGAAUUGAGCCGGGGUUGGUUUUUUGCUAACUUUGGAAAUUCGGCAGAAUUCACUCGUUGCAAACCAGCCCUUGAAAUUUAUAGCUCAAUUAUAGGUGCAAGUACGGUUUAGGACAGAACAAGCGGAUUGAGAAUCGGAGUUUUGAUCACCAAGAUAUGGUAGCUCAAAGUUGGGAAAAAUUCAAGACUGGAGAAGAAUUUCCAGAUUUGAACUUCCAACAUUGGAAGUUUAGUUAGGUAUUGAAACGAACUUGGAUUGGUACCAAAAUUGGCAGUAUUUUACUCUUAUAUGAAGGGUAUCUCUCUAUCAAGUUUCAUAGAAAAAUACCUUCGGGAAGGCAGUCAACGAACCAACUGAAGUUUGGAAAAAUUCUUAAGGCAAUCUGCCUUUAAUCCAUUUCUUUCCAAAUCCAAUCGUUUGGCUAAGAAAAUCCUCCAAUCAUGAUUCAUAUGUGAAUGGAAAGUCUAAGGGACAUUCAUGGUACAUUUGGUAGGUGUUUAACACCAAGAAUUUCAUUUAGUAAGACCACAACAAGUCUCAUCUCAAAUCUGUCCAAAACUAAGUUUUUCCAAAACAGAGCAGUGUUCUUGUUUUGAUCACAACUCAGUCGAAUUAACUCGGAAUUGAGAAUGGUUUAUGGCGUUGGAAAAUAAAUUCAUAGGGCUAAAAAUUCUCAGAAGAAAACGUUUUGAAAUUUGGCAAACAACCAGCUCGAAAUUGAGCCUCAAGUUGCUGCCUCUACAAAUCAUUCCAACAGAAUGGAGAAACAGGACAGCUAUCUUAAAACGAAUGGUUCGACUCCUACAUAUGGAAUCAGAAGGUGCAUUUUAUACCGUUGGAAAGGUAUGGAUGUCUAGUUUCAAAUGCCACCAACGGAACUCGAUUUUGACAUCGGAGAACAAAGUUAUGGUCGAAAUACUACCGCUGGACAGGGUUAUCCGAAAACAGUUUUCCAGCUUGACUAGUUCACAAAUAAAUUCAUUUGCCCAACCAAACGUUAAUGUUUUCCAAUGAAAAUUUUUACACAUCUACUACAACAUAUAAACAUCAGGUUCAAGCCAUUAGAUCAUCAAAAAUUGGCCUUAUCAUGGCCGAAAAAAACAGGGGCAGUUUCAGAAAUUUUUGUCAUGGCCUCAACUUUUGAGUUUCCAACAAUAAUACUCCAUAAAUCUAUCAUUUUAACCACUAAACUACCACUAUAAACAGCAUCAAUCACCAUAACAGCCAUCAAGACAGAGGUGGGAGUUCAUAGAGCCCACCUUCCAUUUUUUUCAACAACAACAACAACCCAUAAGAAAUUAAGAGCUAAAAGAUAUACUAGAACUUCCAAAAAUUGAAGUUAGAAGGCUUGAUCAUGACUUACUCUAGUUGAUGUUCAAGUCAGAAAUUCAGUCCCUCCUUGCUCCUAAGUGAGCCGUGAAAAGCCUCCCCUUUUUAGCUAGAUAUGAACUCCAAGGCUUAGGCUAAGUAGUGCUAAAAUUUGAGAAGAUUUGGUGGUGAUUUGAGUGAGUUUUGUAGAGGAAAUGUUGGAAAGUUUCGGUUGUUCCUUUGCUGUCUGCUAGCCGGCCAUGGAAGCUUGGAGAAAUGAAAUGUUUGGUCUGAUUCUAUUGUGUACAAAGAAAGCUUAACGUCUAAUAGUUUAAGUGCGCAAAAGUCAUCCGCCAAUAGUGCGCAUACGCGUGCGUUUUGUGCUUGAUUUCUCUUAAGUUUGUUGCACUAGUGCACUAAACCUCUAGGGCACUUACAUUCAUAUAAAUAUUAUUCAUUCUUAAUUGUCCCAAAAUAAUGGUCCAAAGUCCCUCAAUUAAGCGCGCACGUGAAAACACGUAUUUCCAAUUUAGGCGCAAUAAAGUAAAAUUUUCGAGAAAUUCUUAUAACGAUCGUACCACUAACUAUCAUAUGAGUAUUUAAACCUAAAUUUACCUAUUUUAGGACCAUUGUAUAUGUCUCAAAUUUUUGAGCUUAUUGAACUCCCAAUUGGCUAAAGUUUUCAGACACGUUUUCACUUUUCCACUAAUCAAGCUUUUAAGAAAAUAAUUUUUGAAACGAGACACUUUAAAAAUAUAACGAAACGAUAAAACUAUGUACUUAGGUCUAAUAAGGUUAGAAAAUAUUAUUCGUGGCAAAAAUCCAAAUAAAUAAUUAAUUAAGCUAAAAUUAGAGAUUUUAAAUAAUAAAAUUUUCGAGUCCUCACAAUUACUAUAACUAUUAAGUUGUAAAACUAAUUUAACAUUUACAAGACUAUAAUAUUAAAACUAAGCACGAACAAAUAAUAAUUCUUCAAAAGUACAGAAACCAAAAAAUUUUCAACAAUAUUUAUAUUUAAUUCUUUCAAAAUACAUGAAAAAUAGUAAUAAAACAUGUGGUCAUAAGCCAAUACAUCUUUAAAAGUUGAAACUUUUUUAUAACCUUGUGAUUUGAAUCCAAACAUGCUUGAUGAUUUGUGUUUCUAGAACAAAAAGAAAUCAACUAAUAUUAUACCAAUACAAAAAUGUACUCAACCAAUAAGAAAGGUAGAGAUUCAGUUAUGCAUUAUUAAUAUUGUCUCUCAAGAAAGCUCAUAAAAGAGUCUUCGCGGUGUAUUUUUGUAUUUUGUAAUUUAUAUAUAUUUAGUAUUUAGUAAAAUAUAUAUUUGGAUAUAUAAUUAUACAUAAUAUCAAAAUAUAAACAUUAUAUAUAUAGGUAACUAAAGGAUCGGACAUAUAUUGGGCUUGAGCCUAAUAAGGCCUAAAUUCGACUCAUAUUUAAUUCGAGCCUAAUUUUUAAGUUCAAUCUCAGACCGGCUCACUUAAAAAUCGGUCUUAUUGGACUUUUUGUCAAGCCGAACAAGCUGUGCACGGGCUGGCCCAACUCCAUUGACAGUCCUACAAGAAAUUGUUGUCCUUAAGGAUAAAAAUGUACCCAAAUAAUAAUAAUAAUAAAUAAAAGGAAAAUGACAAUCUACUUUGGCUACUUUGUUCUGCCCAUUUUCUAGUUCUUGAGAAAUAAAACGAGAACAUAUUUAUAUUUGGAAGUUUUCAAGCACAUCAAACUUAAAGGAAUUUAACAACUCAUAUGAAGGCUGUACUUAGGGGUGGCAAUUUUCGACACAAUCUGAAAACACGACACGAACCUAACACGAAAUUAAUGGGUUUAGGUUGAGGUUUGGGAAUUCGGGUCAGAAUCGGGUUGGACCCGAUGAACCCGAAAAGAAAACAGGUCGAUUUCGGGUCAACCGUGGUGACCUGAUAUGACCCGUUUACGAAUUAAAAAUAAUUUAAUAAACAUAAAAAUAAUUUUAUCUAACUAAACUAAGUUAUUCUUUUUUUCAAAGGCAUUAAUUACUUAAUCCUAAAUGAAUUUAUUUAAUUUGUGUGAAGUUGAAAUUAUUAUAUUUGGACAAAUAAUAUAUUAUAUUAUUUUUUAUUUUUAUACUGUUUUAAUUUAUUUUAUAUUUUGUUUGGGAUAAAACACUUUUACGGUGUUUAAUUUAUUUUAGAUUUGGUUUGGAAUUAUUUAUUUAAAUUUUUAUUACUUGAUUAUGUAAUUAGUUUUGUGAGAAAUUGAUUUUAUUAGAAAUUACAGUGAUAAAUUAAUAAAUUAAAAUUAAGUUUCGGGUCAUUUCGGGUCGACCCGCCAACCCGCCAACCUGAAAUUUUCGGGUUCGGGUCAGCAUACCUGACCCGUCACGGGUUGGCGGGUCGGGUUCGGGUCAACAGAUUUUCUGACGGGUUGACCCGAACCCGACCUGCCAACCUGAUUUGGACCCGAAUUGCCACCCCUAGCUGUACUAUUACUUCAAAUCCUUUUCUAAUGUUAUUUGUGUGACAUCAAUGUUUCUGUUUGAUAUUAAAUAGAGAAACUUAUUGUAUUGAAUUUUCUUAUGAAACAGAAUUGGAUUAGGAAGACACUGCAUAAAUGUUAAUUUGUAAAAGAGAAAAGUAUACUAAACAAGAAAUCUCAAAAACAAGAAAGCUGGUUUUAUCUCAAAAAGAAAUGCAAACAAAUUUGUGUUAGGAAAUAUUCAUGAUUCUAAACUUCUAUGAACCUAACUAUAAUGAUGCGAGAAUGGAUCAAACAUCUAUUAAGUUGUUUGCCACUAUUACUCUGUCACAUAGAACUCUAAGAAGAAGAAGAGCUUUGCACCAUCUUCACCAUAUUUAGAAGAACCCAGCCCCUGCUCUGCAAAAUGCUCAUCGUUUCCUUUAAGUUGGCUGGAACUGUUUCAUCGGUAAAGUACUCAUCUCUGGCCACCUCUGCUGAGCAAAAUCUCAAAGCAUAUGAUUUCAACAUGGGCUUGGCCAGCUGCCAAAUCGGCUGAAAUAUGAAAGGAGCAUCAAUGAAGAGGACUUCGUUUAGCCUCCUUGGAUAGUAGUAGUAGAAUACAUCAAACAAAAAUGUAAGAGACCUGAGAUCUGCAUUUUCUGUACCAAAACCUCGAAGAUCAAUUAUUACAAGUAUCUGUUCCUUCCCAGCUGGAAGCUUACUAAGUGCUUUCUCAACUAAGAAAACACAUAAUUUUUCAUCUUCAUGGAAAUCAUGCUUCCCAGGGAAAUGCUUGGAUGCUUCUACUAUUAUUACCGGUCGGCUGUUGACAUCAAGAUAGUCAUGCACAUAGGCUUUCCCACUUUCAGCUGCUGAUCUUACUGAUUCUUCUCAAAGUUCUGAUACGCCAAAUUUAUGAUACCAUCUUAUGGCUUUUCUCAAUUUGGACACUGCCUCUUCAACAGAAAAUCUUCUGUCCUUCAAAAACCAAAAAAUCAGCUCUUCAUCAUCUUUUCCAUUUUUUCCAGCUGGAAGACUGCUACAUUCUUUUUCAAGCUUUUCUUUAACUUCCACAACUAACUUUUGGGCAUCUUUUGGGGCCAGAGCACAGUGGCGCCGAGAAGCUUACGAAUUCAAAUGGGUUUACUUGAAAAGAAUGAGGAAUUGAGAUUCUUGAAAUGGUUACCCAAUGGAGGCCGGAGUCCCAGUUGGAAUGCCAUUUGAUGUAUGAUUGGAGGCCGGAGUCCCGGUUAUUCAUGCUUAAGUGAUUGGGAGAUGGAUAAUCUUCUUAUUGAAACUAAGAUUUACAUUUUUUUUGGGGGGUCAUUUCUGGUGAGGGCUGCAGAAGACUACCCUGUUGAGGAUAUUGUUUGUUGAAUAUUUUUUGGUUUAAUUGGGUUUCCUUGGUUUGGUAUAGUUUGGUUUGGUAUAGUAUAGUCAGUUAGCUAGGAAGCUCCAAGUUCAUAUAUUUGCAUAGGAAAGCUCAGGCGAAGCUAAAAUUAAUAAUUUAAGAUUCUCCAAUUGCAUUCUCAAGUACAUGCAAGUCCAAGUUCCAAAUUCAAACUUUCCUUUGCUUCUCCAAUAGAACCAAUUUCGAAUUCCAAUCUCACAAUAUUCGCCCUUUAUCAUAUCAUGAUACCGCAUUUUUUCUUAUGCAAUUCAAAGUAUUUUUUUUAGCUUUACUCUUCACAGAAUCUUGAUUUAUGCCCUUUUAUGGAGCAUGAAUGGCUCAAUUAAUAAUUAACACCGCCAAUUUAUUGCCCCAUUUUCUGAUUUCAAUAAUGGUCGCCCGAGGAGUUGUAGGAAUGGUAAACCGGUGAUGAAAUGGAAAGUAAAGAAGAAAUCAAAUGGAUCGUUUUAGAUUGGAGCAUUAUAUCAUAUUGAUUGUUACCAUAACUCCAAGUGGGGAUUUUUUUUUUUUUGUGUGACCAUAUAUCUAUUGCUUUCCCAAGUUGUAUGCCUAUUUAAGCAAACAGCCUUCAUGACACGUGAAGAAUAAGAACUUUUCCAUAUACAAGAUUUAAGUGGUGCAAAUUCGAGGAGUUUUUUAAAGUAACAAAAUGAGCCUAAUUUUCACCACUGAAUAUUUUGCUUGUAAAAUGAGCACGAGUUUAAAUGGUGCCAUGAUCAUAGUCUUCAAAUCAUUGUCUAAACCCCAAUGAAGACUUCAGAAUGCGGACAUUGAAUUAAUUCAUACGAUUAUUGAAGGUUUUUCAAAAGAAAUUCUGAAUUUUAAAGUAUGGAUUAUUGAAAGCCUUAAGAAAAAGGUGUGGUCUUUCCAUAACGAUACAAGUCUCAGGCAUUUCUUCUUCCUCGACCAAAGUCUUCAAAUCAAGCUUUUUUUUUUUUUUUUUAAAUUAAGGAAGGUUUUUUGCAGUCAGGAACUGGUAUAAGUAGAUAAUUCAUACUACUAAAUAGAUGUUGGCUUCUUGUUCUCAUCUUAAUACAUUUUUUUGCUCUAACACGUUAAAUUAAAAGGCAGUGACAAAUAGUAACCAUUCACUUGGGUAUUCUUAAAACUACAAGAACGGUUUUUUUAUCGAUGUCUUUCAAAUCAAGAGGAAAACAAAUUACAUAAACAAUGUAUAUUACUUGGUCUAGAAUGUUGUUACAACAAAUAUUCAUGCAUGCAGGAAUUUCUGCUAGGCGCAUAUCUCAAAUAGUUCAAGCUCAUAUGGUUUGAAUUAGCAUAUACUAAUACUACUACAUUUUCUAUUACUCCUGUAAAUAUUAAAUUCUUUAUCGAAUAUAUGAUGUUGUCGUUUUCUGUAGGUGAAUAAAUAGUAAUACAAAAAUAAAUACAAAAAAUCGCAUUGCUAAAGAGGGAAAGGGAAUUUCCAUAAGUCAACCAUAUAUAUUUAUCCUAUCGUUGAAUUUUUUCCCCCCGGGUAUAAUAAGCGCAAAAUAUUGAAACUAAAUAGAUAAUAAUGUCUUCUUUAACUUUACUACAAUACUUCCUUCGAAGCAAAAGAAAAACCAUUAUUAGCGGUACUUUGCAAUUGAAAAAUGACGAGUUUGUGUGGGAGAAAGAGUUAAAAUUUAUACUUAGAAAAUGUGGCUAUCCUAUAAUAGUUGGAUUUUUAAUGGUAUCCAAAAGCUAUCCUUUCUUGUCUACAGAUAUGUUCUCCAUCCGUUACUCUAAUUCCUCAUUUUAGUUGCAAAGAAAAUGUAAAAGUUGAGCUGUGCUUCUUUGACAAAUUUGGAUGCGUUUCCAUUGGCGUUUUCACUUUAACUUUCUCAACCAUUGUUGUUACAGGGGUUCAUGUUUUCUGAUUGAAUGGGGGCGUUCAACCUUUUUGAUUGUGAACAAUAUCUCCAAUGGUUGUUGCAUCCGCAAAGGACACUAUUAAUUUUCAAGAUGAAAUUGUAAAAAGCAAAACGAGAACUAUAAUUGUUCCUUGGAAACUUGAUUUCAUGGUUUUCCUUGGAAAAUGUACUUGAAAUAUAAUUUGGUCUUAAUUAUUGAUCCUCGAGAAUUAGAAUUAAAAUGGACAUCUUUUAUUUUCUUUGAUUUUUUCAAGAAAUGGGGGCAAAAAACCUUAUUUGAAUUGUAUAUAUGAAAUUAAUUGACUCGACAAUUUUUUGAGUAUUUUCAUUAGCCAAAAAUUAAGUUUUUUUUACUUGGCUCAAUAAUCAGGCUUGCGAUUUCAAUUACUUUAAACUUAGUGUUUAAUCAAAAUGAAAUCAUUUGGCCUUCUAAAUGAUUAUAAUGGCGUGGAUUUGAGGCGGGGAAGCCCUCUCCAUCCCUCACCCCGUUUUCCAGAAAGCUCCUCUGCCCCUGCCCGAAUCCGCCCCAACUUCUACGAUUCUUGACACACGAGCAGAUUUGUCAAAGAAGCCCAACUGCCAAUUCAGGCCGACUGACAAGAAAAACGUUCUAUAAAUUUGAUUCUGGCCCAAGCCCCAGUAAACCAAGAAAAGUAGAUAGCCAUUGGUGUUCACCCAGUGGAAAUGCAAAAUUGGAUCCUGGACAAUCUGAAAGAAGAAGAAAUGAUUCCAUUGCUUAAACCUGGAGCGAUUUCCUGUGCUCAGACAUACAUAGGUAUAACAGCUUCAUUUCUUUUAUAUAAACUCAUUACUUUCCUUUGUUAGCAAAUCAGCAAUAAAACUAAGCUCUCCCUCAAGAUGCCUUUACACAUUGGCAAUUUUACACUUCCAAAGCAAUAAAGCAUUCAAUUCCAGCUAUACAUAUGGCGGCUGGUCCUGAAGAAGUUGAAUAAUAAAGAUUGAAUGCCAGAGAGUUGCUCAUCCGAAUACGCAUGAAAGAUGAAUUAGAUGGCAAUUUCCAAAUUCAUUCCAAGUUCCUCCAUCAUCAUUGGUUGUUGACAUCUGCUUGGAGCAAACCUUCUGCCAUCCAAAGUUCGAUUAGCAUCUAUCCUUUCAUCAUAGUAUCCUAAGGAAAUAUAGAACAAUAUGCAAAACAUUUCUUAAUGGAUGGAGAUGGUAAACAAUCAAAACUCAAUUUAAGUAUUUCCAUGACACCAUCUUCAUCUCCACUCUGAAAUUUGAAAGCUUAUUUUCAAAACCAAUUGCCACUCGUCUUUUCUCUUCAUGCGCAAUCCUCCCAUUACACUUGCACAGUGGUAGACCACCACAUUUUUUUAUAAUUUCCUUUUUCAUGACAUGCAAUUUUUUGGGAAUUUCUCCACCUGCAAUGGCUUUCUUUGUUAGCUAGACCAACAAUCGUCAUCAUCAGAUAGCUUUCUAGCACAUAAGGAUCAUGUGUGGCCACAAUGGAUGCAGUUUGUUGUUUACGAGUAGUCACAACACACCAAUUUCCAUUAGUUGCAUUUAGCCCCAGUAAUGAACCAAAAAAAUCAUCCCACAAGGUAAGAUUUUGCGUCCAGACAUCAUCAAGAACAAGAAAAAAAUUUUUUCCCAAAGUUGUUCUCGAAUUCCUGGACGAUGACAUCCCUACUGUCAUUUUAACAUUUCUUCUUGUGAGUGCUGCUCUAAAAUCAUUUUCAAAAGCCUGGUCACGUCAAAAUUGUCGGACACACAAACCCAAAUUUUUUUCUCAAAAUGGCUAUGAACGUGACUAUUUUUGUAUACAGAUUGAGCUAAAGUUGUCUUUCCCAAUCCGCCCAUCCCAAGGAUGGGAAUUACAGAAACGGCUUUUUCUGACAAGCUUAGCAAGGUCUCACCAGCCUUGUUUCAUCCUUAGCUCUUCCUACAAUAAUAAUGGCCAGCAAUAGAAUCCGUCUCUCUAUUUAGUGUGACUUUAGCAGUAGUAGAAGGGGGAAACUUGCCCUUUGGAAUCUGAUCAGUCCAAAAUCAUUGGCUUCUUUAUUGAUCUUAUUCAACUUCUUGUUGAUGUCCCUAAUCCUAGAGGCCAUUCUCCGUCGGAAAACAAUAUUAAUGUCAGAGGACAGGAUGAAGGAGCGCACCUUGCCACGAGAUGGCGACGAAGAGCUUCAUAAUUCAGCUCGUCAAACAAAUUCUCGGCAUCAAACGCCACGGCUUCUAGCCUCUGGAGCCACAGUCGCACGGCCUGGUCAUGCGUUUGCUUUUCCUCUGCAUCAGCCAAGACAGCUUGGAUCAUAGCAACAGAUCCUUUGAGGGUCUCCAAAUCCUCCUUGAAUUGGAAUAACUUGCCAAUCCUUUCAUUGGCAAGGGAAAGUGUCUUCUUCAAAGCUACCUCUAUUGUGGAAGCUAUAAGUACAUCAGCCAUUCUUCUUGUUCCUUGGGUACAGUCUUCAGAUAAGAAUACUCUUUUGCAGUGGAAGGUUUUAGCUGUAGUUAGAAGCAGCAAGGAACUGCUUUGACUCAAACGGAAGUGACAAGAGUUAUGAGGUUUUUUGGUGCAGCGCUUCUUUGACAAACUGGGUGGGAUGCUUUUGCAACGGAAAUUGCUUGGCAUUUUCAGUUGAAAAUAAAACAUAGUCAUUGCAGGGAUUCUACAUCUGCUUUUGAUCCACAUUCCACAUGCCUGGGGCCCCUGAUCGUGGAAAAUUCCACUCAAGAAGGAUGAGAAACUGUGCUGAACAAUGAAAGGUCCAAAAUAAUUGUUUAGAUAAUACAAAUUAAGCAGUUUCUUCUAAUUCAAAUUAAUGUUGCGCAUGUAUAGGAGUCACAAAAUGGUUUGGUGCACUAGCAAACAGAAGGGUACAUCUAAGGUUACUACGACAAGUUUUACGUUAAAGUGGGAGAUUUGUAAACCAAUUCAGGGUAAAACAAAUGAUAUGUUGAGGAAAAAAUAUGUUAGUUGCAAUGCAAUCAUAAAAGCUAUGAUACAUUUGUGAAAAGAAGAAACAUUUAUUAAUUUAGUGCAGUCUAAUUGGAAACUAGAAAAAAAAUAUACAUGAAUGAUCCGAAAGCGGGAACGGUAUCAUUUUACUCAAAUAAAAGUGUGAUCGAAUCGAGGAUUAGUUAAAUAAAAAAAUUAGAUUAAUAAUAUAAUACUUUUUUGUAUUUUUAUAUAAUGUAUAUGAGACAGAAUGGUGGCUGGUAAAAUUAAAAAAAAAGUGAUGGAAUAAGUAUAAAUUGUUUUUUUCAUAUAUUUAUCUAAUGAUAAUAGUGACAGGGUAAAAAAACAAAGGUGAUAACAAUGAUAAGUGUGGUGAGUACUUCUUGCAAUUGAUUGCAAUCUAUAUUUUACAUUAGGUAAAUUUGAAUGAAACUUUCAAUGAAUGAAACAUGUAUUGUGCUUUUGUGUUAAUUUUGCAUUAGGUUAAUUUUGUCUGCAUUUAAUAUCUCAGUGUAUACACGUCUAUUGUGUCAGCACCUAAAUUGCAUGGCAUGUAUGGCACUAAAUUUCCAGUUCACCUUUCCUACUUAAUGCCUUGCGAGGCCUCUACUCUGAUUGAGAAACCUUAAAACUGCUGGGGCCUUCUAUUGUGCAAAAAUCUCAACAAAAUAGUGGUCUGACCCAAGAAGCACAAGAAAGUAUUGUCCUUAACAAUUAGAAUGUUAAAGAAAAAAAAAAAGGGAAAUUGACAAUGAUGCUGUGAUUUUGGCUACAUUAUUCAUCUCAUUUUUCUAGUUCCGGAGAAACAAAUAAAAAGAUUUCACUAAGUUUGCUUUUUGUAAUGUACCGCGCUGGGCUUUGUCAAAUGCCCCAUUUUUUGCUAGAAUUACUUAUUUUGCUUCUCAUUUGGUUCUAUUAUACUGUACAGAAUUAUAUGUAUAUAACGUGGAUUGUCAUCUUAAGAAUCAAGAUUGCCAAUCUGAUCACGUAAAUUGGCCAGAAAUUGGUUGCAAUUGGCUGCAUGUAAUGCCUUGAAUCGAAAAUGGCUACCAUUUCAAUCCAUAGAAAUAUGUUGAAGGAAACUGGACUGCAACAUGUACUAAUAAGAAUCAGAUAUGACGAUUCUUGAUUGCUUAAGAAAAUCCUUGUAUAUUUGGUUAUUUGACACAGGAAGUCAAUAUGCUUCAAAUGAAACAGUGAAUCCAACAAAUAAGGCAUGGCAAGCUGUGAUUAAUGCCAUACAAACCUGAGUUUCAUUAAAUUAACAGAGAGGAUAGUGAAGAGCAGAGCCAUUCCUAAAUGCCAAAGAGACAGAGAGAUUAUAAAGAUGAUCAACUAACUAAUCAUACCCUUCAACACGAAUAGCCAAAUAUCUGAGGUUUGAGAAAUGACAGCAAUUGUUGCAGUCAAGCAAUAGAAAUGAUAGGGGGGACUACACAUCCAAAAGAAGGCACAGCAAUAUGAUCAGUGUGGAACAAAAUUUGCAUUAUAAACUAAUUCAGAGCCAGCUACAACGUCACAGAAUAACAGGCAAUAGACCUGAAACUUCCAAUACUGGGAUAACAACACUUUUUCUGCCCUACUUGGUCCGACCAGGGACAAAAGGACAUCUGGCCAAAUUAAAACAGAGAGGGACUUAUCCGAGAACUAAGUAGAAACUGCUGAAACUAGUCACAUUGCUCGAAAAUUCAAAAAGAACCAAAAAAAAAAAUGAGAAAGAAGAAGGGAAAAAGGAACUGCUUAGAAUCAGAGAGAGAAGAGGGACUUCUGAGAGCAGCACUAAUCGGCGGGAACUCUGACAAUCUGACAAGUGGAUGGCAAAGACAGCACUAAUUGGCGGGGACAACACCAAUCCCUUCCCUUUUGUGUAGAAAUAAGUUCAUCUGAAAGUUUUUAUUAUUUUUAGGUAACUAAUUAUGAUUAUUACUGCUACUACUACUUUCUGUACUGAUACAGACAUGAGAUGAUUUACUUAUAUUGGCCGUCAAAGUCUUAGAGGCAUAGAAAAGUAGAAAUGCUUUAAUUGUCACAUAGGAUUUGAGCUAGCAAUGAAUAGGAUUUGAAGCCAAGAUGUGUAAGAUCCAUGUCACAUUAUUGCUUCAUUGAACAAUAUUGACGUACAAGGAGACAAGUCCACAUAGAAGUAAUUUUGCAAUUAGAUGCUAUGCAAAAUGUCAGUUUGAUGAACUAAGGUUGAGCUUGUAUGUUCCUAUAUAAUCCUGUUCAAUUGAUUUCCAUAAUUUCAUCUCUCCAACGUUCCCAUCCACCAAGUGGAUCCUUCUUGAAUAGAAAUUGGUGCCUUAGCAAUUCAGUUUUCUCUCAAAUUAACAUAAAUAGAAGGGCUCAAUCUGACUGAUUCUUUGUUGUCUGAGUCCUGUCUGAGCUUUACAGAUACAAGGAGCAAUGGAAAAGUUCCAUCCGACACAACCUGUAGUCAACUGCAGAACACUUGAGAAAAAAUAUGUUGCCUGUUAUAGAGCUAAGAUACAACUUCAAGAAGGAUGCAAGCAGCUAUCAGGGUUCAGCUAAUCCACAUCUUUCUGCUGCAAAAUACUGGCUACUUUGAACUACAAGCACCACAGAAGAUAUGGCAAAUUGAGUUCCAAAAGAAGUAAAAGAACACCUCAUUAACAUGUCUACAAAUUGCUGAAUGGUUGGACAGUUUAAAAUCACGAGCCAACAAGGAAGAUCUCAGGCUUUAGCCAUCCAGAGAGCAAAAGAGAAUUCCAUCCUGGAUGUUUUCAUCUGAUCUGAUUGAAACAGGAUCCGGUUCAGUAAGGGAUCAUAGGACUUUUAAUAAUGUACCAAGGAUAAUAAGUAAGAGCUAUGAAGGUUUUGAGCGUAAAAUCACUGCAUAACACAAAAACUCAAGAAACUUGAGACAACAUGUAGUCAAGAAUAAAGCCAACACAUAGUUGCAUGACGUUUUUGUUGUAUUUGAAACACUAAAAUAAGAACUUACCAUGAAGAGAGGAGCAACCAACAAGUAUAGAAGGUGGGAUGAGCUUAAUAGCCUUCAUCACAGCGGAUGAAACAAUUGCAGCAAGUAGCAGCAGGCAGCAAGUAUGUUUGACAGUCUUGACUAACUACGGCGAUAUGCUUCAAAAGUUGCAGCUUAGACUUGAUUUGUUAGAAGAUACUCCAACAAGUCCGUGCAGCUUUAUUGCAUGAACAGACAUCUUCUGUGGCUGCUCCAAAAAACAUCCAAAUUAGGAGAAGAUUUCUCAAGUUUUAGUUGUAAUGUAAUCAGAAUCAAAGUAUUUAAAAGUCAAAAUUGAGUAGUAAAAGAAGAGUAGUAUAUGUUACCUUACUGGACUCUGAGAACCAAAAACCAGUUUAACAGCCAACAGCUUUGGAAACUCCUGAAGUCUUUAUGGCUAGAAAAUCACAACCAAGGAAAAGUGAGACAGAAACCCAUCAUCUACGAGACUAUCGAACAAAUCACUAAUCAAAUGGUUCAAGAAGCUUGAUAAAUGCUCCUUCAAGAGGUGAUUAAACUUUGGAGCAACUAUUUACUCCCCUAGCAACAUAAGUUAGGGAGCUGAUAACUUUAGCAAUCACAUCUUACAUCCACAAAAGCAGAUAUAUAAAAUCAACAAAACAAAACUCCUAGUGCUUAUUUCAUAUUGAUGAGUAACUGUGCCCUAACAAGGAAUAUUAACCACAAAGCAGCAAUGAUGAUGUGAAAAAGUUGCAACUUCAUUACUGUAAUCUAAAUUUUACUCCCUCAUGACAUGCAGGUCCCUUGAUAGGGACUGAGCCACGGUGCCAGCGGUCUUUCCACUCCAAUCUACCUCAAAUCAGUAGCCUAAAAGUAAACUGCAUAUAGCAGCUGAUUUUCCAGGUAAUUCAAGAGAAGCCCCCAAGCAAGCAGCAACUGCUUGGAAAUUGGAACUGUCUUCGUUCAUACCUUGAAUAUCAUAUGUUGUUGUUUACUAGGAAUACAUUUCUGUGCCCACUAUUGACAUCAUCUCAUAGUUUCAGAUUUCCAAGUACACCAAUUUUCCUACUCCAAUUCCUUUCCUGAGUUCUAGUUUCCAACUAUGGAUAAACUGAGAAACGUUUUGCCAUUCUACCAAGAAGCAUCUCUUACUACAUUAAUCUCAAUCUCCAGCACCAAACCAACAAGAGGUGAAUAACAUUCCUCUUCUCAUUUCCCUUUUUCAAAUUAAUGUCAUCCCUUCACCUCGAGAACCACAGCCAUUACUUUCUCCUAAAAGGCUUCAAGAUAAACACCAGAAAAGUAUUUAUCUGAGAAUUGCUAGGAAUACCUCUUAUAUUAGAUCUCCAACUUUUACCAGCAGCUGAACUAUUUUUCUGGAGACAAUAUUCAAUUAUUCUGUCAUCCAAGAACCGCAAUCAAAAUUUGUAUAGUAAACUGAAGCAACUUAAUACAAAAUUUGGCUUCUGUGAACAAGCUCAGACAGUAUAAACAGAAAUGGAAAACCAAAAAUUAAUUAAUACCAGCUAUAAAAAUCUAAUCUAAGUUCAUCUAGGGGAGAGACCACAAAAAUCUGCUUGCUAAGUGCAGGAGAAAGACGUGCAGCAGAGAAUUGCUGGUUUAAAGUCUUGUAGAAAAGGUUUCUAGAAUUGGUGCAUGAGAUAUCGAAUCUAAAACGUCCAAUGCAUUUUCAACAGGUGAAAUCACGAGUUUAAAGAGAGUGUGCUGAUGUUAGCAAACACAACGUACAAAGGACAGCAACUGACAUACACGAUAAACAAAACUAAAUGCUCAAUUCCGCCCCACAUUAGUGCAUUUGUUUCAGUGUUAGUUCAUCCAAAACAUGAUUCAGUUAACCCAAGAACAUCUCAUUCAUUUGCCAUGUUUGAUCUAGUACAGAAACAUGGUAUUGAAUUAAGCCUCCAUUUGCCAUGUUUGAUCUUUGCGUCAGCAAAUAAUAUGUGAUAGAACGUGAGCAAUACCAAUUUAACAUUAGAAAUUAACCAAAAAGAUUGUUUAGUACCGUUAAUUGAUAUGAAGCGGUGCAUGGCUUAUUAGCGGUAAAGGUUAAAGAACCUACUCUGUUGUUGCUUCAAUUAUCCGUUGAUAUACUUUGAAGGAAAGAGAGGAUUUUCAAAAGUGAAGGCGGUACUUUAGUUCCCCGACUGAGCUUUAAGCCUACAGUCACUGCAAAACAGAAAACUCAGGUUCAGGACUUCACAUUGCAUGACAUUUUUGUUUAGUCAAUUAUUCAGAAAGCCAAAUCAAUAUUUGUUUCUGUUGUGCUUUUCUAACCUAAAUCAGUAAGACGAUAUCAAAAUUUUCUGCUCAGUCUACAAGUACCAGAAGUGCCAUAGAAACUAUGUUAGUUUUGGUUCAAAACACUGAAAAAAGAGAAGUUCUAUAACAAUAAUGAUAAUGAGUAGAACCCACAAGCGUGAAAGGCAGAGAGCUCCAGAAUUGCCAUGAAGGCAACUCUUUGAGACAGCAAGAUACAACGAGUAGAGUUAAUUAUAACUCUUUGACUCUUAAAAUCUCAAAUCAUGGCAUUUGGACUUAAAGUCUACCAAGUCUCUGAUGCUUGAAAACGGUCUUAAACAUGACAAUUUUUUAAAGGAUUUAAUUAAUUCAUUGGAUAUUAAACUUCUUAAAACCCAAUAUUAAGCAGUGGAAGAAGAUUAUUGGUAUUAUAAAUUAUGUGACAGUAAGUAAGACAGUAAGUAAGAGUCAUUGAUGAGGUUCCCUGUUGAGUUUUGGGCCUAAAAUCACUGCAAAGCACAAAAAUUCAAACUCAAGCCGGCGAAUAGCAUAGAAUAAAGCUAAUGGAAAUUUUCAGAUAAUUGCAGGUUUUCUGUCAUUGUGACUAAAGCCCCAAGAGGAGAAACUUACCAUAAAAAAAGAAGCAAACAACAAUCAUAAAAGCAGAGAGAGCUUAAAAGCCUCUAUCAAGGUGGACUCAUCAAGAUCAGCAAGUCACAGCAGGUAGAUUUGACUAACUACCAGAAUGCUUCAAAACAUUGCGCUUAGAGUUGAAUGUUGGAAGAUACUCCGCCAAGUUUUGUGCAACUUCAUUGCUCAAACAGUACACCCCUUCCUUGGCUACCUCAAAAAUAUCUUCGUGACGGCAAGAUUUCUUUUGUUUCAUACGUAAUAUAUUAGUUAUUAAAGUGGUUAGAAGUCAAAAUUGAGUAGUGAAAGAAGAGAAGCAUAUCUAAAAUUACCAGAAUUUUUGAACCAAAACAUGAAAGUGAUGACCAACAGCUGCGAAAACUCCUCAAUUGACCAUUGUCUUCAUGGAUAAAAAGCCAAAAUCAAGGAAAAGUGAGCCAGAAAACCAUCAUAUAUGACUCCGAUGGAGCAAUUACUAGUCAAAUAGUUCAGAUAAGUAUGCAAGUUCAUUAUCAAGAGACGAGGUAAAAGUUCAGUCCCCUUAGAAUCACAAUUUUAAACAGAGUGAGAUGACUUUAGCAAUAAUGACUUAAAAUCCACAGAAACAGAGCAUGUAAAAUAAACAAAACUAGACUGCUAGUUGUUCUAAACGUUGAUAAGCAAUUUGUAGGAAACGCAGGCCAAAAGUUAUUGAGGUCUAGCCAUAUAGAUGGUGCUGAAGAAGAUUCAAAUUUUGACCUCUGUUCGUGAAGCUAUUCUUCUAUCGAUCCUACAAAAACAAAGCAUAGAACAGAAUAUGAACAGAGAUACAGUAAAACAUCAAAGCACGAAACAGAACAGGUGCUUGGGGUCAUUCUAAUUGAUAGUUACAAGAGUAUUACUAUUAUGUUGUAAGGAGUAAAUGAAGAGUACCAAUAUUUUGGACCCGAUAAGAAAUGCUAAUGCUGCAGCUUUGAAAGAUAAUAAAAUAAGACGAACAAAAGGGAGAACAGAAAAUUGUGAAAAUAACCAUGUGGACUUUUUAGGUUUUCUCGCGAGAAGGUUAAUCAGAGGGGGAGGUGAAGAGAAGGGGAGAUUGAUUGUAAAGCAAAUUAAGAAAGUAGGUAGGAGGCAAUCUUACAUGAUUGAAUUUGAUCUGAGAUGAGUGGUUAAUCAUCGGUUAUGUGUAGGUAUUGAAUGUGAGAAACUUUGGACCACUGGGAGUCGGGGCUGCUGCUCUCAGGAGUGCAUCUUUCUUUUAACACAGGAGAACCAUAAACGUGCAGACAUUUUAGUUUGGUGAGACUUCUCAUGGCAUCCUCAGAGGGUAGAUGUCCAAGCUCUUUGAAAUCAUAUAAAUAUAGUUCUUCAAGAGCAGCGAAGUUUCCGAACCAAUCUGGCAGAGCUUUUAUACCUCCAAAGUAACCUAGCGCGAGUGACGUGAGAGCGGUCAAGUAUUGGAUCUGAGGUGGCAGGGACUCCAUGUGUGGCAACCCAUAUAAGUAUAAUUCACGGAGUGCGGAUGAUGAAGAGGAGGAGGAGGAGGAUAUCAAUCCAGACCAAUCAAACUCAUUGUAAAUUGAAGAAUUUUUAUGAUCAUCACCAUCAUCUAAGAAGGGACCAAUUGUAAGCUCCCUUAAGCUGGUUAGGAAACCAAAUCCUUUGGGCAUCAUGCUUGUUUUCAGUUUGCGACACCACAAUAAUUUCAGCUUCUAGAGAGAAGGCGUUUGUUGCAAAUCAAGCGGAAAGGAGAUAAGAUUGUCGCAACAAACCACCGAAGCUUUUGGAGAGAGGCACAAGAGUGUAGCAUGUCACCUGGCAGAUUCGUCAACUCAUCGCACUCAUCAAUCACCAGCUCUUUAAGAGACGUAAAGUUUUGCAGGGGAAGGAGUUCUCUGCAUCUGUGGCAGCAAUUAAAUUCCAAACACGCUAACUUGGGGAGUGUUGUUGGCAAAUCCAUUAACCAUCGAGGAAAUUGAUCGCCCAUAAAACGCCAAAUUACCAACUCCUCCAAAUUUGGGUGGGGUUGAAGGCCAUCCAACACAUCUUUGUCGUUGUAGUUGUCGCCUUGUUUUUCGCGGAGCAAGGCCCACUCAAAUCGCAAACUAAAUAGAUUAGCCUUUUCAAAUAGUUUUGCUUCCUCAGCUCCUUCCUUAUCCUUUACUAGUUCCAGAUUGCGUAUCUCCAAUUUGCCUUUGAGGUUCUUCAAGCUUCUAAGCUCUCCAAUUUGUCGACCCUUCACUCGACCCACUUUAAAGAACUCUAGUGUCUGAAGGCAUUUGAAAUUCUUCAGCAAGGGUGUAAAAGUGGAGAUGUCUCAAGCUAAUCAAAUCGCACAUCCCCUUCAGAAGAACCUUAAGAGCGGAUCUGUUUAGCCUCAGUGUUUGCAAAUUAUAAAGUUUGCAAACAGAUCCCGGCAAAGUUUCAAUUGCAGAACCCUCAAAGUUGAUGUACCUCAAGUGUAUCAGUUUGCCAAUUGAGAUUGGCAGAUUCAGUUUUUUACACGAGACAAAUUCAGAACGUACAAAUUCCUCAACUUCGUUAGUAUAUCAUCAGAUAAGCCACUCCGAUUUAGAAACAAUGUAUGAAGCAAAUUUGAACGACUCUCGAAAAGAUUUAUUGUGCCUUCUCCAAAUGAGUCUAUUACAAGACAACGAACCUGAUUACCAUUGUCUUCUGAACCAGUUCCGAAUUAAUGACUUUAGUAGACUUUGACAUUAUUGAUUUUGCGACGUCGUGCACCAUAUCAUGCAUUUUAUAAUACCUUCUUCUCCCACCGUAAUUUAUUUCUUCCAGCAAAGAACUCUGCAAUAAAAUUUCCAAGUAAUAUUCUCCAAUUUCCUCCAUUGUUUUGUUCUCAUUGUUUUUGUUCUCCAUUGUUUUGUUCUUGAGAUCUACUUGAAGGAAGCCUUCUGCCAUCCAAAGUUCGAUCAGCAUAUCCUCUUCCAUCUCAGUAUCCUGGGAAAAUAGAACAAUAUGCAAAACAUUUCUUGAUGGGCGCGAUGGUAGAUUAUCAAAACUCAACCGAAGUAUUUGCAUGGCUUCAUUCAAAUUCAAAAGUCUAUCCUGACAGGUGUCAAGCCUGUGCAAUAAUAAAUACCUGCUUAAAUAAAAUAUAAUUUCUGUAGAUAGUGAUAAGUGGUCGAAUCCACAGGGACUGGGGAUAAUUUAAUUUCUUCUCAAGUUCCAGAUAUGGGGGUUUUUGAAAAUGAGAGUAACUAAAUUUAUUGGAAUAAAUUAAAAUAAAAUAAAAUAACUACAACUCAAAUAACUAAUUAUCACAAUAAAAAUAAUAAUAGACGAACUCUAGCCAAGAGACAACUUUGGAGAUGGUUUACUUAAUUCGAUCACAGAUGCAAGGAUUAUUCCAGUUAUUAUCUGAUAAAUUAGUUAUAGUUGUCAUACACGCGAUAAACAACUAACUCUUCCUCAAUUUGUCGAUAGCCAAGGUACGACCGUUGACUAUUUCUCUAAUCAGGAAACAACCCUAGGUACGACCAUAGAAGUUCAAUUCCCUAAUUGCAUGAAUAAUUAGAAGAACCUAAUUCUAACCAAUCAACACGCUACGAGGGUCUCUUUAAGUUAGCCUGUCUAUCUCCCUGACACAAACCCAAUCAUGUCAGUUGCCACCAGUUUAGAAUAAUUAAACAAUUACGGAUUUAACUACCAUAAUUGGCUUCAGGUUAUUGAAUUAAUCUAGAAUCCGGGCCCUGGAUAAUCGAAUAAUAAAAUAACUAUAUGAACAUAAAGCAGAAGAUAGACGAAUACCAGAAAGUAAUAGGAAAGCUAAAAUCGAUUAGAUCUCACAAUUUAAGUCGAACCAAAUCCUCCGUUGUUCUUGACUAGAAAAACUUAGCCACGUCUCAUGAGAAAAUCUCCACGUAAUUUAAUUGAGGUCCAGGCCAUCAAAGGAAUCAAGAAAGAAUAGAAAACUAAAACUAUAGCUAUCCUAAAACUAUUGAUAAAAACUCUCUGUACGUCCCUUUUCUCUUUUAAAGCCAAAGAUACAAAUGCUAUCUAGUCCUGUGGUCCCCGCACGAAUUGAGAGUCCAAUUCCAUUUCACAAGCCUCUGUACGUUUCUUUCCAAGAGCCCAAAUGACUCAUGCUUCUUAUCUCCGUGGUCCCCACGCAAUUGAGAAAAGAGUCCAUCCCCUGUAAUCCUUGUUUUUAGCUUCCUCUUACCUGUAAGACUCCUAGUACAAGUCCACCCUUUUCAGCAUAAAGAUAGGAAAUCCCCUUUUUGUAGCAUCCUGUGGAGCCAGGCUUGUAUUUCUUUUUAGAACUUCCCAUGUGUGGAGUGUUUUAUCAAUAAAGUCUCCUUUUUAGCACUUGUUUACUCUACUUCCUGUAAUUAGGGCCAAAUACCAAAUAUAAGUACAUUUCAACAAUUAAAACAAUAUUUGGCAAGGACAAAGAGGGAAAUUAACCAUAAAAUUAACAACAAAUUGUGCUCUAUCAAUUCCCCCCACACCUGAAUCAUGCUUGCCCUCAAGCAUGAGAACAGCAAUUGAACACCAAAAAUUCGACAACGGCUAUUGCUCUAACUAUCAUAUUGCCAAGAUAUCCAGAAAAACAUAUAUCAAGCAUCACAGUUAAGAUCCAAGAAAGACCACUCCGGUUAGCUCCCCAACCACCAACUCCUCCAAUUUAAAGCAAACUAAUCUAAGAAAAAGGAAUGGUUGCUCACAUUUAUCAGCAAAUGGUCCAGCUAUUAACCAAAAUCUCGACAUUAAGAUCACAAACCGGCAAGCUGACUUAUUCACAUACUAACACAAUCUUUACUUCACUUCUUUCCCCUUUUUUUUGUUCUUUCUUUUUUCUUUUUGUUCUCUUUUUUUUUUCUUUUUUUUUUUUUGAAUAACAAAAGACUUAGUCUAUAGCCCUUAGAGCCUUUUGACGCGAACUCCAACAUUUGCUAGAUGGAGGAGCCCGGUUACUCAGCUCCAAUUGCUACGGGACCACGUACUCAUAGCAACUACUACCUUUUGACACGAGAAUCGACACUUUAGGUGAAGAUCCCCGGUUACUCGGUAGUAGCAACUAGCGGAGCACAGUCAAUUCUUAUUUAUAACCAUAUAACACAAUAACUAAAAACAACACAAAAAUAGCAGCAGUCAGCCCAAAUUUCCAAACAUGGAGAACUAAAAUUAAUAAUUGGACCAAUUCACAUGAAAAAUGCCAACAAUCAUUCCCUAUGCCUAGAAAAGUUAACUAAAAAUUGGAAAAGUUAAGUAAUUAUUGAUAUUCACCAAAGAGAUGUUCCUGAACUCAACCACAUCAACUUGAUACAUUUUUAUUAAUAAACUUGGCAAUAACAGAAUUAGAGACAACAAUCCAGUAUCAAACUUGGUAUUCAAAUAAGAGCUGACCACUAAUAAAAGAAAAUAAAAUAAAAUAAAUAAACGAAAAAUAGAACAAAUAACAAAAAUAAAGGAAAACAUGUAAAAACUAAAAAUUAGAAAUACUAGCUGUACCACAGCUGUCCCCCACCUAAAUGAACAUUGCCCUCAAUGUGAUAAUGUAAAAGCAGAAGGAAUGAGAGGGGCAACGGUACUUCCCUGAAGUUGUCAAAACAGGGGUGGGUCGGGCGGGGUACUGCCCAAUUCUGCACCAUGUUAUGAGAUUGACGGUAAUGUGGGGCAUCCGAGUCUAUAGUCUCUUAACUCGCAUCUGGAGCUCGUGCCAUUCGUGGCCUCACCGUGGACUCUAGAUAUCACUCUAAGUAACAAGAGACUGCAAUUGCCACACAAGAAUGGAACGGCGGAAUUCAAAGCAAUAACAAUUUUAAAGCCAACCCAAUGAAUAAAAUGCACAAUUCAACCACCCAGAGGACAUACAAAUACCCCAACACUUAUAGCAAUGGCAAUCAAUAAGCACUUGCGGUCCCAAUGUAGUCAAUUUCAGAAUCAAUGCAGUCCAAAAGUGCACGAAUGCUCCUAAGAUGUAGGACUUGAAUUUAAGAGGCAGAAUACACCAAGCAAGUCAAUUAGGCACAAUCGAUUAGCAAUAAGCAAAGGAAGGGACACAGCAGCCUUCCAAUUCAACAAACAGACGCAGAAGGUACCCCACAAUACCAGAACACAGCUCCCAACAAUGCAACAAAACAACAACUCGAACAACUAAGAGCGGUGCUAGUGGCUAAUCAAAAUAACAAAUUCAGCAAUUGGACACAAUUCACCCAAAAUCUCAACAGCUGUCUCCAAUUGGACAGUCAAUUACCCAGUUCAACCUACUAAAAAUAGCAAAUGACCCCAGAGAGGAGGAAUUCCAGCAACCGAAGUGCAGAAUCCUGGCAACACUUUAAGCACAAGAGGCCAGUAGUCAAUUAGGCAGUCAAGCACUUAAGAUUAAGAAAUUGAGGCAAACUACUGCCACCAGUACCACUGGUAAAUGCUCAAGGAAAAAGUAAAUCAAAUGGCCAACCAAAGCCACUAAGAAAUACAAACAAUUUCAGACAGUACUCGAGAGCCCUAAACAAACGACAGUUAUAUCAAACCAGGCGAAUCAGCUGCAGGACAUAACUUAACCCACUGCUCCAGUACAGAUGCAACCAAACAAAAUUACUCAAUGAAAUCGCAAUCAUCAAAAUCCCAUCAACAUCAAAAAAUUGGAAUUGGGGACCAGAAAAUUAAUAAAGAAAACCUGGCACCAGGGAGGUUGGGCUGUUGGCGUGCGGCGGUGGUCGAAAGGGUGGCAAGCUGGUGGUGCUCGCGUGGUGGUGGCAGGCGAGGGAGGAGCGACGCGGCGUGUUGGUUGUGGGCUCGUGGGCUUCGGCUGGAGAAAGAGUUCGGCGAGGAGGCGGAGCGUGGGCAGGCGGCUGGUGGCAUCGUAUGGAGAGAGGCGCGGCGAGCCUUGGCCGCGAGAUGGUGGUGGAGCGAGUGGGUAGGAGGAGCUGCGCGCAGGUGAAGAUUCGGCCGUGGGCUGUGGGUGAAGUGGAGAGAGAGCAGAGGGAGCUUGGUGGCAACCUUGGUCUCUGUCGGCAGCUGUGGCGGCUAGGAGUUGCGGCAGGGAGGAAUAAUUAGGGAGGCGGCCGUCGACGGAAGUCUGUCAGCUUGGGCUUCGUCGACGAGCUGUGGCGGCGCGCGAAGAGCUGGUGGCACACGAGGUGAAGCUGGAGCUGGAGGGAGGCGCGGCUGAGGUCGCGCGGCUCAGAGGUGGAGAAAGGCGGAGAUCUAGCGGCUGGCGGUGGGCCUGUUACGCGGCGCGCGAUGGUGGCUUGGAGGCAGAGGCGUGCGAGUAAAAGGAAGAAUUGGGGAAACAGAGGCAGCGGGGAAGAAGGAAGAAAGAAAAGAAAGAAAGAAAGAAAGAAGAAAAGAAAGAAGGGAAAAAAAAUAGUUUUUUUUUUUGGGAGAUUUUUUUUUUUUUAUUGCACACUCAAAUUUCAAAACUCGAAUUGUGAGAACCAAAACUGAAGGUGUAAAACGGAAAAUGUUUUUUUUUGAAUUUUUGAAUUUUUUUUUGUUUUUAGGUCGUCAAACACCGCGUGGGCACGCCAAGAUUGUAAAACGUCCACUGACCAUGAGACUUGAAUUUAGACGCUUAACGCGUGCCCUCCUCGCGUGGGCACGCCAAGAUUACCUAUUCUGGUCAUAGUAAGAAAACAUCAAGAGUGAUUAGUACCCAAGUGAGAAACGACAUAUUUAAGAAAUUGAACACAAAAAUAACAAAAUCAACAUUUGGGUUGCCUCCCAAAAAGCGCCUUUUUUUAAUGUCUUUGGCUAGACAUGCUAUGCUUGUUCACGGAGGAUAAAAUCUUGUAGCUCGUUUCAAUGCUUCAUCUUCAAUGUGAUCCUGGUAACCCUCAUAGAUGGAGUAAUCUUUGAGCACACGAGCUACGGUCUUCCAUGGACUAGUUGAUGGCGCCAAAUAAUCAAGCAUUGAUCGCAAUUCUUCAUCCACUCCUCCAUCAAGAGCAUUCGACGGUUCAAGAUAUUUGACCAUAGCUACUCUUAAUUCAUUCCUGCCAUGAGACUCAAGAACUUCUGGUAUAACAAAAUCAAUCUCAUUAACAGAAAUCAUAGAGUAAGAGUUAAGAAAAUGCAGGUUAGGGAAUGGAGGUGGUGUCACCACAUUUGCUGAUUCUUCACUGGAUUCUUUCACUUGAAUGGGUUGCAGUUGGGGUUCCAUUUCUUCCUUUUCGAUUUCUUUUUCAACUGCAUCUGUACAUCUCUCUUCUUGAAAAUCUUGCAGCUCCUCAUCACUAGUCAGGCAAAUUGCACUCUCAUUUUCUUCAAAAUCAACAAUGGUUUUCGAGGGCAAUUCUUCAAAUUGAGAAGCCAAUCGAUUUAUUCUGGAUGUCAAUAGACACAUUUGAUCUUCCAGAUUACUCAUUGCCUCCUUCAUCAUCUCAUUUCUCCUUUGUGUCUCCUGUUGGAAUUGAUAUGUAUUAAUAGCUAUUGAUUCAACUAUUUCUUCAAGAGACAUACCUGACACAAAAUGAUGAUUCUUGAGACUCAUACUGCUGAAAAUUCAUUGGCCCUGUUAUAUAAUUAUAACUGGAGUUAUCCCACCAUCCUUGAUCAUACCCGUUUGGAUUAGGGUUAUACCACGUUUGAGACCAGGGUGAAAAAUCUCCAUAAUUAUUGAGUGGGACACUCAAAUUAUCUUGAUAUUCGGGGCACAUACCAGUUGAAUGAUCCCUGGCAUAACAAAUUUUACAGGUUGCAACAGCCAUUCUUUCUCUAAUAGAGUUUCGUGCCUCUGAAUAUGCAAACUUAGCAAAAAAACUAGCCUCAUUGCCUUCCCUGGAAACAAAAUCCAGUCUAUCACCAAAAUACGGAGUGUUAGAAGCCAUAAACUAUAUAAAAAAAAGAGAAAAAUAAAUAAAAAAAAUAAAAACAAGAUGAACUCAAAAAGAAACAAAUUAAUCUGGCACCAGUCCCCGGCAACGGCGCCAAAAAUUGACAGGUGUCGAGCCUGUGCAAAAAUAAAUACCUGCUUAAAUAAAAUAUAAUUUCUGUAGAUAGUGAUAAGUAGGGUCGAAUCCACAGGAACUGGGGAUAAUUUAAUUUCUUCUCAAGUUCCAGAUAUGGGGGUUUUUGAAAAUGAGAGUAACUAAAUUUAUUGGAAUAAAUUAAAAUAAAAUAAAAUAACUACAACUCAAAUAACUAAUUAUCACAAUAAAAAUAAUAAUAGACGAACUCUAGCCAAGAGACAACUUUGGAGAUGGUUUACUUAAUUCGAUCACAGAUGCAAGGAUUAUUCCAGUUAUUAUCUGAUAAAUUAGUUAUAGUUGUCAUACACGCGAUAAACAACUAACUCUUCCUCAAUUUGUCGAUAGCCAAGGUACGACCGUUGACUAUUUCUCUAAUCAGGAAACAACCCUAGGUACGACCAUAGAAGUUCAAUUCCCUAAUUGCAUGAAUAAUUAGAAGAACCUAAUUCUAACCAAUCAACACGCUACGAGGGUCUCUUUAAGUUAGCCUGUCUAUCUCCCUGACACAAACCCAAUCAUGCCAGUUGCCACCAGUUUAGAAUAAUUAAACAAUUACGGAUUUAACUACCAUAAUUGGCUUCAGGUUAUUGAAUUAAUCUAGAAUCCGGGCCCUGGAUAAUCGAAUAAUAAAACAACUAUAUGAACAUAAAGCAGAAGAUAGACGAAUACCAGAAAAUAAUAGGAAAGCUAAAAUCGAUUAGAUCUCACAAUUUAAGUCGAACCAAAUCCUCCGUUGUUCUUGACUAGAAAAACUUAGCCACGUCUCAUGAGAAAAUCUCCACGUAAUUUAAUUGAGGUCCAGGCCAUCAAAGGAAUCAAGAAAGAAUAGAAAACUAAAACUAUAGCUAUCCUAAAACUAUUGAUAAAAACUCUCUGUACGUCCCUUUUCUCUUUUAAAGCCAAAGAUACAAAUGCUAUCUAGUCCCGUGGUCCCCGCACGAAUUGAGAGUCCAAUUCCAUUUCACAAGCCUCUGUACGUUUCUUUCCAAGAGCCCAAAUGACUCAUGCUUCUUAUCUCCGUGGUCCCCACGCAAUUGAGAAAAGAGUCCAUCCCCUGUAAUCCUUGUUUUUAGCUUCCUCUUACCCGUAAGACUCCUAGUACAAGUCCACCCUUUUCAGCAUAAAGAUAGGAAAUCCCCUUUUUGUAGCAUCCUGUGGAGCCAGGCUUGUAUUUCUUUUUAGAACUUCCCAUGUGUGGAGUGUUUUUAUCAAUAAAGUCUCCUUUUUAGCACUUGUUUGCUCUACUUCCUGUAAUUAGGGCCAAAUACCAAAUAUAAGUACAUUUCAACAAUUAAAACAAUAUUUGGCAAGGACAAAGAGGGAAAUUAACCAUAAAAUUAACAACAAAUUGUGCCCUAUCAAUCCUCCAAAAUUGAUCGCCAUUUGUCUUUCCUCAAGCGCAGCAAACCACCAAGUACACUUGCCACUAGUGGUAAUCCAUUACAUAUUUGUAUAGCUCUGUCUUUAAUUGCAUCCAAUUCAUUAGGUACUUCUUCGCCGUCAACUACUUUUCCUUUUAGGAUAGACCAACAAUGAUCACCAGGGAGUCUUCCUAAGGGAUAGCCUUCAUCUGCCACUACACGCGAACGAGUAGUGAUUAGACACCAGCUUCCUUUGGGUGGAUUGAUUGGAUUGAGUCCCUUCAAGGUGGCGAAGAAGUCAUCCCACAUUGCCUGAUUAUCAUCCCACACAUCAUCAAGAACUAGGAAAUAUCUUUUUCCCCCCAGUUGAUUCCGAAUAUUUCCAACGAUGAUAUUCCUAUCAUCCACUUCAAAAUUUUCUCCCGUCAAUUGCAAUAAAAUGAGUUUGAAAAGCUCCACUAUUGGAACUUUUUCGAUACACAAACCCACAACUUUUUGUUAAAGUGCUCAUCAAUUUGCUGUUUGUUGUAUAUCGAUUUAGCCAAAGUUGUUUUGCCUAGACCUCCCAUACCAUUUAUGGGAAGAACAGAAACAACCUUCUCAGUUGGUCUCAACAACAUCUCUAGUAUAUCUGAUUCAUCAUCGGCUCUUCCAAUCAUUGGAGCGACACUAGAGUCGGUCUGCGAUUUGUUAUAUCUCCAGCAGCAGGGAGGGCAACUGCCACGUCUGACCUACUGACCAGUCCCAAAUUCCGGGCUUGUUGAUUGAUAUCAACCAGCAUAAGUUUGAUGUCCCUGACCUUAGAAGCCAUUCUCCAACGAAAAGCAAGAUUAAUGUUAGAGAAUGAGAAGAAGCAGCAUACCUUGAGCUUGUGUCGGUUUCGGGACUCCACCUUGUGGCGGAGAGAUUCAUAUUUGAGCUCAUCCAACACAUUUGUAGCAUCAUAAGCAACCUCCUCGAGACACUCCAACCAUGCUUGCACCGCUCCGUCCUGGUUUUGCUUUGCUUCAGCAUCGGCCAAGACAGCAUUGAUCAGCCGGAGAGAACGUGUCAUACUGGCCACAUCCUUCUUGAACCCAACUAACAUACCAAUCCUAUCAGAGGCAAGAGACAGUGCCCUUUCCAGGGUGACCUUAACUGUGGAACUGAUAAGAGCGUCAGCCAUUUCUUCUUCCGUGGAUAUGCAACUUUGAGAUCAAGAUGGUUUUUUUUAUGGAAGGCUUUUUGUUGCCGGAAACUGGUAAUCUAUCUAGUCUAGCAGUAAUAGAAAUGGUUAUGAAGAAAUGAGCAUUGAUAGUAGUACCAGUGUACGUAAUUUUUUUUUUUUUUUUGUGUGUGAACAAAAUAUCUCCCAUGGUUGUUCCAACCAAGAAAGGACAAUUAUAACUGCUGUCUUGGCAACAUGUAUCACAUUGCAGUAAAUAAUCCUUAGCCUUCUAAAUACAUUUUUUUAAAUCUGAUCGAUAUUUUUCUUUUUUGAAGCAAAAAUCUGAUAUUGUUGACGAUUGAGCUUUACAUAAUUUAGGAUUGGAGCGCCGUAAAUGAGGGUCCACUUUACAUUCUUAAUUUUUGCUAACAAUACUUUUUGUGAACUGGAAAAUAAGCGUGUUUGUUAUAAAUUAUAUAUUUUUAAUUUCAAACUAAAAUUCAAAAACAAAAAAGUGAAUACGUGUUCAAUUACACUACAACGUGCUCCGCUGGUUAUAAAUUUAAUCGUUUUGGGUAUAAUUUUUUCUUAUUACUUUCUUGUUUUAGUUGAUUUUGGAUAGUUUCAACUAUUUUCCUAGUUUUUCUUUUAUCUUCUUGGUUAACUUGCUCAUGUGAGUGAAUGCAUAGACUGGUUUUCCCAUCAAACUGGUGUAUCUGACUCUCUUGUGGGAACGGGGAACCCAUGCAUAAAUUUCAUUUUACACAUUCAUUGAAUUUUGCACUUUUGUACAUAUACGGGAAUAAGUCAUAUCAUACCAUAUAUAUACAUAAUAUAAAAUAGGAUUUUUUUAACGGAUGUCCUGUCUUGUUAACACAUCUAACAUUUAUCUGACAAAUACAUAUAGAGUAAUUUUUCCGCGUAGGCGAGGAGUUCUUCUCUGACAAAUUUGUAAGAUUUUGCAUUGGCAUGUUUACAGAGUAACUUUCUCAAUUAUUGUAGUUGUUGGGGCAUCAUGUUUUCUGAUUAAAUGCUGGGGCCUUCAGAAUUUUUGGUUGAGGACCAAUAUUUUGUUUUUGUCCACGAUCAAAUCGUAAAAAGGAGAGUGAGAUUCUGCUUUGGUUACAUGCAUGCCAUUAUGGUUAAUCCUUGGAAAAUGAAUUUAUGACAUACAAUAAUUUGGUCUGAAUUUUGUUCGGUUUUGGGAAGCGACCACACUGGAAGCAAUAAUAAUAAUGUUCUCUGUUUUCGCACUAGCUAUGAUGCAUUUUGCUUCUUGGCUUAGUAAUCAGGCUUGAGAUUUUAAAUUACCUUUUGUACUUUAGCGUUUCAAGUAUAUAACAUGAUCGGUAUGAAAUCCCUAGCCUUCUACUCCUCUCUUUAAAAUCUGAUAGUCUUUAAUUCAGAUCGGUAUUAAUCCUUUUUGUUAUAUUAUUUCUUAUUACUUUCUUUUUCUAGUUGAUUUUGGAUCUUUUUUAAUUACUUUCUAACUUUUUUCUUUAGCUUUUGCGGACGCGGACAUGUAUACUGGUUUCUCCUCAAACUGGAUGUCUCUCAAUCUCUCUUUUGUGGGAAUUCAACGUACUUUUAAGAUGAAUUUCAUUUUGCCAUUAUCAAGUUUGCACUUAAAGAAUUAAAGUUCAUAUGGGGUUAAGUCAUACUAAUUUCAUAUCUUUGACAUUUAUUUAUCACAAACCUCAAUUCUUCUUUCGUCUAGUGUUUCAUUCCUAUAUCAACUCUCCUAUCUCAAUUUGGCGCAUCGCUUUGCACGUAAGAAUUCAAAAUUUAACCACCAAUUAAAUCACUUGGGAUUCUCGUGACAUGUUUUCUAUGCCAACUCAAUGCUACCUAUAGUAUUGCGCCAAGUGUCCUGUUAUUAUUUACACUUGUGUUAAACCAAACCAAGUUAAAUUAUUAGAAAUUAAAAUAUAAAUAAUAACAGGACACUUGGCGUAAUAUUAUAGGUGGCAUUGGGUUGGCAUAGAAAACAUGUCACCGAGGAUCCCAAGUGCCAAUUAAAUAGUUUUCCUCGCAACUUGUCCCGUUUGGAUUGCUAUUUUUAGGAAUUUUUUGUAGAAAAAUAUACUGUAGAGAUUUGAUGUAUGUGAGGUAAAAAGGUGAUUGAGAAAUGUAUUUAUGGAAAAAAUGUUAGUUUCCUUUUCUCUUCUAUUUCGAAUUUCUCCCAACUUAUGUUUCCUUGUUGCAAAUCUUGCCAAACUUUAUAAGAUAUGUCUUAUCAAUUUCUUUGAUACCUGAAACACAAGAAAUUUCUCAUUCCUUAUGUGUAUUCUUGUUUAAUUAUUUAAUUUGGUUCCUGAAACACAAGAAAUUAGUAAGAAUUUAGAUCCAAUUUGGUGCAACGCUUCUUUGACAAACUGAAUCGGAUGCUUCUGCAAUGGAAGUGUUUUUUUUUUUUAUAACAACAAUAACUUUUCCUACAACCUAAUUUAUUCUAUUCUGCAGGGAGGAGGAACCUAAUCUAUUCUAUUCUAUAUGGAGGGAAGCCUAAAAAGAUUAUACUAUACGGACCUGACUCGAUCAAAGAGUUAAUUUGACAACUCCAUUAAAUUUUUUUCAUUAUAUAUAGAAUUUGAACUCCAGAUUUACAAUCUAAAAAAAAAUUAAUCUCUUUUUGGUUUCCACAUAGCCAAAGCUCAGUUGGCCCAGUGGUUGCAACUUGCAACGGCAGUUGCUUGGCAUUUUCAAUUCACCUUUCUUUGUAGUGUAGUAGUUGUCGGGAUUCUUCAUCUGCCUUUGAUCCACAUUCCACAUGCUUGGGGGGGCAUCGGAUGUGGAAAAUUCCACCCAAGAAGGAAAAGAAACCGUAUUGAAUGAUGAAGAAAAGAAAAUGGCAAUCAUCAUUGAGACUCUAAUAAUUGCCAUGGAGAAGUUUGCCUGGCAAUUUCACUUGGCUUUAUUGAUCAAUGCUUAGCUGGGUAUUUCAUCUUUUUCUGAUUGAAAGCUGGCUGGGCCUUUGGUUGUGAAAAAUAUCUCAAUGGUUCGUCGGAGUUGUGGUUUGAUCCAAGACUGACCCCGCGCAAAAAAAAAGAAGAAGAAGAAAGACUAUGUUCAAUGAUAAAAAUGUAAAGGAGAAAGAAGAAAUGACAACCAUAGCUGGUGACUUUGCAACAUUAAUUGCCUCAGCCAUUAAUCCUUGGGAAAUGCCCGACCAGGGUAGCUCACCUGGUGGUGUAGUCUCUAGUUAGAGCAUCCACCACGGUUCGAGUCCCUGUAACAAAAUGGGAAAAGACCCAACAACCCAAAUAAGGGUUGGGGCCUGAAGUUGGGCCAGGCCCUUUUUUUUGACAAAAAAAAAAUUAAUCCUUGGGAAAUAGACUAAAAACGUUAUUUUGUGGGGGAAAACUUAAGAAAUAAUCCGUAUCAGGUUUGGCAUGUAGCGACAUAAUUGGCCAAUGGUUGGGUGCUUCUUAGCUUUUACACUUGUGAAAUUGCCAAAUCAGUCACUCGUAAUUCCACAAGCUUUCUGGCACUUUAAAAAUUCAAACAUUUUGUUUCAAAAUGUCUUGUUUAUGUACAGCAUACAAAAUUUAAGUGGUGAAAGUUUAAGGAGUUUCUUUAUUACUAUUUUUUUUAGAGUACAAUAUACAAUCAACUGAAGUUAGAAGUGAAAUAGACCUUUAGCUCACACUAUGAUUAUAAACUUUGACUAAAUUGGAUGUUUUGGAAAGGGGGAAAUGAGCGUGUUCUUGUGGAUUUCAAUUUUUACAAUUGAAUUAUUUGCCUAUGAUAUGAUCACAAGUUUAACUUAAAUGGAGUUGCGAUGAUAGAAGAUUCUCGAAAGAAGACUUCAAAAGGUGGAAAUUGAAAAUGAGUGGAAAUUAAUGGGGAAUUAACCAAUUAUUUGGAUACCUAUUUUUGAAUCUGACUCUUUUAUAAUUAGUUUCUCUUAUAGUUUUUCUCGCUCCUAACAAAUUUAUCUCAAAAGAUAAAUUUGAAUUAUUUGUUCUUAUGGUUCCUCUCUCUUCUAACAAUAUGAUUAAUUUGUAUAAAUUUUUUUUCCAAUGGAUUAACUUAGUGUUAAAAAAAUUUUAACUGUUAGCUGAUAGAUUUAUCAAUAUUGCUGGAAAUUAAAUAUUUGUUGAUGUAGAAAACAAAUCACAAAAUCUAUUGUACUUAGUUAAGUAGGAACAUUGUCGCGCCCCACUUUUUGAAUGAGAUGAUGUGUGUGUGAAGUGAACGUGUGCAAAAUGAAAAGUAAAAAGGCCAUGGGACUUUGGAAAGCGACGAUUUGGCCAAAUGAAAUUUUAAAAGGGUUUUUUAAUAUGAAACGGAGUCGCACUUGGUAUAGAUUUGGGGUGUACCAAGUCACCCAAAAAAGUGUUUUUUAAAGACAAAGUAGUAAAACCCUUUUUAAAACGACUCCUAGUCCACGUAAGCCAAAGAAAAAGGUUCGGGGGUCACGUUUGACAAAGGGGAAGGCAAGGAUAGAAUCCAAGGCACCCCUUUGACCUAGCCAAGGCUAGUUGCGCGACUCAAACCAAUUUUUCCUAAUUUUUUCUACCCAAGGUAUGUAUCGCGUAUUGGAUAUGUCUAUAUGAAUGCAAAAACCUAGACCUAGGGGGACAUGGGGGAAAUUUCUCUUCAAAGGUUGAGUGGUGCCAAUCACAUUAAUUGUGAAGCCCAAUAAUGAUCCUUUGGAGAGGUCACGUGUAAUCCUAAAUGACGUAAAAAUGAGUGGAAUGCAUGCCAUGUGAAAGUGUGAGUUUGUGUGAAGUGAAAAAAAAUGAUAAAAAUACGAUAUAAGUGGAGGUGUGCAAAUGUCUUUGAAUGCAAAUAUAUACUCCAAGUGCAAGUGGGCAAAAAUGCAUGUAUGCAAUUUAAAGAAAAGUGCGAAAGUGUCGGUGUGCAAAUGAAGAUGAAAGUACUCGUGUGCGAGUGAAGAUAAAAGUGUUCGUGUGCAGGUGAAGAUAAAAAGUGUUCGUGUACAAGUGAAAAAAGUGUUCGUGUGCAAGUGAAAGUGAUAAAAAGGUGCAUGUGUGCAAGUGAAAGUGAUAAGAAGGUGCAUGUGUGCAAACGAGACAAAAGUGAAAGUGUAAUGAUAGAGUGGAUUGAGAAUGCAUGAGUCUAGGGAAUUCAUGCAUAUUGGGUACGGGGAGACCUAAAUCGUGACUUGAUUUUCCCUUUGAUUAGAAGGCGAAACUAGCGUGCUAAGGCUAUCGAGUAGCCACACUCGCUCGUUUCCCUUAUCGGAAGGGGACUCUCAUGCAAAUGUACCCUAUAACUAGUAUGAAAUGCAAAAAUCCUAAAAUGAGGGGAAAAGGGGCUCGAGGAGCAUGCCAGAUGAUAAAACUAAGGAAAAAUGCAUGAUAUGUAGUGAACAAGCAAAUGAUAUGCUAAUGAGGGGAAAUCCCUAAGGGUCUAGCGUUGGACUAGCCCAUUCUAUGAAUUCCGACUAGCGUUGGACUAGCGGAAACGUACAUUCAUCCAUUCCAUUCAUUCAUGGCUAUGAAAGCAAGUAGACAUGCCAAAAUACUCGUAAACACAUAGCACAUAGCAUUUAGCAUGCUCGACUAGAUGCAAGAGCCUAAUAAAGCAAUUAAACAUGUAGCAACAAAAACAAGCAACCAAGGGGAAGGGGAAAUGGACCAGGUGCUCUCCGAGCGCUAUCUAUUACAAGCCAAGAGGUGUACACAUACCCCAUAAAAGCAUAAAGGGGAAGGGGAAAUGGACCAGAUGCUCUCUGAGCCCUAUCUAUUACAAGCCAAGAGGUGUACACAUACCCCAUAAAACUUAAAUAAAAGUAAAAGCAAGUAAACGCAUGCAAGGAGGUAAGGAAAGCGAAGUAGACAGGCAUAUUCACAUAACACAUAGGAGCACGUAGGGUCAAAUGAAGUGCAAAUGAGGGAUAGAGUGUACCUCCCUUGAAGCGACGCCCUAACGUAGUAAAAUUACUAACUUACCCUCCAAAAUAAUAAAAAGGUCAAGGUACCACUUAAAUUAUCAAAUAAAUCAGAGAAAAUGGAAAUAAAUGCCAAAUUGAAUUACUUGAGGCAUUCCAAAGAAAGUAAACUACUCGUACUUAACCAAUUAAGACAAGCAACGACCCAAUUGAGAAAUUAAAGAGGUUUAAAGAGCCAAUUUAUUAUUAUUAUAAACACUAAGGGACUUGAAAAAACAUAAAAUAAAAUUAAGAAUCUAAGGUGAAACAAUACCAAAUCAAACGAGAAAUUUCACAAAAAGGUAAAUGAGAAGCAAUUUACUAGUAUCUAAGUAACAAAAUGCCAAAGAAUCCAAGAAAAAUCAAAUUAACUACAAAUCUAGGAAAAAGAUAUUACUAGACCCUUUAAAUCCACUCUACAACCCCUUAAGUAUCCACUCAAAACAAAUCAAGAAGUAUUAAAGAGGAAACGGCAUGUUAGGAGGACAAAAUUAAUUAAGUUUUCCAAUUAAUUGGGCUAUGGAAGCAUUAGAUGGAAGCCAAGGGGUUGGAGUGCAAUUUGUGGAAGUUGUUUUCAUGCAAAGCAUGCAUACGAAGAGGAUUUUCUGCAAUGAAAACCAUUCAACAACUUUGAAACUUUCUUCAAUUUUUCCAUUUAGCCUUGGAAAACAAACCAAUGAACUUGACAACUCAAUAUUGAAUGCAACAACUUGGAACUAGGGGAAGAAGAAAGGCACGGAAAAAAAACUGCAAUGGAAUGCUGUGAUCAUUUGCCUAAAACAGGUUUCCAAGAGGAUAAAAAUCUGGCAGCUACCUAUCUGUAAUGCAAUGAACACACGCAUGUUUUGUCAAUGGAAACAGCCACCAAGACUUCACUUGUUAAUACGUCCCUAAAAUCUUUCAAACAACUAUUGAACAAGCUCCAUGAUUACACAGAAAUGCAAGGAAGACAGCUACUGGAAUGAAUAUAAAAAAAGAAAAAAAAAAGUCGCAAGCAUUGGAACCAUUCCUGCAUUUUCCUGUUGCAGCUCUUGCCGCAAACUCCUCUGGGGUUUUCUUUGUGUUUUAAACAAUUCAUGCACCAGUCAUUCGACACAGGAUUGAUCAUGCAAACAGAGGAAUGAAAUCCAAUUUGUGAGCUGCUGUGGGAGUCAAAACAUGAAAGCUAACGCAGCUUCAUGCAAAAUAUCAUGAGAAGAGUUUCUGCAAUUUCCUUUGCUGCAUUACUUUACUUUAGCCGAAUUGUGUUCGUGUGCCAAAAGCUCCUACAGACUUCCACUAAUUUGACUGCCAGAACCCAACUACAUGGACUUCAGCAAAAACAGCAAUUUUACCCACUGAAUGCAGCUAAAAUGCAGCAAAUUGCAGCAAAAGACACCACUUCCGUCUUGCUGCAAUUCACCCACGAAACAUGCUCAUACAUCAACUUAAACCCAACCUACCAAGUGUAAUGCGCAAAAUGCAGUAAGGAAGCGUGAACUAGCUACCAGAAAUUCCAACCAUGAUAUCCAGCAAUUCCAAUCAUGAAGCAUGCAAAAUGGAAACCAGAAAUUCCAACCCAUUCCCAAACCAAAGAAGACCAUGAUAUUCAAGCCUUUCAUUGCAAAAAAAACAUAAAGGAAACGGUACUCAAGGAAGCACUUAAAACUUAGACAUGACAACAAUCCUGAAACUUUUUGCAACUUUCUGGUCUUGUUCAUUCAAACACCACUCAUGGCCUCAAUCAAUGAAACAUGAAUCAGAAUUACAACGUGGCUGCGCAUUUUCCAGAUUCGAUUUUUACCCUUGUUGCGUUUAUUCAAUGUAAUUUUCCAUCCAAACACUUCUAAAACUUCAACCAAACAUCAAACUUCGAUCUUAAGCCAGAAAAAAACAACCUUCAACGUCCAAACAAGCCAAAAUCAGCCCCAAAAUGCAAUCUUUUCUCAAUCAUUUUCUUCUUCAGUUCAUGGGAUAAUAUAAUCACUUUCUGGGCUCAUUACCAAACGUAAGAUCAUACGAAUCUAUUUCCAAGCUAACGAAAAUCAUGCUAUUUACACCGCUUAUCUCUAAAACCCAAUCAACAGAAUUGCACCAACCCAAAAAAGAAAACAACGGCAACCAGGGAAGCAACAAGUCAGCGAAAUAUGAUAAAAAACACAGAGCCCAGCUAACCACAAAAUGUCACAGGAUCAUGCCUUUUGGACUUUGGAUUCUCAUGGAUAUAGCAUUAAAGCAAGAAAAGGAGAAACAAAAACGAUCACCUGAAUUGCUAGGGCCGAAAGCAAGAGUUUCUGCUGAGUUUUCGUUUGAAGCUAAAACUGGAACGGUGGAGGCCGAACAGCUUCUUCCUCCGGAUCAAAGCUCCCUCUUUUCUCUUGUUUUUUAGGUUUCCUCUGCCCAGCCGAUAAUCAGCCCAAAACUUCCUUCUUUUCUUUCUGUUUCUCCUCGGCCCCGACACCCCUUGGCUCAGCUUUUCUCUCCUCCAGUUCGUCCAACUAGAUUUCAGCCCCACUCCCAAAACCUCCAGCCGCUAUCUCAUCCUAUUCUCAAACCUUCUUGACCCUAGUCGUUCCUCUACUCUCAUCUGGUUUCUCUCAAUCCUCCCCCUUUUCAGCUGCAAACCCUCAUUCUCUCUUCGUAGCCCCUGCCCAGUUUUCAGUUCUCUCUUACCUUCAGCUCUCGGUUUUUCCUUUCCGUCAACCCUCUCUUGGCUCCUGUGUUUUUCUUUUGCCGUUCUUUUUAGAACUCUCCCCCGUAUCCUCCCUAAAACUCCCUUGCGGCUGUCCAUCCUUUUGCUAUUUAUAUGGAACUUCCAACCCUAAACCUUCAGUCAGCUCUUCUAUAUUUACAGCCCAAGGGGCUGCCCGAAGUCCUCCCUUGCAAGCUGCAAAACGCAGCUUGCAAGUCGCGUUUCUUUUUUUUUUUUUUUUUUUUUUUUAACUUUCAACUUAAUAAAUACAGAAAUGAUAAAAUAUAAAUAAUAAUAAUAAAAAUUGACAAAAACCAAGUAAUAAUAAUGAAAAUAAUAAUAAUGAAAAUAAUUUAAAAAACUAAACAACUAAAAACAACAAAAAUGGCCAUUUUUCCAUCUUUUUUUUUGUUUCAUUUUUCAUUUUUUCCAUUUUUUUCAAGAAAGCAUUGAAUUUAAAUUACAAACGACUAAAUCAUAUUUUUUUGAAUGCUUUUUCUUUUCCUUUUUUUCUUUUUCAACAAAUUCUAUGAUAAAACUUAAAAAUAAAAAUAAAACUGGAAACUAAAAACUAAAAAUGAACACGACAAAUAAAAAAAACUAAAAAAUGAAAUUACACCAAAAAUUUGGUGUCUACAAACAUGUAACUAGGUUUAUGGUUAUUAUAAAAAUUGUAAUUAUCUAAAAAAAUAUCCGUACACAAAAGGUAGAAUAUCUAUUGAUUUUUUUAUAUGUGUUAUAAUAUUUGAUGAAUAUUAUGAUAUUAUAGUAAAAGUAUGUAAAGAAGUUUUUAAAAAUUAGUAUGAUAGUUAAGUAUAACUAUUACAUUAAUUUUCUAAAAUUAAUAUACAUGAAUUUGUAAGAUCAUCAUUAAUUUUUUAUUUAAAUUAUUCAUGCUUGCACGAAUUCAAAGUAAAAUAAAAAAAUAAACCAUGCCAAGGCACAUGCAAGAUGCUCGUUCAAAUUAAUGUUGUACACGUAUAGGAGUCACAAAACGGUUUGGUGCAUCUAAAGUAUUAGGACAAGUUUUACAUUAAAGCGGGAGAUUUGUAAAGCAAUUGAGCGAAAACAAAUGAGGGUGAGGAAAACUUUAUAUCAGUUGCAAUGCAUUCAUAAAAGCUAUGACACAUUCGUUAAAAUAAGAAAUAUUUUAAUUUGUGUGCAGUGUAAUAGCAAACCAAGGAAAAAAAAUAUGAAUGAUCCGUAAGAGGGAAAGAUGUCAUUUGACUUAAAAUAAAAGUGUGAUUGGAUAGAGGUUUAGUUGAACAAAAAGAUUAGAUUAAUAUCGUAACAAUUUUUGUGGCUUGAUAUAAUGUAUAUGAGAUACAAUGAUGGCUGGUAAAAUAAAAAAAUGAUUCAGGUAAAUAUAAAUAAUUUUUUUCAUAUAUUUGCGUAAUGAUGAUAAUGACAGGGGUGAAAACAAUGCAUGCAAAGACGAAGGUUGAUAAUAAUAAUGAUAACUAUGGUAAGAUAGAUAGCAAUUGCAAGUUGCACACCAUGCAAUUAGUAAAUGUUUUAGAUUAGGUAAAUUUGCACACCACUAUUGCAAAUAAUUCAGUCAAUAAGAGAGAGGAAAACACAAUGCACGAAAUCCAACUUUUUAGAAUUGUGUUAUAGUUUAACGAUGACUAUGUGGUGUUUUUGUAGACAAAUAAACAGAAAAACAAAUAAAUAUACAAAUUUGAUAAAGAAAGGUGCUUCUAUGGACCGAAACUAAUUGCUUUAGGUCCCAUUUUGCUAUUUCUUAAAGUUUUUAUAGGGACUUUUUCGUUUGGAUUGCUAUUUUUUGAAGUUUUUAUAGAAAGAUAUGUUGUAGGAAUUUAAUAUAUAUAAGAUAAAAAAUAAUUAAAAAAUAUAUUUAUGAAAAAUGUUAAAAAUUUUUUGUAGUAAACUGCAAUCGUAGCAUGGCUUGCGAUUUGAUCAAUAUGAAAUAAAAAAGUAACUGAGAAAUGUAUUCACAAAAAAAUGUAAAAAUUUUGCCUUAGAAAACUACAAUCCAAACAAGUAGUCUUCUCCCCAUUUAAGAAACGCAAUGAAAAUAUUUGUUGAAUAAUUAAACUUAUCCCUUCAUAAACCACUUAUACCGGGGGAAGAAUCGAUUUUAUGGUAAGGAGGGAGGCAGUGAAUGAAAAGUCUUGGGUUCGAUUCCUCCACUUACACAAAAAAAAAAGUAAAAAAAAAUCCACUUAUACUAGCUAAGAGUAUCUCACGUCUCAUGUUAUAUAUUAUUAAUCCUAUCCUAUUAUCCAAAAGCAUUUGUUGGAAAUUGCAUGCUUAAUUUAGAUUAAAAAAACAAUAAUGAAAUAUUUGUUGGAAAGAAGGAAAAGUGACGCAACCUUUCCAAUUUGUAAAUUCAAUUAGGCUAACAUGUAAACUAUUAAAGUGUAUCAGCAUGAGAGAAUUUAGUGCUUCAUCUGACGCUUGUAAAAUAGACAAAUGAAGUUUUGAAAUUCUAGCACUUUUGGACCAAUACUUUUUUUUAAGGCAAAACCAAUGCCUUAGGUAAUUACAAGAUCUCAUCUUGAUUUGCUGUUUUUCUUAUUAAAUGUUGAAUCUAGAAAAUCAUGUCUAAGAAAUAACUACAUAUACCCGGAAAAAAAUUUAGUGCUAGGAUAAAUAUACGGUUAAGUUAUGGAAAUUCUCUUUUCCAUUUUAGCAAUUUGAUUCUUUGGAUGCAUGAUUUUAUCUGUUAUAUUUGACUUCAAAAUAAGUUACUUUAGAAUGGUGUUUGGAUGUGAAAACAUAAUCUGUAAUUAUUCUCACCUACUAUUUAUUUUCUAAAGGUCUGUCCACUUUAUUCGGAUUUCUUAUGUCACGGCCCCACCUCCCCCUAAGGCGAACCAGAGGGUUCGGCGGGCCGCCUGCCCAGCUCUCGCCGGGACUCAGUCGCUCACUACAGUCCUCAACCCAAUUACAAUAUAAAUCUCAAAAUUUCAUCAAAUUCUCCAAUGAUUACAUAUUACAAAUGCAGCGGAAACUGAUUCCAAUCGUAGAACGUAUACUUACAUCCAUAUCAAUUUCAAAUAUUUAUACAAGACCAACUCGUACAUAAAAUAGAUCCAAACUUAAACUGUACACGAUAUAAGCCAUCCAGUCACGUGAAUAAGCACUCCAAGCUUUUCUUCGCCUUGAGCCCUGUGGGGGGGGAAAUAAAACAUUUUUGGGGUGAGCUAGAAGCUCAGCGAGUAACCAUUAAAAUCAGUAAUCAAAUCGGUUUCACAAUAUUUCUUUUCAAUGAUGUCAUAAAUCAAAUGAUAAGUCCAGAAACGAUUACAGCAUUUACAAAACAUUAAAUAUGGAGUAUCAAUAAUUCAAGAAACAUGUACAAUGGAAAGCGAUAGUAACAUUCAUGAAAGGAUACAUUCAUUCUCCUGACAUUUCCUCGCUCAUUUGAUCAUUUAUUUCAUUUCAUUCACCCCGUCCCUGGCUUUUGGCCAGGCUCCACCAACCUACAUAGGUAAUACUCGAGUAUACCAAACGUUCACCCAAGUUCCUAAUCGCCUGACCGAGUCCGCUUCUGGCUCAAGACGACCGGUAACAAGGGGCAAUGGCCAGUUCAGCCCAAAAGGCUUACAUUCAUGCGCAAGUAACAUUUCAAUCGAAAAUUUCACAUUUAUCGAGGUCGAGUGCGAUAAAGUACACACUCGCCUCGAAAACUCGUUUUGGAAAUCAUUAUAAGCGCUUAACACGUUAUCAACCAAAAUACAAGUCAUGAAGUCAAGAAAUAUAGCAAACAAGGCACACUCACAUGCCAGCACGCAUGAUAUGCAAGAAAACAUUUCAAAAGUAACUUUGGAAACAGUUCAAAAGUAAAUAAUGUAAGAAACGGAUCAUAAAUAACUUUAGAAGUAGUUUGAGGUCACUCACCUCCACGGCUCUGAAACCAUCCAUCAUAUAGCAUUGCCUUGCUCAAAUCCAAGUCUUAGAUCACAAACUCAAUGCAAACAAGUCCUUUCAAAGUUCGGACAGCACUUCCCCUAAAUCUUCUUACUUUCCCAGCCAUCAAGGCUUCAUGAUUUCCUCAUUCCAACCCAAAGGUACACACACAACAACAAGUUCAUCCAAUAACCAUUCAGCAAGCUCCAAGUGGUACUAGUACAAAUCAAGCUAAGGAAAAGUUGAAAGGAAGUUAAGCUCAAAACCAGAAAAAUAGUUUUGACGUCAUUUUGCGGUAAUGGCACAACUUGCACUACGAUUAUCGGAUUAGGGUGUAAGACCCACUCGAAGCUAUGAAACAGGGCUACAACAAUGUAGAAGGCCACUCAGUCCAAAUCCUAGCACAACUAGGUCAAAAAUGCAGAAAACUAACCCAGAACCGUAAUUGCAGGUUCCCAAAUCCACAAAACUGUAAUCAGUCCAUUCAGUCUAUACAGGUCCAAAUGCAUUGAUUCCAAAGGCAUAUGAAAGCUAAGACAUCAAGCUACAUUUCAUCAGAAGACACCAACAACAAAAUCCAAAUCAAUUCCAGUCAAAACAGACAAUUACUAUCGCAGUUCGCACAUUCUGUUCACCAAAAACAGCAACAGUAAAAACGGCAUAACUCACUCUACACUACUCCAAAUGCCCUGAAAUUUUGCAGGCACUUCAACUCAUCAAUACCUACAACUUUCAUGUUUUGAGCAAAGUCCAAUUCGGCCUCUAUCUAUGACCUAAAAUUUCGGACAGAAUAGAACCAAGAACCCUAAUUUUCCAGAAAUUCUUCAAAUCCAAAAUUGAUUGCAUUUUCUUAUCCAAUACACCUCAUAGAGUCAUUAUCAGCCAUUACCAUUCAUCAUACAAGGCCACAACAUCCCCUUCAUAUUAAACCAGAAAAAUUCCCAAUAAAAUAAAAACUUCACCAAAACUCUUCAAAUCAAGAAAUAAAUCAUAUAUUCUUCACUCAUGCCACCAUUAAGCAUCAUAUAACCAUCAUUAGGUGUAGUAGAGGGUUCAAGCAUCACUUACCAAGUAACAAGAGGUGUAGAGAGGUUGCCACCUUAGAGCUUCAAAACAACUUCACUAGUACACUUAUUAUCACUAAAAGGAAAGGUUUUAUGGAUUAAAAAUGGAUGUAAACAAAUGUUUUGGGUGAUUUGCACCAAGUAGAAGCUUGAAAGUUGAAGAGUUUCUUCUUUCUUCUUGCUUAAAGAGGGCCGGCCAUAAGGAGGAGAAAAAUGGUGAAUUUUGUGCAAUUUUUGGAUAUUUAAUCCUUUGGUCAAAAAAGUCAAGAAUGUGAAUAGUAUUCUUAAGGUCCAACCAAUAGGAAAGUGACACUUGUCACCUCCAUUAAAUGCAUUCUUAUCUUUCUUUUCUCUCUCACAUCAAUCACUUCACACACACUACUUAUCUCUUAACACCCGAUAAAUUUUAACCAGUAUCCGGAAUUAACCUAAUUGGCCGAAUUUUUCCGAACUUUUCGCACUAGUGGGUCCCACGUCCGUUAUAAACUCUUAAUUUCUCAAAAACUCUCCAAUACUAGAAAAAUCAUUUGAAAACGAUAUUUGCUCAUAAACUUUAUCUGGGGAAUUUUUCUAAUCAAGAAAAUGUAGAAAAGCGGGCGUUAAACAAAUAAACCCUAGAAAAGUAGAAAAUUUCCGGGUUCUCAAACUCAUUUUUUUUUCGGGGCGUCACAAUCUCCCCUCCUUAAAAGAAUGUCGUCCUCGACAUUCCCUCUUGUACCAAUCAAGUCAAGACAUCCCGCAAAAAUCUCUCAAGAGUCAAAUCAAACCCACAGUCCGGCAUCCUAAACUUCAAGCCUAGGAUACACUACAGAGAUCUGAAGCCUAAGCUCUGAUACCAAUUGUCACGGCCCCACCUCCCCCUAAGGCGAACCAGAGGGUUCGGCGGGCCGCCUGCCCAGCUCUCGCCGGGACUCAGUCGCUCACUACAGUCCUCAACCCAAUUACAAUAUAAAUCUCAAAAUUUCAUCAAAUUCUCCAAUGAUUACAUAUUACAAAUGCAGCGGAAACUGAUUCCAAUCGUAGAACGUAUACUUACAUCCAUAUCAAUUUCAAAUAUUUAUACAAGACCAACUCGUACAUAAAAUAGAUCCAAACUUAAACUGUACACGAUAUAAGCCAUCCAGUCACGUGAAUAAGCACUCCAAGCUUUUCUUCGCCUUGAGCCCUGUGGGGGGGGAAAUAAAACAUUUUUGGGGUGAGCUAGAAGCUCAGCGAGUAACCAUUAAAAUCAGUAAUCAAAUCGGUUUCACAAUAUUUCUUUUCAAUGAUGUCAUAAAUCAAAUGAUAAGUCCAGAAACGAUUACAGCAUUUACAAAACAUUAAAUAUGGAGUAUCAAUAAUUCAAGAAACAUGUACAAUGGAAAGCGAUAGUAACAUUCAUGAAAGGAUACAUUCAUUCUCCUGACAUUUCCUCGCUCAUUUGAUCAUUUAUUUCAUUUCAUUCACCCCGUCCCUGGCUUUUGGCCAGGCUCCACCAACCUACAUAGGUAAUACUCGAGUAUACCAAACGUUCACCCAAGUUCCUAAUCGCCUGACCGAGUCCGCUUCUGGCUCAAGACGACCGGUAACAAGGGGCAAUGGCCAGUUCAGCCCAAAAGGCUUACAUUCAUGCGCAAGUAACAUUUCAAUCGAAAAUUUCACAUUUAUCGAGGUCGAGUGCGAUAAAGUACACACUCGCCUCGAAAACUCGUUUUGGAAAUCAUUAUAAGCGCUUAACACGUUAUCAACCAAAAUACAAGUCAUGAAGUCAAGAAAUAUAGCAAACAAGGCACACUCACAUGCCAGCACGCAUGAUAUGCAAGAAAACAUUUCAAAAGUAACUUUGGAAACAGUUCAAAAGUAAAUAAUGUAAGAAACGGAUCAUAAAUAACUUUAGAAGUAGUUUGAGGUCACUCACCUCCACGGCUCUGAAACCAUCCAUCAUAUAGCAUUGCCUUGCUCAAAUCCAAGUCUUAGAUCACAAACUCAAUGCAAACAAGUCCUUUCAAAGUUCGGACAGCACUUCCCCUAAAUCUUCUUACUUUCCCAGCCAUCAAGGCUUCAUGAUUUCCUCAUUCCAACCCAAAGGUACACACACAACAACAAGUUCAUCCAAUAACCAUUCAGCAAGCUCCAAGUGGUACUAGUACAAAUCAAGCUAAGGAAAAGUUUAGAAAGGAAAGUUAAGCUCAAAACCAGAAAAAUAGUUUUGACGUCAUUUUGCGGUAAUGGCACAACUUGCACUACGAUUAUCGGAUUAGGGUGUAAGACACCGUCUCGAAGCUAAUGAAACAGGGCUACAACAAUGUAGAAGGCCACUCAGUCCAAAUCCUAGCACAACUAGGUCAAAAAUGCAGAAAACUAACCCAGAACCGUAAUUGCAGGUUCCCAAAUCCCACAAAACUGUAAUCAGUCCAUUCAGUCUAUACAGGUCCAAAUGCAUUGAUUCCAAAGGCAUAUGAAAGCUAAGACAUCAAGCUACAUUUCAUCAGAAGACACCAACAACAAAAUCCAAAUCAAUUCCAGUCAAAACAGACAAUUGUUAUCGCAGUUCGCACAUUCUGUUCACCAAAAACAGCAACAGUAAAAACGGCAUAACUCACUCUACACUACUCCAAAUGCCCUGAAAUUUUGCAGGCACUUCAACUCAUCAAUAUCUACAACUUUCAUGUUUUGAGCAAAGUCCAAUUCGGCCCUAGCUAUGACCUAAAAUUUCGGACAGAAUAGCAUGAACCCUAACUUUUCACAAUUCUUCAAAUCCAAAAUUGAUUGCAUUUUCUUAUCCAAUACACCUCAUAGAGUCAUUAUCAGCCAUUACCAUUCAUCAUACAAGGCCACAACAUCCCCUUCAUAUUAAACCAGAAAAAUUCCCAAUAAAAUAAAAACUUCACCAAAACUCUUCAAAUCAAGAAAUAAAUCAUAUAUUCCUUCACUCAUGCCACCAUUAAGCAUCAUAUAACCAUCAUUAGGUGUAGUAGAGGGUUCAAGCAUCACUUACCAAGUAACAAGAGGUGUAGAGAGGUUGGCCACCUUAGAGCUUCAAAACAACUUCACUAGUACACUUAUUAUCACUAAAAGGAAAGGUUUUAUGGAUUAAAAAUGGAUGUAAACAAAUGUUUUGGGUGAUUUGCACCAAGUAGAAGCUUGAAAGUUGAAGAGUUUCUUCUUUCUUCUUGCUUAAAGAGGGCCGGCCAUAAGGAGGAGAAAAAUGGUGAAUUUUGUGCAAUUUUUGGAUAUUUAAUCCUUUGGUCAAAAAAGUCAAGAAUGUGAAUAGUAUUUCUUAAGGUCCAACCAAUAGGAAAGUGACACUUGUCACCUCCAUUAAAUGCAUUCUUAUCUUUCUUUUCUCUCUCACAUCAAUCACUUCACACACACACUUAUCUCUUAUUAUCUUAACACCCGAUAAAUUUUAACCAGUAUCCGGAAUGUAACCUAAUUGGCCGAAUUUUUCCGAACUUUUCGCACUAGUGGGUCCCACGUCCGUUAUAAACUCUUAAUUUCUCAAAAACUCUCCAAUACUAGAAAAAUCAUUUGAAAACGAUAUUUGCUCAUAAACUUUAUCUGGGGAAUUUUUCUAAUCAAGAAAAUGUAGAAAAGCGGGCGUUAAACAAAUAAACCCUAGAAAAGUAGAAAAUUUCCGGGUUCUCAAACUCUUUUUUUUUCGGGGCGUCACAAUCUCCCCUCCUUAAAAGAAUGUCGUCCUCGACAUUCCCUCUUGUACCAAUCAAGUCAAGACAUCCCGCAAAAAUCUCUCAAGAGUCAAAUCAAACCCACAGUCCGGCAUCCUAAACUUCAAGCCUAGGAUACACUACAGAGAUCUGAAGCCUAAGCUCUGAUACCAAUUGUCACGGCCCCACCUCCCCUAAGGCGAACCAGAGGGUUCGGCGGGCCGCCUGCCCAGCUCUCGCCGGGACUCAGUCGCUCACUACAGUCCUCAACCCAAUUACAAUAUAAAUCUCAAAAUUUCAUCAAAUUCUCCAAUGAUUACAUAUUACAAAUGCAGCGGAAACUGAUUCCAAUCGUAGAACGUAUACUUACAUCCAUAUCAAUUUCAAAUAUUUAUACAAGACCAACUCGUACAUAAAAUAGAUCCAAACUUAAACUGUACACGAUAUAAGCCAUCCAGUCACGUGAAUAAGCACUCCAAGCUUUUCUUCGCCUUGAGCCCUGUGGGGGGGGAAAUAAAACAUUUUUGGGGUGAGCUAGAAGCUCAGCGAGUAACCAUUAAAAUCAGUAAUCAAAUCGGUUUCACAAUAUUUCUUUUCAAUGAUGUCAUAAAUCAAAUGAUAAGUCCAGAAACGAUUACAGCAUUUACAAAACAUUAAAUAUGGAGUAUCAAUAAUUCAAGAAACAUGUACAAUGGAAAGCGAUAGUAACAUUCAUGAAAGGAUACAUUCAUUCUCCUGACAUUUCCUCGCUCAUUUGAUCAUUUAUUUCAUUUCAUUCACCCCGUCCCUGGCUUUUGGCCAGGCUCCACCAACCUACAUAGGUAAUACUCGAGUAUACCAAACGUUCACCCAAGUUCCUAAUCGCCUGACCGAGUCCGCUUCUGGCUCAAGACGACCGGUAACAAGGGGCAAUGGCCAGUUCAGCCCAAAAGGCUACAUUCAUGCGCAAGUAACAUUUCAAUCGAAAAUUUCACAUUUAUCGAGGUCGAGUGCGAUAAAGUACACACUCGCCUCGAAAACUCGUUUUGGAAAUCAUUAUAAGCGCUUAACACGUUAUCAACCAAAAUACAAGUCAUGAAGUCAAGAAAUAUAGCAAACAAGGCACACUCACAUGCCAGCACGCAUGAUAUGCAAGAAAACAUUUCAAAAGUAACUUUGGAAACAGUUCAAAAGUAAAUAAUGUAAGAAACGGAUCAUAAAUAACUUUAGAAGUAGUUUGAGGUCACUCACCUCCACGGCUCUGAAACCAUCCAUCAUAUAGCAUUGCCUUGCUCAAAUCCAAGUCUUAGAUCACAAACUCAAUGCAAACAAGUCCUUUCAAAGUUCGGACAGCACUUCCCCUAAAUCUUCUUACUUUCCCAGCCAUCAAGGCUUCAUGAUUUCCUCAUUCCAACCCAAAGGUACACACACAACAACAAGUUCAUCCAAUAACCAUUCAGCAAGCUCCAAGUGGUACUAGUACAAGUCAAGCUAGGGAAAAGUCCGGAAAUGAAGUUUAGCUCAAAACCAGAAAAAGUUUUGACGUCACUUUGCGGUAAUGGCACAACUUGCACUACGAUUAUCGGAUUAGGGUGUAAGACCACCAUUUCGAAGCUAUGAAACAGGGCUACAACAAUGUAGAAGGCCUCUCAGUCCAACCUAGCACAACUAGGUCAAAAAUGCAGAAAACUAACCAGAACCGUAAUUGCAGGUUCCCAAAUCCCACAAAACUGUAAUCAGUCCAAUUCAGUCUAUACAGGUCCAAAUGCAUUGAUUCCAAAGGCAUAUGAGCUAAGACAUCAAGCUACAUUUCAUCAGAAGACACCAACAACAAAAUCCAAAUCAAUUCCAGUCAAAACAGACAAUUACAAUCGCAGUUCGCACAUUCUGUUCACACAAAACAGCAACAGUAAAAACGGCAUAACUCACUCUACACUACUCCAAAUGCCCUGAAAUUUUGCAGGCACUUCAACUCAUCAAUACCUACAACUUUCAUGUUUUGAGAAAAGUCCAAUUCGGCCUCUAUCUAUGACCUAAAAUUUCGGACAGAAUGAAGAACCAAGAACCCUAAUUUUCCAGAAAUUCUUCCAAAUCCAAAAUUGAUUGCAUUUUCUUAUCCAAUACACCUCAUAGAGUCAUUAUCAGCCAUUACCAUUCAUCAUACAAGGCCACAACAUCCCCUUCAUAUUAAACCAGAAAAAUUCCCAAUAAAAUAAAAACUUCACCAAAACUCUUCAAAUCAAGAAAUAAAUCAUAUUUCCUUCACUCAUGCCACCAUUAAGCAUCAUAUAACCAUCAUUAGGUGUAGUAGAGGGUUCAAGCAUCACUUACCAAGUAACAAGAGGUGUAGAGAGGUUGGCCACCUUAGAGCUUCAAAACAACUUCACUAGUACACUUAUUAUCACUAAAAGGAAAGGUUUUAUGGAUUAAAAAUGGAUGUAAACAAAUGUUUUGGGUGAUUUGCACCAAGUAGAAGCUUGAAAGUUGAAGAGUUUCUUCUUUCUUUUGCUUAAAGAGGCCGGCCAUAAGGAGGAGAAAAAUGGUGAAUUUUGUGCAAUUUUUGGAUAUUUAAUCCUUUGGUCAAAAAAGUCAAGAAUGUGAAUAGUAUUUCUUAAGGUCCAACCAAUAGGAAAGUGACACUUGUCACCUCCAUUAAAUGCAUUCUUAUCUUUCUUUUCUCUCUCACAUCAAUCACUUCACACACACUACUUAUCUCUUAACACCCGAUAAAUUUUAACAGUAUCCGGAAUGUAACCUAAUUGGCCGAAUUUUUCCGAACUUUUCGCACUAGUGGGUCCCACGUCCGUUAUAAACUCUUAAUUUCUCAAAAACUCUCCAAUACUAGAAAAAUCAUUUGAAAACGAUAUUUGCUCAUAAACUUUAUCUGGGGAAUUUUUCUAAUCAAGAAAAUGUAGAAAAGCGGGCGUUAAACAAAUAAACCCUAGAAAAGUAGAAAAUUUCCGGGUUCUCAAACUCAUUUUUUUCGGGGCGUCACAUCUUACCUAUUUCUAAAGGCCUGUCCACUUUUGACCGGUUUUCUGGCAAAGUCAACAAUGACAUUGAAUCGGACCGGUGCCAUGGCCAGUUCGCGGUUCAACCUGUCGAACCGGUCCGGUUUUCAGAACAUUGCUUAAAACAUAUUAUUUGGAUGUUUUGAAAUGGCUGUGGUUGUUUGACAAUUUUGGAUGCUUUUGUAUUGGCAUAUUUACUUUAACUUUCUCAACUAUUUUGAUUGUGGACAAUAUCUCAAUGGUUGUUUCAUUUAUGAAGGAUAAAAUUGAACUCGAGAUCCCUUACUUAUAACACCUCCUACCUUAUCACUCACAUCCAACCCUCCCAACUUGAAUCAUAAUUUGGUCUUAAUUACUAAUCCUCAAGAAUUAGAAUUAGAACAUGCAUCUUAUUUUGUUUGGUUCCCUCAAGUGCUAGAGCAAGAAUUUUUAUCGGAUCAAUUAAUGGUCAGUUUUUGACUAAUGAAAAUAUUCUAAAUAAGAUUGUGAAAUCAAUUAAUUUCAUAUACAAUCCAAAUAAGAUUAUGAACUCCUUGUUUGUUUAAUUAAUUGCAUGUGCUAAUGAUUGUACUUGCCAAAUAUCGGACCAUUGUUUUUGUCCACGAUCAAAUCGUAAAAGGAGAGUGAGAUUCUGUUUUGGUUACAUGCAUGUCAUUAUUGUUAAUCCUUGGAAAAUGAAUUUAUGACAUACAGUAAUUUGGUCUGAAUUUUGUUCGGUUUUGGGAAGCGACCACACUGGAAGCAAUAAUAAAAUGUUCUCUGCUUUCGCACUAGCUAUGAUGCAUUUUGCUUCUUGGCUUAGUAAUCAGGCUUGAGAUUUUAAAUUACCUUUUGUACUUUAAGUUUCAAGUAUAUAACAUGAUCGGUAUGAAAUCCCUAGCCUUCUACUCCUCUCUUUAAAAUCUGAUAGUCUUUAAUUCAGAUCGGUAUUAAUCCUUUUUGUUAUUUUAUUUUUAUUACUUUCUUUUUCUAGUUGAUUUUGGAUCCUUUUUUUUAUUACUUUUCUAACUUUUCUUUAGCUUUUGCUGACGCGUAUAUUGGUUUCUCCUCAAACUGGAUGUCUCUCAAUCUCUCUUGUGGAAUUCAACAUACUUUAAGAUGAAUUUCAUUUUGCCAUUAUCAAGUCUCUCAAUCUUCUUUCCUCCAGUGUUUCUUUUCUAUAUCAACUCUCCAUGAUUCCAUUAUUGUCUCACAGCAUAAUCCAGAAACUGUCAGUAUAUAAGAAUUCUUUUGAAGUAAUUAUUACUAAUAUAGUUUCCGCUUCUUGUGGAAUGUUCUGAAUCUUUCCUAAAGCAACAUUUUCCAAUUUGAGUUCCAGAAUUGUUGCAAACUUUUUUGUUUGCGCAUCACUUUGCAUGUAAGAAUUCAAAAUUUCACCACCAAUUAAAUAGUUUUCCUCGCAACUUGUCCCGUUUGGAUUGCUAUUUUUUAGGAUUUUUUUUGUAGAAAAAUAUACCUUAGAGAUUUGAUGUAUGCGAGAUAAAAAGGUGAUAAGAAAUGUAUUUACGAAAAAAAAUGUUAGUUUCCUUUUCUCUUCUAUUUCGAACUUCUCCCAACUUAUGUUUCCUUGUUGCUAAUCUUGCCAAACUUUAUAAGAUAUGUCUUACCAAUUUCUUUGAUACUUGAAACACAAGAAAUUUGUCAUUCCUUAUGUGUAUUCUUGUUUAAUUAUUUAAUUUUGGCUCCUGAAACACAAGAAAUUAGUAAAGAAUUUAGAUCCAAUUUGGUGCAACGCUUCUUUGACAAACUGAAUCGGAUGCUUCUGCAACGGAAGUGUUUUUUUUUUUUUAUAGCAACAAUAACUUUUCCUACAACCUAAUCUAUUCUAUUCUAUAGAGAGGGGAAGCCUAAUCUAUUCUAUUCUACUGGGAGGGGAGCCUAAAAAGACUAUAUAAGGAAAUUGGUAUACAGAUCUAAUUAGACUGUAUUUGACGCUUUCUUUAAAUUUUUUUCAUUACGUAGAGUUCGAACUCCACAUUUACAAUCCAAAAAAAAUUAAUCUCUUUUUUGUUACCGCUGAGCCAAGUCUCCUUUGUUUGUAGCAUAGUAGUUGCCGGGAUUCUUCAGCUGCCUUUGAUCCACAUUCCACAUGCUGGGGGCGGGGGGGGCGGGAAAUCGGAUGUGGAAAAUUCCACCCAAGAAGGAAAAGAAACCGUGUUGAAUGAUGAAGAAAAGAAAAUGGCAAUCAUCAUUGAGACUCUAAUAAAUCUCACUCCUCAGUUCCUGGGAUGUGAACGUACGAUUAAUAAUUCCAUCUAAAUUGCUGAUCCUAAGUGGAUCAGAUUUGAAACAUAUUUUAUCCAUUGGAGACUCCUUAGUUUGUUUGCUUUCUGCAGGGGAUUAUUGUCACGGCCCCACCUCCCCCUGAGGCGAACCAGAGGGUUCGGCGGGCCGCCUGCCCAGCUCUCGCCGGGACUCAGUCGUUCACUACAAUCCUCAAAUGAAUUACAAGAAUAAACCUCAAAUAUUACAAUAAAUUCUCCAAUAAUUACAUGUCAUAAGCGAAGCGGAAACAAUUCUCAACUAUACAUAAAAUGAUUUCCAAUCCAAACUGUACAAGAUAUAGGCCAUCCAGACACGCGCACAAGUACUACAAGCCUUCCUUCGCCUUGAGCCCUGUGGAGGGGAAUAAAAUAUUUUUGGGGUGAGCUAGAAGCUCAGCGAGUAACCAGGAAAUCAGUAAUCAAAUCGGUUUAACAAUAUUUAUUUUCAAUGAUGUCAUAAAUCAAAUGAUAAGUCCAAAAACAAUUACAACAUUUACAAAACAUUAAAUAUGGAGUAUCAAUAAUUCAAGAAACAUGUACAAUGGAAAGCGAUAGUAACAUUCAUGAAAAGAUACGUUCGUUCUCCUGUCAUUUCCUUUUUUUUCAUUUGAAAUUGCAUCAUUUUCCACCAACCUCCACCAACCUACAAAGGUAAUACUCGAGUAUACCAAACGUUCACCCAGGUCCCUAAUCGCCCGACCGAGUCCGUUUCUGGCUCGAGACGACCGGUAACAAGGGCAAUGGCCAGUUCAGCCCAAAAGACUUACAUUCAUGCGCAAGUAGCAUUUAAUCAUUUAUCAUGAAAAUUUUACAUUGAUUUAGGUCGAGUGCGAUAAAAUACACACUCGCCUAGAAAGCUCGUUUUGGAAAUCAUUCAAUGCACGUAACACGGUAUCAAUCAAUAAUACAAGUCAUGAAGUCAAGGAAAUAUAUCAAACAAGGAACACUUUCAUAUAAACACGCAUGAUAUGCAAGAAAACAGUUCAAAAGUAGCUUUGGAAACAGUUCAAAAGUAAAUAAUGUAAGAAACAUUUCACUAGUACUUUGGAAAUAGUUUAGGGUCACUCACCUCCAUGGCUCAGAAAUCAUCCAGCAUAUAACAUUGCCUUGCUCAAAUCCAAGUCUUAGAUCACAAACUCAAUGCAAACAAAUCCCUUCAAAGUUCGGACAGCACUUCCCCUGAAUUUCUUUACUUUUCCAGCCAUCAUGGCUUCAUUAUUUCCUUAGCCAGUCCCAAAGGUACACACACAACAACAAGUUCAUCCAAUAGCCAUUUCAGCAAGCUCCAAGUAGUACUAGUACAAGUUAAGCUAGGGAAAAGUCCGAAAAUGAAAGUUAAGCUCAAAACCAGAAAAACAGUUUUGACGUCAUUUUGGGUAAUGGUACCAAAGGCGGUACGAUUGUCGGAUGAAGGUGAAAGACCCAUCGUUUCGAAGCUAAGAGACAGGGCUACAAUAUUUCAGAAGGUCACUCAGUCCAAAUCCCAGCACAACUAAGUCAAAUAUGCCAAAUAACAAACCAGAACCGUAAUUGCAGGUUCACAAAUCACACUAUGCUGUAAUUAGUCCAACUCAGUCUACACAAGUCCAAAUGCAGAAAUUCCAAAGGCAUAUGGUAGCUAGGACAUCAAGAUACAUUUCAUCAGAAGACCUCAACACCCAAAUCCAAAACAAUUCCAGUCAAAACAACCCAUUUCAGACGCAGUUCUAACAUCCUGAUGAACCCAGAACAGCAAUAGUAAUUUCGGCUUAUCUCAUUCUACACUACUCCAAUUGACCUGAAAUUUUUCAGACACCUUUAAAACAUCAAUACCUACAACUUUCAUGUUUAGAGCCAAGGCCAAUUCGGCCUCUAUCUAGGACCAAAAAUUUCGGACAGAAUGAAAAACCAAGAACCCUAAUUUUCCAGAUUUCUUCCAAAACAGAAUUUACUUGCAAUCUUCCACUUUUUCCACCUUCUAGAAUCAUUAAACAUCAUUUCCAAUCAUCAUACAUAACCACAUAAUCAUACUCAUAUUAAAACAGAAAAAUCCCCAAAAAUAAUAAAAGUUCAUCCAUCCAACCACAACUCAAAAUAUAAUCCAUCAAACCAUCUCUUUAGCCAUCACAAGUCACUAAUUUAGUAUAAUCAAGAACAAAGAAAGGAUUGCUAGACAUGAACCUUGAAAUAUCAAGAAAGUUGAUGGCUUAGUCCUUUGCCUUCUCUAAUCACUCCACCACUACCUUCAAUCUUCCUAAACAAGUGACUUUUGUGGAGAAAUUCGAAAGUUUAACGGUUGAUUCACAAGAUUGAGCAAGAAAUGGAGUUGGAGUUGAAGGCUUUCUUCUUGUAUUUUUGCUCCAAGAGGUUCGGCCAAGUUUGCAGAAAUUUAGGUGAUUUUUGGGUCAAAAUUGAGUAUUAAUAAAGGUAAGAAAUAAUGGUCAAAGUCAAGGUUGAAUAGGAAGAUGACACUUGUCACCCUUUUGGUUCAAAACUUAUCUUUUUGUCUCUCCAAUACAAAUAUCUUAACACUUUGUAAAAUAAUAUCACUUAAUACAAAAUUCCUACAAGUUGUCAAAAAUAUAUUGCGUUUACCGCACUAGCGGGUCCCACGUCCAAAAUACGCUUUUAAUUUCUCAAAAACUAACCGAUACUAGAAAAAUCAUUUGAAAACUAUAUUUGCUCACAAACUUUAUCUGGGGAAUUUUUCUAAUCAAGAAAAUGUAGAAAAGGCGGGCGUUUAAAAAAAUAAACCCUAGAAAAUUAGAAAAUUUCCGGGUUCUCAAACUCAUUUUUUUUUCGGGGCGUCACAAUCUCCCCUCCUUAAAAGAAUGCCGUCCUCGAUUAUUCUCCAAUUUCUUUAAAUCCACAGACCCCCAAAGUUCUCCAUUUCCAUGCUAGCUAUAUAUUUUCCUUUCUGGCUAGUUCAGAAUAGCUAGAAAUUUACAGUGGAUGCUUUUGUCAGCUCUUUAACCACUGGUAGAAAGAAGUGCUGCAGUAGUACAUCUUUAUUACUAUUUUUUUUUUUUUGAAAUACAAUAUACAAUCAACUGGAGUUAAAAGUGAAAUAGGCCUUUAGCUCACACUGUGAUUAUAAACUUUGACUGAAUUGGAUGUUUUGGGAAGGGGGGGAAAUGAGCGUGUUCUUGCAGAUUUCAAUUUUUACAAUUGAAUUAUUUACCUAUGAUAUGAUCACAAGUUUAACUUAAAUGGAGUUGUGAUAAUAGAAGAUUCUCGAAAGAAGACUUCAAAAGGUGGAAAUUGAAAAUGAGUGGAAAUUAAUGGGAAUUAACCAGUUAUUUGGAUACCUAUUUUUGUAUCCGACUCUUUUAUAAUUAGUUUUUCUUAUAAUUUUUCUCGCUCCUAACAAAUUUAUCUUUUCAGAUAAAUUUGAAUUAUUUGCUCUUUUGGUUCCUCUCUCUUCUAACAAUAUGAUUAAUUUGUAUAAAUUUUUUUUAUUCAUAUGGAUUAACUUAGUGUUAAAAAUUUUAACUGUUAGUUGAUAGAUUUAUCAAUAUUGCUGGAAAUUAAAUAUUUGUUGAUGUAGAAAACAAAUCGCAAAAUCUUUUGUACUUAGUUAAGUAGGAAAAUGUAACUAGUUUUAUGGUUAUUAUAAAAAUUGUAAUUAUCUAAAAAUAUCCGUACACAAAAAGGUAGAAUAUCUAUUGAUUUUUUUAUAUGUGUUAUAAUAUUUGAUGAAUAUUAUUAUAUUAUAGUAAAAGUAUGUAAAGAAAUUUUUAAAAAUUAGUAUGAUAGUUAAGUAUAAUUAUUACAAUAAUUUUCUAAAAUUAAUAUAAAUGAACUUGUAUGAUCAUCAUUAAUUUUUUAUUUAAAUUAUUCAUGCUUGCACGAAUUCAUAAUAAAAUAAAAAAAAAUAAACCAUGCCAAGGCACAUGCAAGAUGCUAGUUCAAAUUAAUGUUGUACAUGUAUAGGAGUCACAAAACGGUUUGGUGCACAAGCAGACGAAAGGGACAUCUAAAGUAUUAGGACAAGUUUUACAUCUAGCAGACGAAUUCAAUCGAUUGUGAUGUAUUUGCUGAUUUUCUUGAAAUAAAAAAUGCAUAGGAAAAAAAAUAUUAGAGAGUUAUCCUUUGCAUGGAGUUCAUAUCGUUACUACUUUUGCUGCGUGGAAUACCUUGUCUGAUGGAUGUCUGCUUGAAAUAUGCGUUCCACAUAUUUUGUAUGUUUAUCCUAAUAAAUCAUCUUAUAUUGUGCUAAUAUUUCAAACAGGUUUUGGAAUUUUGCUGCAAGUUUAUCUUCUCAAAAGAUAAGUCAUUUGAUUUGAUUUGCGUCAAAAAAUGCUUUGCUGAGGCCUUCAGUUGUGGAAAAAAACUCUCUGACCCAAGACGCACAAGAAACUAUUUUCCAGUUCUUUAGAAAUAAAAUAGACGUUCAACGCCCAUUUUCUAAUUCGAUUCAGUUCUGUGACCCCUUUUUUUAAUUCUCUAUUUUCUAUAAUUCUCAAUUCUUUAUUUUGCACUAUUUUGUUGGGUGAGCAAUUAACAGGCACGUGAAAUAGUGGCUCAAUGGGGGAAGAAAAAACAAGGGCUAUUCCUUUUUUUUUUUUUGGAUUGCGUGAUCAAUUAACAAGAAACGACAUAAGCAAAACAAAUUCUUCAUGUUCAGGCCCUUGAUUUUCCUUUGUGAAUAAUGAACUGAAAAAGAAACUUAAAAAUACUAGUUCAAUUGAAUCUUAAAAUUAAUGCAAAACAUGGACAAGAAUGCUGUAGUGUCUGAAGUACAAUCUCGAUUUAGUACAAGACCUCUGAAACUUGAAUACAUAAUGUUCCAGUUCCCCAAUUUUAAAACCUCUCAAGCCAGGCCAGAUUCUUCAAUGCUCGAUUCUCAAUUAAUGGCUUCAUGUAUUUUCCGUUAUGAAUGUGACAAAGUCUCCAUUCUGGAGCUCAUUUCCAGUUGUCUCGGAUUUGGUAUCACUUGAAACUGGUUCUGUAUCAGGGAAUGGGAAACAUAUGGCCGUCAACAAAAACCAGAGGAAAUUUGCAGCGCUCAGACCGGCAAGCACCCAAUAAUAGUAAUUCAAGUGACUCUCAUUCAAGUCAUGCUGAAACCAACUCUUUUUCCCUCAUUUCUCGCUAAUCUUGCCCACCAAAUGAACUGAUAAAACACUUCCCAUGAUUCCCAGACCGGAUAAUCCAGGAUUGAGGUAGACAAGGUACUUUUUCAUCGAUGGGGGACUUUGAUCAUUCAAGAAUUCUGCAACACUGUUCUCAUAAAAUGAGUCUAGCCCACCAAGAAGAAAGAAUUGCGGAACAAGCAAAAAGACAGUCAUGGGGAUUUUCUCGUUAGGCUUGUCAAUUAAACCAUUGUUAGGGUGGUUAUCUAAAUCUAACCACUGGUGAAAAUCAUCACCUUUAAACCCAAGAUCUGUAUGGCGAUUAUUAAGAAAUAAAUUAACUGUAAAAUAGCGGAAGCGUACCUGAAUCCAUAUUAAUAAACUUGAUACUUGAAUCCCUUAGAUAUUUGGGGUGGCCUUCCAAAUCAACAUGUAUUCACCAAUCCUUUGAGAGAGGUCUUUAGUUUCUCUCUGGUAUCUUUCCUGACGAUGGGAUAUCAGGGAAGGGCUGUUUUGUGGUAUUAGAAAAUACGACAACUAAAACGAUACCUGUGACCUGGGGACCAUAACCCUAUUUAUAGGCAACAUUCCUGUUACCUUUUGGAACCCUAUUUCAGCCCAUCAUUGAAAUAGGAGCCCAUAAGUUUCUACACAUUAAAGGGCCAACAUCCUAUUAAAUACAUUAAACCCAAACUAUUUGAUCACUUUAAUUGGGUUUAACCUUAAUUGACAGUUUGCAAUACAUAAUUAUUCACUCCAAUGUUGAAUUAAGGAUCCAACAAUCUCCCACUUGGACUAUAUGUGUAACCUUAUAAUUAUGUUUUGCAAUUAACCGUAUGAGCUCAACUUUACUGUCAUUAUCACAAUGUAUCUGUAACUAAUUCGGUCCAUCAAUUACACAAAUAUAGGAUCAAAGCGGCCUUUGUUACAAUUUCGUAACUCGACCCAUCAAUGGUCACAUAUAUUAAUGCAAUUGAAUGACAUGAAUCAUGAUGUGGAUGUGUAGCAUGAAAAUUUCAUGUAAUGUGAUCAAAACAUGCCUAUUUCCAACUGGUCCACCUUAAAUUUUAUGAGAUCAAACCAUACCAAAGUUAGAGUGUAAAUAAAUUUAGACUUUAUUUAUGUAUAAAAUAUUCUUAAAUCCUUAAUAACUGAAAAAUAUCAUAAGAGCCAUUCAAAAAUAACAAACUCCCACUAAAACUGUACAUCAUUUAAUAACACGACACCCAUAUGAGCAGUAUGCUCAUGAAAUAAUUUGGGUGACAAUCCCUUAGUAAGCGGAUCCGCAACCAUGGAGUUUGUCCCGAUGUACUCUAUCGAUAACUGUCCAUUUUGCACUCUUUCUUUAACAGCCAGGAACUUGAUAACUAUAUGUUUAAUUGGUUGAGCUCCUGUUGUUAUUGGAAUAUAAGACUGCUGACUUAUUGUCACAGAAUAAUUUAAGUGGUCUUUCAAUGCUAUCCACUACACGUAAUCCUGUGACGAAAUUUCGCAGCCAAAUUCCUUUGGUUGGAUGCCUCAUAACAAGCUAUAAAUUCUGCAGUCAUAGUGGAAGAUACUAUGAGGGACUGUUUAGCACUCUUCCAGGAUAUGACACCUCCAGCCAACAAGUAGAUAUAGUCUGACGUUGACUUCAUAGUAUCUUUGCAUCCAGCAUAAUCGGAAUCAGUAUACCCAAUGAUCUCUAACUCAUCUGACUUCCGAUACGUGAGCAUGUAGUCUUUUGUUUUCUGCAGAUACCGUAAGACCCGUUUGGUUGCUUUCCAAUGAUCUAAUCAAGGAUUACUCAAAUAUCUAUCCAACAUCCCAGUAAUGUACGCAAUAUUCGGACGCGUACAUACUUGAGCAUACAUUAAACUCCCUACUGCUGAUGCAUAAGGAAUCUUUUGCAUCUCUUUUUCCUCAAAAGCAUUCUUGGGACACUGCUCAAGACUAAAUUUGUCUCCUUUAGCCACAGGGGUGUCACCUGGUUUACAAUUUUGCAUGCCAUAUCUUUUAAGAACCUUUUCGAUAUAGCCCUUUUGUGAUAGUCCUAAAAUACCCCGAGAGCGAUCACGGUGUAUCUGUAUGCCUAACACAAAAGAUGCAUCACCAAGAUCUUUCAUCUCAAAAUUUUUAGUUAGAAAUUUCUUGAUUUCAUGCAAUAGACCAAUAUCAUUGCUGGCAAGCAAAAUGUCAUCAACAUACAAUACCAGAAAAAUAUAUUUGCUCCCACAGAACUUAUGGUAUAUGCAAUCAUCUACUAGAUUCAUCUCAAAACCAAAUGAGAUAAUCACUUGAUGAAAUUUGAAAUACCAUUGUCGAGACGCUUGUUUGAAUCCAUAGAUGGAUUUUUUAAGUUUACAAACCAUAUUCUUUGGAUCUCCUGAUACAAAGUUUUCUUGCACCAUAUAAAUCGUCUCAUCAAUGUUACCAUUGAGAAACGCUGUCUUUACGUCCAUCUGAUGUAACUCAAGACCAAAAUGUGCCACUAAUGCAUGAUAAUUAUAAAGGAGUCCUUUGAAGAGACUGGAGAGAAGGUUUCUUUAUAAUCGAUACCUUCCUUUUGUGUAAAUCCCUUAGCGACAAGACGAGCUUUGUAUCUUUUCACAUUGCCUUUGAAUUUCUCUUGAUUUUAAAUAUCCAUUUACAACCAAUGGGUUUCACUCCUUCUGGCAAUGGGACAAGAUCCCAAACGUCAUUGUCCUUCAUGGAUUUAAUUUUCUCAUUCAUGGCAUCGAUCCACUUUUGAGAAUUUGAACUUUCCAUAGCUUGACGGAAGUUGAUUGGAUCAUCUUCCAUCAAUCCAGAGUCAUUCUCAUGUUCUUGGAGAAAAACAAUGUAAUCAUCUGGCACUGCACUUUUCUUUCUCUAGUGGAUCUUCUUAAUGGCACUGGUUCUUGAAAAGGAAGAGUUUGUUCUUCUAUAACAGUUUGCUCUUCGACAUUGUCUUGAUUUGUCAUGUCAUGAUCAAGUUCAGGAAUAGGGUCCUGAGCAAGAGUAAUGACACCGUGGGAAUAUUAUUCCUCUUUAAAGACAAUGACCCUUACUGUAUUUUCUCCCCCAAACUCGACAUCCUCAAAGAACCGAGCAUUUCCUGUCUCAAAAAUUGAUUUGGCUGUGGGAUCAUAAAACUUGUAACCCUGGAUCUUUCAGAGUAUCCAAUAAAAUAACAACUAAUCGUUCUUGAGUCCAGUUUCUUUUUAUUAGGCCUAUAAGGCCUUACCUCAGCUGGACAUCUCCAAAUGUGUAGAUGUUUUAAACUGGGCUUUUUUCCCUGUCCAAAGUUCAUAAGGGGUUUUAAUAGUUGCUUUAGUUGGAACUCUGUUAAGAAUAUAUGCUGCAGUCUUAAGUGCUUCUCCCCAGAGUGACUCUGGUAAGGUGGAAUGACAUAUCAUACUCCUUACCAUGUUUUAAGUGUUCUAUUUCGUCUUUCAGCUACACCAUUAUAGUGGGUGAACCUGACAUAGUGUACUGUGGGACGAUACCGCACUCCUCUAGGUAUUUAACAAAUGGUCCUGGACGUUGUUCACCUGAACCGUCAUAUCUAUCAUAGUACUCACCACCACGGUCAGAUCUGACGCUUUUAAUUCUUUUGUUGAGUUGAUUCUCAAUUUCAGCCUUAAAAGUUUUGAACACGUCUAGUGACUGUGACUUUUCAGAAAUGAGAUAUAUAUAGUCAUAUCUUGAAAAAUCGUCUAUGAACGUUAUAAAAUAUUGUUGACCAUUCCAAGCAGAUGUAGGAAAUGGUCCACAAAUAUCAGUAUGUAUAAGUUCUAAGACGUCUGAGGACCUAUUGGCUUCAAAUCUCCUUUGAUUGGCUUGUUUCCCCUUUAUACAGUUAAUGUAAUCAUCAAAAUCUGUAAAAUUCAAAAGGUCGAGAAUUUCAUUUGACACAAGCCUUUCCAUUCUCCGUUUGGAGAUAUGUCCCAAUCUCUUGUGCCAUAAUGCAGCUGAAUUCUUAUUGGCUAAUUUUCUUUUAACUCCUCUAGUACUCAAAUGCAGAGAUUCAUUAAAUGAGACAAUUGUAUCAAUUAAAUAUAGAUUAUCGUAGUGCAUUAAAGAACCAGAACCAACCAAUUUUGAAUCAUGCAACAAUUCAAAUUUUUCAUUUCCAAAUGAACAAAAAUAACCAAAUUUGUCCAAAGCAAAAAUAGAAAUUAAAUUCCGUCUAAAAGACGGUACAACAAAUGUCUCAUUGAGAUCCAAAUAAAAUCCGCUCUUUAAUAAUAAUCUAAAAACUUCAAUUGCUUCAACUUGAACUGUUUUGUCAUCGCCCACGUAGAUAUAUCUUUCACUAUCAUUAGGCUUUCGGCAAUUCAGACAACCCUGCAUAGACACACUGAUGUGAGUUGUUGCACCAGAAUCCAGCCACCAUGUGUGUCUAGGUACCGAAGUUAAAUUAACCUCAAACAAACCAAAUUAAGAAGCAUACCUUUCUUAGCACGCCAAGCGUGAUAGUUGGUGCAAUGCUUCUUUUGAUGCCCUUCAACUCCACAGAAGAAACAACUACUCUUUCCCUGAUCAUUUGAUUUCUUUUGUUGUUUCUUUUGUGGCGCUGUACCUGCAGCUCCUUUUUCUUCUUUCUCUUAAGUCCCUUGCCUUUAUUAUUAGUGGUUGACACCAGAUGAGCACUUUCUGUCUGCUCCUGCUUCAACCUUUCCUCUUCCUCUACACAGUGUGAGAUGAGUUCAUUUAGAGACCAAGUCUCCUUUUGACAGUUGUAACUCACCUUAAAUUGGUUAAACUGUGUAGGAAGAGAUAUUAGAAUCAAAUGCACUAGUAACUCUUCAGAGAGUUUCAACUUAAGUGCAUUUAAUUUCGAAGCAAGAUGAGACAUCUCCAUGAUGUACUCUCUGAUAUUGCCUUUACCACUAUAUUUCAUUGAAACUAGGCGUGUCAAGAGCGUACUAAUUUCAGUCUUUUCAUUCUUUUUUUUUUUUUUUUUUUUAAGGUGUGUCCCGCAGGGAGUGGACCCCGCAGACUAUUCACCACCCUCAACAACUUGCUGGCAGCAAGGUUCGAACCAGGGACCUGAAGCCCCAUCUUCAGCAACCUCAACCACCAGACCAAGCCCCUGAGGGCAGUCUUUUCAUUCUUGACAAACCUUUUUUCAAUGUCCUGAAGGAACUUUUUAGCGGUUACAGUCGUUUCUGACAUUGUUCCCCUGAAUGCUUUUGAAACGGCCUUUUUAAUGAUCAUCAGACACAAGCGAUUUGAUCUCUCCCACCUCUCAUUAUUUCUCUUUUCAUCAGAGGUACUCUGAUCUGUAAGAGGUGAGGGAGAAUCGUCCCUUAACGCAAGGUCGAGAUCCAUUACUCCAAGUACUAUCAAGAGAUUUUCUUUCCAGGACUUGAAGUUUGUGCCAUUCAGCAUAGGAAUGUUAUUGAUGUUGGCAGUAAUAUUUGUAAGAUCAUUUGCAACUAAACAGAAAACAUAAUAUAAUUAAAACAAUGCUCACAUAAACCAAAAUAAUAAUAAAUUUAAAUAAUGGUAACCCCAUCUCAAGAUAUCGAUAUUCCAUUAAUAUUUUAUCUUUGGACAAAAUAUUAACUUCUAAGUGAUAUCUUGGCGCAGUAAUAAACACUGACAAUAAUAACAUGUCAAAAAAUAAAUUUUCCUUUGGACCAAUUUAUAAUUCACAUGUAAAAGCCGAAUAAUUAUCACAUGUUUAUUACCACAAGUGCACAUGUAAUUUCAUUAAAUAUUGACCUUCUUUUGGGCCGAUCAAUAUUCAUAAAAUUACUAGUACCCAACCAGUUAUAUUUUAAAAUAAAUUAAUUUUCAUAAUAGAGGUCACUUUGGUGGCAUAUUAUUUCCACUAAUUUAUUCCAAAAUAUAUAUAAUCAUACCAAUAUUCAAAUUUAAAAUUAUCCAAAAUAAAUGAAAAUUUUAAUCAAAGUCAACUUUGGUCAACUUUGGUCAAAACGUGGUCAAACAUGGUGAAAUCAAUUAAAUUGAAUCAUGACUUAUUAGACCAAAGGUCCAUAUCCAUAAUUUGACCCAAAAUUAUCAUUCAAGCCCAAAAUUUCUUGAAAUCCAUAAGUACUUUAUAAAAUUAUAUAUAUAAUGGGCCACAUAUAUGGAUUUUAUAGGGCUUAAAUGUCCUAUUUAACUUUAUUAGGGUUCAAUUAAAUUAAAGAACCUCUAAUUUUCUUAACAUAAAUAUAUUGAAAAACGGUGAAUUGGCCAAGCAAAAGUGCAAAACAUCGAAGCCAAUAACCAUGAUUUGACCAUCAUGGAACCUUGGUCCACAUUUGUUCACAAAUUCACACAACAAUCAUCAAAAGUAAAAGGCACGUGAAUGACAUAAGCAAACAAGAAGUCUGGAUUCAUUGGCCAUGCAUCAGAACAAAAGUGAUUGCAAAUCUAACAAUCCGUGAACUAAAAAUUGUUAACAUGAAAUAAAAUUAACUUGUCCAUAAUGGUGGAGGAAAGGACAAAACACUUCCCGUGGCCAGAGGACAAAUUAGAUUACAUCAUCACUUGAUUCAUGUUUUAAGUAAACAUAAGGUGAAAAUCGUAUGAAGACUUAUGUCUCAAAAGCAUUGAGAUUGUUGGAAGAAUUUGACCGAAGGCCAAAAGUAUCACAGUUCUGACCAUGAAUUUGACCGAAGACAAAAAACACAUAAAUUGCAUCAAACUAGCAGUUCAUGCCUAUUAACUUACGCAAGCACUCAUGAACAUAAAAAAUCGUAUGAAGACUCAUCCAACAUGGGACCAGAACCCACAGUUUUUUUUUUUUUAAUGAAUCAGAGGCCGAAAAACCAAAAGGCAUGCGUGGGUUCUCAAUCAGCUGUCAGCAAUUAUAAAAGGGAUGCAAUUAUCAAACCAUCAGCAACCAAAGCUUGCAAAUCACUAAAUCAGCCGUACAAAUUUACUACAAAUUACUAAAUCCAAAUUAUUUCCUAAUAAUCAACCAUAUGGGCUCUGAUACCACUUGUUAGGGUGGUUAUCUAAAUCCAACCACUGGUGAAAACCAUCACCUUUAAACCCAAGAUCUGUAUGGCGAUUAUUAAGAAAUAAAUUAACUGUAAAAUAGCGGAAGCGUACCUGAAUCCAUAUUGAUAAACUUGAUACUUGAAUCCCUUAGAUAUUUGGGGUAGCCUUCCAGGUCAACAGGUAUUCACCAAUCCUUUGAGAGAGGCCUUUAGUUUCUCUCUGGUAUCUUUCCUGACGAUGGGAUAUCAGGGAAGGGCUGUUUUGUGGUAUUAGAAAAUACGACAACUAAAACGAUACCUGUGACCUGGGGACUAUAACCCUAUUUAUAGGCAACAUUCCUGUUAUCUUUUGGAACCCUAUUUCAGCCCAUCAUUGAAAUAGGAGCCCAUAAGUUUCUACACAUUAAAGGGCCCACAUCCUAUUAAAUACAUUAAACCCAAACUAUAUUUGAUCACUUUAAUUGGGUUUAACCUUAAUUGACAGUUUGCAAUACAUAAUUAUUCACAUAUAAGUCCAAUGUUGGAUUAAGGAUCCAACAACCAUCACUUCUUAUCACAUGUAUCCUGUGAGUUUCUACAAUGGCCGUAAAUAUGCAACAUAAUGCUGAGCAUAUUGUAGCUAAUGCAAUUCCAGUUGCUGAUGCAUACCUUCUUCCGACUGCCACUUUCAUACAAUUGUACACACUUUUAAAACCCAUCUUCGCUGCUUCAUAUAGCAACAUAAGGGUUGAAUCAGGAAACUUCAAUUUCCCAACCUUGUAAUUCAGGUGGCUUGCUUGCUCUACGAAGUAUGUGUUUCCUACGGAAGUAACUACAGAACAAAUUAUGCAGGUGAUCCAAACUGGAAGCAUACAGAUUCUGAUCCGUCUUUCUUGACUUUGAGUCCUGAAUCUGAUAAUAUCCCUGUCAGAGAACCUAAGCAAAGCAAGAGAACAGCAAAAAAUUCCUAUGGUCAGAAGUUUCAUUAUCUCUUACUUGAGAACAAAGAAAUAGAUCUGUAUUUGAUUUAUGGAACACCCGACACUCUAUUCCUUUUCAAGUGAAAGUUGAAAAACAGGGAAGAAGGGCAAAAAUUAAGACUAUGAUCAGGAAGAGGAAGAUGAAAAAGGAAGGAUGUGUGGGAUGAACCCAAGUCUGCUGCCCUGGUAUUCGCAUGAACCCUGAAUGAAAAGAAGUGUUGCCGCCAGUGUGAAAAUUGCUGGAAUUCCAAACCGAAGUUUCCAUGGCUGUAUGUAUGGGAGUGCAAUUAGUGCAAUAACUGCGACAAUGUGCACAAAGAUAACGCCUAAUGAUCUUAGGCCAGAUAUGCCGCUUCCGUUUCUUUGGUUCUGUCUCUUAACAAGCUCCAUCAUUGCUUCUACUGGUUUAAACUGAAGUUUUGAUAUAUCCUCUUCAGGUUGAGGGCUUUGUUGCCUGUUGCUUGUUUUAUCAACAACUUGACUCCCUUCAAGCUGAUCCAAUGCAAAUGCAGCUAAUGAGACAAUGUGCCCACCCACUCCAACAGCUGUCAACGCCAGACCUGUGUAAAAGAUAGCCUUCUGUGUGUGACCAAUGCAAUUAGGCUGGUAAUUAGCACAGGUGUGCGUUAACUUGUGCAGUGCUGGUGGCGUAGACAUUGAUAGAAAACCCAAGCCCUGCUCAUAAUUUUGGAUAAUCAGUUCAAGAAAGUCCGGUAAAACUGGAAGCUAUACUUCUAUCAAGUUAGGCCGUGAAAUUGAUGACUAAAUGGAAGGAGGGGAGGAAGAACUGUGAAUGAAUUUGCCGACAGGAGAACUUACAGAGGAAAAGGCUAUACUCGAGAGAAGCAGUAUCCAGUAGUUAUCCACUCCAAAGUCCCCAAAUAAGAAAAGAAUAAAAGGGACCAAUUUAGUUAGGCCAGUAUAUACAUUCAUUAUUCCUGCAGCAUGAGUAAACCCAACUUUCCAAACAUCUGUUAAGUACUUCUGCAUUAUCCACGUCACGUAAGUCUCCAACAAAUCAGCCCAUAUUAGAACUGUUAAGACAACAAAAAAAGGAGUUAGCAUUAAGUAGACAAGAAUGAUUGUUCAAGCAGAGGAAGUUAAAGAAUGACAAGGCCUUUGAUGACUCUGAGAUGAAUUAAAAGUACCCAUUAUUCUGACGAAUGCCAUUGAUUUUUCGAACUUCUCGUUGAAAUCCUGAGUGUGAGAAAAAUACUAUCAGAACAAGGGAAGCUGACGAUUAGAGCAGUUUCAGAACCAUAUGGUGGCCAUAGCAAGCUGAAAGAAACCAGAGUUAAUAGUUUGGAUUGAGGUUUUCUUUAAUUACCUCCAACUGCUAUGUGUGCUGCUGGUCUGCGAGGGAAAAAGAGAGACGGAGAAACUUCUCUGCAAUAAGUCGUUGUUAGAAAAUUGGUUUAAUUUCUUUUAAACAGAUUCCUAAUUCCUUGUUUUGUGUGAAAGUAACUAGAUUCCUAAUUGAUUUUAGUUACUUAAAGUAGUAGUUAAGGAAUUUCCUAUGUGUAUGAGUUUAGGAAAAGAAGUUAUUUCCUAUUCUAAAUCAGUGUAGGAAUUAGCAUUGAUUUCCUAUUGUUAUUUGGAUUUUGUCCAAAUAAUGUUCCUUAUAAAUAGGUGAGUUAGCAUACUACAUACAAGGGCACACAAGGGGCGACAUGUAGCCUUAUACAUGGGUGGUGAAAGAGGGUUCUUGGGAGAUGAGAGAUGAUAUGCAAGAAUUGGCAAUUUGUGUUCAAGUUGUAUUAUUGAUAGAGUUUUUCUCUCAUAAUAAAGAACGAAUUUCUCUUCGUAGAUGUAAGUUUAAUGGUGGAGUCAAAUUAUGUUAAAUAUUAUGUGUCGUUUAUCUUUCAUACUUAUGGCAUUUUAUCAUUAAAUUGUUGUAUACUUGAUAUUCCAAUGGUUGUUUAUUCCGCACUUGAAUCCUAACAAGUGGUAUCAGAGCUUGAUUGUGAGACUGGGUUGCUCACAAGCACUUGAAUCCCAACCAACUAAAUGGUUGGAUCAAGAGUUUGGUUGUUCAAGGUUGGAUCCUGGUUAACUAUUGAGAUCAAGUAGAUUGGUGGUUGUUACCAAUUGAACAAUUUAAUGGGUGGUAUUCUUAUUUCAAGAGUUUGGUAAGAAACAUUGAAAGUGAAGAAUAGAAAGUCGAAAAGCAUGGAGAUACUUGAUAGUGAAUCUAUGCAGGUGAUUUAAGAGUCAAGAAAAAGAUGGAAUCCAAUGUCGAUUUUUAACAUAAAUCGUUGGGUUGAUAUCUGCUUCGUAUGCUGUCUGUCCUUCAACUGUAUAUCUAUUAGUCUCCACUAGGGGUGAGCAAACGGUACAAAUUCGGUAAUUCGCGUUAGCUGAAUUCGGUGAAUUCGGUUAUUUGACUUAUAGAAAUCAAAAAUACUUUCAAUUUUGAAUUGGUUAUAACCAAAUUCAUUUCGCAACGAUUUCGAAUUCGGAAAUGGUAAUGAAUUCGAUCUAACCGAAUUCAUUUAUAAAAAAAAAAAACUGAUGAGAUAACUCUGUUAUGGUCCUGAAGGAAGUGAUUGUGUAAUUUUUAAUUUACAAAUUGGGGCUUCCUAAAUUAUAAUACAUUCAUUAUGCUCCUCAAUGAUUUAAAACUUAUUACUGAUUUGAUCCUCGAAUUUAUUCAUAAUUUAACACAUUACUUAUGUUCUAAUCAUUUUGUGGUUUAAUUGGCAUUUAUUUGAUCACUUAUACUAGAAUCCUUAGUCUAUGAUUUGAGGAACACAUAAAAAGUGAUUAAUUUAAACUAGAUUAAACCUUAGACUGUACAAUGAUUAAUGAUAAUUUAUGAAUUUAUAAUUUGCAAUGAUUAAUAAUAAGUAAUAUUAGUUACAAACUUACAAAUUACAAUGAUUAGUGAUAAGUUAUAUUAGUUACAAACUUAUAAUUUAUUUUAAAUCAAAAUAAAACUUAUUUACUUACAUAUGUUAUUGUGAAAGUCAAUACACUAAUACAUUGAUUUACAAUUCAUAUGCAUUCACUUACAUUACUUAGUUGUCUUGUCUAUACUUAAAACCUUAAGAUUAGUGAGUAGAGAAUAUGAAUUUUUAUGUUAAAUAUGUAAUGUAAAUUUAGAGCAUACUAAUACUUGCAAGUUACAGGUUACGCAUUCAAAUAUUCAAUAAUUCAAACAUGAAUGAUGUAUCAAAUUACCAAUAUCUAAAUUUCCAAUUACUAAUUAUGUUUAUUGUUUAAUAUUUAGUAUUAUACAUAUAUGUAUUAAUUAUUAUCUAAUUCUAGUCAUGUUACUCAUGUAUAAAAUAAUAAGUAUUAUAGUUAUGGUAUAUUGUUAUGUAUUACUAUAUAUUUGUAUUAUUAUAGUCAUAUAACAAUUAACAAAUACUAAAAUAUAUUGUACAUUAUUAUAAGUACAUGAUAAUACCAUGUACUAACUAUUAUUAAUAGCAUUUACCUAUAUAAUAUAAUAUUUUUUUUAGGGGUGUCCCGCAGGGAGUGGACCCGCAAGACUAUUCCCCACCCUCAACAACUUGCUGGCAGUAAGGUUCGAACCAGGGACCUAAGUCUCCAUCUUCAGCAACCUCAACCACCAGACCAAGCCCCUGAGGGCGCACCUAUAAUAUACUAAAUAAUAUAAUUAAUAUAAUUCUAAUACUAAAUAGCAUUUAUCUAUAUAUUAUAUAAUUUUAUAAAUUAAUUUGGUAUUCGAAUGUGGUAAUGCAUUUUUUUACCGAAUUUGAAUGCGAAAUCGGUUAUUACCAAAUUCAUAAUCUCAUUACCUAUUUCAUAUCAUAUUAGAAUUCGGUGAAUUUCGGUACCGAAUUUGUAUCAAAUUACCUAAUACCCGAUUUCAAAUUACCAAAUUGCAUUUGAAUUCGGUAUGUACCGAAUUUGCUCACCCCACUCUCCACUGUCUUAUUGCAGCUUUGCUCAUGACUAUCUUGACUCUGUGGCCUCAUCUACAGCUGCACUUCCUUUCCUUCAAAGCCCAUCCUUCUAUUGUUUCAAAUGACACAACAUCGUAGCGUUGGAUAAUUUUAUAUGCGCUCAUAGUUCACAAAUUUGAUACAUUGAAAUUUGAGACCACCAACUGUGUGGCUCCAAAUUUGAACUUUUAUUGGGCUGGUCAGUUUGCUUAGUAAACAGAAAGUUCGCCUCUCGCGAUUUACAAUCCAUCUAUUUGUCUAUUAUCAGCUAGGAAAAAUGACUUGUCUCGUCCUUUAUAUUUUGGUGAAAAAUUAAUUUUAUUGUUUACUUUUAAUAUAAAGCUAAAUUAGUCCCUCAUAUUUUAAAGUGAACCAAGUUAGUCUCAAAAUAUUAGAAUCACAAUUUUAAAAAGAUGACUUUAGCAAUAAUAACUUGAAAUUCGCAGAAGAAGACAUGUAAAAUAAACAAAAGUAGACUACUAGUUGUUCUAAACGUUGAUAGGCUAUUUGUAGGAAAAUGCAGGCCAAUAGUUAUUGAGUUUCCAGUCAUAUAGAUGGUGUUGAAGAAGCUUCAAAAUUCUGACCUCUGUUUGUCUAAGCAAGAGACCACAAAAAUCAGCUUGGAAAGUUCUGAAGAGAGGAGUGUCAUCAGAAUUGCUGAUCUAAAAACAUAUAGAAAAAGUUUCACAAAUUUUCUGCAUAUGCUAUGGAAUAUAGAAUGCAAAUACAUUUUCCACAGGCAAAGGUGCAGAGAACUCAUUUCAUCCUAAUGCAAAUUGUGAGUUUAAAGCUAGGGCUAAUCUUAGAAAUAAUCUUUCACACUGUUACUUGAUUAGUUGAUUUGUUUCACUUCUCUUUUAUGCAGAACUUGCUUUGGUAACCCAAGAAAAUCUUUUGCCUUUGGUUAUUCACUACAGAAACAAGAUAUUAAGUCAAGCUUCCAUUGAAGACAUGUAACCAACGCCUAUUUAUGGUAAUGUUUAUGGACUACCAAUAACUUUCAAUCAUGAUACAGAAACCUAAAAAAGACGCCAGACAAAAUUGAAAAGGACAACAUCAUGCUAUUCUUCAUUUUUGGUCAAGUGACUACCAACAUAAGAUUUACUCAACAUCAUAUAGACCCAAUAAUUUUGGAAUAACUAUGAAUCUUGAAGUAAGAGCAUCAUUCUAGACAUACGAUUUUUAACUGCAAAUGGAGAACAGGCACUCUCAUAAAAUCAUGUUCUAUGUAAUGGAGCUAAGAUACAACUUCAAGAAGGGUGGGAAGUAGCUUGCAGAGGCCAACUAACAGACAAUAAGCAGUCAUAAGACAGACUGACAAUUUUCUGCAACUAAAUUGCAGCUAAUUUGAGAGGCAAGCAGUAUGAGACAGAAUAGCAAAUGAGGUCCAUAAUUGAUGAAUUACUACCUCAUGUCAUGACCAACAGGUUGAAGGCAUCGCAUUCACAAUGUAGAUCUCCAGCUUUGGCCAUCUCAGUCACUUAGAAGCGAAAGAGAGUGCCAUUCUAUAUGUUUGUCAUCAGUUUGAAAAUGAUGUGCUUGAAGAAGGAAUAAUGGGAUAUUGAUAGGCACGACAGUAAUUGAGCCAUUAAGGUCUCCCAUGAGCUCUGAGCAUAGCACCACUGCAAAACAGAAUACUCAAAACUCAAGACAGUGUAUAGAAAAUGAUAAAGCUAACUAGAAAAUUCGGGUAAUUGCAGGACAUUUCUUUUCAACAAAUCCUACAGAAAGUUAGAGAGAGAGAGAGAGAUUUUGUCAUUGAUAUCAAACCUAAAUUAGUAAGCAGAUACAAAAUCUUUCUGGUCAGUCUACAAGAACCAAGUAUUGUCAUGAAAAUUGUUCCAAUUUGUGCCCAAAAUUCCAAAAAAAUGACCGGUUGAGUAAUUUGAAAAAAAAAUUGUUGCAACCAAAAAACAUGACAAGCAGAGACAGCUGAAGAAUCUUCAUGAAGCGAAUUCCUAGAGAGUAGCAACCAAUUACUACCUCGAGAAUCUUCAUGAAGGCAAAUCUUCAUCAAAAAGUCCUGGUGAUGAUAGCUGUUCAAAAACAUCCAAUAAGCUGGGGCAAGGAAUUUUUUCCGAGCAGCUCGUACUGGCCAGCUGACAGUCUUGAGCAAUCAAAAACAUAGACUGAAAACUUUCUGCAAUUAGGUAACAACUAGUUUCAAGCACAAGAAGUCAGGAAUUCUUAUUGCUAGACCUCGUGACUGAAAUGGCAGAUUGACAGUGUGCAAGCUUCGACAAUAAGGAUAUUUGGCUAUUUGAGGCAGCAAUAUGAAAGAAAAGAGGGCCAUCAUAAACAUUUCUGUCCAAGAUACUGGGUUUGCAAUUGAAUGAGCAAUUACUGCUAGUUGUUCUAAACGUUGAUAGGUCAUUUGUAGGAAAUGCAGGCCAAAAGUUAUGGUGUGAAGAAGCUUCAAAAUUCUAACCUCUGUUCGUGAAGCUAUUCUUCUAUCAAUCCUACAAAAACAAAGCAUAGAACAGUAAAACAUCAAAGCACGAAACAGAACAGGUGCUUGGGGUCAUUCUAAUUGAUAGUUACAAGAGUAUUACUAUUAUGUUGUAAGGAGUAAAUGAAGAGCACCAAUAUUUUGGACCUAAUAAGAAAUGCUAAUGCCGCAGCUUUGAAACAUAAUAAAUAGGACGAUAAAAAGGGAGAAGAGAAAAUUGUGAAGAAUAACCACGGAGACUUUUUAGUUUCUUUUUUUUCACGAGAAGGUUAAUCAGAGGGUAAGGUGAAGAGAAGGCAAAUCUCAAAACCACUGGGAGGCGAAUUAGAAAAGUAGGUAAGAGGCAAUCUUACAUGAUUGAAUUUGAUUUGAAGAUGACGGUUAAUCAAAAUAUGCCUAGGUAUUGAAUGUGAGAAACUUUGGACCACUGGGAGUCGGGGCCGCUGCUCUCAGGAGUGCAUCUUUCUUUUAACAGAGGAGAACCUUCAACCUCCAGAUGUUUUAGUUUGGUGAGACUUCUCAUGGCAUCCUCAGAGGGUAGAUGUCGAAGCUCUUUGAAAAAGUAUAAAUAUAGUUUUUCAAGAGCAGCGAAGUUUCCGAACCAAUCUGGCAGAGCUUUUAUACCUCCGAAGUUAAAUAGCCAUAGUGACGUCAGAGUGGUCAAGUAUUGGAUCUGAUGUGGCAGGGACUCCAUGUGUGGCAACCCACGUAAGCAUAAUACACGGAGUGCGCAUGACGAAGAGGAGGAGGAGGAUAUCAAUCUAGACCAAUCAAACUCAUUGUAAAUUGAAGAAUUUUCAUGAUCAUCACCAUCAUCUGAGAAGGGACCAAUUGCAAGCCUGUUUAAGCUGGUUAGAAAACCAAAUCCUUUGGGCGUCAUGCUUGUUUUCAGUUUGGGACACUCGUAUAAUUCCAGCUUCAAGAGAGAAGGUGUUUGUUGCAAAUCAAGCGGAAAGGAGAUAAGAUUGUCGCACCAACGCACCCGAAGCUUCUGGAGGGAGGCACAAGAGUGUAGCAUCUCACCGGGCAGAUUCGUCAACCCAUCGCAACCCCAAAUCUGCAGCUUUUUAAGAGGCGUAAAGUUUUGCAGGGGAAGGAGUUCUCUGCAUCUGUGGCAGUGAUAAAACUCCAAACUCGCUAACUUGGGGAGUCUUGUUGUUGUUGGCAAAUCCAUUAACCAUCGAGGAAAUUGAUCGCCCAUAAAACCCCAAAUUACCAACUCCUCCAAAUUUGGGUGGGGUUGAAGGCCAUCUAACACAUCUUCAUCAUAGUUGUAGUUGUCGCAUUCUCGAUCACGGGCCCACUCAAGUCGCAGCCCAAAUAGAUUUGCCUUUUCAGAUAGUUUUGCUUCCUCAGCUUCUUCCUUAUCCUUUACUAGUUCCAGAUUGCGUAUCUCCAAAUUGCCUUUGAGGUACUUCAAGCUUCCAAGCUCUCCAAUUCGUCGACCCUUCUCUUGACCCAUUUUAAAGAACUCUAGCGUCUGAAGGCAAGUCAGCCGUCCAUAUUCAGUGGCAUUUGAAAUUCUUUAUUAUUAUUAGUGGUGUAAAAGUGGAGAUGCCUCAAGCUAAUCAAAUCGCGCAUCCCCUUCGGAAGAUCUAUAACUUCUGAGCGACUUAGCGUCAAUGUCUGCAAAUUAUAAAGCUUGCAAAGGGAGUCCGGCAAAAUACUGAUUGAAGACCUCGAAAGGUUAACGUACCGCAAAUGUAUCAGUUUGCCAAUUGAGAUUGGCAAAUUCUGAUUUUUUGCACGAGACAAAUUCAAAACGUGCAAAUUCUUCAACUUCAUUAACAUAUCGCCAGAUAAGUCCCCCUUACUAUGAACAAUGUAUGAAGUGAAGUUGAUAGACUCUCCAAAAGUUUUUCUUUGUCUUCUCUGCCACCAGAUGAGUCUAUUGCAAGGUAACGAAUCUGAUCACCAUUGUCUACUGUACAUAUAUCCCGAUCAUUAAUGACUUUGGAAGACUUUGACAAUGACUCUGCAAGGUCGUGGACCAGAUCAUGCAUCUUAUAAGAUGUUGAUGUUUCUGACUCAUCAAUUAUUUCUUCAAACAAUGAACUCUGCAAUAAAAUUCUCAGAUAAUUAAUUCCAAUUUCCUCCAUCAUCAUUUGGCUGUUGACGUCUGCUUGGAGGAAACCUUCUGCCAUCCAAAGUUCGAUUAGCAUAUCUCCUUUCAUCUCAGUAUCCUUAGGAAAUAUAGAACAAUAUGCAAAACAUUUCUUAACGUAUGGAGAUGGCAAAUUAUCAAAACUCAACUUAAGUAUUUGCAUCACACGAUCUUCAUCUCCACUCAAACUCGAAAGCCUAUUCUCCAAAAUUGAUCGCCACUCCUCUUUUAUAUGUAAAGAUGAUAGACCUCCGAUUGCACUUGCAGCCAAUGGUAGACCAUCACAUCUUUCGAUUACUCUCUCUCUAAUUGCUUGUAGUUCAUCAGGUACUUCUCCCUCUCGAACUGCUUUUUCUUUUACGAUAGACCAACAAUGAUCAACAGGUAGUGUAGUGGGGCCCACGUGCACGUCGGCCUGGCCCGCAAGCUCGGCUAGAAGGAGGUUCUCGGCCCAUCAGGUCGGCUUGGGGGCCCAGAGGGCGCGGUCUCCCCAAGCGGAUGGGCCGCGCGGGCUGCCGAGCCCAAGCACGCCUUAACUGAGUUAUGGAGCCCUAGGGAGAGUUCUGCUCCCAUAAGGACUCCCUGUUCUACUAGGAGACUACUACCUGUGACUCUAUAAAUACCACGCGUAGGAAAAACACAAGGUACGCUACUCAUAGCAUAAGCACUACUCUUUUAUUUACAAGUCUGUUCUGACUUGACCGUCGGAGUUGCUUCAGGGGACUCAGCCCCGCAGCUCAUUUCCGUGCAGGUCGAACGCUUGACCAGCUCGAUCCCCGAUCACGAGGCCAGUUCGGACCUUCACCUCGGCAGUCGCAUCAAUUGGCGCCGUCUGUGGGAACACGUUACUUUUCUUCAUGAAUCAUGCCGAAAACUAGGUCGCAAAGAAACGCUGUUGGAUCCAAGGGGAUGGAGCGAGGCGGCCCCCAAAACUCUCAUCGGGAUCCGACACCUGAAGAAGGAGGGGCGGGGCCCUCACGAAUUUCGCCCGAACAGCUGGUUCAAACGGUGGCAGCAAACCUGCCCACCUUCGAGGCGAUCAUGAACUACCUCAAAGAGCAGUCGGGAGGUCAGUCCGACAAGGAGCCUAAGGUCCAAGGAGCCGACCUGUCAGGGUCCCGAACUGGUAGUCCCAAUCACGGGGCCAAGCGGGCGCAUCGGGAACUCACGCGUGAGCAGGUCGAGGUCGUAGAGCCAUCUCACAAGAACUCCCGAACUGAACAUCCGGAGCCCGUCCGGAGGCUCUCCCCCCGGAGGGAGCGACAACAGGUACGGGACGAGCUGGACCUAAUGCUCGACCCGGAGGCGGACAGGUACAUUGCUUCCCCCUUUGCGCUUGACAUCGAGGAAUACCAACUGCCCGCGAAGUUCAAAAUUCCAACGAUGAAAUCUUACGACGCCACUAUGGAUCCGGAAGACCACCUGUUCGUGUUCAUGACGUAGAUGCGCUUACAAACGGCCGCGGAUGCGGUCAGGUGCAAGACCUUCCCGAUGUUCCUAGAAGGAAGGGCUCGGCAGUGGUUCCAGGGACUUCCCCCCAGAUCGAUCAGUUCUUUCACCCAGCUCGCGCGACUGUUCUCAGCACAGUUCGUUUCCUCACGAGCCUUCUCUAAAAGCACCGCUCACCUUCUGACCAUCCAACAAAGGGUCGAGGAAUCACUGCGUGAGUACAUGGUGCGGUUCAAUAACGAAUCCCUCCAGGUCCGCGACCGAGACGACAAGGUGGUCAUGGCUGCCUUCAUUAACGGGCUACGGAAGCAGAAGUUAUACACCGAGCUCGUGGAGAGACCGCCCAAGUCAGUUCGGGAGAUGCUGGAUCGAGCUCAUGAGAAGGCCAAUGCUGAGGAGGCCAAUCGCUUGAAGAGCGCUCAGGAGAGGCAGAGGGAUGACAAGCGCCGAAGGAUAACCGACCAAGGGGACGUGCGACGUGACCAAGGGCGGAAGAAUACCUAUGACCACCCGCCUAGAAGCCGGCCCUUAGGGGGGGACAAGCCUUGGACUUCCCUCACGGCCCCCCGAGCUCGGGUCCUUGCGGUGAUGGAGCAGGAAGGGCUUUCCCGACCUCCCCGACCCUUGGCCGGGGAUAGAGGCAGACGAGAUCAGGACCUGUACUGUGCAUAUCACAGGGAUGUGGGGCACGACACUGAGGACUGUCGUCACCUAAAGAAGGAGAUCGAAAAGCUGAUACGAAGAGGUCAUCUCGGGCAGUUCGUCCGUGACGGGCGAGCAGAUCAGAAGCCAGGGGGAUUCAAGCGAGAUCGGACGACCAGCUCGCACGACCGACCUCGAGGUCCCCGUGAUCGGACUCCGGAGCAGGGGGUUCAGAACCUAGCCGGGGUAAUCAACACCAUUGCAGGGGGACCUGCGGGGGGAGAUAGCCAUACGGCUCGGCGGAACAACCGGCCUCCCCCCAGCGGGGAGAGCUCGAACAAACGUUUAAAGAUGUACGAGGAGAUCAUCUAUGGGCCAGAGGACGCGGUACCUUUAGCCUCCAACAACCAUGAGGCGAUUGUGAUAGAAGUCAUCACGUGCAACUACAAAGUAAAGAAGGUAUACAUCGACAAUGGGAGCGCCAUCGAUGUGUUGUAUUACAAAACUUUCAAAGAGCUGCAGUUGGAGGAUAAACAGCUCAUUCCAGUUCGUACUCCUCUGAUAGGAUUUGCAGGUCCGCCCGUAAGACCAGAGGGAAUGAUAACUCUCAGGGUCACUGUGGGGGAAUCGCCGAAGUGCCGAACUAUUCCGGUGAAUUUUGCAGUGGUAAAGGAGCCGUCCUCCUACAACAUGAUACUAGGGCGUCCAACAUUAAACGCACUCUGAGCUGUCUGCUCGACCUUGCACCUCAGCAUGAAGUUUCCAACGCCUGAGGGGGUGGCCGAGGUGCUAGGAGACCCGGAGGUAGCACGAGCCUGCUAUAUCGCAACCCUCAAGGGUAAGGAGAAGCUGGUGGCGCAGACAGUCCUUCUGGAGCCCUGGGAGCCUACUGAGAAGGAGGAGAGGUUGGAGACGGACGAGAAUCUGGUUGAAUUGCCUAUCUGCACCGAGCGACCCGAUCGUGUGGUUAGGGCGGGAUCUGGACUAAACGAACUGACGCGGAGAGCCCUGGAGUCUCUCCUGGAGGAGUAUGCCGAGAUCUUUGCUUGGAGUGCUGAUGACAUGCCGGGAGUUCCUCCUGAACUGGCAGUUCACAAGUUGCAUGUGGAUCCAAGCAUCCGGCCAGUGAAGCAGAAGAAGAGAAACUUUGCACCUGAACGCAACGAGGUUGUCAAAGAAGAGGUAGGCAAGCUGUUGGAGGCCAGAAUGUGAAAGAGAUCUACUAUCCGACCUGGCUGGCCAACCCGGUGCUGGUCAAAAAGGAGGACAAGGCUUGGCGAAUGUACGUGGACUUCACCGACCUGAAUAAAGCUUGUCCGAAGGAUUGUUAUCCCCUCCCUCGCAUCGACCAGCUGGUAGACUCGACUGCUGGAUGCGAGAUCUUCUGUUUUCUGGAUGCCUUCAAAGGGUAUCAUCAGAUAGCCCUGGAUGAGAAGGAUCAGGAGAAGACUGCCUUCAUCACCGAGUACGGCACGUACUGUUAUACUACCAUGCCCUUUGGGUUAAAGAAUGCUGGCGCGACCUAUCAGCGGCUGGUCAACAAGAUGUUCAGAGGCCAGAUCGGCCGAAACAUGGAGGUAUAUGUGGAUGACAUGCUGGUGAAGAGCCGGACUCAGGAGCAGUUGAUCAGCGACCUCCGGGAGAUCUUUGGCGUCCUAAGGAGCUCGCGGAUGCGGCUAAACCCCAAGAAGUGCACUUUCGGGGUCAGGUCGGGCAAGUUCCUUGGGUAUAUGAUAUCUAAGGGCGGAGUAAGAGCUAAUCCCGACAAGGUAAAGGCUAUCAUGGAUAUGGCUCCUCCCCGAAGCAUAAAAGAGGUCCAACGGCUGGCGGGCAGGAUGGCGGCCCUAAACAGGUUUUUGUCCAAAUCUGCAGUUCGGGGUUCCCCUUUCUUCAAAGCUUUGCGAAGAGGGCCUCAGUUUGAAUGGACCCCCGAGUGUCAGCAAGCGUUUGACGAACUAAAAGCCCACAUCGCUCAGUUGCCAUCCUUGACCUCUCCCGCGCAAGGAGAAACCUUAUUCAUCUAUCUGGCAGUAGAGGAGGAGGCAAUCAGUGCGGUUCUAGUUCGGGAAGAGGGCAAAAUCCAGAAGCCCGUAUACUAUGUCAGCCGGGCUCUGCAGGGCGCGGAGCCAAGGUACACCUCGAUUGAGCGGUAUGUUUUGGCAUUAGUUCACGCGGCCCGGAAGCUCAGGUCGUAUUUCCAAACUCAUCCCGUGAUAGUAAUGACCGACCAGCCUCUCAAGCAAAUUCUUUCGAAACCCGAUGCCUCGGGAAGAAUGGUGAGGUGGGCUGUGGAGCUGUCCGAGUACGAUCUCAGCUACCAACCCCGCACGGCCAUUAAAGCCCAAGCAUUAGCAGAUUUCAUAGCCGAAGGAAUUUCCUUUGGGCAACAGGAAUCGCAUGCCGAGCAGUCCAGAGACGCAGCUAAGGCCGAGCAGGCCGGAGAGGCUGCCGAGGUCGCGCAGGCCACCAAGUUCGAGCUGACCCAAGACGCAGCUGAGGCCAGGCAGGCCGGAGAAGCUGCCGAGGUCACCAAGUUCGCUAAGACUUCCAAGGCCGAACAUACCAUAGACGCAGCUAAGGCCGAGCAGGCUAGUGAACCUGCCGAGGUCAUACAGGCCACAAUGGAAGCCACGGACGAUCUAAACGGAAACGCAGUGGAGGCCGAGCAGGUCAGAAAAGCUGUGAAAUACGAACAGGCCACCGGAAAGGUGGGUCAGUCCAUUCCAACCUGGACUCUGUUCGUGGACGGCUCGUCAAGCCAGGAAGGAUGCGGAGCAGGACUUCUCUUGACCAGCCCCAUGGGGGAUGAAUUAGCCUACGCCCUAAGGUUUGAUUUCAGGGCCUCCAACAACGAGUCCGAAUACGAGGCCCUGGUCGCGGGGAUGGUGAUAGCUCGAAAGUUGGGGGCCGAAUCAAUAGAAGUCUACAGCGAUUCGCAGCUGAUAGUAAACCAGGUAGGGGGAAGUUUUGAAGUCAAAGAGGAGCCACUAAAAAGGUACGUCGCAAAAGUGCAUGAGCUGAGAGCUCAGUUCAAACUGUUCACGCUCAAGCAGGUCCCGCGAAGCCAGAAUAAAAGGGCAGACGCACUGUCCAAGCUCGCCUCCACCUCAGUCGGCACAUUGAACAAAAAGGUCUUGGUGGAGGUCGUCAGGAGCCGGGCAUAUGAUCAGGUAGAUGCGGCCGUUAUUCAAGUAGUGAGCUCCUGGAUGGAUCCCCUCGUGCGAUACCUGGCCAAUGGAGAGCUCCCCUCAAGUCGGGUGGAAGCACGACGAAUCCUUCUCAAGUCGCGGGGGUACGAGCUCUCGAAUGGGGUACUCUACAAAAAAUCAUACCUGCGUCCAUGGUUGAGGUGCGUAACUCCGGAGGAGGGAGACUAUAUCCUGCGUGAGCUGCAUGAGGGUAUCUGCGGGAACCAUGUCGGACCAAGAGUUUUGGCCAAAAAAGGAAUGUUGUCUGGAUAUUACUGGCCCACUAUCUUCUUGGACUCAGCCGAACUGGUGGCUCGGUGCAAACCCUGCCAGCUGCACGCUCCGAUCCACCACGCCCCAACUCAGGAGAUGGUGCCUCUUCAGAGCCCUUGGCCUUUCUUCCAAUGGGGGAUAGACUUGCUGGGUCCGUUCCCUCGAGCUCCUGGGGGCUAUGAGCACGUGGUGGUGGCUGUGGACUACUUCACCAAGUGGGUGGAGGUCGAGCCCCUUACCACCAUUAGCAGCAGGUCGGUCCAAAAAUUUCUCUGGAGAAAUAUCGUUUGUCGAUUUGGUAUACCUCGGGUCCUGGUCUCAGACAAUGGGCGACAGUUCGCGGACAGUUCUCUCCAAGGCUGGUGCACGGAGCUCGGGAUCCGACAGCACUUCACCUCGGUAGGUCAUCCCCAAGCCAACGGGCAGGUCGAAAACGUUAACAGGACUGUCCUGCACGGUUUGAAGACGCGGAUGGAGUCCGCUCGAGCGGGGUGGCUGGACGAGCUGCCCACCAUCCUAUGGGCCUACCGAACCACUCCCCGAACUGCCACUCAGGAGACUCCUUUCGUUCUGACCUAUGGAACGGAGGCUGUGAUUCCUGCGGAGAUAGGUGUUCCUUCGAACAAGGUUCAGAACUUCAUAGCUCAGGACAAUGAAGAUGAGCUGCGUCUUAACCUGGAUUUGCUGGAAGGAAGGAGAGAAGAAGCGGCUAUACGCAUGGCUAAGUAUAAAGGACAGGUUGCGCGACAUUACAAUGCUAGGGUGAGGCCUCUAUCCUUCAAACCAGGGGACCUGGUCCUAAGGAAGAACAGCGUAAGUCGGUUUCGGGGCACGGGCAAGCUGAAUCCAAAUUGGGAAGGACCCUAUGUGGUGAAAGAAGCGGACCGAGCUGGAUACUGCAAGUUAACUCACCUAAGCGGAGAAGAGGUCCCGCGUACUUGGCACAAUUCCAACUUAAGGAUUUUCCGUUAAGCUCGCGCAUGACAGUUCGUUUCAAGGUCAAGACUUUGAUUAAUGUUAAUGUAUUUGGCUAGUAAGUUAUUUCAGCUUAUAGAAUAGCUCGUUUAGGUUGGCAUAGGGCCGAACUGGUAUGUCUUAUUAUGAGAAACCUUGCGAAUGCGAUUAAGUAUAAAGCAAGAGGAAGGCUUUUCAUUUCAUUCAAUAAAAACUGUACAAGGAAGAACAGAGCUCAUACAAAACGAAUUGCCUACUGACAGUUCGGGUCCUAUCCUAAGUCUUACUCUAGUUCUCCCCCUCCUCCUCCUCCUGCUCGGAUUCGGGGGUGGUCACUGGCAGCAGGGGGUCAGCGACCAGGUCGGUCAAUUUCCGUCCAUGAGUGUAACCCUCUACCAAGCGGUCGAUCUGCUCCACGGCCCGGGGAUUGUAGCUGGGAAAGUUUCCCAGGUCGAACCCGGGCAGACCUAGCCCUUGCACUUCCUUCAGGGCUUGGGAAUACCCAUGUUGCAGAACGGGGGUGUUUAAGAUAGCCAGAUCGCCCCUGAAGUCAUCCGACCUGAGGAAGGCCCGCACGCCCUCCUGGCCUCCCUCAGCCCUGGCCGCUUCCGCCUGAGCCGCCAGCUCGGCUGCCUUCUGCUGCUCCUCUUUCAGCUGGGAGGUCAGCUCGGAAUUUUUCUUCAGCUCUAGCUCGAAGUUUGUAUGGACCUGCGCGAGUUGCUUCUUCAGGCCUUCAGCUUCGGCCACAGCUGCUUCGUUCUGGCUGAGCAGUUUCUCGUUGGCCGCCUUUGUUUCAUUCAACAGGGGGAGCAGGCUUUCGUAGCGCUUGGCCAGUUCGGACCCAACCAGGUUCACCUGAGCCGUUCCCGUGUAGAAGUAGUUGAGGAGGUCGGAUGACUCCAUGGCCUUGGUCAAAUUGUAGUCCCGUGGGAGGAUGGCCCCGUGAGCGAGCUCCCGCGCCACCUCGGGGAACUGAGCCCGGUCAUUUAUGGAUAGCUUCCACUGGGGGCAGAAGUGCAUGGGGUGCUGGUGCGUCGUCAACCGAGUCUGGGGGUCGAAGAGCAGGGAGCUCUGGCGUUGCCACAGGUUAGGGGGAGCUUCAGCUCUGGCUUGCUCUUCGGCGGUGGUCACGCCGUAGUGGCCGCCUUGGGCAGGCUCAGGUGUUGACCUCUCCUCCCUAGCUGGGGACGAGGGCGUCUCCACCCUGGCUCUCUUAGCAGUUGUCUUCUUUUUCUUUUUCUUUCCAGCCUCAACCGCCUUGGAGGAUUGGGCGGGAGCUGGCUGAGGUAUGGGAGCUGGCACCGAGCUGGCUGGAAUGGCCGAGGGACUCUGAGUGGUAGCGCCUGGGUUGGUAGUACCACCGAUGGACAGAAGUGAGGAAAACCGCUUCACUGCACAAACAGAAGUCCAGGAGGUCAGCAGAUGCCCAUAUAUACAAAAAAAAAAAAAAAGAGGAAAAGACGGAAGGGCAGGAUAGUUACAGGUGUCCAGCUCGCCCGGGGUGAGUGGCCUGUCCUCUGGCGAGGGAUCCGAGGAGCUAGCUCGGAUCAACCCCGCCGCCCAAAGCUGGUCAUUGCUGAACUCUUUCACGUCCAGCUUCACGUCCGAGCUGAGUAGGCGGCUAAGCUCGGACACGGGGAGCAGGGAUGGAAGGGGAUCUGAGACUUGAGUCUCUGCUCUCCAAGUAAGGGGAGGAAAACCUAGGUUCUUCACGAAAAAGAACUGAGGCUUCCAGUCCUUGAUAGAGGAAGGUGCCCCCGUGAACAGCUCGCGGGUGGGGGUUUUUGCUCCACUUCGGCGGGCAAAGUAGAACCACCCAGGCACCUUCCCGCUGACCUUCAUCUGGAAGAAGGCACGGAACAGGUCGAGAGAAAAGGAAAUUUCGAGUGUUCGGCAAAGGAUGAAGAAGCCUAUGAUAGAGCGAACAGCGUUGGGGAUGACCUGGGUUAUGCGAAUACCCCAGAAGGUAAGAAUGAAGAAGAGGAAGUUGGGGAUGGGCAGACGGAGGCCAGCCAUUAGCUGGUCCCUGUAGAUCGCCACGAAACCAGUGGGAGGUCGGCUGGCAACCUCCCCUGGAUGCGCGGCCCUGGGCUCGAAUUGGGCUGGGAUUUCAUAUUUUUCCGCCAGCUCGUCAACAUCUUUUUGCUCCAAGGCUGGGGGAAUAGUGUCGACCUCUCCGAAGUCGCCACUUGGCCCCCUCGAGGUCCCCGCUGCCAUCUGACCCGGAGCUGCCUGAUCAGCUGCUCCGACUAGAGGCUGGGCAGGUCGCUCGGCUGGGCUCAUUACUCUAACAGGGGACAGGUUAGGAGAGGCUACUGGUCUCGGUCCAAAGGAAAUAGAAGGAGAAGAGCUAAAGGAAUCUAAAGAGCUGCUAUCUAAGAGUAUGGGGCUAGCUGCUCUAUGCCUAUGGGUUGAACUGGUGACGUCAGAACUAUCAGAACUGUAAGAAGACAUAAAAAGGAAAGGGGGACUUACUGGUGAAAGGAUGACCUAAGGAAUGCGCGGGCUGAUUCUGGGCUCCUAGGGCGGGGCGACCCGACGUGUUCUCGAAGAGAAAAGGAUGAAGCAGCGAGCUAGGGAUUGAAGGAGCGAACUGAGGAAAUGAGAGAAGGAGAGUGAAAAUGACGCUUGGAGGAUCCUAUUUAUAGGCAACGACAGCGCGGGAAAGCGAAGAGGCGCGCAUUUAUUCGAACAGUUUAUGGGGAACCGUUCCUAACCGCCCUAAUUAGCCGAGGCGACGGUUGAGGUGACAGGCGCGAACUGACGCGACGGUUGCUUGCGCCACUCUCUGACGGGGGGUCCCACAAUGAGCUGACACGACCUCCUGGAAUCCGGCCUAGAUUCACGCGCACGAUCGAUGACUCUAGACCUGAGGGGGGGCUAGUGUAGUGGGGCCCACGUGCACGUCGGCCUGGCCCGCAAGCUCGGCUAGAAGGAGGUUCUCGGCCCAUCAGGUCGGCUUGGGGGCCCAGAGGGCGCGGUCUCCCCAAGCGGAUGGGCCGCGCGGGCUGCCGAGCCCAAGCACGCAUUAACUGAGUUAUGGAGCCCUAGGGAGAGUUCUGCUCCCAUAAGGACUCCCUGUUCUACUAGGAGACUACUACCUGUGACUCUAUAAAUACCACGCGUAGGAAAAACACAAGGUACGCUACUCAUAGCAUAAGCACUACUCUUUUAUUUACAAGUCUGUUCUUCAGGGGACUCAGCCCCGCAGCUCAUUUCCGUGCAGGUCGGACGCUUGACCAGCUCGAUCCCCGAUCACGAGGCCAGUUCGGACCUUCACCUCGGCAGUCGCAUCAGGUAGUUUUCCUAAUCGAUAGGCUUCAUUUUCCAUCAUGAAAACUCUAGACACACACUGCGCCACUGGACCUGGACGAGUAGUGACCAAACACCAGCUUCCAUUGGUUGGAUUGAGCCCCUUCAAGGUGUUGAAAAAGUCCUCCCACAAUGCUUGAUCAUCAUUCCACACAUCAUCAAGGACUAGGAGAUAUCUUUUUCCCCCUGGGUUGUUCCCAAUUUUUUCAACGAUGACGUCCCUAAGAUCCACUUCAACCUUUUCUUUCGUCAAAUGCACUAAUAUGAGUUUGAAAAGCUCCUCUAUUGGAACUUUUUUCGAUACACAAACCCAAAUCUUUAUGUCAAAGUGUUCAUCAAUUUGCUUGUUGUUGUAUAUGGAUUUAGCCAAAGUUGUUUUGCCUAAACCUCCCAUACCAACUUUGGGAAGAACAGAAACAACCUUCUCAGACAGGCUCAACAAAAUCUUCACUAUCUCUGAUUCAUCAUCGGCUCUUCCAACCAUUGGAGCAACAACAGAGUCGGUCUGCCGACCUCUCGUGCCUCCAACAGCAGGAGCAGCAGGGAGGGCAGCAGGCACGACUGACUUACUUCCAGUCCAAAAUCACGGGCUUGUUGAUUUAUCUCCUUCAACUUCAGUUUGACGUCCCUGACCUUAGAAGCCAUUCUCCAACGAAAAGCAAUAUUAAUGUUAGAGAAGGAGAAGAAGCAGCAUACCUUGAGCUUGUGUCGGUUUCGGGACUCCACCUGGUGACGAAGAGAUUCAUAGUGGAGCUCAUCCAACACAUUCUGAGCAUCAUAAGCCACCUCCUCGAGACACUUCAACCAUUCAUGCACUACCCGGUCCUGGUUUUGUUGCUUUUCCUCAGCAUCAGACAAGCGAGCAUUGAUAAACCGAAGAGAUCGAGUCAUGCUGGCCAGAUCCUUCUUGAACCCAACUAACAUACCAAUCCUAUCAGAGGCAAGAGACAGUGCCGUUUCCAAUGUGACCUGAAUUGUGGCACCGAUAACAGGGUCGGCCAUUGGUGUUGCCUUGGAUUCAGUGUUGAGAACAAGAUGUUUUUUUUUUUUUAUGGAAAGUUUUUUGCAGCGAGGAACUGGUAAUCUUACCUAGGCUACUAUAAUUGGUUAUAAAGAACGGAGCGUUAAUAAUUAUUGCGCGUAGACCUGGAGUUCUUCUCUGGCAAAUUUGUAAGCUUUUGCAUGGGCGUGUUUACAGAGUAACUUUCUCAAUUAUUGUAGUUGUUGGGGCACAUGUUUUCUGAUUAAAUGCCGGGGCCUUCAGAAUUUUUGGUUGUGGACCAUAUUUGUUUUUGUCCACGAUCAAAUCGUAAAAAGGAGAGUGAGAUUCUGCUUUGGUUACAUGCAUGUCAUUGUUAUUUGUUAAUCCUUGGAAAAUGAAUUUAUGACAUAAUUUGGUCUGAAUGUUGUUCGGUUUUGGGAAGCAAUAAUAAUAAUGUUCUCUGUUUUCGCACUAGCUAUGAUGCAUUUUGCUUCUUGGCUUAGCAAUCAGGCUUGAGAUUUUAAAUUACCUUUUGUACUUCAGCGUUUCAAGUAUAUAACAUGAUCGGUAUGAAACCCUAGCCUUCUACUCCUCUCUUUAAAAUCUGAUAGUCUUUAAUUCAAAUCGAUAUUAAUCCUUUUUGUUAUAUUAUUUCUUAUUACUUUCCUUUUCUAGUUGAUUUUGGAUCCUUUUUUUUAUUACUUUUCUAAAUUUUUCUCCUCAAACUGGAUGUCUCUCAAUCUCUCUUGUGGGAAUUCAACAUACUUUAAGAUGAAUUUCAUUUUGUCAUUAUCAAGUUUGCACUUGAAGAAUUAAAGUUCAUAUGGGGCUAAGUCAUACUAAUUUCAUAUCUUUGACAUUUAUUUAUCACAAACCUCAAUUCUUCUUUCCUCUAGUGUUUCUUUUCUAUAUCAACUCUCCUUAAUCCCAUUAUUGUCUCACAGCAUAAUCCAGAAAGUGUCAGUAUAUAAGAAUUCUUUUGAAGUAAUUAUUACUAAUAUAUAGUUUCCGUUUCUUGUGGAAUGUUCUGAAUCUUUCCUAAAGCACCAUUUUCCAAUUUGAGUUCCAGAAUUGUUGCAAACUUUUUUGAUUUGCGCAUCACUUUGCAUGUAAGAAUUCAAAAUUUCACCACCAAUUAAAUAUAUAGUUUUCCUCGCAACUUGUCCCGUUUGGAUUGCUAUUUUUAGGAAUUUUUAGCUGUUGCUUGGCAUUUUCAAUUCACCUUUCUUUGUAGUGUAGUAGUUGCCGGGAUUCUUCAGCUGCCGUUGAUCCACAUGCCACAUGCUUGGGGGGCCAUCGGAUGUGGAAAUUUCCACCCAAGAAGGAAAAGAAACCGUGUUGAAUGAUGAAGAAAAGAAAAUGGCAAUCAUCAUUGACACUCUAAUAAUUGCCAUGGAGAAGUUUGCCUGGCAAUUUCACUUGGCUUUAUUGAUCAAUGCUUAGCUGGGUAUUUCAUCUUUUUCUGAUUGAAAGCUGGCUGGGGCCUUUGGCUGUGGAAAAUAUCUCAAUAGUUUGUCGGAGCUGUGGUUUGACCCAAGACUGACCCCCGCCACAAAAAAAAAAAAAAAAAAAAAAGCCUAUGUUCAACGAUCAAAAUGUAAAGGAGAAAGAGGAAAUGACAACCAUAGCUGGUGACUUUGCAACAUUAAUUGCCUCAGUCAUUAAUCCUUGGGAAAUAGACUAAAAACGUUAUUUUGUGGGGGAAAAACUUAAAAAAUAAUCCGUGGUUCACUUGUCAAAAACAUGAAGUGGAGUUAGCAAUCAGGUUUGGCAUGUAGCGACAUAAUUGGCCAAUGGUUGGGUGCUUUCUUAGCUUUUUACACUUGUGAAAUUGCCAAAACAGUCGCUCGUAAUUCCACAAGCUUUCUAGCACUUUAAAAAUUCAAACAUUUUGUUUCAAAAUGUCUUGUUUAUGUACAGCAUACAAAAUUUAAGUGGUGAAAGUUUAAGGCGUUUCUUUAUUACUAUAUUUUUUUGAAGUACAAUAUACAAUCAACUGGAGUUAGAAGUAAAAUAGACCUUUAGCUCACACUAUGAUUAUAAACUUUGACUGAAUUGGAUGUUUUGGGAAGAGGGAAAUGAGCGUGUUCUUGCAGAUUUCAAUUUUUACAAUUGAAUUAUUUGCCUAUGAUAUGAUCACAAGUUUAACUUAAAUGGAGUUGCGAUAAUAGAAGAUUCUCGAAAGAAGACUUCAAAAGGUGGAAAUUGAAAAUGAGUGGAAAUUAAUGAGGAAUUAACCAAUUAUUUGGAUUCCCAUUUUUGUAUCCGACUCUUUUAUAAUUAGUUUUUCUUAUAGUUUUUCUCGCUCCUAACAAAUUUAUCUAAAAAGAUAAAUUUGAAUUAUUUGUUCUUAUGGUUCCUCUCUCUUCUAACAAUAUGAUAAAUUUGUAUAAAUUUGUUUAUCCAUAUGGAUUAACUUAGUGUUAAAAAAUUUUUAACUGUUAGCUGAUAGAUUUAUCAAUAUUGCUGGAAAUUAAAUAUUUUUUGAUGUAGAAAACAAAUCGCAAAAUCUUUUGUACUUAGUUAGGUAGGAAAAUGUAACUAGGUUUAUGGUUAUUAUAAAAAUUGUAAUUAUCUAAAAAAUAUCCGUACACAAAAAGGUAGAAUAUCUAUUGAUUUUUUAAUAUGUGUUAUCAUAUUUGAUGAAUAUUAUUAUAUUAUAGUAAAACUAUGUAAAGAAGUUUUUAAAAAUUAGUAUGAUAGUUAAGUAUAAUUAUUCCAUUAAUUUUCUAAAAUUAAUAUGAAUGAACUUGUAAGAUCAUCAUUAAUUUUUUAUUUAAAUUAUUCAUGCUUGCACGAAUUCAGAAGAAAAUAAAAAAAUAAACCAUGCCAAGGCAAAUGCAAGAUGCUCGUUCAAAUUAAUGUUGUACACGUAUAGGAGUCACAAAACGGUUUGGUGCACUAGCAGACGAAAGGGGACAUCUAAAGUAUUAGGACAAGUUUUACAUUAAAGUGGGAGAUUUGUAACGCAAUUGAGCGAAAACAAAUGAGGUUGAGGAAAACUUUAUAUCAGUUGCAAUACAUUCAUAAAAGCUAUGGCACAUUCGUUAAAAUAAGAAAUAUUUAUUAAUUUGGUGCAGUGUAAUAGCAAACCAAGGAAAAAAAAUAUGAAUGAUCCGUGAGAGGGAAAGAUGUCAUUUGACUUAAAAUAAAAGUGUGAUUGGAUAGAGGUUUAGAUGAACAAAAAAAUUAGAUUAAUAUUGUAACACUUUUUGUGGCUUGAUAUAAUAUAUAUGAGAUAGAAUGAUGACUGGUAAAAUAAAAAAAAUGAUUCAGGUAAAUAUAAAUAAUUUUUUUCAUAUAUUUGCGUAAUGAUGAUAAUGACAGGGUGAAAACAAUGCAUGCAAAGACGAAGGUUGAUAAUAAUAAUGAUAACUAUGGUGAGAUAGAUAGCAAUUGCAAGUUGCACACCAUGCAAUUAGUGUUUUAGAUUAGGUAAAUUUGCACACCACUAUUGCAAAUAAUUCAGUCAAUAAGAGAUAGGAAAACAUAAUGCACGAAAUCCAACUUUUAGAAUUGUGUUAUAGUUUAAUGAUGACUAUGUGGUGUUUUUGUAGACAAAUAAACAGAAAAACAAAUAAAUAUACAAAUUUGAUAAAGAAAGGUGCACUUCUACAGGACCGAAACUAAUUGCUCUUAGGUCCCAUUUUGCUAUUUUUUAAAGUUUUUAUAGAGACUUUUUCGUUUGGAUUGCUAUUUUUUGAAAUUUUUAUAGAAAAAUGUAUUGUAGAAAUUUAAUAUCUAUGAGAUAAAAAAGUAAUUAAAAUAUGUGUUUAUGAAAAACAUUAAAAAUAUUCCGUAGUAGACUGCAAUCCUAGCAUGGCUUGCGAUUUGAUCAAUAUGAAAUAAAAAAGUAAUUAAGAAAUGUGUUCACAAAAAAUGUAAAAAAUUUGCCUUAGAAAACUACAAUCCAAACAAGUAGUCUUCUCCCCGUUCAAGAAACGCAAUGAAAAUAUUUGUUGAAUAAUUAAACUUAUCCUUUCAUAAGCCACUUAUACCGGGGGAGGUAUGGAGGGAGGCAAUGAAUAAAAAGUCUUGGGUUCGAUUCCUCCCACUUACACAAAGAAAAAAGUAUAAAAUAAAAUAAAAAAAAAAACCACUUAUACUAGCUAAGAGUAUUUUCUGGUCACGUCUCGUGUUAUAUAUUAUUAAUCCUAUCAUAUUAUCCAAAAGCAUUUGUUGGAAAUUGCAUUCUUAAUUUAGAUUAAAAAAAACAAUAAUGAAAUAUUUGUUGGAAACGAAGGAAAAGUGACGCAACCUUUCCAAUUUGUAAAUUCAAUUAGGCUUACAUGUAAAACUAUUAAAGUGUAUCAGCAUGAGAGAAUUUAGUGCUUCAUCUGACGCUUGUAAAAUAGACAAAUGAAGUUUUGAAAUUCUAGCACUUUUGGACCAAUACCUUUUUUUUAAGGCAAAACCAAUACCUUAGGUAACCACAAGAUCUCAUCUUGAUUUGCUGUUUUUCUUAUUAAAUGUUGAAUCUAGAAAAUCAUGUCUCAGAAAUAACUACAUAUACCUGGAAAAAAAAUUUAGUGCUAGGAUAAAUAUACUGCUAAGUUAUGGAAAUUCUCUUUUCCAUUUUAGCAAUUUGAUUCUUUGGACGCAUGAUUCUAUCUGUUAUAUUUGGCUUCAAAAUAUGUUACUUUAGAAUGGUGUUUGGAUGUGGAUACAUAAUCUGUAAUUAUUCUCACCUAUAUUUAUUUUCUAAAGGUCUGUCCACUUUAUUCGGAUUUCUUACCUAUUUCACUCACAAAUGCAGAGGUAGCCAUUGGCGUUUUACGGUGAAGAGAAGCCAAAAAAACUACCAACCCCUUUAUUGCUCUCUUUCAUCUUAUUUCUCCAUCUUUCAUCCUUCUUUUUCGUUGUGACCUACAAUUAGGACUGCAAACCACUCAAGCGCUAGCGAGCCAACUCAGUCAAAAGUUAAAUCGAGUUCAGGUAAUACUGAAUCCGAGUUGAGCUCAAUCCAACCAAGUUGAGCUACCGAAUUCAAGUCGAACAUAAAGAAAUUCAAUUCAUUAAUUGACGAGUUAGCUCGAAUAUAUAUAUAUUUAUAUAUAUUAUUUUAAUAUUGAUAUUACACAUAUAUCUGCCUAAUAUUUUUAUUAUUUACUAAGCAAAAAAUGAAUAUUUUAUUCUUUUUUAAAAGAAACAAAAUAAUUAUUUUUUAUUUUUUAAGGUCGAGCAAGCUCAAGCUUGAGUAUUCGAGUUUGAUUAGACUCGAAUUUGAAGUCGAGAAUGAACUCGAAUUUUACAUUGAAAACUCGUCGAGUUCGAAUUUGGUAAAACUGAGUCGAGCUUGACUUUAUUAAGCUAAAAGUGGACUCAACUAGUUCAUUUGUAACCCUACUUACAAUGCUUUGAUCACCAUUUUAGAAAGUUUAGUUGUGGGCCUUGGUGAACUGUUAACGGGGAUGCAAUUUGUUGACAUGCAAUUGGCUAAUCAUCCAAGUAUUGCUACUGCUCUAUACAGUUUUAACAAAGUGGCCGAAAUUGAUAAAAGGAAAAACUGUUACAGCAUUAGUGAUUUAUUGGUUGUAAACACUUGCCACAAGAAAAUGCAUUUGCUUAUCCGAACACUAUCCAUGAACCGUUCAGUAGGUGCUUGUCUUCAAUAAUUUCUGAAAGAUUAUAUAAUGUGUGAAUGUUUCAAAAAGACAAUACAAUAUGCAAAAACUAUUCACUGAUAGUUUCCAAAAGGAGUUUAAUUAAGCUUUACUUGUCGGUUUAUUGUUUGAGACUCUGACUUAGCAUCUAUAAAUGAAUGCAAUAACUGGUAGGGAAAAAAUCAUUCGAUUGUGAUGUAUUUUUUGAUUUUCUUGAAAUAAAAAAUGCAUAGGGAAAAAAAUAUUAGAGAUUUAUCCUUUGCAUGGAGUUCAUAUCGUUACUACUUUUGCUACGUGGAAUACCUUGUCUGAUGGAUGUCUGCUUGAAAUAUGCGUUAACCUUUAUGGCUUCCACAUAUUGUAUGUUUAUCCUAAUAAAUCAUCUUGUAUGGUGCUAAUAUUUCAAACAAGUUUUGGAAUUUUGCUGCAAGUUUAUCUUCUCAAAAGAUAAGUCAAUCGAUUUGAUUUGCGUCCAAAAAUGUGGGUGGAGUUUUGUUUCUAAAUAAAUACUCAGAUAAAACCAAUCCAAACAAACAUAUAUAUGCUUUGCUGAGGCCGACAGCUGUUUCUGAUUGACAAAUUUUAAAUGCUGGGGCAUUCAGUUGUGGAAAAAAACUCUCUGACCCAAGAGCACAAGAAACUGUUGUCUUUAAGGAUAAAAAUGUACCAAAAAAAUAAUAAUAAAUAAAAGGAAAAUGACAAUCUACUUUGGCUACAUUGUUCAGCCAAUUUCCAGUUCUUGAGAAAUAAAAUAGACGUUCAACGCCCAUUUUCUAAUUCGAUUCAGUUCUGUGACCCCUUUUUUUAAUUUUCUAUAAUUUGAGGUAUAUAUAUAUAUAUAUAUAUAUAUAUAUGUAUAUGCCAAUCAUAUCCCAAUGCCAUUUGGUAGCUUUGCUUGGUCACUAUUCAACGCUUCCCUAUAUUUGUUCUAUUGUUCCCGUCAUUCAGAAACAAGGGGACAAAUCCUUAUACUACUGUAUAAGAAUAAAUUGUGGUCAAAUAUGAUUUGAAUUUCAGCCAUAUGGAUAGGGACUUUUUGAAAAUAUGAAAUAUUGUGUAAUUUUUUAAAAUCUUUUGAUACAAUUGAGGGCAGCAUGUAUUUAGAUAUAUUUACCGAAAUACAGUCAUUUUGGUACAUUUAAAACUUUGAUUUAUGGGGACAUUUAGGUAUUUUUGGAAUAUAAAAUUAUUUUGCAACCAUUUUUGCAUCGAGUACAACUCAUAUAAACUUAUGUGUUGAUAUAAUUACUGAAAUGAUAUUAUUGACAUAUUUAAUUAAAGUGUGAUUUUUGUUGUACAAUUAACACAAAGAUAUAUUAACACAUUGUGCAAUUAAAACAUUGCUAUAAUUAGCCAUUAAAGGAUAUUUCUUUGUUUGAAAUAAUUUAUAUCUGCUCUUGGGCAAUUUUCAAUUAACAUCUAUAGGGGCUUUUUAAGAAUGAUAAAAUUGUAAAAGUAUUGAUAAAGUAAAAUGUACAAGUGUGUGCUGCAAUUAGAAUGUACUAUUAUUAGUUUUGUCAUAUUUGAUGACUAUUUCUUUUCGGAAUAUAUAAUUAUUUAUCCAAUAAAAAAUUCUCUCUAAUCACAAGCACCAAACAUCAGCACGAUGCACUGGCACUCCCUAGUAAUCACAACAAAGAGAGGAAGGCAACCGAAUUGAUCAAGAAAGUGGAGCGAUCGAUUACAAAUGAAUAAUGUCAUAUUGCCGCAUAUUACUACUGCCUUAUUACCAUUAGAUAGGCAAAAUAUUUGUACUUUUCAAUUUUCUAUUUGGAGGUAAGGUCUAAUAUCCCCUUCCUUUCUUUGUAACUUUUUCGAUGAUUUUAUUAAUAAAAUGGGUAUAUAACCCCACCCGCCAAAUAUAAUUGGCGGUUUUUUUUUUUGGUUAAAAAACUGUCAUACUGCAAUUAGUUGUUCCAAUCAUUGGGUGCAAUACUCUGCGUAGGGAUGUACGCGAACCGAGCUACUCGCGAGCUACAAUGACUUGGCUUGAUCGAGUUCAAGCCGAGUCUCGAAUUACCCGAAUAUACAUUCAAAUCGAAUUCGAGUCACGAUUUUGCAGCUCGUGACUUGACGAGCUACUCGUCAAGUAGUAUAAUUUAAAUAAUAUAUAUGUAUUAUAAUUAUAAAAUGACCGUUAUGAUUAUAAUUUAUACUGAAUUUACAAGCAGGGUACCGAGUCAAAAAGCUCAAUUACUCGACUCGAUAAGGUUUGACUCAAUCGUCGAACCUUAUCAAGUCGAGUCUCGAGCUUUUAAGGAUCUUCUUGAGUCAAGCUCGAGUUGAAAUUCUCCGACUCGAUCAAGUUCAAGCCGAGCUCGAGCAUAGUUAUUAUAGGCUGAAUCGAACUCGAGUGUAGCAGUACUCAACCUCAACUUGGCUCGAGUACAACCCUAGCUCCAUAUGAAGAAAUGGGUGUGUUACUAGAAGAAAGAAAAGAGACCUCAUGGAGUAGAGUUCACAUGGAGGUGCGACGUGUUAAAUUUAUUCACAGACAAAGGACCGCACGUGUCCCUAUUUUUAAAAUUCCUUUUUCAAUAAAUGAGCCUCAUGUAUUACGUUACGGGCAAAUGCAAACCCCAUAUUUUGCAAAAGAGCAGAGGGGCUCUUUUUUUUUCUUUUUUUGGUGCGUCACAGAGGUGCUCUUUUGCAAAAUAGAGAGCUGCAUUUGGUUUUCAAUUUUUUUAAAAAAAUUAACAUUUCCAAAACAAAUUUAAAAUUACCAAAAAAGGGUUUGGAUGCCGCAUGUAUGCAUGGUGCCAAUUGUGCCAAAAUCGACAUCCCUAAAUAAAGAAAAUUACCACUUUUUUCUCAUUUUGAUGAUUUUUUUUUUAGUUUUUUAACAGUAUUAUAAGAACUUACUCCAUAAUUUGCAGAUGUCACUGCAAUAUCUAAAUUAGAGAGGAAGUCCUUGCAAGUUCACACGUUUUCGGUGAAAACUCUGUGGUCCAUCAAGUCCGUACAUUUCAUUUAUAGGAGCCUGAAUUCCUUGGCGCGGGAUACAGAUGAACCUUCCCGUGUAAUAUUUUUUCAAUAUUUUAUAAUUCUAGGUGAACUAUUUAUACAUCCUUAUAAUAGAUGUGUGACGUUCUGUUAAUGUUCACGUGAGAUUCUAUGUAUAAUAAUUACGUUUCUAUCGUAAAAUUUUAUAAAUAAUUCACAUAGAGUUAUAUUCCGUUCAAAAAAUGUUACACCAUUUAUAACAUUUGUCAUACUCAUACCCCUAAUCUGAAUUCCGCAUGACACACUUAAUUUAGUUAGAAGUUAGAGCUUGAGGUGUUAAACAUUUCGCGACUUUGAUGAACAAGGUAUGCCAGCCCCACUCGACGGUAUGGGUAUCAAAAACUCUCACCGAACCGUGGACGAAAGGCCUUCUUUAUUCGGUAGCAAUAUGGUGGUUAUCUUAGAAUUUGGUGCAUUUCGAGCCCUUUUGAAUUGCUAUUUUCUGACAUUUUCGUAGAAAAAUAUAUUAUAGUAAUUUAAUAUACGUGAAGUAAAAAAGUGAUUAAAAAAAUGUAUUCAUAAAAAAUGUAAAAUUUUUUUGAAAAAAAAAUGGCAAUCCAAAUAAGGCUAAAUUUCUUCUUCUUUUUUUUUUUUUUUGCCCUUAACUAGAAUUCUCAGCCAACGUAUUUUAGGUGAUUUUCGAUAAAAGGUUUAUCCAGUUUAUGUAAGGACAGCAUCAUCCUCACCAGCACCAAUAAACAAAGAAAAGAAAGAACACAUACAUCUAUUGAAUUGUUGACGAAAUAAUAAACAGAAGGCGAGGUGCCCUAUGAGGCAAGGGAAAAUGAAGACGUGGACUACUCCAGUAGCAUUGAGCAGAGACAAAGUCGUAAGAAACGAAAAGGGAUAUAAUUUUUUCUUUUUUCUUUAUAAAUUUUUCAUUAAAUUUUCUUUAUUUCAUGGACUAUUAGAAAAUUGUGAGGAGGGUUUGGUGAAGCAGAGAAAUAAUUAGAAAGUGUUGGCUGGUCCAUGCACGCUAUUAGUCUUAGCAGUAGGGUCGUGGGCCGUUGGAAGAAGGGGGAGAAUGACAGGACAGCACACCGUGAGCUAGCUACUAGAUUGGACAGACUUUUUUUUUUCUUCUUUUUGUUUUUCGGGUAGUGGAGAGUGGCACAAGAAUUUUCUAAAAGAAUUUAAGAAGAUAUAUUCUAAAAGAAUUUUAACAGACACAAGAAAAUUUUCCAGAGAUACGGAUGCCCAAUUAUUUUAGUGGAGAUCUUUUCAUGAAAAUAUUUGUCUGACGAUCUUUUUUUUUAUUUAUCGCAAUAAUAAAAUUUUUAUAAUCUAAUUUAAUCUAAUCAAGAAGAAAGGAGAGGGAGAUUCGAUAUGAGUAGAGACUCCAUAAAAAAUGAUCAAUUAAAGUCAUCACACAUAAUAAUAAAUUGAUGGAAGGUAAAGAUUGAACUCUUUCACCUCCCACACUAUCAAGACUUAAGUCUUGUGUGGUGACCACCGGGCCGCCAAAGGCGCAGUGUUAUCACCUUGAGUCUUGUUCGGUUACAUUUCAUUUAUUUUCAUGGACCCGCCAGUGGGCAUGACAGUUGCCAUGAAACUUGGAUGCUAUUCUAUUAAUUGCCAUGGAAGUUGCUUGGGAUUUUGACUUGACCUUUCUUAAUUCGUGUUUUGCUGAUUGUUGGGGCCUUCAGUUGUGGAAAAAAUCACAGAAGGUUGUUGGAAUAGUGAUCUGACCCAAGAGGCACAAGAAACUGUUGUCCUUAAGGAUAAAAAUGUACCCAAAAUAAUAAUAAUAAAAAAAUAAAAGGAAAAUGACAAUCUACUUUGGCUACAUUGUUCAGCCCAUUUUCUAGUUGUUGAGAAAUGAAAUGAGAACAUUUAUUAUAUUUGGAAGUUUUCAAGCACAUCAAACUUAAAGGAAUUUAACAAGUCGUAACAAAACUAUACGGUUACUUCAAAUCCGUUUCUAAUGUUAUUGAGGAUAUUUGCGUAACAUCAAUGUUUCGGAUUUAUAUUAAAUAUAGAAUCUUACUGUAUUGAAUUUUCUUAUGAAACAGAGAUUUGGAUUAGGAAGACGGUACAUAAAUAUUAAUUUGUAAAGCACUGUCGAUCGAUUUGAUUCUGGUCCAAUACUUGGUUGACCAAGAAAAAUACAUAGCAGUUGGAUGCUCGGAUUCAACAUCUGCUUUUGAUACACACGCUUGCGGGGCCCUUGGAUGCAGAAAUUCCACCCAAGAAGGACAAGAAAUUGUGUGUUGAAUGAUGAAGAAAAGAAAAUGGCAAUCAUCAUUGAUCAUUGAAACUAAUAAAUCUCUUUUGACAAGAAUUUUCAUAAACAACACCUAAGUUAAACCCACAAGAUACAACUAAAAAGCUGACUUUUGGUUACACCCAUAAAACUUAAGUACUACUCACGCACACUCUUAACAAACAAUGUGGGAUGCAGAGAUAGGAACAGGGAGAGUCUCUACUAAGCACUAAGGAGCACUCAUUCACUCCGAUUUUUUACCUCUUCAACAGGUCUUUUUUUCUUUUGACAAGAAUUUUCAUAAACAACACCCAAGUUAACUCCACAAGAUACAACCAAAAGGCUGAUUUUUAGUUGCACCCAUAAAACUUAAGUACUACUCACACACAUACUCUCAACAAACGAUGUGGGACGCAGGAAUAGGAAUAGGGGAGCCUCUACUAAGCACUAAGGAGCACUCACUCACUCCGAUUUUUUACCUCUCCGAUUGAGACUAAUAAAUCUCACUCCUUAAUUCUUUGGACAUGAUCGUACAAUUAAUCAUGUCAUCUAAAUUGCUUAUAUUUAUUUGAAACAUUAUUUAAGUACUCCUUAUUUUGUUUGCUUUCUGCAGAGCAUUAUGCUAUGAAAUAAUUAUUGUAAUAUUUUUUAUAAUAUAAUAUAUAUGAAAUAAAAAAUAAUAAAAAAUAUAAAAAAUAAGUUAGAAAAAAUAUAUAUAAUACAAAUAAAAUAUUAUUUAAAAUAAUUGGGUAUUGAAACACCCCCGGAGUUCUCUAUUUCCAUGCUAGCUAUAUAUUUUCCCUUUUUGUCCAGUUCGGAAUAGCUAGAAAUUUACAGUGGGUGCUUUUGUUUGCUCUUCAACAACCGGAAAAAAUGCUGCGGUAGUGCAUCUUUGACAAACUUGCAUGCCAUUAUUGACUUGGCCUUUAUUGAUCAAUGGUUAGCUAGGUAUUUCAUCUUUUUCUGAUUGAAAGCUGGCUGGGGCCUUUGGUUGUGGAAAAUAUCUCAAUUGUUUGUCGGAGUUUUGGUUUGAUCCAAAUCCCCCCCACCCCCCGCGGCAGCCCAAAAAAAAAAAGCACGCCAGAAAAGAAAUGUUCAACGCUCAAAGUGUAAAAGAGAAAAGGAAAUAACAACCAUGGCUGGUGACUUUGCAGCAUUAAUUACCUCCGUCAUUAAUCCUAAUAGACUAAAAACGUUAUUUUGCAGGGGAAAAACUGAAAAAAUAACCGCUGGUUCACUUAUCAAAAACAUGGAGUGGAAUUAAUAAUCAGGUUUGGCAUGUAGCAACAUUAUUGGACAAGGAUUGAGUGCUUUCUUAGCAUUUAUGCUUGUGAAAUUGCCAAUAUAGUCACUUGCAGUUCCACAAGUUUUCUAGCACUUAAAAACUUUAGACAUUUUGUUAAUGCGCAAAUUAGGCAGUUUAUUUGUUAAUAUUUCCCCCUUUAUUUUGACCAAAUGUUGUGAUAAUUUGCUAGAUUCUACUUAUAUUUGAAUUUUUGUGUGAUUUCUAGGAACUUCAAGUCAAUUGAGGCAGAAAAGGAGAAAUUGAAGCCUAAUUGAGGAAAUUCCAUUAAGAAAAUCUUGAUACAAGUUUCUUAGUUGAUACUUGAAAACCGCUACAUCAGGGAUGAUGGGGUGUGGAAACCACCCAGGAGUAUUCAUCUACAAUGCCCUGUUCGGUUGAUGAUUGUUACUGCAUCAAGUUAGCAAGCAUUUUGGGCUUUUGCUUUUGGUUAGUUUACGGCAAAGAACAGUACAAUUGAUGCAGCAGAACGUCCGCAUCCCAUUGAGCUUCAAUUGCACACGAGGCCCAUUUUUGGAAAAAAAAGAAGAAAGAAACGCUAAAGAAGCCCUGGGGGGACGCGAGGUAAAACAGGACCUCUGGUUCAACUGAAGAGGAUAAAAGAGGAGAAAACGGAAGGGCAAAAAAAGGGGAGGACUUUGAAAAUCAACGCAGGCCAUUCUGUUCCGUCCCGUUUUUCCUUCCUUUUCCCAAUUUAUUUUCCUUUUUCAAUUAAGAACUCGAGUAGUACUUUUGGCUGCAAUUCAACUAUGAGGAGUGGCUAAUUUCUUCAUCUAGUCAGAGGUUAAAUCGAAGCUUGGGUUCGACAAAACUAUGAGAUCGAAUUGAUUUGCCUAUGUUCUUUAAUUUGCAAGUAUUUAUAUAUUUCCUGUUCACUUAUGCAUAUGAUUAUUUCUUGCAAUUAAAUACUUGAUCACUGUUUAAUUGUGUGAGUAAUUAACAGCCAUCUAAGAGUGCUCAAUCCGUAAUUGUUGGAUAAUUUUAGUGCAUGUGGCAAUUGACAUGAUUCAAUUGUAGUAGAAACUUUUGAGUUGUUGUUGCGGAAAUAUAUGAUAUAGCCUAAAUAAAUCGAGCGUGUGUGUUUGUUGGUUAUAAUUGGUGGCCAGUCUAAUGAUUAAUGCUGUCAAUAGGUUAAAUCCUAAGAGCGUGUUUAGGACUGCUUAAUUGGCUAGGGCAAUAACCACAGAGCUUGUUAUGGUUAUCGAAUCAGGAAGGUUAGGCAGGUUGUCAGAACUUGUUGACAACCAUAACCAGUUUAUUUGUAAGUGAAAGAUUUUAUCUCUGCAUCUGUGAUCAAUGAUUCGAACCAUUAGUGGAGAUUAUACCUUUGAUUAGAGAUUUUCCUUCCGUUAAUUUACUUUAUAUUUAUUGUUAUUUAUUUUAUCUGCGAUUGUCUUAUUUUUAAUUUGAGCAAUUAAAUUAGACAGUUCCAUAUCAAUUCCCCCCAGUUUUAUUUAAUGUUACAUUCAUUCAAAAUAAAUUCCCAAGUCCCUGUGGAUUCGACCCUGCUCACUGCUAUAUUCGAAUUUUAUCUUUCACGUAAUUAAGAUACUUUGGUAUAUCGGAUCAAGCAAACUCUGGCACCAGGGUGAAGUUAGUAACCCAUUGCACAGCCUAAGUCCCUGCUCCAAUACCAUAGUGGACUUAAUUCGUGACUUAAGAGUAGGAAUUUUAUUUUUGCUGGUUUGACACCCACCACAUUUUGUGUCAAAAUGCUUGUUUUUGUGCAAUAUACAAAAUUUAAGUGGUGAAAGUUUGAGGAUUUUCUUUAUUAUUAUUCUUUUUCUUUUGGAGUACAAUAUAUAAUCAACCGUAGUUAGAAGUGAAAUCGACUGUUAACUCACACUAUAAUUGUAAACUUUGACUAAAUUUGGAUGUUUUGGGAAGGGGUUAAAUGGCGUGUUCCUGUGGGUUUCAUUUUUUACAAUUGAAUUAUUUGCCUAUGACAUGAUCACAAGUUUAACUUAAAUGAAGCUGCAAUAAUAGAAGAUUCCCGAAAGAAGACUUCAAAAGGUGGAAAUUGAAAAUGAGUGGAAAUUGAUGGUGAAUUAAUCGGUUAUUUGGAUACUUGAGUUUCACCUAUUUUUGUAUCGGAUUCUUUUAUAAUUAGCUUUUCUUAUAGUUUUUCUCGUCCUAACAAGUUUAUCUUUUAAGAUAAAUUUGAAUUAUUUGUUCUUAUGUUUCUUCUCUCUUCUAACAAUAUGAUAAAUUUGUAUAAUUUUUUUUAUCUAUAUGUGAUAGGACACAAUUUGUUGUUAAUUUUAUGGUUAAUUUUCCUCUUUGUCCUUGCCAAAUAUUGUUUUAAUUGUUGAAAUGUACUUAUAUUUGGUAUUUGGCCCUAAUUACAGGAAGUGGAGCAAGCAAGUGGUAAAAAGGAGACUUUAUUGAGAAAAACACUCCACACAUGGGAAGUUCUAAAAGGAAAUACAAGCCGGGCUCCACAGGAUGCUACAAAAAGGGAUUUCCUAUCUUUAUGCUGAAAAUGAUGGACUUAUACUAGGAGUCUUACAGGUAAGAGGAAACUAAAAACAAGGACUUUGGCAGAGCUCCAAUUCUUUGGCCCUUGGACUCUCAAUUCAGUGGAGACCACCGAGGGAAGUUAGGCAAUUGUUUAGAUUAGGAACAAUGGGUGAUUACCUUAUUCUUUUUCUCUUCUUAUUCGGUUAGGAGACUAAUCACGUAGGUUUAUAUAUUGGAGGCUAAUGAGCCGCAGGGAAGGGGGGGCUUGGACAGUAUCACGUUGGAAAUUUUCUCAACAAAUGAAGAACUAAAUUCUUAUUUUCUAGUCGAAGGUCAAUUUGAGGACUCGGUUCCGAACAUCUGUGAGAUCUAAUUAUUUUACUUAUUUCUUCUAUUUAUUGGUAUUUGUACGUUUCCUGAUUUAAUUGCUUAUGAUUGUUUUGUCAUUUGAAUGUCAAGGGUCCGAUAUUCGAAUUAACCUAAUAAUCUGCUGUCAUAUUAAUUGAUUGAAUCCGUAAUUGUUCAAUUGAUUAAUUUCAGUGGCGACUAGCGUGAUUGGUUUCAUGUUAGGGAAACAUAUGAUCUAACUUAAACAAACCCUCGUAGCGUGUUUGUUGGUUAGGGUUGGACUUUUCUAAUUAUUAAUGUAAUCGAGUAAUUAAAUCCUACGGUCGUACCUAAGAUUAUUUCUUGGUUAGAGAAAUAGUUAACGGUCAUACCUUAACUAUCGAGAAAUUAAGAAAAUGCUGGUUGUUCAUCGCGUGUAUGACAACUAUAACUAAUCUAGUAAUGAAUAAUUGAGUUAUCUUUGCAUCGAUGAUCAGUUGAAUGAACCAUGUCUGAAAAAUUGUACCUUUUACUAGAGUCAUAUUGGAUAUUGAUUAUUUCCUAUUUAUUUCUUUUAGUUGUUUCAUUAGUUAGUUAAUUAGUAAUUUUAUAAAAAUCCCCCAUGUACUGAACUUUAGAAGAAAUGAAUUAUCCCCAGUCCCUGUGGAUUCGACCCUACUCACCGCUAUAUACAUAAUCUGUAUUUUUCUCGAGUAGGUAAUUAUUAUUGUACAGGCUCGACACCCUGUCAAUUUUUGGCGCCGUUGUCGGGGACUGGUGCCAGAUUAAUUUGUUUCUUUUUGAGUUCAUCUUGUUUUUAUUUUUUAUUUAUUUUUUUCUUAUUUUUUUUAUAUAGUUUAUGGCUUCCAACAUUCCGUAUUUUGGUGAUAGACUGGAUUUUGUUUCCAGGGUAGGCAAUGAGGCUUGUUUUUUUUCUGAGUUUGCAUAUUCGGAGGCACUAAACUCUCUUAGAGAAAGAAUGGCUGCUGCAACCUAUGAAAUUUGUUAUGCCAGGGAUCAUUCAACCGAUAUGUGCCCCGAAUAUCAAGACUACCUGAGUGAGUAUCUCAAAAAAAAAAUUUGGAGAUUCUUCACCUCAAUCUCAAAUGUGGUAUGACCCUUAUUCAAACGGGUAUGAUCAAGGAUGGUGGGAUAACUCCAACGUUAAUUAUGAAAAGGGGCCAAUGAGUUUUCAACAGCAAGAGUCUCAACAAUCGUCAUUCAUGUCAGAAUUGCCCUCACAAACCAUCAAUGACUCUAAGGAAGGUGAGAGUGCAAUUAUCAUGACAAGUGAUAUGGAACUGCAAUGAGUCUCAAGAAGGAGGAUCCAAAGAUGCAGUUGAAAAGGAAGUUGAAGGGGAAAACAUGAGACUCCAACAUCAAAUUACCCUAGUGAACGAAUCUAGUGAGUAAAUGCGAUGACACCCCCUCCAUCCCUUAAUCUAUAUUCCCCUGACUCUUACUCUAUAACUUCUGUUAAUGAGAUUGAUUUUGUUAUAUCGGAAGUUUUUGAGUCUCAUUGCAGAAAUGAGUUAAGAGUAGCUAUGGUCAAAUAUCUUGAACCGUUGAGUGCUCUUGAUGGAGGAGUGAGUGGAGAAUUCAGAUCAUUGUUGACUUAUUUGGCGCCAUCUACUAGUCCAUGGAAGACCGUAACUCGUGUGCUCAAAUAUUACUCUAUUUACGAGGGCUAUCAGGAGUAUAUAGAGGAUGAAACAUUAAAACGAGCCACAAGAUUUUAUCCUCCAUGAACAAAAUAUGAUAAUGUCUAGCCAAAGACAUUAAAGAAAGACGCUUUUUGGGAGGCAACCCAAUUGUUGAUUUUGUUAUUUUUGUGUUCAAUUUUUUUUUAAUAUGUCGUUUCUCACUUGGAUACUAGUCACUCUUGAUGUUUUCUCACUAUGACCAGGAUAGGUAAUCUUGGCGUGCCCAUGCGAGGAGGGCACGCGUUAAGCAUCUAAGUUCAAGACUCAUGGGCAGUUGACGUUUGUAAAACAUGGCGCGCCCACGCCGUGUUGGUAAAUUCUCAACUUCUCGCGACGGCGGCAGAAAAUGGAAUCUUGGCAUGCCCACACGAGGAGGGCACGUGUUAAAGUGCGAAAAGUGACUCAAGGGCAGUGGACGUUUUACAAUCUUGGCGUGCCCACGCGAUGUUUGACGACCCAAAAAUGAAUUUAAAAAUUUUUUUUUUCAAAAUUCACAUUGAAAAAAAAAAUUCAAAAAUUCAAAAAAAAAAAAUUUUUCUUUUUCUUUUUCUUCAAAGAUUCAAAUUUUGAAAAUUUAAAUUCGGGAAAAAAUUUGGAAAAACCAUUGAAAAAAAAAACCCAAAAACUAUUUUUUUCUCUUUUCUUUUUCUUUCUUUCUCUUUUCUUCCUUUUCUUCCCCGCUUCCCCUUUUCCCCUUUUCCUUUCUUCUUCGCCCGCCUCCCUAGCGAACGCCGCCGCCCCUGCUCCCUCUGCUCUCUCCCUGCCGCAACCUCGCACAACCGCACGCCCAAGCGCGACCAUCGCGCCGCUACUCUCUCAGACACUGCGCCUUCCUCCAAUUCGUUCCCACCUCUGCAGCAGCCUCAGCUCCACCGCCGCCUCCAAGCUCCAAGCUCCACCUCACGGACCACCACCAACUCUCCUUCGCACGCUGGUCGCCGGCUAGCUCUUCCUGCCGCGACCACGCUCGUCCCUCCUCCUCACUCUCUUUCUCCUUGCGCGACCAUCGUGCAGCUGCUCCACCUCGCGCGACCCGCUGCUACUGUCCGUCACCACCCAAGCCGAAUGCCACCAGCAGCUCCCAGCUCUUCCUCUAUUGCCGCACGUCCAGCUCCGCCGCCGCUGCUGCUGUCCGCCAUCUCCUUGCUGCGCAUCACCACCUGUCAAAACUUGACAGGUGGAGGUAUUGAAAUUUCUACCUCGAUCAGUAUUUUUCGGGUUCUUCUAUUGCUGGAAUUUGAGCUUUUGUGUUUGGGUUUCUUGAUGGAUAAAAGAAGGUGUUGAUUUGGGCAUUUUCUAGGGUAAAUUUGGACAGAUUUGGGUUUAAUUGCUGCCAUAUGUGGGGAUAUUUUCUAAUUUUUGUUGAAUUGUUGGUCGUUUGAUUUAAUUCCUCCCUGUGUAUACACCAGUGGUACUGGUUGCGGUGUUGCUUACAAUUCUUAAAUUUUCUCGAAUUAUAAUCGGUGGUUGCUGGAAUUGCCUGUUUGCUGGGAUUCUUAAAAUUCUUAAGGUUUGGUCGCUUGAAGUGGGUAAUUGAAUGUCCAAUUGGUGACAUUUGUUGAGUUUCCCUUGCUCCAAUUGGUUGAAUUCAUUGCUCUGUUGAGGUCCCUGUUAGUAUCGCUUGAGUUCUGCUUUGUUAGUUUCUGUAUUGUGCCCCUUGAUCUUAUUUUGACUAAAUUAGAGACCCAGUGCAUAUUCAUUCAAUUUGCUGUGUUGUUAGGAUACUUUUCUAGCCUUUGGGGUGCCUCAGUUGUGCAUUUUAUUAAUUGGAUUGGCCAUGUGGUUCACUUCUUUCCUGUGCAUGCACCAGUGGUAUUGGUUGUGCUAAUUUGCUUACAAUUUCUUAUUUCGAUAUGGUUGAGCAUCUGUGACUGAGUAUCCUUCGAUUUGCUGCUUUGUUGGGAUUUUUUUUUUUUUGGUGUCAAUUGAGUAUCAUUUGGUACUUUCUGCCUGGAGUCUAUUGAGCUGCCUUUGGUUGGGGUUUAUUGCAUUUAAUUGGUGCAUUGGACAGCUCCUGUGCCAUUUCCGUUGCUUAUUGAAGUAGGUUGCCUCUAUUUGCCUUGUGUGGGAGUAUUUUGUCCUUUUCAUUUCAAUUGCUAAAUUCAUUGGAGCACUUGUUGUGGUUUUGGGAUGCAUUGUUAUUGCAUUUGGCUAAGCAGGGGACCACCCAGGGGCUAAUGACUGGGUCCAACUCCGAAUGCAAGUUGAGAGACUGGAGACUCGAGUGACCCACAUUGACGCCGACUUGCAUAACAUGGCGCAAAAUUUGGCAGCACUCCGCCCGACCCACCCCCUGUUUUGACAACUUCAGGGAAGUACCGUUGCCCUUCUCUUUCCUUUUGCUGUUAGUUUAUCACAUUGAGGGCAAUGUGUGAAUUAGGUGUGGGGGGGGAUCAGUUUGGAUGCUAGUAUUUUCAGUUUUCGAUUUUUAGGUGUUUUUUCUUUGUUUUUAGUUUGAUAUUUAUCUUCUUUUCGUUUAUUUCUUUUAUUCGUGAUCAGGUCUUAUUUGAAUACCAAAUUUUAAUGCUGGAUCAUUGUCUUUAAUGCUGCUUUUGCCAAGUUUUAGUAAAAAAGGGUGAUGCGGAUACGGGGUAUCAAGUUAAUGCGGUUGAGUUCAGAAAUAUCUCUUUGAUGAAUAUUAGUAAUUGCUUGACUUUUCUAAUUUUUGGUUAACUUCUCUAGGCAUAGGGAAUGAUUGUUGGCAUUUUUCAUGUGAAUUGGUCCAAUUAUUAAUUUUAGUCUCCAUGCUUGAGAAUUUGAGGCUGGCUGCUGCUACUCCUGUGUUAUUUUUAGUUAUAUUGUGUUGUUUGGCUAUGAAUAAAAUCGACUGUGCUCCGCUAGUCAUUACUACUGAGUAACCGGGGAUCUUCACCAAAAGUGUCGAUUCUCGCAUUAAAAAGUAGUAAUUGCCAUGAGUGCGUGGUUGUAUAGUGAUAGGAGCUGAGUAAUCGGGCUCUUUCAUCGGACAAAUGUUGGAGUUCGCGUCAAAAGGCUCCGAUGGCUAAAGACUAAGUCUUGGGUUACCAUUAUCAUUCAAUAAAAAAAAAGAGAAAACAGAAAAAUAUGAGAAAAAAAAGAAAAAUAAGUCAACUUGCCUAUUUGUGAUUUUAAUGUGAGAUUUUGAUUAAUAUUUGGACCAUUUGCUGGUAAAUGUGAGCAACCAUUCCUUUUUCUUAGAUUAGUUGCUUUAAAUUGGAGGAGUUGGUGGUUAAGGGGCUAACCGAAGUGAUUUUUCUUUAAUCUCGACCUGUGAUGCUUGAUAUUGGUUUUUCUUGGGUAUCUUGGCAAUACGUUAGUUGGAGCAAUAGCCAUUGUCGAAUUUUUGGUGUUUCAUUGCUGUUCUCAUGCUUGAGGGCAAGUAUGAUUUAGGUGUGGGGGGAAUUGAUAAGGCACAAUUUGUUGUUAAUUUUAUGGUUAAUUUCCCUCUUUGUCCUUACCAAAUAUUGUUUUAAUUGUUGAAAUGUACUUAUAUUUGGUAUUUGGCCCUAAUUACAGGAAGUGGAGCAAACAAGUGGUAAAAAGGAGACUUUAUUGAGAAAAACACUCCACACAUGGGAAGUUCUAAAAGGAAAUACAAGCCGGGCUCCAGAGGAUGCUACAAAAAGGGAUUUCCUAUCUUUAUGCUGAAAAGGGUGGACUUAUACUAGGAGUCUUACGGGUAAGAGGAAACUAAAAACAAGGACUUUGGCAGAGCUCCAAUUCUUUGGCCCUUGGACUCUCAAUUCAGUGGGGACCACCGAGGGAAGUUAGGCAAUUGUUUAGAUUAGGAACAGUGGGUGAUUGCCUUAUUCUUUUUCUCUUCUUAUUCGGUUAGGAGACUAAUCACGUAGGUUUAUAUAUUGGAGGCUAAUGAGCCGCAGGGAAGGGGGGCUUGGACAUUAUCACGUUGGGAAUUUUCUCAACAAAUGAAGAACUAAAUUCUUAUUUUCUAGUCGAAGGUCAAUUUGAGGACUCGGUUCCGAACAUCUGUGAGAUCUAAUUAUUUGACAGGUUGUCGAAGCCUGUGCAAUAAUAAAACCUGCUCAAACUAAAAGUUAAUUUCUGUAGAUAGCAGUAAGCAGGGUCGUAUCCUCAGAGAUUAGGUAUAUUCGCUUCUUAAGAAAUUCAAAGUAACACAGGGGGGUGAUUUUUGUAGGAGCAACAGCAAUUAAAUAACUUCAAAUAAGAAAAUAAAAAUGAAUAACUAACUAGCAAUUAAACCACAAUUCACUGAACUUAGAGCAACAAUAAUUAAAGGCCUAAAUCACUUAGAACAAGGAAACAAUUAAAAAUAAAAUGAAGUAGGCAACUAAAAAGUCAAAUGGCAAUUUACUAAAAUCAAGGUAAUAUUAAUUAAAGAUCUAGCCAAGAAAUAACUUCAGCAAUGGUUCACCUAAUUGAUCAUUGAAGUAAGGGCAAUUCCAAUUAUUUAUCAAUAAAUAGGUUAUAACUACCAAACAAGCGAUGACAGUCAGCUCCUCCUUACUGUGUCGGUGAUCAAGGUACGCCCGUUAAUCACUGCUCUAAUUGAGAAAUAAUCCUAAGUACGCCCGUAGAAUUUAAUUCCCCAAUUGCCUUACGUAUUAGAGGAGCUCUAUUCUAACCAAAUAACACACUACCAGGGUUAUUUUAGGUUAGCCCGCGUAUUCUCCUGACACAAACCCAAUCAUGCCAGUUAUCACUAUUUUUAGACAAUUAAACAAUUACGGAUUUAACGUCCCAAUUGAUAAUAGAUUAUCAAAUCAAUUAAUUAUCCGGAUCCAAGACAAUCAAUUAAUUAAAUAACCAUAAGCAUAGCAAUCAAGAAAUAUGCGAAUACCAAUAAAUAAAAGGAAAAGAUUAAAUUAAAUCGAUCUCACAAUUUUAGGCGAUUCAAAGCAUCCGUUGUUCCUUGACUAGAGUGAGAAAAUUAGCUCAUGUUCGAUGCGAGAAACCCACAAGAAAUUGUAAAGAGAGCUGCGGCCAUUGUCCCUUGAAAUUGGGGAAAUUCAAUUCGGUUCCAAUGUUUGUAAAGAUAGAAAAGCUACAGCAAUUGAUUCUAUGGUUUCUACUUGUCCAAUCAUACGAGAAGGAAAAGGAAAAGCUACUUGAGCCCACAAGGAAAAGUCAAAAGACUAAGCUAAAAGAGACACAAUCCAAAGCUAAGCUCCUAAGCAAUCCUCCAUACGUAAUAAGGAAUUAGCUAAAAGACAACGGGGCCAUCCACAAAAAUGCUCAGCUCUCUACUUGCGGCCGCUCUUGAAAUUGGGGAAAUUCAAUUCGGUUCCAAUAUUUGUAAAGAUAGAAAAGCUACAGCAAUUGAUUCUAUGGUUUCUACUUGUCCAAUCAUACGAGAAGGAAAAGGAAAAGCUACUUGAGCCCACAAGGAAAAGUCAAAAGACUAAGCUAAAAGAGACACAAUCCAAAGCUAAGCUCCUAAGCAAUCCUCCAUACGUAAUAAGGAAUUAGCUAAAAGACAACGGGGCCAUCCACAAAAAUGCUCAGCUCUCUACUUGCGGCCGCUCUUGAAAUUGGGGAAAUUCAAUUCGGUUCCAAUAUUUGUAAAGAUAGAAAAGCUACAGCAAUUGAUUCUAUGGUUUCUACUUGUCCAAUCAUACGAGAAGGAAAAGGAAAAGCUACUUGAGCCCACAAGGAAAAGUCAAAAGACUAAGCUAAAAGAGACACAAUCCAAAGCUAAGCUCCUAAGCAAUCCUCCAUACGUAAUAAGGAAUUAGCUAAAAGACAACGGGGCCAUCCACAAAAAUGCUCAGCUCUCUACUUGCGGCCGCUCCUCUGUGGUAAAAUGAGAAGUUUCCAGGCCGUGCUUUUCUUCCCCAGCAAUUACCGAAAUGGGCCCAAGUGUUUUUUUCUCUUGCCAACAAUGCCCUUAGGGUAAGUUUUAUCAUCUGAACUUCUUUUCUGUCGAAUUAGCACCUGUUAGUAUAUUUUCGUUCUAUUCCCUGAAAUAAAUACAAAAUACUAAAAAUGAGUAGAAUCCAGUAAUUAAUCCGCAUCAUGUCAGGUAAUAGGGAAAAUUAAUAAUAAAAUAAAUGAGAAAAUUACACCCUAUCAAUAUUUUACUUCUUUCUUUUAUUUAUUAGUAUUUGUACGUUUCCUGAUUUAAUUGCUUAUGAUUGUUUUGUCAUUUGAAUGUCAAGGGCCCGAUAUUCGAAUUAACCUAAUAAUCUGCUGUCAUAUUAAUUGAUUGAAUCCGUAAUUGUUCAAUUGAUUAAUUCCAGUGGCGACUAGCGUGAUUGGUUUCAUGUUAGGGAAACAUAUGAUUUAACUUAAACAAACCCUCGAAACGUGUUUGUUGGUUAGGGUUGAAUUUUUCUAAUUAUUAAUGCAAUCGAGUAAUUAAAUCCUACGGUCGUACCUAAGAUUAUUUCUUGGUUAGAGAAAUAGUUAACGGUCGUACCUUAACUAUCGAGAAAUUAAGGAAAGGCUGGUUGUUCAUCGCGUGUAUGACAACUAUAACUAAUCUAGUAAUGAGUAAUUGAGUUAUCUUUGCAUCGAUGAUCAGUUGAAUGGACCGUGUCUGAAAAAUUGUACCUUUGACUAGAGUCAUAUUGGAUAUUGAUUAUUUCCUAUUUAUUUCUUUUAGUUGUUUCAUUAGUUAGUUAAUUAGUAAUUUUAUAAAAAUCCCCCAUGCACUGAACUUUAGAAGAAACGAAUUAUCCCCAAUCCCUGUGGAUUCGACCCUACUCACCGCUAUAUACAUAAUCUGUAUUUUUCUCGAGUAGGUAAUUAUUAUUGUACAGGCUCGACACCCUGUCAAUAUGGAUUAACUUAGUGUUAAAAAAGUUUAACUAUUAACUGAUAGAUUUAUCAAUAUUGCUGGAAAUUGAACAUUUGUUGAUGCAUAAAUAAAUUGCUAAAUUUUUUGUACUUAAUUAAGUACGAAUAUGUAACUAGGUUUAUGGUUAUUAUAAAAAUUGAAAUCAUCUAAAAAUUAUCCAUACACAAAAGGGUAGAAUAUCUAUUGAUUUUUUUAUAUGUGUUAUAAUAUUUGAUGAAUAUUAUUAUAUUAUAAUAAAAGUAUAUAAAGAAUUUUUUAAAAAUUAGGAUGGUAGUUAAGUGUAAUUAUUACAUUAAUUUUCUAAAAUUAAUAUGAAUGAACUUGUAAGAUCAUCAUUAAUUUUUUAUUUAAAUUAUCCAUGCUUGCACGAAUUCAUAAUAAUUUUUUUAAAAAAUAAACCAUGCCAUUAUUUGAAUGAGUAUCAUUAUUUUUAAAUUUCACUAUUUUACUAUUUCACAUUAUCAAAAUUUUCUUCUUUUCUACUGUUUGCCUUUUCAUUUUUAUAUUGCACAAUAAUUUUAUAUUUAUAAAAUUAUAGUUUACAUUAAAAAUUACUUUAUACUUUACUACCCACUAUUAUAUUUAUUUUUACCUUUAUUCUUAUAACAACCCACUGCCAAAUAAUAAUUUAUUUGUAUAUUUAUUCAGGUAAAUAUCAAUUUUCUAUAUAUUUUAUAAAAAAUAUAUAACCAAAUCUUAUACAUAAUAAUUUCAAUGAUUAUUUUUCAAAGAUUUGGGAAAUGCAUCUUCUUGUAAAUUGAAUGAGUUUUUUUUUUAUUUAAAAACUUUUUUUAGGGUUUAACAUAAAAUAAAAAUAAUUGAUUUAGCAAAUUUAUCUGGACCAUUUUCUUAUGUUUGAACUUAAAAAAAAUUAACCACAAAGGUAGCAUAAGUUUUUAAUUUAAAAAAAAAGUAAGCUGCAGGCCGCCGCGCUGAGCCUGCAAGUUUUUUCUUUUUUAAGAGAAAGUUAUGUUCGUUGACCGCCUGCGGCUUUUCUUAACAAAUUUUCAUGGCUAUAUAUAUAUAUAUAUAUAUAUAUAUAUAUAUAAAGAAUUCUCUUGUCUACCGACCCGGUAGGCAUAGUAUUAUACUACAAUGUUGUCAGAACAACAUUGUUCCGACUUUUUAUUUUUUCGGCAAUAACCAGAGUAAUUAGCAAACUAGAGAAAAAGUAACGCCAAAAGCUUCCACGGAAUCCUAGAAUUUACUGCGCCUUCGCCUGAGUCUUUCUACAAUGCUGCUACCCUACAUGCAUUUGUCUUUUCUGAGUCUUUCUAUAAUGCUGUAAUAAUUUUCUCAGCUACCAUAUUAGUAGAUUUUCUCAGCUACGCUAGUCUUUCUAUAAUGCUGUAGUAAUUUUGUCAGCUACCAUACAUGCGUUUAUAUUUUAUUAGGUCUUCGCUGGACUCUAUAUAAUGUAGUAGUAAUUUUCUGUGCUACUAUACAUGCAUUUGUCUUUUCUUAGGUCUUUGAUAGAUUCCUAUUCGCUAGACCAUACAUGCAUUUGCUAGAAAUUGAACAAAAUUUCUUGCUCAAAGAAUUAAGGGCAUGUUCCAGGAUAGUUACACGUGAAGUAACUAUAAUUAAACAUGUCACAAAUGCGUAAGAGUUAAGAAAAUAGUAUGGUCUAAGGAUAGCAGUCCAAAAAUUGAAAUUGCUUAAAAUUGUGGAGGCAGAAGUGGCUGAACUAGCCUUAAUCUUGAUGAUUGUAAUUGCUUCUAGAUAUUGUACUGAUUGAUCCUAUGCACCAAUGGUACUCGCGGGAGACAUGAUUUGGAGGAUUUUGCAGUUUCAAAAUAUCCUUUAUUUCCAGUGCAUUCAGUUUCAAAAGACAAAGAACAAAACUCAAUGAAAUUUUCUCUAUGGUCACAGACAUUAGGAUCUCUUUAUUGUCAGCCAAAAGCAGAAGAAAAAUAAAAAUAAAAAUUUUCAGAGAAACCUGGCUUUGGUCCUGGCCAAACUCGUUCAAUGAUAAUUGCUUCAGGUGCAAAAGAUUAUAGCAAUAAUCAUGUUCAUAAGGACUAACUACACUUUACACCUCUAAAUUUGCACUACUUUUUUGUAUUAUAAAUUUUAAUUUUGGAUGCUUUGUGUUUUAAAUUCUUAAUUUUGGACACUUUGAAUCUCAAAUUUUAAAACUGAGGAGGAUAGGUGCUGGACUAAGGGUCUGUUUGUUUUGGCGGAAAAUAUUUUUCACAUUUUCCGUUGUUUGGUUAUCAAUUAAUUUGGGGAAUUAAUGAUUUCCGAUGGAAAAGAACUUAUACCGAGAAAAGGAAAAUAACUUUCUUGUCUAUCAUUCUGAAGUUAUUUUCCUUUCACACAGUUUUCACCGAAAGAUGGAAAAUCACAGCCUCACUCCACCUCCCAUUAAGACAAUUGAAGACCCACUCCACCACCCAGCUUUCCCCCUCCCCCCCUGCCCUUCUCUCUCUCUCUCUCUCUAGGAUAUCAAAACACCUAUAUUAUCUUUUCUUGGCCCCUAGCAAUGCCAAACUUGAACAAUAGUUUGAAGAGUUAAGAACUCUGGUUUCCCAAUAUCAAGAAAAUAGAGUAGUAUUACUUUGAGUUCGGUCAACUUUGAUUAGUUUUCAUGAGGUACUAACUACACAGUGGCUGCGACUUCUGGUAUCAGGUACCUUUAAUUUACUACCUUUAGUUGCCAUAGUUCACUUAAUUAAUGAUUAUAUGCAUGCAAUCAAUUAAUAAUUAUAUUAAAUUUUCAUAGUCAUCAAUUAAACUUUCAAAUUUUCAUAAAAGAGACUCUUCUCCCCUUAAGGAUUUUUUUAAAAGGAAGAUAAAAAGUCAAUUAAUUAGUAUCAUUAAUAAUUGCAUUUAAGAAUUCAUGGUGUAAUAUGAAUAAAUAUUUUAUAAAAAUGAUAAUAUGAUUAUAAUGGAUAGAAACUAAAAAUAACUUGUAAUAAAAUGAAUGUUUUGAAAGUAGAAAACAUUUGCAACAUAUCAAAAAAUAUUUUACUGACAAACCAAACACCGAAAAAUGAUGAAAAAAGGAAUUUGGAAAAUAUUUUCACUAAAUAACCAAACACUGGAAAAUUAUGGGGAAGGAAAUGAUUUUUCAGGAAAAUGACUUCUUUCCCUAGGAAAAUAUUUUCAGUCCAACCAAACGGACCCUAAAUCACAAAUAAACUGGAUUAAGGUAAACACAGAUGCAGCUCUGAGUAGUAAGAGCAACAAGGCAGGCUGGGGCAUUGUGGCUAGGAAUUGGCAGGGGACGCCGAUUGGUACCUGGGCAAUCCCAACUAGAAGCUGCUCAAGUGCUCAACUGGAGGAAGCAAUGGCAAUUAGAAGGUCAAAAAUGGUGAAAUGCACUGUUUGAAUCUGACCGUAAACAAGUGGUGGACAAGUUAAAUACAAAUGAAGAGGAGGCUGGCAUUGCUACCAUUCUAUUGGACAUUCGAAAACUAAAAGAGGAUUUUGACGAAUGUUGCUUUUCCUUCACAAAGAGGAGAAACAACUCUGUAACUCAUCACGUAGCAAAAUUUGCUAUUAGUCUGAUUGAUAUAGCUCAAUGGAAGUACGACUUCCCAAUUUGGCUGCUGGAAUUAGUCCAAGCAGAUUCAGUCGAGCAGUUGCUCUAAGUGUGUACUUUAUAUGGGGUUAAUAAUAUGUUAUCAUUUUGGAAAAAAAAAAUCUCAAAUUUUCAAGUUUAUCCUAUUUAAAUCCUAUCAGUGACAAUGAGAACAUAGAAACUAGAGAAAAUAUCAGGCCAAAAGGAUCCAACAAAUCCUGCAAUUGACUCAAGUCUUUGCUAAAUUCGUUUCAUAAUGCUGCAGUUAUUUCCUAUGCUACCAAACAUGAAUUUGGCUUUUCUCAUUUAAAUCCCCGCUGUCAAACAUAAUUUAUUAAAUCAGGUUUUGCAAAUAUAAACUAAAGGAAAGUCAUGCACGAGCCUGGACUUCUCUACUAUAAGCUUAUUACUACAAACAAAAAAUUUGCAUCUCCACAUUAAUACGAAAAUUGCUAAUAAAGGACAAAUUAUUCCUUAUUAAAACUCAAAUACUUGACUGUUUACUUCAUUGCUUGAUGCUUAAAACUAAACUGCAUAUGUGUGAACACACAAAAACAUUUGUUUCUGAUAGUUACAGCCUUAGCCAGGCCUUAUCAACAUCUCAUUCAACCUGCCUUAGAAAAUAGAAAGAAAAUCACAUUCAAUUCUCAAUUCUUUAUUUUGCACUAUUUUGUUGGGUGAGCAAUUAACAGGCACGUGAAAUAGUGGCUCAAUGGGGGAAGAAAAAACGAGGGCUAUUCCUUUUUUGUUUUUGGAUUGCGUGAUCAAUUAACAGGAAACGAUAUAAGCAAAACAAUUCUUCAUGUUCAGGCCCUUGAUUUUCCUUUGUGAAUAAUGAACUGAAAAAAGAAACUUAAAAAUACUGGUUCAAUUGAAUCUUAAAAUUAAUGCAAAACAUGGACAUGAAUGCUGUAGUGUCUGAAGUACAAUCUCGAUUUAGUACAAGACCUCUGAAACUUGAAUACAUAAUGUUCCAGUUCCCCAAUUUUAAAACCUCUCAAGCCUGGCCAGAUUCUUCAAUUCUCGAUUCUCAAUUAAUGGCUUCAUGUAUUUUCCGUUAUGAAAUUGACAAAGUCUCCAUUCUGGAGCUCAUUUCCAGUUGUCUCGGAUUUGGUAUCACUUGAAACUGGUCUGUAUCAGGGCCGUCAACAAAAACCAGAGGAAAUUUGCAGCGCUCAGACCGGCAAGCACCCAAUAAUAGUAAUUCAAGUGACUCUCAUUCAAGUCAUGCUGAAACCAACUCUUUUUCCCUCCUUUCUCGCUAAUCUUGCCCACCAAAUGAACUGAUAAAACACUUCCCAUGAUUCCCAGACCGGAUAAUCCAGGAUUGAGGUAGACAAGGUACUUUUUCAUCGAUGGGGGACUUUGAUCAUUCAAGAAUUCUGCAACACUGUUCUCAUAAAAUGAGUCUAGCCCACCAAGAAGAAAGAAUUGCGGAACAAGCAAAAAGACAGUCAUGGGGAUUUUCUCGUUAGGCUUGUCAAUUAAACCAUCACUUCUUAUCACAUGUAUCCCGUGAGUUUCUGCAAUGGCCGCAAAUAUGCAACAUAAUGCUGAGCAUAUUGUAGCUAAUGCAAUUCCAGUUGCUGGUGCAUACCUUCUUCCGCCUGCCACUUUCAUACAGUUGUAUACCCUUUUAAAACCCAACUUCGCUGCUUCAUAUAGCAACAGAAGGGUUGAAUCAGGAAAUUUCAAUUUCCCAACCUUGUAAUUCAGGUGGCUUGCUUGCUCUACGAAGUAUGUGUUUCCCACGGAAGUAACUACAGAACAAAUUAUGCAGGUGAUCCAAACUGGAAGCAUACAGAUUAUGACCCGUCUUUCUUGACUUUGAGUCCUGAAUCUGAUAAUAUCCCUGUCAGAGAACCUAAGCAAAGGAAGAGAACAGCAAAAAAAUUCCUAUGGUCAGAAGUUUCAUUAUCUCUUACUUGAGAACAAAGAAAUAGAUCUGUAUUUGAUUUAUGGAACACCCGACACUCUAUUCCUUUUCAAGUGAAAGUUGAAAAACAGGGAAGAAGGGCAAAAAUUAAGACUAUGAUCAGGAAGAGGAAGAUGGAAAAGGAAGGAUGUGUGGGGUGAACCCAAGUCUGCUGCCCUGGUAUUCGCAUGAACCCUGAAUGAAAAGAAGUGUUGCCGCCAGUGUGAAAAUUGCUGGAAUUCCAAACCGAAGUUUCCAUGGGUGUAUGUAUGGAAGUGCAAUUAGUGCAAUAACCGCGACAAUGAGCACAAAGAUAACGCCUAAUGAUCUUAGGCCCGAUAUGCUGCUUCCGUUUCUUUGGUUCUGUCUCUUAACAAGCUCCAUCAUUGCUUCUACUGGUUGAAACUGAAGUUUUGAUAUAUCCUCUUCAGGUUGAGGGCUUUGUUGCCUGUUGCUUGUUUUAUCAACAACUUGGCUCCUUUCAAGCUGAUCCAAUGCAAAUGCAGCUAAUGAAACAUUGUGCCCACUCACUCCAACAGCUGUCAACGCCAGACCUGUGUAAAAGAUAGCCUUCUGUGUGUGACCAAUGCAAUUAGGCUGGUAAUUAGCACAGAUGUGCAUUAACUUGUGCAGUGCUGGUGGCGUAGACAUUGACAGAAAACCCAAGCCCUGCUCAUAAUUUUGGAUAAUCAGUUCAAGAAAGUCCAGUAAAACUGGAAGCUAUACUUCUAUCAAGUUAGGCCGUGAAAUUGAUGACUAAAUGGAAGGAGGGGAGGAAGAACUGUGAAUGAAUUUGCCGACAGGAGAACUUACAGAGGAAAAGGCUAUACUUGAGAGAAGCAGUAUCCAGUAGUUAUCCACUCCAAAGUCCCCAAAUAAGAAAAGAAUAAAAGGGACCAAUUUAGUUAGGCCAGUGUAUACAUUCAUUAUUCCUGCAGCAUGAGUAAACCCAACUUUCCAAACAUCUGUUAAGUACUUCUGCAUUAUCCACGUCACGUAAGUCGCCAACAAAUCAGCCCAUAUCAGAACUGUUAACAAGCAGAGGAAGUUAAAGAAUGACAAGGCCUUUGAUGACUCUGAGAUGAAUUAAAAGUACCCAUUAUUCUGACAAAUGCCAUUGCUUUUUCGAACUUCUCGUUGAAAUCCUGAGUGUGAGAAAAAUACUAUCAGAACAAAGGAAAUUAAGCUGACGAAUAGAGCAGUUUCAGAACCAUAUGGUGGCCAUAGCAAGCUGAAAGAAACCAGAAUUAAUAGUUUGGAUUGAGGUUUUUCUUUAAUUACCUCCAGCAGCUAUGUGUUCUGCUGGUCUGCGAGGGAAAAAGAGAGACGGAGAAACUUCUCUGCAAGAAGUCGUUGUUAGGAAACUAGUUUAAUUUCUUUUAAACAGAUUCCUUAUUUUGUGUGAAAGUAACUAGAUUUCUAAUUGAUUUUAGUUACUUAAAUAGUAGUCAAGGAAUUUCCUAUGUGUACGAGUUUAGGAAAAGGAGUUAUUUCCUAUUCUAAAUCAGGGCAGGAAUUAGGAAUGAUUUCCUAUUAUUAUUUGGGUUUUGUCCAAAUAAUGUUCCUUAUAAAUAGGUGGGUUAGCAUACUACAUACAAGGGCACACAAGGGGCGACAUGUAGCCUUAUACAUGGAUGGUGAAAGAGGGUUCUUGGGAGAUGAGAGAUGAUAUGAAAGGAUUGGAUUUGGAUUCAAAUUGUAUUCUUGUAUAGAGUUUUUCUCUCAUAAUGAAGAACGAGUUUCUCUCCGGGGAUGUAGGUUUAAUGGUAGAGUCGAACCAUGUUAAAUAUUGUGUGUCGUUUAUCUUUUAUGCUUAUGGUUUGUUUAUCAUUAAAUUAUUAUAUACUUGAUAUUUCAAUAGUUGUUUGUUCCGCGCUUUAAUCCUAACAAGUGAUAUCAGAGCUUGGUUGUGAGAUUGAGCGGCUCACAAGUACUUGAAUCCCAACAAACUGAAUGGUUGAAUUAAGAGUUUAUUUGUUCAAGGUUGGAUCCUGGUUAAUUAUUGAGAUCAAGUGCGUUGGUGGCUGUUACCAAUUGAACAAUUUAAUGGGUGUUAUUCUUAUUUCAAAAGUUUGGUAAGAAACAUUAAAAGUGAAGAAUGGAAAGUUGAAAAACAUGAAGAUACUUGACAGUGAAUCUAUACCGGUGAUUUAAGAGUCAAGAAAAAGAUGGAGUCUAAUGUCGAUUUUUGAACAUAAAUCGUUGGGUUGAUAUCUGCUUCGGAAGCUGCCUGUCCUUCAACUGUAUAUCUAUUAGUCUCCACAGUCUUAUUGCACCUUUGCUCUUGACUAUCUUAACUCUGUGGCCUCAUCUACAGCUGCACUUCCGCACCUUCUUUCCUUCAAAACCCAUCCUUCUAUUGUUUCAAAUGAGGCAACAUCGUAGCUUUGGAUAAUUUUAUAUGUGCUCACAGUUCACAAUUUGAUACAUUGAAAUUAUCUUCUCCAUAAUUUCGAGACCACCAACUGUGUGGCUCCAAAUUCGAACUUUUAUUGGCCUGGUCCAGUUUGCUUAGUAAACCGAGAGUUCGCCUCUCACGAUUUACAAUCCAUCUAUUUGUCUAUUAGCAGCUAGGAAAAAUGACUUGUUUCGUCUUUUACAUUUUGAUGAAAAAUUAAUUUUAUUAUUUACUUUUAAUAUAAAGUAAAUUAGUCCCUCAUAUUUUAAAGUGAACCAAGUUAGUCUCAAAAUAACCUGAUAUAGUCAUAUGGAUCUUACACUUAAUCAACAUAAAAAGAAAAUAAAUUUAAAAUUAUAACAUAAAUUACAAUCCAUUUUCUCUAAAAAAAAUUAAAAUUUUUUUAAAAAAUGACAUUAAGCUAACGUAGGAAGGGAAAAAUUAAAAUUCAUAUCAUAAAAGAAACCCCCAAGUUACAAAGUUUUACAACUAAAAAAUGUUUAACUUUUUAUAGAGAAUGGUUUGUUUUAGAUGUUAUAAUUUUUAAUUUUUCUCUUUUUUAGAGAGAAUAGUUUGUUUUAGAUGUUAUAAUUUUAAUUUCUUAAGAGAUAAUUGUUUAUUUUUGAUGUUACAAUUUUUAAUUUUUCCCUUUUUAUGUUGACUUAAUAAAAUUUCCUAAUGAAUUUUUAAUUUUAAAUUUUUUAAAAGAAAAGGGUUUUUUGUCAUAAUUUUUAAUUUAUUUCAUUUUUAUAUUGACUUAAUCACAUGUGCAUAUCAAGUAUAGUUAGAUUUGGAAGAAAUUAAAGUGACUGUUUCUAUUUCACCCCUAAAAUCUAUAUCAGGUUGUCAUUUUGGGACUAACUUGCUUCAUUUUUAAAUAUGAGAAACUAAUUUGAUUCAUUUUUAAAAGGGAAAUUUGCCAAAUUGGUCCCUAACAUUUACCAAAAACACUUUUUUAGUUUCUAACAUAUAAAAUCAGCCAAAAUUGUCCUUCACAUUUAAAUUGUGAUCCAAUUUGGUCCUAAUGCUCAUUUUUGCUCCUUUCUCCGGCUAAAAAUAGCACGCCUCUCUCACGUGGCCAUAUUUUCAAGGGCAAAAUUGGAAAACACAAAUCCCAGAUCCACUGGGGACGAUCCCUGACCUCACGAUCUUUAUCUUGUUUCGAUUCUCUAAGGACAGGUUCACCACAACGGUGACUGAGUUCACCUGAACAGAAGCAUAUUUGGAGGUGAUCAAAAGAGGGAGUGAAGUAAGGUGAGGUGAGGUAUGCGACGCGCGCCAGUGGCGUCGAGCAGCGGCGGCGGCUGCUUCUCGUGGAUGCGGGCUGCAGCGUCGGGGCAGGCAGAGGAUGAAAGAGAGCCGCGCAGUGGCGACGCGCUGAGCAGCGGGCGGCGUGCGCUGGGGUCGCGGGUGAGCUGGUGGAAGGAUGCGGUCGACUAAAGAGAGAGACGAGGGCAGUGCGCAGGGCAGCGGAGCAGAGAUCGCGCGACAGUAGAGAGAGGCGGCGGACAAGCGAGGUUGGAGGGGCGGAGGAUGCGGCGGCGGUGAUGAGGGCUCUCGGUCGCGAUGGAGAAGAAGAAACAGGGGACAAGAAGAAAGAAGAAAGCUUUUGUUUUCCAAUUUUGCCCAUGAAAAUAUGACCACGUGAGAGGGGCGUGCUAUUUUUAGCCGGAGAAAUGAGUAAAAACGAGCAUUAGGACCAAAUUGGAUCACAAUUUAAAUGUGAAGGACAAUUUUGGCUGAUUUUAUAUGUUAGGGACUAAAAAAGUGUUUUUGGUAAAUGUUAAGGACCAAUUUGGCAAAUUUCCCUUUUUAAAAUGUAGGACAAAAAACAUUUUUUCCAAGAUGUGAUGAUUGAAAUUCAUCAGACCAUCAUAUUGACUUAGAAGAAAAUAAGAUGAAGGCAAAAGGUUAAUUGAUGAUUGAAGUUCACUAUAUUAUUGACUGAAGACGGAAAAAAAAAAAGAAGAAAAAGUGGUUACGGAAAUGAAGACAAAGCUGAAAACAGAAAAGAGCCCCAAUAUGCUCUGGAAUAUGAGGUGCGAUUUGGGGAGAAGGGGUUUUUGUCAAUGGUGUAGACAAUAUGCGUUUCCUUUUUUACCCACAAAUAAAGAGCAAGAUUAUACCACUCUUUCCACCCAAAAUAACAAAAAAAAAAAAAAGAAAAAAGAAACCACAUACACAAACACUCAAUUUUAUUUUAUUUUUACAGUCCUAAUGAAACUUUUAAUAACUGCCAAUAGCUUACUAUCUUCGAAAAAGCUUAGUAUCUUCUGAAAAAAAGGAAAAAAAACUCUCAUUAUAGGCCUAAUAAAACCCUCCAAUACUUGCCAUUGCUUUUUUUUUUUUUUUGUGUUAAAGGUUUUCUUCCCACUACAGCAAGUGGUUCUUGGAUGAACCCAAAUUUUGUAGGAGGCAAAAGGCUGGGCCAAGAUAGGACUCGUAUAAGGACUUAAUGGGCAACACUUCUGUGGGUGAUUGGAGUAACGGCUAAUAGAAUGACAAUCGCCAAGCAAUCAUUGCUGUGUGAAAAAUGUCCUUUCCGCUUUAGUAUUAUAGUAGUCUGCGGGCCCGCGCCACGCGCAGGGUAGGCAUAUGUAACCCCUGUUAAUAAUUUGUGUUUGUCUAGUAAUAUUUUGUAAAGUUUGUUUUGUAAAUAUUGAUGUAGGAAAUAAUUUUAUAAUAUGUAAAAUAAUUGUGAGCUAGUUAUUUUUGAUUAAAUGAGGAUUAUUGGAAGGAUUGUUGGUAGGUUAUUGUAUAAAAUGUAGUUUAAUGUUGAAUAAAAAUAUAGCAUAUAUGUGCUGAAAUAGUAGAAUAUGAGAAUAGUAUUGAACGGUGAAAGUGUAAUCUUUAUAGUUAUUAUUUUAUAUUGCAGGAACUUCUACAAGUUUGACAUCCAAUAUCUACAUUUGAUAUUUGUUCAUAAUUAUGAGAAUAUAGUCUGGACUAAUAAUAUGGUAUUGUAGCAUUUUUUUCGAACUUUGAUGUUCCAACAUCUGUGUUGGUAAGAAAAGAUGAAUAUGCUAUUUUUGUUUGGCAAUAUAUGAGCAACAUCGUCGUGUUAGAGUUCUUGCAAAAUAAAAUAGAUGAUUACAGUAAACAUGUAUGAUUUUUUCUUUUUUUUUUAAUGUCACCAUCCAAACAAAACUUCUGUUGUUUGAAAGGAUAAUCAGCAUUUAAUGCUAGAGAAAAAGUAACACUAUCAAUGGGAAAUAAAAAAAACGCAAACUCAAAGUGAGAAUUUUCCAAUGAAGAAGGCUGCAUUCAAUAUCACAUGAGGAGCUACCAGGGCACCGACGCAAAUGGACCGCAAUAGCCCAAAAAUAUCAAUCCAUACCGAAAUAACCAACGGACACCCUUUUUCUGUUCAUUCAGUCAACUCUCACUUUUAUAUAGUUAGAUUAGAUUAGAUUUGGAGAAUUGUUAACGGCACUCUAUUUUUUUUUGCUAGUGACAUUUCCAUUAUUAUUUUUAACAUAUGAUAUUUAUUUAUUAGACUAUAUGAUAAAGUAAAAGAUGGGAAUGCGAUUAACAAAUAGUGAAGUGUGUUAAUAUUUCCAUUGUAUUUAACGGAUAACUAGAGUUUUAUGUAUUAAACUUUGUCGUGCUUUAUGAGUAGUCACCUUUAAAUGUCGAAAAAAAUGUAUUGUUCUUUAGUACACUUAGUGAUGAUUAGAAAGAUAAAAACAUAGUGCUAAUAUGUAUUUUUAGUGAUAUUGUACAUAAAAGCGUGUUACGGCAAAUUCUUACUAUGGUUAAUUAAAAUUUUAGUUUCAUGGACACAUACCCACAUUACUCUACUUCAAUCAAAAUUACAUAAUCAUCAAUCAUCACGAUCAACGUACUUUCAAAUACAAUUUGCAAGAGAAAUUUUUUCCUCAUAAAUUUCUUAAUAAACUGUGUCAAGGGCAAAAUUUUUGAAUUUAAUGGAAGAUAUUUCUUUCUUGUUAUAUGAGAUAAAUGUACUUGAUAAAUUUCUUUUUUUAUAUUAUUGAAAGGAUUUGUCACAUUUGAGAUCAAGUGAAGGUGUGUAUUUUAUAUGUGUUUAACUUAGCCAAAGAGUCUCUUUCUUGAGUAAUUUAGUACAGUCAAUUUGUUCAAAACGACAUCAUAUUUAUAUUAUGGAGUUAUAUAUAACAUGUUGCGAAAAGAAAAGAAAAAGUUGGCUAUUAACAUCUUGAAAACAUAGAAUGUAAAAGAAAAGGCCAUAAAUAAAAUACUUUGUUUUGUUGUGAAACUAUAUCUUAUCUCUGUUAGCAUUCAUCAACUUUAGAAUAACGUAGCUUGGAAUUUAAAAUGGUACUAUUAAAAUCAUGUUAACACUUUGAAUAAAUUAUAAAUGAGCUCCCCUAUUGUUUAAUGCUCGUUUGUAUAAUCCUUUACUAGUUACAAAAUCAAUAAAUGAGCUCCACUACUUGGGCUGCUGGAAGUCAUCCACUGUAAAGAAGUCACUGAAAAUGUCAAGGCUACCCCAUUAAAAGGCGCCACAGUUACUGCCCAAAAAUUCUGAAGUUCUCUAUUUUCUUCCAUUGGCUUCUUAGUUUCUACUUUCUAUUACAAAGGUAUUAAGGAGGACAACUUCCAAUAGUUUGAUACUUUCAAAGGGCUACGUGUAACUUUUGAAACAUAAGAGAUCGUGUGAUAAACUUUAAAUUGCAGUGAUUUAAAAAGGAUAGGUUCAUUAGUUUGAUACUUUCAAGGGGGUUGCAUGUAAUUUUUGAAAUAUAAGAAAAUCAUGUGAAAAAACACUAAAUUAUAGAUCAUUAAAAAAAAUUUACCCCUGAUUCUUUCUAAUAUGGUAAAUACACAUUAAAUCAUACCAUAAGCUCUUACACAUGCACUGAAAGAAUAAGGGGGCAAGGUGGAGAGGAAAUUUAAUGACACAAAACCCCCUAGUGUUUUGCGGUAUUAACACAUUCCUACCCAUGACAGAGAUUCUAUGCUCUGCUAUUAUAACUUUUGAAACACACACAACAACUGCUGAUUAUGUCAACUGGUUAGUUUUACAUCGUCUCUUGAAUGAAAACAAAGAAGAUGCUUGAGAUUAGGACAAAUGGGAAGAACCCCAGCUUAUGUAAUGUUAAGCAGACUGUACAAAUUGACCAUUUCAUUUGCGCCUCACAACAUCUGUUUCUGAUUGUUGGGGCCUUCAGUUGUGGAAAAAAUCUAGGAGGGUUGUCGGAAUAGUGGUCUGACCCAAGAGGCAUGAGAAACUAGGGCUGUCGAUCGAGUCUAAUGAGUCGGAUUUUCAUGAGCUUGAGUCCAGUUCAUUUAAUUUAUUAUAUUUUUGGUCUUCGAGCUUAAGUUUCGAAUUAAUAAAUGUGAAAUUCAUAUUCAAUUCACAUAAUAUUCGGAUUGUGAGCUUUAUUUAGGCUUAGCCCAAGCUCACUUAUUACCUUAAUUUUCUAUCUUAAUAUAAUUACUGUGACGCCCCCACUUCUCCCUAAGGCUAAUCAAAGGGUAUCCGCGGGACGCCUGCCUAGCUCUCGCCAGGACUCAAGCAAUUCCAUUCAAACUUAUUAUCGGACCACACAAUACGGUCAAUAACUUAGAUACAAUAAAUGCGGAAGCGUUCAAGUUUAAUAAAAGUCAUCCGUUAUCCAACCCGCACAUCGGGUGUUCAACAACCAUCAUAAAUUCCAAAUAUACAUCAUGCCCCAAAAGUUACAUUCGGAUUCCAAAAAUACAACCCAAAAGCCAAAAUAUAGUCAAAAGUAAUAGAAACCCUAAACAAAAGCGUAUCAGGAAGGUUUCUUCGAUACCUCGCCAAGUUCAAUCCUGUUAAGGAAAACAAAUCUACAGGGUGAGCAAAAACGCCCGUGAGGCCAAGAACACAAAUGCAGGCACAUAACUCAGGUAACAAGUCCCAAGUAACAAUUCAAGUAAUAAUUUGCAAGUAAUUAAUAAUGCCAACAAAAUAUAACCAAAAACAAUUCAAGGAUAUGGUAGCUCUCAGGAGUUAAGUUCCACAUUUUGCCGAUGUCAUUCGUAUACCUCCCCGCGAUGACUCUCCGUCAACCGGGUUGAUAUUUCAUAUCCGUAGUUCACCACUUACUUCUCAUCCGUCCACCCCACACCGCUUCAGGCCCGCACGACAUUUAGAAGGCUAUACUCCACGAGUAUGCCAAGCGAGAUCUCUCAAAUAGAUCAAGCUUAUCAUGUAAUUCUCAUGGCUCACCAAGGUUCCCGACCAGGCCCAUGCCGGCUCGAGUUCCAAGGUCGGCCUAUGAGUUUGGGCAUCGCCCAUGUAUCAUGUAAGUGUCGAGGAGAUUCACUCCAAUGACGUAUGCAGCCAUAACAUACCAUGUCAUGUAUUCAAGCAUUUGAUAGAUCUAAGCAGGUAUUUCAAGUCAUGUAAACCAGGUAAAUCAUGUUAUGUAUGAGUCAUUUGUUUUCAAAUGAGAACGAGUGCGAUAAAGUACACACUCGACUCCAUUUUUAAAAAAAAUCAAGUAGGCUAAGCAUGUAAUCAAAUCCAUAGAGUUUAAGUAGUCAAACACUUGACACUCACCAAGUUACGCAAGCAAGCAGGUUGGAUUGAGUGUUCAAACUUCCACGGUAGGGUCCUCUUGGAGGUCCUCGUGCGUGCCUGAACAUCGAAUAGAAGACCAUUACUAUAGGUCCCUAAGAGACGAGGAGAUCGAACACAAAUGUGGUCUGGAAAAAUUUUGGAAAUUUCGUUUGAGUUCGUCUUUGAAGUUGGAUUCGCAAAAAGGUACGAGACUCGAGUAAUAUCGGAUUAUUAUUCUUGAAAUCAUUGGAUGGAAACGAGUACGUGCGAAUAAAUCUCAAAACGAACGACCAAAGUUGAAAGUGGACUGGCCACAUCACAAUCCGGCCGGAAUCUGGCCGGAUUCAAGGCCGGAUUCUAGAAAAAUGCUUCCCACGCGGAUUUCUUUUGAAAUUCCAGAAUUCUCGAUUUUUGGUAAAAUCUUUGAAAAAUCAUAACUUCUUUUUUACUAGUCAAAAAUUGAUAAACUCGGUACCGUUGGAAUCUUCUUUGAAAGUACUAAAAGUUUUUAGAAGACACUGUUCCAUGAAUCUAAAUGGAAGGUAUUAAAAAAUGAGCUUAAAGUUGCUGUUCCAGAUCACCCAGAAUUGAGCCGGGGUUGGUUUUUUGCUAACUUUGGAAAUUCGGCAGAAUUCACUCGUUGCAAACCAGCCCUUGAAAUUUAUAGCUCAAUUAUAGGUGCAAGUACGGUUUAGGACAGAACAAGCGGAUUGAGAAUCGGAGUUUUGAUCACCAAGAUAUGGUAGCUCAAAGUUGGGAAAAAUUCAAGACUGGAGAAGAAUUUCCAGAUUUGAACUUCCAACAUUGGAAGUUUAGUUAGGUAUUGAAACGAACUUGGAUUGGUACCAAAAUUGGCAGUAUUUUACUCUUAUAUGAAGGGUAUCUCUCUAUCAAGUUUCAUAGAAAAAUACCUUCGGGAAGGCAGUCAACGAACCAACUGAAGUUUGGAAAAAUUCUUAAGGCAAUCUGCCUUUAAUCCAUUUCUUUCCAAAUCCAAUCGUUUGGCUAAGAAAAUCCUCCAAUCAUGAUUCAUAUGUGAAUGGAAAGUCUAAGGGACAUUCAUGGUACAUUUGGUAGGUGUUUAACACCAAGAAUUUCAUUUAGUAAGACCACAACAAGUCUCAUCUCAAAUCUGUCCAAAACUAAGUUUUUCCAAAACAGAGCAGUGUUCUUGUUUUGAUCACAACUCAGUCGAAUUAACUCGGAAUUGAGAAUGGUUUAUGGCGUUGGAAAAUAAAUUCAUAGGGCUAAAAAUUCUCAGAAGAAAACGUUUUGAAAUUUGGCAAACAACCAGCUCGAAAUUGAGCCUCAAGUUGCUGCCUCUACAAAUCAUUCCAACAGAAUGGAGAAACAGGACAGCUAUCUUAAAACGAAUGGUUCGACUCCUACAUAUGGAAUCAGAAGGUGCAUUUUAUACCGUUGGAAAGGUAUGGAUGUCUAGUUUCAAAUGCCACCAACGGAACUCGAUUUUGACAUCGGAGAACAAAGUUAUGGUCGAAAUACUACCGCUGGACAGGGUUAUCCGAAAACAGUUUUCCAGCUUGACUAGUUCACAAAUAAAUUCAUUUGCCCAACCAAACGUUAAUGUUUUCCAAUGAAAAUUUUUACACAUCUACUACAACAUAUAAACAUCAGGUUCAAGCCAUUAGAUCAUCAAAAAUUGGCCUUAUCAUGGCCGAAAAAAACAGGGGCAGUUUCAGAAAUUUUUGUCAUGGCCUCAACUUUUGAGUUUCCAACAAUAAUACUCCAUAAAUCUAUCAUUUUAACCACUAAACUACCACUAUAAACAGCAUCAAUCACCAUAACAGCCAUCAAGACAGAGGUGGGAGUUCAUAGAGCCCACCUUCCAUUUUUUUCAACAACAACAACAACCCAUAAGAAAUUAAGAGCUAAAAGAUAUACUAGAACUUCCAAAAAUUGAAGUUAGAAGGCUUGAUCAUGACUUACUCUAGUUGAUGUUCAAGUCAGAAAUUCAGUCCCUCCUUGCUCCUAAGUGAGCCGUGAAAAGCCUCCCCUUUUUAGCUAGAUAUGAACUCCAAGGCUUAGGCUAAGUAGUGCUAAAAUUUGAGAAGAUUUGGUGGUGAUUUGAGUGAGUUUUGUAGAGGAAAUGUUGGAAAGUUUCGGUUGUUCCUUUGCUGUCUGCUAGCCGGCCAUGGAAGCUUGGAGAAAUGAAAUGUUUGGUCUGAUUCUAUUGUGUACAAAGAAAGCUUAACGUCUAAUAGUUUAAGUGCGCAAAAGUCAUCCGCCAAUAGUGCGCAUACGCGUGCGUUUUGUGCUUGAUUUCUCUUAAGUUUGUUGCACUAGUGCACUAAACCUCUAGGGCACUUACAUUCAUAUAAAUAUUAUUCAUUCUUAAUUGUCCCAAAAUAAUGGUCCAAAGUCCCUCAAUUAAGCGCGCACGUGAAAACACGUAUUUCCAAUUUAGGCGCAAUAAAGUAAAAUUUUCGAGAAAUUCUUAUAACGAUCGUACCACUAACUAUCAUAUGAGUAUUUAAACCUAAAUUUACCUAUUUUAGGACCAUUGUAUAUGUCUCAAAUUUUUGAGCUUAUUGAACUCCCAAUUGGCUAAAGUUUUCAGACACGUUUUCACUUUUCCACUAAUCAAGCUUUUAAGAAAAUAAUUUUUGAAACGAGACACUUUAAAAAUAUAACGAAACGAUAAAACUAUGUACUUAGGUCUAAUAAGGUUAGAAAAUAUUAUUCGUGGCAAAAAUCCAAAUAAAUAAUUAAUUAAGCUAAAAUUAGAGAUUUUAAAUAAUAAAAUUUUCGAGUCCUCACAAUUACUAUAACUAUUAAGUUGUAAAACUAAUUUAACAUUUACAAGACUAUAAUAUUAAAACUAAGCACGAACAAAUAAUAAUUCUUCAAAAGUACAGAAACCAAAAAAUUUUCAACAAUAUUUAUAUUUAAUUCUUUCAAAAUACAUGAAAAAUAGUAAUAAAACAUGUGGUCAUAAGCCAAUACAUCUUUAAAAGUUGAAACUUUUUUAUAACCUUGUGAUUUGAAUCCAAACAUGCUUGAUGAUUUGUGUUUCUAGAACAAAAAGAAAUCAACUAAUAUUAUACCAAUACAAAAAUGUACUCAACCAAUAAGAAAGGUAGAGAUUCAGUUAUGCAUUAUUAAUAUUGUCUCUCAAGAAAGCUCAUAAAAGAGUCUUCGGGUGUAUUUUUGUAUUUUGUAAUUUAUAUAUAUUUAGUAUUUAGUAAAAUAUAUAUUUGGAUAUAUAAUUAUACAUAAUAUCAAAAUAUAAACAUUAUAUAUAUAGGUAACUAAAGGAUCGGACAUAUAUUGGGCUUGAGCCUAAUAAGGCCUAAAUUCGACUCAUAUUUAAUUCGAGCCUAAUUUUUAAGUUCAAUCUCAGACCGGCUCACUUAAAAAUCGGUCUUAUUGGACUUUUUGUCAAGCCGAACAAGCUGUGCACGGGCUGGCCCAACUCCAUUGACAGUCCUACAAGAAAUUGUUGUCCUUAAGGAUAAAAAUGUACCCAAAUAAUAAUAAUAAUAAAUAAAAGGAAAAUGACAAUCUACUUUGGCUACUUUGUUCUGCCCAUUUUCUAGUUCUUGAGAAAUAAAACGAGAACAUAUUUAUAUUUGGAAGUUUUCAAGCACAUCAAACUUAAAGGAAUUUAACAACUCAUAUGAAGGCUGUACUUAGGGGUGGCAAUUUUCGACACAAUCUGAAAACACGACACGAACCUAACACGAAAUUAAUGGGUUUAGGUUGAGGUUUUGGGAAUUCGGGUCAGAAUCGGGUUGGACCCGAUGAACCCGAAAAGAAAACAGGUCGAUUUCGGGUCAACCCGUGGUGACCUGAUAUGACCCGUUUACGAAUUAAAAAUAAUUUAAUAAACAUAAAAAUAAUUUUAUCUAACUAAACUAAGUUAUUCUUUUUUUCAAAGGCAUUAAUUACUUAAUCCUAAAUGAAUUUAUUUAAUUUGUGUGAAGUUGAAAUUAUUAUAUUUGGACAAAUAAUAUAUUAUAUUAUUUUUUAUUUUUAUACUGUUUUAAUUUAUUUUAUAUUUUGUUUGGGAUAAAACACUUUUACGGUGUUUAAUUUAUUUUAGAUUUGGUUUGGAAUUAUUUAUUUAAAUUUUUAUUACUUGAUUAUGUAAUUAGUUUUGUGAGAAAUUGAUUUUAUUAGAAAUUACAGUGAUAAAUUAAUAAAUUAAAAUUAAGUUUCGGGUCAUUUCGGGUCGACCCGCCAACCCGCCAACCUGAAAUUUUCGGGUUCGGGUCAGCAUACCUGACCCGUCACGGGUUGGCGGGUCGGGUUCGGGUCAACAGAUUUUCUGACGGGUUGACCCGAACCCGACCUGCCAACCUGAUUUGGACCCGAAUUGCCACCCCUAGCUGUACUAUUACUUCAAAUCCUUUUCUAAUGUUAUUUGUGUGACAUCAAUGUUUCUGUUUGAUAUUAAAUAGAGAAACUUAUUGUAUUGAAUUUUCUUAUGAAACAGAAUUGGAUUAGGAAGACACUGCAUAAAUGUUAAUUUGUAAAAGAGAAAAGUAUACUAAACAAGAAAUCUCAAAAACAAGAAAGCUGGUUUUAUCUCAAAAAAGAAAUGCAAACAAAUUUGUGUUAGGAAAUAUUCAUGAUUCUAAACUUCUAUGAACCUAACUAUAAUGAUGCGAGAAUGGAUCAAACAUCUAUUAAGUUGUUUGCCACUAUUACUCUGUCACAUAGAACUCUAAGAAGAAGAAGAGCUUUGCACCAUCUUCACCAUAUUUAGAAGAACCCAGCCCCUGCUCUGCAAAAUGCUCAUCGUUUCCUUUAAGUUGGCUGGAACUGUUUCAUCGGUAAAGUACUCAUCUCUGGCCACCUCUGCUGAGCAAAAUCUCAAAGCAUAUGAUUUCAACAUGGGCUUGGCCAGCUGCCAAAUCGGCUGAAAUAUGAAAGGAGCAUCAAUGAAGAGGACUUCGUUUAGCCUCCUUGGAUAGUAGUAGUAGAAUACAUCAAACAAAAAUGUAAGAGACCUGAGAUCUGCAUUUUCUGUACCAAAACCUCGAAGAUCAAUUAUUACAAGUAUCUGUUCCUUCCCAGCUGGAAGCUUACUAAGUGCUUUCUCAACUAAGAAAACACAUAAUUUUUCAUCUUCAUGGAAAUCAUGCUUCCCAGGGAAAUGCUUGGAUGCUUCUACUAUUAUUACCGGUCGGCUGUUGACAUCAAGAUAGUCAUGCACAUAGGCUUUCCCACUUUCAGCUGCUGAUCUUACUGAUUCUUCUCAAAGUUCUGAUACGCCAAAUUUAUGAUACCAUCUUAUGGCUUUUCUCAAUUUGGACACUGCCUCUUCAACAGAAAAUCUUCUGUCCUUCAAAAACCAAAAAAUCAGCUCUUCAUCAUCUUUUCCAUUUUUUCCAGCUGGAAGACUGCUACAUUCUUUUUCAAGCUUUUCUUUAACUUCCACAACUAACUUUUGGGCAUCUUUUGGGGCCAGAGCACAGUGGCGCCGAGAAGCUUACGAAUUCAAAUGGGUUUACUUGAAAAGAAUGAGGAAUUGAGAUUCUUGAAAUGGUUACCCAAUGGAGGCCGGAGUCCCAGUUGGAAUGCCAUUUGAUGUAUGAUUGGAGGCCGGAGUCCCGGUUAUUCAUGCUUAAGUGAUUGGGAGAUGGAUAAUCUUCUUAUUGAAACUAAGAUUUACAUUUUUUUUGGGGGGGUCAUUUCUGGUGAGGGCUGCAGAAGACUACCCUGUUGAGGAUAUUGUUUGUUGAAUAUUUUUUGGUUUAAUUGGGUUUCCUUGGUUUGGUAUAGUUUGGUUUGGUAUAGUAUAGUCAGUUAGCUAGGAAGCUCCAAGUUCAUAUAUUUGCAUAGGAAAGCUCAGGCGAAGCUAAAAUUAAUAAUUUAAGAUUCUCCAAUUGCAUUCUCAAGUACAUGCAAGUCCAAGUUCCAAAUUCAAACUUUCCUUUGCUUCUCCAAUAGAACCAAUUUCGAAUUCCAAUCUCACAAUAUUCGCCCUUUAUCAUAUCAUGAUACCGCAUUUUUUCUUAUGCAAUUCAAAGUAUUUUUUUUUAGCUUUACUCUUCACAGAAUCUUGAUUUAUGCCCUUUUAUGGAGCAUGAAUGGCUCAAUUAAUAAUUAACACCGCCAAUUUAUUGCCCCAUUUUCUGAUUUCAAUAAUGGUCGCCCGAGGAGUUGUAGGAAUGGUAAACCGGUGAUGAAAUGGAAAGUAAAGAAGAAAUCAAAUGGAUCGUUUUAGAUUGGAGCAUUAUAUCAUAUUGAUUGUUACCAUAACUCCAAGUGGGGAUUUUUUUUUUUUUGUGUGACCAUAUAUCUAUUGCUUUCCCAAGUUGUAUGCCUAUUUAAGCAAACAGCCUUCAUGACACGUGAAGAAUAAGAACUUUUCCAUAUACAAGAUUUAAGUGGUGCAAAUUCGAGGAGUUUUUUAAAGUAACAAAAUGAGCCUAAUUUUCACCACUGAAUAUUUUGCUUGUAAAAUGAGCACGAGUUUAAAUGGUGCCAUGAUCAUAGUCUUCAAAUCAUUGUCUAAACCCCAAUGAAGACUUCAGAAUGCGGACAUUGAAUUAAUUCAUACGAUUAUUGAAGGUUUUUCAAAAGAAAUUCUGAAUUUUAAAGUAUGGAUUAUUGAAAGCCUUAAGAAAAAGGUGUGGUCUUUCCAUAACGAUACAAGUCUCAGGCAUUUCUUCUUCCUCGACCAAAGUCUUCAAAUCAAGCUUUUUUUUUUUUUUUUUAAAUUAAGGAAGGUUUUUUGCAGUCAGGAACUGGUAUAAGUAGAUAAUUCAUACUACUAUAAAUAGAUGUUGGCUUCUUGUUCUCAUCUUAAUACAUUUUUUUGCUCUAACACGUUAAAUUAAAAGGCAGUGACAAAUAGUAACCAUUCACUUGGGUAUUCUUAAAACUACAAGAACGGUUUUUUUAUCGAUGUCUUUCAAAUCAAGAGGAAAACAAAUUACAUAAACAAUGUAUAUUACUUGGUCUAGAAUGUUGUUACAACAAAUAUUCAUGCAUGCAGGAAUUUCUGCUAGGCGCAUAUCUCAAAUAGUUCAAGCUCAUAUGGUUUGAAUUAGCAUAUACUAAUACUACUACAUUUUCUAUUACUCCUGUAAAUAUUAAAUUCUUUAUCGAAUGAUAUGAUGUUGUCGUUUUCUGUAGGUGAAUAAAUAGUAAUACAAAAAUAAAUACAAAAAAAUCGCAUUGCUAAAGAGGGAAAGGGAAUUUCCAUAAGUCAACCAUAUAUUUAUCCUAUCGUUGAAUUUUUUCCCCCCGGGUAUAAUAAGCGCAAAAUUUGAAACUAAAUAGAUAAUAAUGUCUUCUUUAACUUUACUACAAUACUUCCUUCGAAGCAAAAGAAAAACCAUUAUUAGCGGUACUUUGCAAUUGAAAAAUGACGAGUUUGUGGGAGAAAGAGUUAAAAUUUAUACUUAGAAAAUGUGGCUAUCCUAUAAUAGUUGGAUUUUUAAUGGUAUCCAAAAGCUAUCCUUUCUUGUCUACAGAUAUGUUCUCCAUCCGUUACUCUAAUUCCUCAUUUUAGUUGCAAGAGAAAAUGUAAAAGUCUUGAGCUGUGCUUCUUUGACAAAUUUGGAUGCGUUUCCAUUGGCGUUUUCACUUUAACUUUCUCAACCAUUGUUGUUACAGGGGUUCAUGUUUUCUGAUUGAAUGGUGGGGCGUUCAACCUUUUUGAUUGUGAACAAUAUCUCAAUGGUUGUUGCAUCCGCAAAGGACACUAUUAAUUUUCAAGAUGAAAUUGUAAAAAGCAAAACGAGAACUAUAAUUGUUCCUUGGAAACGUUGAUUUCAUUGGUUUAUCCUUGGAAAAUGUACUUGAAAUAUAAUUUGGUCUUAAUUAUUGAUCCUCGAGAAUUAGAAUUAAAAUGGACAUCUUAUUUUCUUUGAUUUUUUCAAGAAAUGGGGGCAAAAAACCUUAUUUGAAUUGUAUAUAUGAAAUUAAUUGACUCGACAAUUUUAUUUUGAGUAUUUUCAUUAGCCAAAAAUUAAGUUUUGUUUUAUUUCUUGGCUCAAUAAUCAGGCUUGCGAUUUCAAAUUACUUUAAACUUAGUGUUUAAUCAAAAUGAAAUCAUUUGGCCUUCUAAAUGAUUAUAAUGGCGUGGAUUUGAGGCGGGGAAGCCCUCUCCAUCCCUCACCCCGUUUUCCAGAAAGCUCCUCUGCCCCUGCCCCGAAUCCGCCCCAACUUCUACGAUUUCUUGACACACGAGCAGAUUUGUCAAAGAAGCCCAACUGCCAAUUCAGGCCGACUGACAAGAAAAACGUUCUAUAAAUUUGAUUCUGGCCCAAGCCCCAGUAAACCAAGAAAAGUAGAUAGCCAUUGGUGUUCACCCAGUGAAAUGCAAAAUUGGAUCCUGGACAAUCUGAAAGAAGAAGAAAUGAUUCCAUUGCUUAAACCUGGAAGCGAUUUCCUGUGCUCAGACAUACAUAGGUAUAACAGCUUCAUUUCUUUUAUAUAAACUCAUUACUUUCCUUUGUUAGCAAAUCAGCAAUAAAACUAAGCUCUCCCUCCAAGAUGCCUUUACACAUUGGCAAUUUUACACUUCCAAAGCAAUAAAGCAUUCAAUUCCAGCUAUACAUAUGGCGGCUGGUCCUGAAGAAGUUGAAUAAUAAAGAUUGAAUGCCAAGAGUUGCUCAUCCGAAUACGCAUGAAAGAUGAAUUAGAUGGCAAUUUCCAAAUUCAUUCCAAGUUCCUCCAUCAUCAUUUGGUUGUUGACAUCUGCUUGGAGCAAACCUUCUGCCAUCCAAAGUUCGAUUAGCAUAUCUCCUUUCAUCAUAGUAUCCUAAGGAAAUAUAGAACAAUAUGCAAAACAUUUCUUAAUGGAUGGAGAUGGUAAACAAUCAAAACUCAAUUUAAGUAUUUCCAUGACACCAUCUUCAUCUCCACUGAAAUUUGAAAGCUUAUUCUUCAAAACCAAUUGCCACUCGUCUUUUCUCUUCAUGCGCAAUAAACCUCCCAUUACACUUGCAGCCAGUGGUAGACCACCACAUUUUUUUAUAAUUUCCUUUUUCAUGACAUGCAAUUGUUUGGGAAUUUCUCCACCUGCAAUGGCUUUCUUUGUUAGGCUAGACCAACAAUCGUCAUCAUCAGAUAGCUUUCCUAGCACAUAAGGAUCAUGUGUGGCCACAAUGGAUGCAGUUUGUUGUUUACGAGUAGUCACAACACACCAAUUUCCAUUAGUUGCAUUUAGCCCCAGUAAUGAACCAAAAAAAUCAUCCCACAAGGUAAGAUUUUCGGUCCAGACAUCAUCAAGAACAAGAAAAAAAUUUUUUCCCACAAGUUGUUCUCGAAUUUCCUGGACGAUGACAUCCCUACUGGUCAUUUUAACAUUUCUUCUUGUGAGUGCUUCUAAAAUCAUUUUCAAAAGCCUGGUCACGUCAAAAUUGUCGGACACACAAACCCAAAUUUUUUUCUCAAAAUGGCUAUGAACGUGACUAUUUUUGUAUACAGAUUGAGCUAAAGUUGUCUUUCCCAAUCCGCCCAUCCCAAGGAUGGGAAUUACAGAAACGGCUUUUUCUGACAAGCUUAGCAAGGUCUCCACCAGCCUUGUUUCAUCCUUAGCUCUUCCUACAAUAUAAUGGCCAGCAAUAGAAUCCGUCUCUCUAUUUAGUGUGACUUUAGCAGUAGUAGAAGGGGGGAAACUUGCCCUUUGGAAUCUGAUCAGUCCAAAAUCAUUGGCUUCUUUAUUGAUCUUAUUCAACUUCUUGUUGAUGUCCCUAAUCCUAGAGGCCAUUCUCCGUCGGAAAACAAUAUUAAUGUCAGAGGACAGGAUGAAGGAGCGCACCUUGCCCACGAGAUGGCGACGAAGAGCUUCAUAAUUCAGCUCGUCAAACAAAUUCUCGGCAUCAAACGCCACGGCUUCUAGCCUCUGGAGCCACAGUCGCACGGCCUGGUCAUGCGUUUGCUUUUCCUCUGCAUCAGCCAAGACAGCUUGGAUCAUAGCAACAGAUCCUUUGAGGGUCUCCAAAUCCUCCUUGAAUUGGAAUAACUUGCCAAUCCUUUCAUUGGCAAGGGAAAGUGUCUUCUUCAAAGCUACCUCUAUUGUGGAAGCUAUAAGUACAUCAGCCAUUCUUCUUGUUCCUUGGGUACAGUCUUCAGAUAAGAAUACUCUUUUGCAGUGGAAGGUUUUAGCUGUAGUUAGAAGCAGCAAGGAACUGCUUUGACUCAAACGGAAGUGACAAGAGUUAUGAGGAUUUUUUGGUGCAGCGCUUCUUUGACAAACUGGGUGGGAUGCUUUUGCAACGGAAAUUGCUUGGCAUUUUCAGUUGAAAAUAAAACAUAGUCAUUGCAGGGAUUCUACAUCUGCUUUUGAUCCACAUUCCACAUGCCUGGGGCCCCUGAUCGUGGAAAAUUCCACUCAAGAAGGAUGAGAAACUGUGCUGAACAAUGAAAGGUCCAAAAUAAUUGUUUAGAUAAUACAAAUUAAGCAGUUUCUUCUAAUUCAAAUUAAUGUUGCGCAUGUAUAGGAGUCACAAAAUGGUUUGGUGCACUAGCAAACAGAAGGGUACAUCUAAGGUUACUACGACAAGUUUUACGUUAAAGUGGGAGAUUUGUAAACCAAUUCAGGGUAAACAAAUGAUAUGUUGAGGAAAAAAUAUGUUAGUUGCAAUGCAAUCAUAAAAGCUAUGAUACAUUUGUGAAAAGAAGAAACAUUUAUUAAUUUAGUGCAGUCUAAUUGGAAACCUAGAAAAAAAAAUAUACAUGAAUGAUCCGAAAGCGGGAACGGUAUCAUUUUACUCAAAUAAAAGUGUGAUCGAAUCGAGGAUUAGUUAAAUAAAAAAAUUAGAUUAAUAAUAUAAUACUUUUUUGUAUUUUUAUAUAAUGUAUAUGAGACAGAAUGGUGGCUGGUAAAAUUAAAAAAAAAAGUGAUGGAAUAAGUAUAAAUUGUUUUUUUCAUAUAUUUAUCUAAUGAUAAUAGUGACAGGGUAAAAAAACAAAGGUGAUAACAAUGAUAAGUGUGGUGAGUACUUCUUGCAAUUGAUUGCAAUCUAUAUUUUACAUUAGGUAAAUUUGAAUGAAACUUUCAAUGAAUGAAACAUGUAUUGUGCUUUUGUGUUAAUUUUGCAUUAGGUUAAUUUUGUCUGCAUUUAAUAUCUCAGUGUAUACACGUCUAUUGUGUCAGCACCUAAAUUGCAUGGCAUGUAUGGCACUAAAUUUCCAGUUCACCUUUCCUACUUAAUGCCUUGCCGAGGCCUCUACUCUGAUUGAGAAACCUUAAAACUGCUGGGGCCUUCUAUUGUGCAAAAAAUCUCAACAAAAUAGUGGUCUGACCCAAGAAGCACAAGAAAGUAUUGUCCUUAACAAUUAGAAUGUUAAAGAAAAAAAAAAAGGGAAAUUGACAAUGAUGCUGUGAUUUUGGCUACAUUAUUCAUCUCAUUUUUCUAGUUCCGGAGAAACAAAAUAAAAAGAUUUCACUAAGUUUGCUUUUUGUAAUGUACCGCGCUGGGCUUUGUCAAAUGCCCCAUUUUUUGCUAGAAUUACUUAUUUUGCUUCUCAUUUGGUUCUAUUAUACUGUACAGAAUUAUAUGUAUAUAACGUGGAUUGUCAUCUUAAGAAUCAAGAUUGCCAAUCUGAUCACGUAAAUUGGCCAGAAAUUGGUUGCAAUUGGCUGCAUGUAAUGCCUUGAAUCGAAAAUGGCUACCAUUUCAAUCCAUAGAAAUAUGUUGAAGGAAACUGGACUGCAACAUGUACUAAUAAGAAUCAGAUAUGACGAUUCUUGAUUGCUUAAGAAAAUCCUUGUAUAUUUGGUUAUUUGACACAGGAAGUCAAUAUGCUUCAAAUGAAACAGUGAAUCCAACAAAUAAGGCAUGGCAAGCUGUGAUUAAUGCCAUACAAACCUGAGUUUCAUUAAAUUAACAGAGAGGAUAGUGAAGAGCAGAGCCAUUCCUAAAUGCCAAAGAGACAGAGAGAUUAUAAAGAUGAUCAACUAACUAAUCAUACCCUUCAACACGAAUAGCCAAAUAUCUGAGGUUUGAGAAAUGACAGCAAUUGUUGCAGUCAAGCAAUAGAAAUGAUAGGGGGGACUACACAUCCAAAAGAAGGCACAGCAAUAUGAUCAGUGUGGAACAAAAUUUGCAUUAUAAACUAAUUCAGAGCCAGCUACAACGUCACAGAAUAACAGGCAAUAGACCUGAAACUUCCAAUACUGGGAUAACAACACUUUUUCUGUGCCCUACUUGGUCCGACCAGGGACAAAAGGACAUCUGGCCAAAUUAAAACAGAGAGGGACUUAUCCGAGAACUAAGUAGAAACUGCUGAAACUAGUCACAUUGCUCGAAAAUUCAAAAAGAACCAAAAAAAAAAAAUGAGAAAGAAGAAGGGAAAAAGGAACUGCUUAGAAUCAGAGAGAGAAGAGGGACUUCUGAGAGCAGCACUAAUCGGCGGGGACAACUCUGACAAGUGGAUGGCAAAGACAGCACUAAUUGGCGGGGACAACACCAAUCCCUUCCCUUUUGUGUAGAAAUAAGUUCAUCUGAAAGUUUUUAUUAUUUUUAGGUAACUAAUUAUGAUUAUUACUGCUACUACUACUUUCUGUACUGAUACAGACAUGAGAUGAUUUACUUAUAUUGGCCGUCAAAGUCUUAGAGGCAUAGAAAAGUAGAAAUGCUUUAAUUGUCACAUAGGAUUUGAGCUAGCAAUGAAUAGGAUUUGAAGCCAAGAUGUGUAAGAUCCAUGUCACAUUAUUGCUUCAUUGAACAAUAUUGACGUACAAGGAGACAAGUCCACAUAGAAGUAAUUUUGCAAUUAGAUGCUAUGCAAAAUGUCAGUUUGAUGAACUAAGGUUGAGCUUGUAUGUUCCUAUAUAAUCCUGUUCAAUUGAUUUCCAUAAUUUCAUCUCUCCAACGUUCCCAUCCACCAAGUGGAUCCUUCUUGAAUAGAAAUUGGUGCCUUAGCAAUUCAGUUUUCUCUCAAAUUAACAUAAAUAGAAGGGCUCAAUCUGACUGAUUCUUUGUUGUCUGAGUCCUGUCUGAGCUUUACAGAUACAAGGAGCAAUGGAAAAGUUCCAUCCGACACAACCUGUAGUCAACUGCAGAACACUUGAGAAAAAAUAUGUUGCCUGUUAUAGAGCUAAGAUACAACUUCAAGAAGGAUGCAAGCAGCUAUCAGGGUUCAGCUAAUCCACAUCUUUCUGCUGCAAAAUACUGGCUACUUUGAACUACAAGCACCACAGAAGAUAUGGCAAAUUGAGUUCCAAAAGAAGUAAAAGAACACCUCAUUAACAUGUCUACAAAUUGCUGAAUGGUUGGACAGUUUAAAAUCACGAGCCAACAAGGAAGAUCUCAGGCUUUAGCCAUCCAAGGCAGAGAGCAAAAGAGAAUUCCAUCCUGGAUGUUUUCAUCUGAUCUGAUUGAAACAGGAUCCGGUUCAGUAAGGGAUCAUAGGACUUUUAAUAAUGUACCAAGGAUAAUAAGUAAGAGCUAUGAAGGUUUUGAGCGUAAAAUCACUGCAUAACACAAAAACUCAAGAAACUUGAGACAACAUGUAGUCAAGAAUAAAGCCAACACAUAGUUGCAUGACGUUUUUGUUGUAUUUGAAACACUAAAAUAAGAACUUACCAUGAAGAGAGGAGCAACCAACAAGUAUAGAAGGUGGGAUGAGCUUAAUAGCCUUCAUCACAGCGGAUGAAACAAUUGCAGCAAGUAGCAGCAGGCAGCAAGUAUGUUUGACAGUCUUGACUAACUACGGCGAUAUGCUUCAAAAGUUGCAGCUUAGACUUGAUUUGUUAGAAGAUACUCCAACAAGUCCGUGCAGCUUUAUUGCAUGAACAGACAUCUUCUGUGGCUGCUCCAAAAAACAUCCAAAUUAGGAGAAGAUUUCUCAAGUUUUAGUUGUAAUGUAAUCAGAAUCAAAGUAUUUAAAAGUCAAAAUUGAGUAGUAAAAGAAGAGUAGUAUAUGUUACCUUACUGGACUCUGAGAACCAAAAACCAGUUUAACAGCCAACAGCUUUGGAAACUCCUGAAGUCUUUAUGGCUAGAAAAUCACAACCAAGGAAAAGUGAGACAGAAACCCAUCAUCUACGAGACUAUCGAACAAAUCACUAAUCAAAUGGUUCAAGAAGCUUGAUAAAUGCUCCUUCAAGAGGUGAUUAAACUUUGGAGCAACUAUUUACUCCCCUAGCAACAUAAGUUAGGGAGCUGAUAACUUUAGCAAUCACAUCUUACAUCCACAAAAGCAGAUAUAUAAAAUCAACAAAACAAAACUCCUAGUGCUUAUUUCAUAUUGAUGAGUAACUUGGCCCUAACAAGGAAUAUUAACCACAAAGCAGCAAUGAUGAUGUGAAAAAGUUGCAACUUCAUUACUGUAAUCUAAAUUUUACUCCCUCAUGACAUGCAGGUCCCUUGAUAGGGACUGAGCCACGGUGCCAGCGGUCUUUCCACUCCAAUCUACCUCAAAUCAGUAGCCUAAAAGUAAACUGCAUAUAGCAGCUGAUUUUCCAGGUAAUUCAAGAGAAGCCCCCCAAGCAAGCAGCAACUGCUUGGAAAUUGGAACUGUCUUCGUUCAUACCUUGAAUAUCAUAUGUUGUUGUUUACUAGGAAUACAUUUCUGUGCCCACUAUUGACAUCAUCUCAUAGUUUCAGAUUUCCAAGUACACCAAUUUUCCUACUCCAAUUCCUUUCCUGAGUUCUAGUUUCCAACUAUGGAUAAACUGAGAAACGUUUUGCCAUUCUACCAAGAAGCAUCUCUUACUACAUUAAUCUCAAUCUCCAGCACCAAACCAACAAGAGGUGAAUAACAUUCCUCUUCUCAUUUCCCUUUCAAUUCAAAUUAAUGUCAUCCCUUCACCUCGAGAACCACAGCCAUUACUUUCUCCUAAAAGGCUUCAAGAUAAACACCAGAAAAGUAUUUAUCUGAGAAUUGCUAGGAAUACCUCUUAUAUUAGAUCUCCAACUUUUACCAGCAGCUGAACUAUUUUUCUGGAGACAAUAUUCAAUUAUUCUGUCAUCCAAGAACCGCAAUCAAAAUUUGUAUAGUAAACUGAAGCAACUUAAUACAAAAUUUGGCUUCUGUGAACAAGCUCAGACAGUAUAAACAGAAAUGGAAAACCAAAAAUUAAUUAAUACCAGCUAUAAAAAUCUAAUCUAAGUUCAUCUAGGGGAGAGACCACAAAAAUCUGCUUGCUAAGUGCAGGAGAAAGACGUGCAGCAGAGAAUUGCUGGUUUAAAGUCUUGUAGAAAAGGUUUCUAGAAUUGGUGCAUGAGAUAUCGAAUCUAAAACGUCCAAUGCAUUUUCAACAGGUGAAAUCACGAGUUUAAAGAGAGUGUGCUGAUGUUAGCAAACACAACGUACAAAGGACAGCAACUGACAUACACGAUAAACAAAACUAAAUGCUCAAUUCCGCCCCACAUUAGUGCAUUUGUUUCAGUGUUAGUUCAUCCAAAACAUGAUUCAGUUAACCCAAGAACAUCUCAUUCAUUUGCCAUGUUUGAUCUAGUACAGAAACAUGGUAUUGAAUUAAGCCUCCAUUUGCCAUGUUUGAUCUUUGCGUCAGCAAAUAAUAUGUGAUAGAACGUGAGCAAUACCAAUUUAACAUUAGAAAUUAACCAAAAAGAUUGUUUAGUACCGUUAAUUGAUAUGAAGCGGUGCAUGGCUUAUUAGCGGUAAAGGUUAAAGAACCUACUCUGUUGUUGCUUCAAUUAUCCGUUGAUAUACUUUGAAGGAAAGAGAGGAUUUUCAAAAGUGAAGGCGGUACUUUAGUUCCCCGACUGAGCUUUAAGCCUACAGUCACUGCAAAACAGAAAACUCAGGUUCAGGACUUCACAUUGCAUGACAUUUUUGUUUAGUCAAUUAUUCAGAAAGCCAAAUCAAUAUUUGUUUCUGUUGUGCUUUUCUAACCUAAAUCAGUAAGACGAUAUCAAAAUUUUCUGCUCAGUCUACAAGUACCAGAAGUGCCAUAGAAACUAUGUUAGUUUUGGUUCAAAACACUGAAAAAAGAGAAGUUCUAUAACAAUAAUGAUAAUGAGUAGAACCCACAAGCGUGAAAGGCAGAGAGCUCCAGAAUUGCCAUGAAGGCAACUCUUUGAGACAGCAAGAUACAACGAGUAGAGUUAAUUAUAACUCUUUGACUCUUAAAAUCUCAAAUCAUGGCAUUUGGACUUAAAGUCUACCAAGUCUCUGAUGCUUGAAAACGGUCUUAAACAUGACAAUUUUUUAAAGGAUUUAAUUAAUUCAUUGGAUAUUAAACUUCUUAAAACCCAAUAUUAAGCAGUGGAAGAAGAUUAUUGGUAUUAUAAAUUAUGUGACAGUAAGUAAGACAGUAAGUAAGAGUCAUUGAUGAGGUUCCCUGUUGAGUUUUGGGCCUAAAAUCACUGCAAAGCACAAAAAUUCAAACUCAAGCCGGCGAAUAGCAUAGAAUAAAGCUAAUGGAAAUUUUCAGAUAAUUGCAGGUUUUCUGUCAUUGUGACUAAAGCCCCAAGAGGAGAAACUUACCAUAAAAAAAGAAGCAAACAACAAUCAUAAAAGCAGAGAGAGCUUAAAAGCCUCUAUCAAGGUGGACUCAUCAAGAUCAGCAAGUCACAGCAGGUAGAUUUGACUAACUACCAGAAUGCUUCAAAACAUUGCGCUUAGAGUUGAAUGUUGGAAGAUACUCCGCCAAGUUUUGUGCAACUUCAUUGCUCAAACAGUACACCCCUUCCUUGGCUACCUCAAAAAUAUCUUCGUGACGGCAAGAUUUCUUUUGUUUCAUACGUAAUAUAUUAGUUAUUAAAGUGGUUAGAAGUCAAAAUUGAGUAGUGAAAGAAGAGAAGCAUAUCUAAAAUUACCAGAAUUUUUGAACCAAAACAUGAAAGUGAUGACCAACAGCUGCGAAAACUCCUCAAUUGACCAUUGUCUUCAUGGAUAAAAAGCCAAAAUCAAGGAAAAGUGAGCCAGAAAACCAUCAUAUAUGACUCCGAUGGAGCAAUUACUAGUCAAAUAGUUCAGAUAAGUAUGCAAGUUCAUUAUCAAGAGACGAGGUAAAAGUUCAGUCCCCUUAGAAUCACAAUUUUAAACAGAGUGAGAUGACUUUAGCAAUAAUGACUUAAAAUCCACAGAAACAGAGCAUGUAAAAUAAACAAAACUAGACUGCUAGUUGUUCUAAACGUUGAUAAGCAAUUUGUAGGAAACGCAGGCCAAAAGUUAUUGAGGUCUAGCCAUAUAGAUGGUGCUGAAGAAGAUUCAAAUUUUGACCUCUGUUCGUGAAGCUAUUCUUCUAUCGAUCCUACAAAAACAAAGCAUAGAACAGAAUAUGAACAGAGAUACAGUAAAACAUCAAAGCACGAAACAGAACAGGUGCUUGGGGUCAUUCUAAUUGAUAGUUACAAGAGUAUUACUAUUAUGUUGUAAGGAGUAAAUGAAGAGUACCAAUAUUUUGGACCCGAUAAGAAAUGCUAAUGCUGCAGCUUUGAAAGAUAAUAAAUAAGACGAACAAAAGGGAGAACAGAAAAUUGUGAAAAUAACCAUGUGGACUUUUUAGGUUUUCUCGCGAGAAGGUUAAUCAGAGGGGGAGGUGAAGAGAAGGGGAGAUUGAUUGUAAAGCAAAUUAAGAAAGUAGGUAGGAGGCAAUCUUACAUGAUUGAAUUUGAUCUGAGAUGAGUGGUUAAUCAUCGGUUAUGUGUAGGUAUUGAAUGUGAGAAACUUUGGACCACUGGGAGUCGGGGCUGCUGCUCUCAGGAGUGCAUCUUUCUUUUAACACAGGAGAACCAUAAACGUGCAGACAUUUUAGUUUGGUGAGACUUCUCAUGGCAUCCUCAGAGGGUAGAUGUCCAAGCUCUUUGAAAUCAUAUAAAUAUAGUUCUUCAAGAGCAGCGAAGUUUCCGAACCAAUCUGGCAGAGCUUUUAUACCUCCAAAGUAACCUAGCGCGAGUGACGUGAGAGCGGUCAAGUAUUGGAUCUGAGGUGGCAGGGACUCCAUGUGUGGCAACCCAUAUAAGUAUAAUUCACGGAGUGCGGAUGAUGAAGAGGAGGAGGAGGAGGAUAUCAAUCCAGACCAAUCAAACUCAUUGUAAAUUGAAGAAUUUUCAUGAUCAUCACCAUCAUCUAAGAAGGGACCAAUUGUAAGCUCCCUUAAGCUGGUUAGGAAACCAAAUCCUUUGGGCAUCAUGCUUGUUUUCAGUUUGCGACACCACAAUAAUUUCAGCUUCUAGAGAGAAGGCGUUUGUUGCAAAUCAAGCGGAAAGGAGAUAAGAUUGUCGCAACAAACCACCCGAAGCUUUUGGAGAGAGGCACAAGAGUGUAGCAUGUCACCUGGCAGAUUCGUCAACUCAUCGCACUCAUCAAUCACCAGCUCUUUAAGAGACGUAAAGUUUUGCAGGGGAAGGAGUUCUCUGCAUCUGUGGCAGCAAUUAAAUUCCAAACACGCUAACUUGGGGAGUGUUGUUGGCAAAUCCAUUAACCAUCGAGGAAAUUGAUCGCCCAUAAAACGCCAAAUUACCAACUCCUCCAAAUUUGGGUGGGGUUGAAGGCCAUCCAACACAUCUUUGUCGUUGUAGUUGUCGCCUUGUUUUUCGCGGAGCAAGGCCCACUCAAAUCGCAAACUAAAUAGAUUAGCCUUUUCAAAUAGUUUUGCUUCCUCAGCUCCUUCCUUAUCCUUUACUAGUUCCAGAUUGCGUAUCUCCAAUUUGCCUUUGAGGUUCUUCAAGCUUCUAAGCUCUCCAAUUUGUCGACCCUUCACUCGACCCACUUUAAAGAACUCUAGUGUCUGAAGGCAUUUGAAAUUCUUCAGCAAGGGUGUAAAAGUGGAGAUGUCUCAAGCUAAUCAAAUCGCACAUCCCCUUCAGAAGAACCUUAAGAGCGGAUCUGUUUAGCCUCAGUGUUUGCAAAUUAUAAAGUUUGCAAACAGAUCCCGGCAAAGUUUCAAUUGCAGAACCCUCAAAGUUGAUGUACCUCAAGUGUAUCAGUUUGCCAAUUGAGAUUGGCAGAUUCAGAUUUUUUACACGAGACAAAUUCAGAACGUACAAAUUCCUCAACUUCGUUAGUAUAUCAUCAGAUAAGCCACUCCGAUUUAGAAACAAUGUAUGAAGCAAAUUUGAACGACUCUCGAAAAGAUUUAUUGUGCCUUCUCCAAAUGAGUCUAUUACAAGACAACGAACCUGAUUACCAUUGUCUUCUGAACCAGUUUCCGAAUUAAUGACUUUAGUAGACUUUGACAUUAUUGAUUUUGCGACGUCGUGCACCAUAUCAUGCAUUUUAUAAUACCUUCUUCUCCCACCGUAAUUUAUUUCUUCCAGCAAAGAACUCUGCAAUAAAAUUUCCAAGUAAUAUUCUCCAAUUUCCUCCAUUGUUUUGUUCUCCAUUGUUUUGUUCUCCAUUGUUUUGUUCUUGAGAUCUACUUGAAGGAAGCCUUCUGCCAUCCAAAGUUCGAUCAGCAUAUCCUCUUCCAUCUCAGUAUCCUGGGGAAAAAUAGAACAAUAUGCAAAACAUUUCUUGAUGGCUGGCGAUGGUAGAUUAUCAAAACUCAACCGAAGUAUUUGCAUGGCUUCAUUCAAAUUCAAAAGUCUAUCCUGACAGGUGUCAAGCCUGUGCAAUAAUAAAUACCUGCUUAAAUAAAAUAUAAUUUCUGUAGAUAGUGAUAAGUAGGGUCGAAUCCACAGGGACUGGGGAUAAUUUAAUUUCUUCUCAAGUUCCAGAUAUGGGGGGUUUUUGAAAAUGAGAGUAACUAAAUUUAUUGGAAUAAAUUAAAAUAAAAUAAAAUAACUACAACUCAAAUAACUAAUUAUCACAAUAAAAAUAAUAAUAGACGAACUCUAGCCAAGAGACAACUUUGGAGAUGGUUUACUUAAUUCGAUCACAGAUGCAAGGAUUAUUCCAGUUAUUAUCUGAUAAAUUAGUUAUAGUUGUCAUACACGCGAUAAACAACUAACUCUUCCUCAAUUUGUCGAUAGCCAAGGUACGACCGUUGACUAUUUCUCUAAUCAGGAAACAACCCUAGGUACGACCAUAGAAGUUCAAUUCCCUAAUUGCAUGAAUAAUUAGAAGAACCUAAUUCUAACCAAUCAACACGCUACGAGGGUCUCUUUAAGUUAGCCUGUCUAUCUCCCUGACACAAACCCAAUCAUGUCAGUUGCCACCAGUUUAGAAUAAUUAAACAAUUACGGAUUUAACUACCAUAAUUGGCUUCAGGUUAUUGAAUUAAUCUAGAAUCCGGGCCCUGGAUAAUCGAAUAAUAAAAUAACUAUAUGAACAUAAAGCAGAAGAUAGACGAAUACCAGAAAGUAAUAGGAAAGCUAAAAUCGAUUAGAUCUCACAAUUUAAGUCGAACCAAAUCCUCCGUUGUUCUUGACUAGAAAAACUUAGCCACGUCUCAUGAGAAAAUCUCCACGUAAUUUAAUUGAGGUCCAGGCCAUCAAAGGAAUCAAGAAAGAAUAGAAAACUAAAACUAUAGCUAUCCUAAAACUAUUGAUAAAAACUCUCUGUACGUCCCUUUUCUCUUUUAAAGCCAAAGAUACAAAUGCUAUCUAGUCCUGUGGUCCCCGCACGAAUUGAGAGUCCAAUUCCAUUUCACAAGCCUCUGUACGUUUCUUUCCAAGAGCCCAAAUGACUCAUGCUUCUUAUCUCCGUGGUCCCCACGCAAUUGAGAAAAGAGUCCAUCCCCUGUAAUCCUUGUUUUUAGCUUCCUCUUACCUGUAAGACUCCUAGUACAAGUCCACCCUUUUCAGCAUAAAGAUAGGAAAUCCCCUUUUUGUAGCAUCCUGUGGAGCCAGGCUUGUAUUUCUUUUUAGAACUUCCCAUGUGUGGAGUGUUUUUAUCAAUAAAGUCUCCUUUUUAGCACUUGUUUACUCUACUUCCUGUAAUUAGGGCCAAAUACCAAAUAUAAGUACAUUUCAACAAUUAAAACAAUAUUUGGCAAGGACAAAGAGGGAAAUUAACCAUAAAAUUAACAACAAAUUGUGCUCUAUCAAUUCCCCCCACACCUGAAUCAUGCUUGCCCUCAAGCAUGAGAACAGCAAUUGAACACCAAAAAUUCGACAACGGCUAUUGCUCUAACUAUCAUAUUGCCAAGAUAUCCAGAAAAACAUAUAUCAAGCAUCACAGUUAAGAUCCAAGAAAGACCACUCCGGUUAGCUCCCCAACCACCAACUCCUCCAAUUUAAAGCAAACUAAUCUAAGAAAAAGGAAUGGUUGCUCACAUUUAUCAGCAAAUGGUCCAGCUAUUAACCAAAAUCUCGACAUUAAGAUCACAAACCGGCAAGCUGACUUAUUCACAUACUAACACAAUCUUUACUUCACUUCUUUUCCCCUUUUUUUUUGUUCUUUCUUUUUUCUUUUUGUUCUCUUUUUUUUUUCUUUUUUUUUUUUUUGAAUAACAAAAGACUUAGUCUAUAGCCCUUAGAGCCUUUUGACGCGAACUCCAACAUUUGCUAGAUGGAGGAGCCCGGUUACUCAGCUCCAAUUGCUACGGGACCACGUACUCAUAGCAACUACUACCUUUUGACACGAGAAUCGACACUUUAGGUGAAGAUCCCCGGUUACUCGGUAGUAGCAACUAGCGGAGCACAGUCAAUUCUUAUUUAUAACCAUAUAACACAAUAACUAAAAACAACACAAAAAUAGCAGCAGUCAGCCCCAAAUUUCCAAACAUGGAGAACUAAAAUUAAUAAUUGGACCAAUUCACAUGAAAAAUGCCAACAAUCAUUCCCUAUGCCUAGAAAAGUUAACUAAAAAUUGGAAAAGUUAAGUAAUUAUUGAUAUUCACCAAAGAGAUGUUCCUGAACUCAACCACAUCAACUUGAUACAUUUUUAUUAAUAAACUUGGCAAUAACAGAAUUAGAGACAACAAUCCAGUAUCAAACUUGGUAUUCAAAUAAGAGCUGACCACUAAUAAAAGAAAAUAAAAUAAAAUAAAUAAACGAAAAAUAGAACAAAUAACAAAAAUAAAGGAAAACAUGUAAAAACUAAAAAUUAGAAAUACUAGCUGUACCACAGCUGUCCCCCCCACACCUAAAUGACACAUUGCCCUCAAUGUGAUAAUGUAAAAGCAGAAGGAAUGAGAGGGGCAACGGUACUUCCCUGAAGUUGUCAAAACAGGGGUGGGUCGGGCGGGGUACUGCCCAAUUCUGCACCAUGUUAUGAAGAUUGACGGUAAUGUGGGGCAUCCGAGUCUAUAGUCUCUUAACUCGCAUCUGGAGCUCGUGCCAUUCGUGGCCUCACCGUGGACUCUAGAUAUCACUCUAAGUAACAAGAGACUGCAAUUGCCAACAAAGAAUGGAAGCCGGGAAUUCAAAGCAAUAACAAUUUUAAAGCCAACCCAAUGAAUAAAAUGCACAAUUCAACCACCCAGAGGACAUACAAAUACCCCAACACUUAUAGCAAUGGCAAUCAAUAAGCACUUGCGGUCCCAAUGUAGUCAAUUUCAGAAUCAAUGCAGUCCAAAAGUGCACGAAUGCUCCUAAGAUGUAGGACUUGAAUUUAAGAGGCAGAAUACACCAAGCAAGUCAAUUAGGCACAAUCGAUUAGCAAUAAGCAAAGGAAGGGACACAGCAGCCUUCCAAUUCAACAAACAGACGCAGAAGGUACCCCACAAUACCAGAACACAGCUCCCAACAAUGCAACAAAACAACAACUCGAACAACUAAGAGCGGUGCUAGUGGCUAAUCAAAAUAACAAAUUCAGCAAUUGGACACAAUUCCACCCAAAAUCUCAACAGCUGUCUCCAAUUGGACAGUCAAUUACCCAGUUCAACCUACUAAAAAUAGCAAAUGACCCCAGAGAGGAGGAAUUCCAGCAACCGAAGUGCAGAAUCCUGGCAACACUUUAAGCACAAGAGGCCAGUAGUCAAUUAGGCAGUCAAGCACUUAAGAUUAAGAAAUUUGAGGCAAACUACUGCCACCAGUACCACUGGUAAAUGCUCAAGGAAAAAGUAAAUCAAAUGGCCAACCAAAGCCACUAAGAAAUACAAACAAUUUCAGACAGUACUCCGAGAGCCUAAACAAACGACAGUUAUAUCAAACCAGGCGAAUCAGCUGCAGGACAUAACUUAACCCACUGGCUCCAGUAACACAGAUGCAACCCAAACAAAAUUACUCAAUGAAAUCGCAAUCAUCAAAAUCCCAUCAACAUCAAAAAAUUGGAAUUGGGGACCAGAAAAUUAAUAAAGAAAAACCUGGCACCAGGGAGGUUGGGCUGUUGGCGUGCGGCGGUGGUCGAAAGGGUGGCAAGCUGGUGGUGCUCGCGUGGUGGUGGCAGGCGAGGGAGGAGCGACGCGGCGUGUUGGUUGUGGGCUCGUGGGCUUCGGCUGGAGAAAGAGUUCGGCGAGGAGGCGGAGCGUGGGCAGGCGGCUGGUGGCAUCGUAUGGAGAGAGGCGCGGCGAGCCUUGGCCGCGAGAUGGUGGUGGAGCGAGUGGGUAGGAGGAGCUGCGCGCAGGUGAAGAUUCGGCCGUGGGCUGUGGGUGAAGUGGAGAGAGAGCAGAGGGAGCUUGGUGGCAACCUUGGUCUCUGUCGGCAGCUGUGGCGGCUAGGAGUUGCGGCAGGGAGGAAUAAUUAGGGAGGCGGCCGUCGACGGAAGUCUGUCAGCUUGGGCUUCGUCGACGAGCUGUGGCGGCGCGCGAAGAGCUGGUGGCACACGAGGUGAAGCUGGAGCUGGAGGGAGGCGCGGCUGAGGUCGCGCGGCUCAGAGGUGGAGAAAGGCGGAGAUCUAGCGGCUGGCGGUGGGCCUGUUACGCGGCGCGCGAUGGUGGCUUGGAGGCAGAGGCGUGCGAGUAAAAGGAAGAAUUGGGGAAACAGAGGCAGCGGGGAAGAAGGAAGAAAGAAAAGAAAGAAAGAAAGAAAGAAGAAAAGAAAGAAGGGAAAAAAAAUAGUUUUUUUUUUUUGGGAGAUUUUUUUUUUUUUAUUGCACACUCAAAUUUCAAAACUCGAAUUGUGAGAACCAAAACUGAAGGUGUAAAACGGAAAAUGUUUUUUUUUUGAAUUUUUGAAUUUUUUUUUGUUUUUAGGUCGUCAAACACCGCGUGGGCACGCCAAGAUUGUAAAACGUCCACUGACCAUGAGACUUGAAUUUAGACGCUUAACGCGUGCCCUCCUCGCGUGGGCACGCCAAGAUUACCUAUUCUGGUCAUAGUAAGAAAACAUCAAGAGUGAUUAGUACCCAAGUGAGAAACGACAUAUUUAAGAAAUUGAACACAAAAAUAACAAAAUCAACAUUUGGGUUGCCUCCCAAAAAGCGCCUUUUUUUAAUGUCUUUGGCUAGACAUGCUAUGCUUGUUCACGGAGGAUAAAAUCUUGUAGCUCGUUUCAAUGCUUCAUCUUCAAUGUGAUCCUGGUAACCCUCAUAGAUGGAGUAAUCUUUGAGCACACGAGCUACGGUCUUCCAUGGACUAGUUGAUGGCGCCAAAUAAUCAAGCAUUGAUCGCAAUUCUUCAUCCACUCCUCCAUCAAGAGCAUUCGACGGUUCAAGAUAUUUGACCAUAGCUACUCUUAAUUCAUUCCUGCCAUGAGACUCAAGAACUUCUGGUAUAACAAAAUCAAUCUCAUUAACAGAAAUCAUAGAGUAAGAGUUAAGAAAAUGCAGGUUAGGGAAUGGAGGUGGUGUCACCACAUUUGCUGAUUCUUCACUGGAUUCUUUCACUUGAAUGGGUUGCAGUUGGGGUUCCAUUUCUUCCUUUUCGAUUUCUUUUUCAACUGCAUCUGUACAUCUCUCUUCUUGAAAAUCUUGCAGCUCCUCAUCACUAGUCAGGCAAAUUGCACUCUCAUUUUCUUCAAAAUCAACAAUGGUUUUCGAGGGCAAUUCUUCAAAUUGAGAAGCCAAUCGAUUUAUUCUGGAUGUCAAUAGACACAUUUGAUCUUCCAGAUUACUCAUUGCCUCCUUCAUCAUCUCAUUUCUCCUUUGUGUCUCCUGUUGGAAUUGAUAUGUAUUAAUAGCUAUUGAUUCAACUAUUUCUUCAAGAGACAUACCUGACACAAAUGAUGAUUCUUGAGACUCAUACUGCUGAAAAUUCAUUGGCCCUGUUAUAUAAUUAUAACUGGAGUUAUCCCACCAUCCUUGAUCAUACCCGUUUGGAUUAGGGUUAUACCACGUUUGAGACCAGGGUGAAAAAUCUCCAUAAUUAUUGAGUGGGACACUCAAAUUAUCUUGAUAUUCGGGGCACAUACCAGUUGAAUGAUCCCUGGCAUAACAAAUUUUACAGGUUGCAACAGCCAUUCUUUCUCUAAUAGAGUUUCGUGCCUCUGAAUAUGCAAACUUAGCAAAAAAACUAGCCUCAUUGCCUUCCCUGGAAACAAAAUCCAGUCUAUCACCAAAAUACGGAGUGUUAGAAGCCAUAAACUAUAUAAAAAAAAAGAGAAAAAUAAAUAAAAAAAAUAAAAACAAGAUGAACUCAAAAAGAAACAAAUUAAUCUGGCACCAGUCCCCGGCAACGGCGCCAAAAAUUGACAGGUGUCGAGCCUGUGCAAAAAUAAAUACCUGCUUAAAUAAAAUAUAAUUUCUGUAGAUAGUGAUAAGUAGGGUCGAAUCCACAGGAACUGGGGAUAAUUUAAUUUCUUCUCAAGUUCCAGAUAUGGGGGGUUUUUGAAAAUGAGAGUAACUAAAUUUAUUGGAAUAAAUUAAAAUAAAAUAAAAUAACUACAACUCAAAUAACUAAUUAUCACAAUAAAAAUAAUAAUAGACGAACUCUAGCCAAGAGACAACUUUGGAGAUGGUUUACUUAAUUCGAUCACAGAUGCAAGGAUUAUUCCAGUUAUUAUCUGAUAAAUUAGUUAUAGUUGUCAUACACGCGAUAAACAACUAACUCUUCCUCAAUUUGUCGAUAGCCAAGGUACGACCGUUGACUAUUUCUCUAAUCAGGAAACAACCCUAGGUACGACCAUAGAAGUUCAAUUCCCUAAUUGCAUGAAUAAUUAGAAGAACCUAAUUCUAACCAAUCAACACGCUACGAGGGUCUCUUUAAGUUAGCCUGUCUAUCUCCCUGACACAAACCCAAUCAUGCCAGUUGCCACCAGUUUAGAAUAAUUAAACAAUUACGGAUUUAACUACCAUAAUUGGCUUCAGGUUAUUGAAUUAAUCUAGAAUCCGGGCCCUGGAUAAUCGAAUAAUAAAACAACUAUAUGAACAUAAAGCAGAAGAUAGACGAAUACCAGAAAAUAAUAGGAAAGCUAAAAUCGAUUAGAUCUCACAAUUUAAGUCGAACCAAAUCCUCCGUUGUUCUUGACUAGAAAAACUUAGCCACGUCUCAUGAGAAAAUCUCCACGUAAUUUAAUUGAGGUCCAGGCCAUCAAAGGAAUCAAGAAAGAAUAGAAAACUAAAACUAUAGCUAUCCUAAAACUAUUGAUAAAAACUCUCUGUACGUCCCUUUUCUCUUUUAAAGCCAAAGAUACAAAUGCUAUCUAGUCCCGUGGUCCCCGCACGAAUUGAGAGUCCAAUUCCAUUUCACAAGCCUCUGUACGUUUCUUUCCAAGAGCCCAAAUGACUCAUGCUUCUUAUCUCCGUGGUCCCCACGCAAUUGAGAAAAGAGUCCAUCCCCUGUAAUCCUUGUUUUUAGCUUCCUCUUACCCGUAAGACUCCUAGUACAAGUCCACCCUUUUCAGCAUAAAGAUAGGAAAUCCCCUUUUUGUAGCAUCCUGUGGAGCCAGGCUUGUAUUUCUUUUUAGAACUUCCCAUGUGUGGAGUGUUUUUAUCAAUAAAGUCUCCUUUUUAGCACUUGUUUGCUCUACUUCCUGUAAUUAGGGCCAAAUACCAAAUAUAAGUACAUUUCAACAAUUAAAACAAUAUUUGGCAAGGACAAAGAGGGAAAUUAACCAUAAAAUUAACAACAAAUUGUGCCCUAUCAAUCCUCCAAAAUUGAUCGCCAUUUGUCUUUCCUCAAGCGCAGCAAACCACCAAGUACACUUGCCACUAGUGGUAAUCCAUUACAUAUUUGUAUAGCUCUGUCUUUAAUUGCAUCCAAUUCAUUAGGUACUUCUUCGCCGUCAACUACUUUUCCUUUUAGGAUAGACCAACAAUGAUCACCAGGGAGUCUUCCUAAGGGAUAGCCUUCAUCUGCCACUACACGCGAACGAGUAGUGAUUAGACACCAGCUUCCUUUGGGUGGAUUGAUUGGAUUGAGUCCCUUCAAGGUGGCGAAGAAGUCAUCCCACAUUGCCUGAUUAUCAUCCCACACAUCAUCAAGAACUAGGAAAUAUCUUUUUCCCCCCAGUUGAUUCCGAAUAUUUCCAACGAUGAUAUUCCUAUCAUCCACUUCAAAAUUUUCUCCCGUCAAUUGCAAUAAAAUGAGUUUGAAAAGCUCCACUAUUGGAACUUUUUCGAUACACAAACCCACAACUUUUUGUUAAAGUGCUCAUCAAUUUGCUGUUUGUUGUAUAUCGAUUUAGCCAAAGUUGUUUUGCCUAGACCUCCCAUACCAUUUAUGGGAAGAACAGAAACAACCUUCUCAGUUGGUCUCAACAACAUCUCUAGUAUAUCUGAUUCAUCAUCGGCUCUUCCAAUCAUUGGAGCGACACUAGAGUCGGUCUGCCGAUUUGUUAUAUCUCCAGCAGCAGGGAGGGCAACUGCCACGUCUGACCUACUGACCAGUCCCAAAUUCCGGGCUUGUUGAUUGAUAUCAACCAGCAUAAGUUUGAUGUCCCUGACCUUAGAAGCCAUUCUCCAACGAAAAGCAAGAUUAAUGUUAGAGAAUGAGAAGAAGCAGCAUACCUUGAGCUUGUGUCGGUUUCGGGACUCCACCUUGUGGCGGAGAGAUUCAUAUUUGAGCUCAUCCAACACAUUUGUAGCAUCAUAAGCAACCUCCUCGAGACACUCCAACCAUGCUUGCACCGCUCCGUCCUGGUUUUGCUUUGCUUCAGCAUCGGCCAAGACAGCAUUGAUCAGCCGGAGAGAACGUGUCAUACUGGCCACAUCCUUCUUGAACCCAACUAACAUACCAAUCCUAUCAGAGGCAAGAGACAGUGCCCUUUCCAGGGUGACCUUAACUGUGGAACUGAUAAGAGCGUCAGCCAUUUCUUCUUCCGUGGAUAUGCAACUUUGAGAUCAAGAUGGUUUUUUUUAUGGAAGGCUUUUUGUUGCCGGAAACUGGUAAUCUAUCUAGUCUAGCAGUAAUAGAAAUGGUUAUGAAGAAAUGAGCAUUGAUAGUAGUACCAGUGUACGUAAUUUUUUUUUUUUUUUUUGUGUGUGAACAAAAUAUCUCCCAUGGUUGUUCCAACCAAGAAAGGACAAUUAUAACUGCUGUCUUGGCAACAUGUAUCACAUUGCAGUAAAUAAUCCUUAGCCUUCUAAAUACAUUUUUUUAAAUCUGAUCGAUAUUUUUCUUUUUUGAAGCAAAAAUCUGAUAUUGUUGACGAUUGAGCUUUACAUAAUUUAGGAUUGGAGCGCCGUAAAUGAGGGUCCACUUUACAUUCUUAAUUUUUGCUAACAAUACUUUUUGUGAACUGGAAAAUAAGCGUGUUUGUUAUAAAUUAUAUAUUUUUAAUUUCAAACUAAAAUUCAAAAACAAAAAAGUGAAUACGUGUUCAAUUACACUACAACGUGCUCCGCUGGUUAUAAAUUUAAUCGUUUUGGGUAUAAUUUUUUCUUAUUACUUUCUUGUUUUAGUUGAUUUUGGAUAGUUUCAACUAUUUUCCUAGUUUUUCUUUUAUCUUCUUGGUUAACUUGCUCAUGUGAGUGAAUGCAUAGACUGGUUUUCCCAUCAAACUGGUGUAUCUGACUCUCUUGUGGGAACGGGGAACCCAUGCAUAAAUUUCAUUUUACACAUUCAUUGAAUUUUGCACUUUUGUACAUAUACGGGAAUAAGUCAUAUCAUACCAUAUAUAUACAUAAUAUAAAAUAGGAUUUUUUUAACGGAUGUCCUGUCUUGUUAACACAUCUAACAUUUAUCUGACAAAUACAUAUAGAGUAAUUUUUCCGCGUAGGCGAGGAGUUCUUCUCUGACAAAUUUGUAAGAUUUUGCAUUGGCAUGUUUACAGAGUAACUUUCUCAAUUAUUGUAGUUGUUGGGGCAUCAUGUUUUCUGAUUAAAUGCUGGGGCCUUCAGAAUUUUUGGUUGAGGACCAAUAUUUUGUUUUUGUCCACGAUCAAAUCGUAAAAAGGAGAGUGAGAUUCUGCUUUGGUUACAUGCAUGCCAUUAUGGUUAAUCCUUGGAAAAUGAAUUUAUGACAUACAAUAAUUUGGUCUGAAUUUUGUUCGGUUUUGGGAAGCGACCACACUGGGAAGCAAUAAUAAUAAUGUUCUCUGUUUUCGCACUAGCUAUGAUGCAUUUUGCUUCUUGGCUUAGUAAUCAGGCUUGAGAUUUUAAAUUACCUUUUGUACUUUAGCGUUUCAAGUAUAUAACAUGAUCGGUAUGAAAUCCCUAGCCUUCUACUCCUCUCUUUAAAAUCUGAUAGUCUUUAAUUCAGAUCGGUAUUAAUCCUUUUUGUUAUAUUAUUUCUUAUUACUUUCUUUUUCUAGUUGAUUUUGGAUCCUUUUUUAAUUACUUUUCUAACUUUUUUCUUUAGCUUUUGCGGACGCGGACAUGUAUACUGGUUUCUCCUCAAACUGGAUGUCUCUCAAUCUCUCUUUUGUGGGAAUUCAACGUACUUUUAAGAUGAAUUUCAUUUUGCCAUUAUCAAGUUUGCACUUAAAGAAUUAAAGUUCAUAUGGGGUUAAGUCAUACUAAUUUCAUAUCUUUGACAUUUAUUUAUCACAAACCUCAAUUCUUCUUUCGUCUAGUGUUUCAUUCCUAUAUCAACUCUCCUUAAUUCCAUGUUGCGCAUCGCUUUGCACGUAAGAAUUCAAAAUUUAACCACCAAUUAAAUCACUUGGGAUUCUCGGUGACAUGUUUUCUAUGCCAACUCAAUGCUACCUAUAGUAUUGCGCCAAGUGUCCUGUUAUUAUUUACACUUGUGUUAAACCAAACCAAGUUAAAUUAUUAGAAAAUUAAAAUAUAAAUAAUAACAGGACACUUGGCGUAAUAUUAUAGGUGGCAUUGGGUUGGCAUAGAAAACAUGUCACCGAGGAUCCCAAGUGCCAAUUAAAUAGUUUUCCUCGCAACUUGUCCCGUUUGGAUUGCUAUUUUUAGGAAUUUUUUGUAGAAAAAUAUACUGUAGAGAUUUGAUGUAUGUGAGGUAAAAAGGUGAUUGAGAAAUGUAUUUAUGGAAAAAAUGUUAGUUUCCUUUUCUCUUCUAUUUCGAAUUUCUCCCAACUUAUGUUUCCUUGUUGCAAAUCUUGCCAAACUUUAUAAGAUAUGUCUUAUCAAUUUCUUUGAUACCUGAAACACAAGAAAUUUCUCAUUCCUUAUGUGUAUUCUUGUUUAAUUAUUUAAUUUGGUUCCUGAAACACAAGAAAUUAGUAAAGAAUUUAGAUCCAAUUUGGUGCAACGCUUCUUUGACAAACUGAAUCGGAUGCUUCUGCAAUGGAAGUGUUUUUUUUUUUUAUAACAACAAUAACUUUUCCUACAACCUAAUUUAUUCUAUUCUGCAGGGAGGAGGAACCUAAUCUAUUCUAUUCUAUAUGGAGGGAAGCCUAAAAAGAUUAUACUAUACGGACCUGACUCGAUCAAAGAGUUAAUUUGACAACUCCAUUAAAUUUUUUUCAUUAUAUAUAGAAUUUGAACUCCAGAUUUACAAUCUAAAAAAAAAUUAAUCUCUUUUUGGUUUCCACAUAGCCAAAGCUCAGUUGGCCCAGUGGUUGCAACUUGCAACGGCAGUUGCUUGGCAUUUUCAAUUCACCUUUCUUUGUAGUGUAGUAGUUGUCGGGAUUCUUCAUCUGCCUUUGAUCCACAUUCCACAUGCUUGGGGGGGGCAUCGGAUGUGGAAAAUUCCACCCAAGAAGGAAAAGAAACCGUAUUGAAUGAUGAAGAAAAGAAAAUGGCAAUCAUCAUUGAGACUCUAAUAAUUGCCAUGGAGAAGUUUGCCUGGCAAUUUCACUUGGCUUUAUUGAUCAAUGCUUAGCUGGGUAUUUCAUCUUUUUCUGAUUGAAAGCUGGCUGGGCCUUUGGUUGUGAAAAAUAUCUCAAUGGUUCGUCGGAGUUGUGGUUUGAUCCAAGACUGACCCCCGCAAAAAAAAAGAAGAAGAAGAAAGACUAUGUUCAAUGAUAAAAAUGUAAAGGAGAAAGAAGAAAUGACAACCAUAGCUGGUGACUUUGCAACAUUAAUUGCCUCAGCCAUUAAUCCUUGGGAAAUGCCCGACCAGGGUAGCUCACCUGGUGGUGUAGUCUCUAGUUAGAGCAUCCACCACGGUUCGAGUCCCUGUAACAAAAUGGGAAAAGACCCAACAACCCAAAUAAGGGUUGGGGCCUGAAGUUGGGCCAGGCCCUUUUUUUUGACAAAAAAAAAAAUUAAUCCUUGGGAAAUAGACUAAAAACGUUAUUUUGUGGGGGAAAACUUAAGAAAUAAUCCGUAUCAGGUUUGGCAUGUAGCGACAUAAUUGGCCAAUGGUUGGGUGCUUCUUAGCUUUUACACUUGUGAAAUUGCCAAAUCAGUCACUCGUAAUUCCACAAGCUUUCUGGCACUUUAAAAAUUCAAACAUUUUGUUUCAAAAUGUCUUGUUUAUGUACAGCAUACAAAAUUUAAGUGGUGAAAGUUUAAGGAGUUUCUUUAUUACUAUUUUUUUUAGAGUACAAUAUACAAUCAACUGAAGUUAGAAGUGAAAUAGACCUUUAGCUCACACUAUGAUUAUAAACUUUGACUAAAUUGGAUGUUUUGGAAAGGGGGAAAUGAGCGUGUUCUUGUGGAUUUCAAUUUUUACAAUUGAAUUAUUUGCCUAUGAUAUGAUCACAAGUUUAACUUAAAUGGAGUUGCGAUGAUAGAAGAUUCUCGAAAGAAGACUUCAAAAGGUGGAAAUUGAAAAUGAGUGGAAAUUAAUGGGGAAUUAACCAAUUAUUUGGAUACCUAUUUUUGAAUCUGACUCUUUUAUAAUUAGUUUCUCUUAUAGUUUUUCUCGCUCCUAACAAAUUUAUCUCAAAAGAUAAAUUUGAAUUAUUUGUUCUUAUGGUUCCUCUCUCUUCUAACAAUAUGAUUAAUUUGUAUAAAUUUUUUUAUCCAUAUGGAUUAACUUAGUGUUAAAAAAAUUUUAACUGUUAGCUGAUAGAUUUAUCAAUAUUGCUGGAAAUUAAAUAUUUGUUGAUGUAGAAAACAAAUCACAAAAUCUAUUGUACUUAGUUAAGUAGGAACAUUGUCGCGCCCCACUUUUUGAAUGAGAUGAUGUGUGUGUGAAGUGAACGUGUGCAAAAUGAAAAGUAAAAAGGCCAUGGGACUUUGGAAAGCGACGAUUUGGCCAAAUGAAAUUUUAAAAAGGGUUUUUUUAAAUAUGAAAACGGAGUCGCCACUUGGUAUAGAUUUGGGGUGUACCAAGUCACCCAAAAAAGUGUUUUUUAAAGACAAAGUAGUAAAACCCUUUUUAAAACGACUCCUAGUCCACGUAAGCCAAAGAAAAAGGUUCGGGGGUCACGUUUGACAAAGGGGAAGGCAAGGAUAGAAUCCAAGGCACCCCUUUGACCUAGCCAAGGCUAGUUGCGCGACUCAAACCAAUUUUUCCUAAUUUUUUCUACCCAAGGUAUGUAUCGCGUAUUGGAUAUGUCUAUAUGAAUGCAAAAACCUAGACCUAGGGGGACAUGGGGGAAAUUUCUCUUCAAAGGUUGAGUGGUGCCAAUCACAUUAAUUGUGAAGCCCAAUAAUGAUCCUUUGGAGAGGUCACGUGUAAUCCUAAAUGACGUAAAAAUGAGUGGAAUGCAUGCCAUGUGAAAGUGUGAGUUUGUGUGAAGUGAAAAAAAAUGAUAAAAAUACGAUAUAAGUGGAGGUGUGCAAAUGUCUUUGAAUGCAAAUAUAUACUCCAAGUGCAAGUGGGCAAAAAUGCAUGUAUGCAAUUUAAAGAAAAGUGCGAAAGUGUCGGUGUGCAAAUGAAGAUGAAAGUACUCGUGUGCGAGUGAAGAUAAAAGUGUUCGUGUGCAGGUGAAGAUAAAAAGUGUUCGUGUACAAGUGAAAAAAGUGUUCGUGUGCAAGUGAAAGUGAUAAAAAGGUGCAUGUGUGCAAGUGAAAGUGAUAAGAAGGUGCAUGUGUGCAAACGAGACAAAAGUGAAAGUGUAAUGAUAGAGUGGAUUGAGAAUGCAUGAGUCUAGGGAAUUCAUGCAUAUUGGGUACGGGGAGACCUAAAUCGUGACUUGAUUUUCCCUUUGAUUAGAAGGCGAAACUAGCGUGCUAAGGCUAUCGAGUAGCCACACUCGCUCGUUUCCCUUAUCGGAAGGGGACUCUCAUGCAAAUGUACCCUAUAACUAGUAUGAAAUGCAAAAAUCCUAAAAUGAGGGGAAAAGGGGCUCGAGGAGCAUGCCAGAUGAUAAAACUAAGGAAAAAUGCAUGAUAUGUAGUGAACAAGCAAAUGAUAUGCUAAUGAGGGGAAAUCCCUAAGGGUCUAGCGUUGGACUAGCCCAUUCUAUGAAUUCCGACUAGCGUUGGACUAGCGGAAACGUACAUUCAUCCAUUCCAUUCAUUCAUGGCUAUGAAAGCAAGUAGACAUGCCAAAAUACUCGUAAACACAUAGCACAUAGCAUUUAGCAUGCUCGACUAGAUGCAAGAGCCUAAUAAAGCAAUUAAACAUGUAGCAACAAAAACAAGCAACCAAGGGGAAGGGGAAAUGGACCAGGUGCUCUCCGAGCGCUAUCUAUUACAAGCCAAGAGGUGUACACAUACCCCAUAAAAGCAUAAAGGGGAAGGGGAAAUGGACCAGAUGCUCUCUGAGCCCUAUCUAUUACAAGCCAAGAGGUGUACACAUACCCCAUAAAACUUAAAUAAAAGUAAAAGCAAGUAAACGCAUGCAAGGAGGUAAGGAAAGCGAAGUAGACAGGCAUAUUCACAUAACACAUAGGAGCACGUAGGGUCAAAUGAAGUGCAAAUGAGGGAUAGAGUGUACCUCCCUUGAAGCGACGCCCUAACGUAGUAAAAUUACUAACUUACCCUCCAAAAUAAUAAAAAGGUCAAGGUACCACUUAAAUUAUCAAAUAAAUCAGAGAAAAUGGAAAUAAAUGCCAAAUUGAAUUACUUGAGGCAUUCCAAAGAAAGUAAACUACUCGUACUUAACCAAUUAAGACAAGCAACGACCCAAUUGAGAAAUUAAAGAGGUUUAAAGAGCCAAUUUAUUAUUAUUAUAAACACUAAGGGACUUGAAAAAACAUAAAAUAAAAUUAAGAAUCUAAGGUGAAACAAUACCAAAUCAAACGAGAAAUUUCACAAAAAGGUAAAUGAGAAGCAAUUUACUAGUAUCUAAGUAACAAAAUGCCAAAGAAUCCAAGAAAAAUCAAAUUAACUACAAAUCUAGGAAAAAGAUAUUACUAGACCCUUUAAAUCCACUCUACAACCCCUUAAGUAUCCACUCAAAACAAAUCAAGAAGUAUUAAAGAGGAAACGGCAUGUUAGGAGGACAAAAUUAAUUAAGUUUUCCAAUUAAUUGGGCUAUGGAAGCAUUAGAUGGAAGCCAAGGGGUUGGAGUGCAAUUUGUGGAAGUUGUUUUCAUGCAAAGCAUGCAUACGAAGAGGAUUUUCUGCAAUGAAAACCAUUCAACAACUUUGAAACUUUCUUCAAUUUUUCCAUUUAGCCUUGGAAAACAAACCAAUGAACUUGACAACUCAAUAUUGAAUGCAACAACUUGGAACUAGGGGAAGAAGAAAGGCACGGAAAAAAAACUGCAAUGGAAUGCUGUGAUCAUUUGCCUAAAACAGGUUUCCAAGAGGAUAAAAAUCUGGCAGCUACCUAUCUGUAAUGCAAUGAACACACGCAUGUUUUGUCAAUGGAAACAGCCACCAAGACUUCACUUGUUAAUACGUCCCUAAAAUCUUUCAAACAACUAUUGAACAAGCUCCAUGAUUACACAGAAAUGCAAGGAAGACAGCUACUGGAAUGAAUAUAAAAAAAGAAAAAAAAAAGUCGCAAGCAUUGGAACCAUUCCUGCAUUUUCCUGUUGCAGCUCUUGCCGCAAACUCCUCUGGGGUUUUCUUUGUGUUUUAAACAAUUCAUGCACCAGUCAUUCGACACAGGAUUGAUCAUGCAAACAGAGGAAUGAAAUCCAAUUUGUGAGCUGCUGUGGGAGUCAAAACAUGAAAGCUAACGCAGCUUCAUGCAAAAUAUCAUGAGAAGAGUUUCUGCAAUUUCCUUUGCUGCAUUACUUUACUUUAGCCGAAUUGUGUUCGUGUGCCAAAAGCUCCUACAGACUUCCACUAAUUUGACUGCCAGAACCCAACUACAUGGACUUCAGCAAAAACAGCAAUUUUUACCCACUGAAUGCAGCUAAAAUGCAGCAAAUUGCAGCAAAAGACACCACUUCCGUCUUGCUGCAAUUCACCCACGAAACAUGCUCAUACAUCAACUUAAACCCAACCUACCAAGUGUAAUGCGCAAAAUGCAGUAAGGAAGCGUGAACUAGCUACCAGAAAUUCCAACCAUGAUAUCCAGCAAUUCCAAUCAUGAAGCAUGCAAAAUGGAAACCAGAAAUUCCAACCCAUUCCCAAACCAAAGAAGACCAUGAUAUUCAAGCCUUUCAUUGCAAAAAAAAACAUAAAGGAAACGGUACUCAAGGAAGCACUUAAAACUUAGACAUGACAACAAUCCUGAAACUUUUUGCAACUUUCUGGUCUUGUUCAUUCAAACACCACUCAUGGCCUCAAUCAAUGAAACAUGAAUCAGAAUUACAACGUGGCUGCGCAUUUUCCAGAUUCGAUUUUUACCCUUGUUGCGUUUAUUCAAUGUAAUUUUCCAUCCAAACACUUCUAAAACUUCAACCAAACAUCAAACUUCGAUCUUAAGCCAGAAAAAAACAACCUUCAACGUCCAAACAAGCCAAAAUCAGCCCCAAAAUGCAAUCUUUUCUCAAUCAUUUUCUUCUUCAGUUCAUGGGAUAAUAUAAUCACUUUCUGGGCUCAUUACCAAACGUAAGAUCAUACGAAUCUAUUUCCAAGCUAACGAAAAUCAUGCUAUUUACACCGCUUAUCUCUAAAACCCAACAAUCAGAAUUGCACCAACCCAAAAAAGAAAACAACGGCAACCAGGGAAGCAACAAGUCAGCGAAAUAUGAUAAAAAACACAGAGCCCAGCUAACCACAAAAUGUCACAGGAUCAUGCCUUUUGGACUUUGGAUUCUCAUGGAUAUAGCAUUAAAGCAAGAAAAGGAGAAACAAAAACGAUCACCUGAAUUGCUAGGGCCGAAAGCAAGAGUUUCUGCUGAGUUUUCGUUUGAAGCUAAAACUGGAACGGUGGAGGCCGAACAGCUUCUUCCUCCGGAUCAAAGCUCCCUCUUUUCUCUUGUUUUUUAGGUUUCCUCUGCCCAGCCGAUAAUCAGCCCAAAACUUCCUUCUUUUCUUUCUGUUUCUCCUCGGCCCCGACACCCCCUUGGCUCAGCUUUUCUCUCCUCCAGUUCGUCCAACUAGAUUUCAGCCCCACUCCCAAAACCUCCAGCCGCUAUCUCAUCCUAUUCUCAAACCUUCUUGACCCUAGUCGUUCCUCUACUCUCAUCUGGUUUCUCUCAAUCCUCCCCCUUUUCAGCUGCAAACCCUCAUUCUCUCUUCGUAGCCCCUGCCCAGUUUUCAGUUCUCUCUUACCUUCAGCUCUCGGUUUUUCCUUUCCGUCAACCCUCUCUUGGCUCCUGUGUUUUUCUUUUGCCGUUCUUUUUAGAACUCUCCCCCGUAUCCUCCCUAAAACUCCCUUGCGGCUGUCCAUCCUUUUGCUAUUUAUAUGGGAACUUCCAACCCUAAACCUUCAGUCAGCUCUUCUAUAUUUACAGCCCAAGGGGCUGCCCGAAGUCCUCCCUUGCAAGCUGCAAAACGCAGCUUGCAAGUCGCGUUUCUUUUUUUUUUUUUUUAACUUUCAACUUAAUAAAUACAGAAAUGAUAAAAUAUAAAUAAUAAUAAUAAAAAAUUGACAAAAACCAAGUAAUAAUAAUGAAAAUAAUAAUAAUGAAAAUAAUUUAAAAAACUAAACAACUAAAAACAACAAAAAUGGCCAUUUUUCCAUCUUUUUUUUUGUUUCAUUUUUCAUUUUUUCCAUUUUUUUCAAGAAAGCAUUGAAUUUAAAUUACAAACGACUAAAUCAUAUUUUUUUGAAUGCUUUUUCUUUUCCUUUUUUUCUUUUUCAACAAAUUCUAUGAUAAAACUUAAAAAUAAAAAUAAAACUGGAAACUAAAAACUAAAAAUGAACACGACAAAUAAAAAAAACUAAAAAAUGAAAUUACACCAAAAAUUUGGUGUCUACAAACAUGUAACUAGGUUUAUGGUUAUUAUAAAAAUUGUAAUUAUCUAAAAAAAUAUCCGUACACAAAAGGUAGAAUAUCUAUUGAUUUUUUUAUAUGUGUUAUAAUAUUUGAUGAAUAUUAUGAUAUUAUAGUAAAAGUAUGUAAAGAAGUUUUUAAAAAUUAGUAUGAUAGUUAAGUAUAACUAUUACAUUAAUUUUCUAAAAUUAAUAUACAUGAAUUUGUAAGAUCAUCAUUAAUUUUUUAUUUAAAUUAUUCAUGCUUGCACGAAUUCAAAGUAAAAUAAAAAAAUAAACCAUGCCAAGGCACAUGCAAGAUGCUCGUUCAAAUUAAUGUUGUACACGUAUAGGAGUCACAAAACGGUUUGGUGCAUCUAAAGUAUUAGGACAAGUUUUACAUUAAAGCGGGAGAUUUGUAAAGCAAUUGAGCGAAAACAAAUGAGGGUGAGGAAAACUUUAUAUCAGUUGCAAUGCAUUCAUAAAAGCUAUGACACAUUCGUUAAAAUAAGAAAUAUUUAUUAAUUUGGUGCAGUGUAAUAGCAAACCAAGGAAAAAAAAUAUGAAUGAUCCGUAAGAGGGAAAGAUGUCAUUUGACUUAAAAUAAAAGUGUGAUUGGAUAGAGGUUUAGUUGAACAAAAAGAUUAGAUUAAUAUCGUAACAAUUUUUGUGGCUUGAUAUAAUGUAUAUGAGAUACAAUGAUGGCUGGUAAAAUAAAAAAAUGAUUCAGGUAAAUAUAAAUAAUUUUUUUCAUAUAUUUGCGUAAUGAUGAUAAUGACAGGGGUGAAAACAAUGCAUGCAAAGACGAAGGUUGAUAAUAAUAAUGAUAACUAUGGUAAGAUAGAUAGCAAUUGCAAGUUGCACACCAUGCAAUUAGUAAAUGUUUUAGAUUAGGUAAAUUUGCACACCACUAUUGCAAAUAAUUCAGUCAAUAAGAGAGAGGAAAACACAAUGCACGAAAUCCAACUUUUAGAAUUGUGUUAUAGUUUAACGAUGACUAUGUGGUGUUUUUGUAGACAAAUAAACAGAAAAACAAAUAAAUAUACAAAUUUGAUAAAGAAAGGUGCACUUCUAUGGGACCGAAACUAAUUGCUCUUAGGUCCCAUUUUGCUAUUUCUUAAAGUUUUUAUAGGGACUUUUUCGUUUGGAUUGCUAUUUUUUGAAGUUUUUAUAGAAAGAUAUGUUGUAGGAAUUUAAUAUAUAUAAGAUAAAAAAUAAUUAAAAAAUAUAUUUAUGAAAAAUGUUAAAAAUUUUUUGUAGUAAACUGCAAUCGUAGCAUGGCUUGCGAUUUGAUCAAUAUGAAAUAAAAAAGUAACUGAGAAAUGUAUUCACAAAAAAAUGUAAAAAUUUUGCCUUAGAAAACUACAAUCCAAACAAGUAGUCUUCUCCCCAUUUAAGAAACGCAAUGAAAAUAUUUGUUGAAUAAUUAAACUUAUCCCUUCAUAAACCACUUAUACCGGGGGAAGAAUCGAUUUUAUGGUAAGGAGGGAGGCAGUGAAUGAAAAGUCUUGGGUUCGAUUCCUCCCACUUACACAAAAAAAAAAGUAAAAAAAAAAAUCCACUUAUACUAGCUAAGAGUAUUUUCUGGUCACGUCUCAUGUUAUAUAUUAUUAAUCCUAUCCUAUUAUCCAAAAGCAUUUGUUGGAAAUUGCAUGCUUAAUUUAGAUUAAAAAAACAAUAAUGAAAUAUUUGUUGGAAAGAAGGAAAAGUGACGCAACCUUUCCAAUUUGUAAAUUCAAUUAGGCUAACAUGUAAAACUAUUAAAGUGUAUCAGCAUGAGAGAAUUUAGUGCUUCAUCUGACGCUUGUAAAAUAGACAAAUGAAGUUUUGAAAUUCUAGCACUUUUGGACCAAUACUUUUUUUUAAGGCAAAACCAAUGCCUUAGGUAAUUACAAGAUCUCAUCUUGAUUUGCUGUUUUUCUUAUUAAAUGUUGAAUCUAGAAAAUCAUGUCUAAGAAAUAACUACAUAUACCCGGAAAAAAAAUUUAGUGCUAGGAUAAAUAUACGGUUAAGUUAUGGAAAUUCUCUUUUCCAUUUUAGCAAUUUGAUUCUUUGGAUGCAUGAUUUUAUCUGUUAUAUUUGACUUCAAAAUAAGUUACUUUAGAAUGGUGUUUGGAUGUGAAAACAUAAUCUGUAAUUAUUCUCACCUACUAUUUAUUUUCUAAAGGUCUGUCCACUUUAUUCGGAUUUCUUAUGUCACGGCCCCACCUCCCCCUAAGGCGAACCAGAGGGUUCGGCGGGCCGCCUGCCCAGCUCUCGCCGGGACUCAGUCGCUCACUACAGUCCUCAACCCAAUUACAAUAUAAAUCUCAAAAUUUCAUCAAAUUCUCCAAUGAUUACAUAUUACAAAUGCAGCGGAAACUGAUUCCAAUCGUAGAACGUAUACUUACAUCCAUAUCAAUUUCAAAUAUUUAUACAAGACCAACUCGUACAUAAAAUAGAUCCAAACUUAAACUGUACACGAUAUAAGCCAUCCAGUCACGUGAAUAAGUACUCCAAGCUUUUCUUCGCCUUGAGCCCUGUGGGGGGGGGGAAAUAAAACAUUUUUGGGGUGAGCUAGAAGCUCAGCGAGUAACCAUUAAAAUCAGUAAUCAAAUCGGUUUCACAAUAUUUCUUUUCAAUGAUGUCAUAAAUCAAAUGAUAAGUCCAGAAACGAUUACAGCAUUUACAAAACAUUAAAUAUGGAGUGUCAAUAAUUCAAGAAACAUGUACAAUGGAAAGCGAUAGUAACAUUCAUGAAAGGAUACAUUCAUUCUCCUGACAUUUCCUCGCUCAUUUGAUCAUUUAUUUCAUUUCAUUCACCCCGUCCCUGGCUUUUGGCCAGGCUCCACCAACCUACAUAGGUAAUACUCGAGUAUACCAAAUGUUCACCCAAGUUCCUAAUCGCCUGACCGAGUCCGCUUCUGGCUCAAGACGACCGGUAACAAGGGGCAAUGGCCAGUUCAGCCCAAAAGGCUUACAUUCAUGCGCAAGUAACAUUUCAAUCAAAAAUUUCACAUUUAUCGAGGUCGAGUGCGAUAAAGUACACACUCGCCUCGAAAACUCGUUUUGGAAAUCAUUAUAAGCGCUUAACACGUUAUCAACCAAAAUACAAGUCAUGAAGUCAAAGAAUAUAGCAAACAAGGCACACUCACAUGCCAGCACGCAUGAUAUGCAAGAAAACAUUUCAAAAGUAACUUUGGAAACAGUUCAAAAGUAAAUAAUGUAAGAAACGGAUCAUAAAUAACUUUAGAAGUAGUUUGAGGUCACUCACCUCCACGGCUCUGAAACCAUCCAUCAUAUAGCAUUGCCUUGCUCAAAUCCAAGCCUUAGAUCACAAACGCAAAGCAACCAAGUCCUUUAAAAGUUCGGACAGCACUUCCCCUGAAUUUGCUAACUUUUCCAGCCAUCAUGGCUUCAUUAUAUCCUCAGCCAGUCCCAAAGGUACACACACAACAACGAGUUCAUCCAAUAGCCAUUCAGCAAGCUCCAAGUGGUACUAGUACAAGUCAAGCUAGGGAAAAGGUCCGGAAAUGAAGGUUUAGCUCAAACCAGAAAAACAGUUUUGGACGUCACUUUACGGUAAUGGCACAACUUGCACUACGAUUAUCGGAUUAGGGUGUAAGACCCACCAUUUCGAAGCUAUGAAACAGGGAUACAACAAUGUAGAAGGCCUCUCAGUCCAAAUCCUAGCACAACUAGGUCAAAAAUGCAGAAAACUAACCCAGAACCGUAAUUGCAGGUUCUCAAAUCCCACAAAACUGUAAUCAGUCCAAUUCAGUCUAUACAGGUCCAAAUGCAUUGAUUCAAAAGGCAUAUGAAAGCUAAGACAUCAAGCUACAUUUCAUCAGAAGACACCAACAACAAAAUCCAAAUCAAUUCCAGUCAAAACAGACAAUUUGUUAUCGCAGUUCGCACAUUCUGUUCACCAAAAACAGCAACAGUAAAAACGGCAUAACUCACUCUACACUACUCCAAAUACCCUGAAAUUUUGCAGGCACUUCAUACUCACCAAUAUAUACAACUUUUAUGUUUUGAGCAAAGUCCAAUUCGGCCGCUAGCUAUGACCUAAAAUUUCGGACAGAAUAGGGGUUCAUGAACCCUAACUUUUCACAAUUCACUUCAAAUCCAAAAUUGAUUGCAUUAUUCUUAUCCAAUCCACCACGCGAGCACCGCCAGCUCUCAAGCUCGCCGUGGCCUCCUCUCUCCACCACCAGCUUGCAACCCUCUGCUUCAACCCGCCGCCACUCUCUUCGCCACUGUCUCCACGCAGCCCGCCGCCACCUCACCUCGCUCACCACCAGCCUCAAAGGCCUUCCCCCCAUCGCGAGCCAUCUGCCCAACGCGCACGCUGCCACUCUCCCCUCCCGACUGCCCCAGCGCGCCUCCUCCUUAGCUCAGCCCGCCGCCUGGUGCUGACCACCACGCCGCGCGCCGCCAGCGCUGGAGCCGCCUGCGCGCUACCACUUCACCUACUGCGCGCCUCCACCUCAGCUUGUCCGCCAAUGUCGCGCGGCUGUCACCACCUGUCCUAUUUAGACAGGUGGAGGUAUUGUGAAUUCUGCCCCAAUUAGUUUCACUCUCUGAAAUUUGUGGUUGGAUUUCUUGAUUGAUAAAAGAAGGUGAUAAUUUGGGCAUUUUCUAGGGUCAAUUUUGGACAGAAUUGGGUUUAAUUGCUGCCAUAGUGGGGGUAUCUUCUGCUAUUUAUUGAAUUGUUGGCCUUUUGAUUACUCUUUCCCUGCGACUCACCAGGUACUGGUUGAGAUCUUUUGCCUAUCGUUGUGGCUUAUAUUUGAAGAUACUUGCUUAUUUUGCCGUUUCAGUUCUUGUGGUUGAGUUGCUGCCGUUGAAUUUAAUUCUUUCCUGUUUGUGCACCAGUGGUACUGGUUGCGGUGUUGCUUACAAUUCUUAAAUUUUCUCGAAUUCUAAUCGGUAGUUGCUGGAAUUGCUUGUUUGCUGGAUUCUUAAAAUUCUUAAGGCUUGGUAUCUUGAAGUGGGUACUUGAAUGUCCACUUGGUGACAUUUGUUGAGUUUCACUUGCUCCAAUUGGUUGAAUUCAUUGCUCUGUUGGGGUCCCUACUGGUAUCACUUGACUUCUGCUUUGUUAGUUUCUGUAUCGUGCCCCUUGAUCUUAUUUUGACUGAAUUGGAAACCCAGUGCAUAUUCAUUCAAUUUGCUGUAUUGUUAGGGUACUUUUCUAGCCUUUGGGGUGCCUCAGUUGUGCUUUUUAUUAAUUGGGUUGGCCAUGUGGUUCCCUCCUUUCCUGUGUAUACACCAGUGGUACUGGUUGUGCUAAUUUGCUUACAAUUUCUUAUUUCGAUAUGAUUGAGCAUCUGUGACUGAGUAUCCUUCGAUCUUGUUGCUUUGUUGGGAUCGUUUUUGGUGUCAAUUGAGUAUCAUUUGGUACUUUCUGCCUGGAGUCUAUUGAGCUGCCUUUGGUUGGGGUGUAUUGCAUUUAAUUGGUGCAUUGGACGGCUCCUGUGCCAUUUCCGUUGCUUAUUGAAGUAGGUUGCCUCUAUUUGCCUUGUGUGGGAGUAUUUUGUCCUUUUCAUUUCAAUUGCUAAAUUCAUUGGAGCACUUGUUGCGGUUUUGGGAUGCAUUGUUAUUGCAUUUGGCUAAGCAGGGGACCACCCAGGGCUAACGACUGGGUCCAACUCCGAAUGCAAGUUGCAUAACAUGGCGCAGAAUUUGGCAGCACUCCGCCCGACCCACUCCUGUUUUGACAACUUCAGGGAAGUACCGUUACCCUUCCCCUUCCUUUUGCUGUUAGUUUAUCACAUUGAGGGCAAUGUGAGAAAUUAGGUGUGGGGGGGACUCACAUGCCAGCACGCAUGAUAUGCAAGAAAACAUUUCAAAAGUAACUUUGGAAACAGUUCAAAAGUAAAUAAUGUAAGAAACGAAUCAUAAAUAACUUUAGAAGUAGUUUGAGGUCACUCACCUCCACGGCUCUGAAACCAUCCAUCAUAUAGCAUUGCCUUGCUCAAAUCCAAGUCUUAGAUCACAACCUCAAUGCAAACAAGUCCUUUCAAAGUUCGGACAGCACUUCCCCUAAAUCUUCUUACUUUCCCAGCCAUCAAGGCUUCAUGAUUUCCUCAUUCCAACCCAAAGGUACACCCACAACAACAAGUUCAUCCAAUAACCAUUCAGCAAGCUCCAAGUGGUACUAGUACAAGUCAAGCUAGGGAAAAGGUCCGGAAAUGAAGGUUUAGCUCAAACCAGAAAAACAGUUUUGGACGUCACUUUGCGGUAAUGGCACAACUUGCACUACGAUUAUCGGAUUAGGGUGUAAGACCCACCAUUUCGAAGCUAUGAAACAGGGAUACAACAAUGUAGAAGGCCUCUCAGUCCAACUCCUAGCACAACUAGGUCAAAAAUGCAGAAAACUAACCCAGAACCGUAAUUGCAGGUUCCCAAAUCCCACAAAACUGUAAUCAGUCCAAUUCAGUCUAUACAGGUCCAAAUGCAUUGAUUCCAAAGGCAUAUAAAAGCUAAGACAUCAAGCUACAUUUCAUCAGAAGACACCAACAACAAAAUCCAAAUCAAUUCCAGUCAAAACAGACAAUUUGUUAUCGCCGUUCGCACAUUCUGUUCACCAAAAACAGCAACAGUAAAAACGGCAUAACUCACUCUACACUACUCCAAAUGCCCUGAAAUUUUGCAGGCACUUCAUACUCACCAAUAUCUACAACUUUCAUGUUUUCAGAAAAGUCCAAUUCGGCCGUUAGCUAUGACCUAAAAUUUCGGACAGAAUAGGGGUUCAUGAACCCUAACUUUUCACAAUUCACUUCAAAUCCAAAAUUGAUUGCAUUUUCUUAUCCAAUACACCUCAUAGAGUCAUUAUCAGCCAUUACCAUUCAUCAUACAAGGCCACAACAUCCCCUUCAUAUUAAACCAGAAAAAUUCCCAAUAAAAUAAAAACUUCACCAAAACUCUUCAAAUCAAGAAAUAAAUCAUAUAUUCCUUCACUCAUGCCACCAUUAAGCAUCAUAUAACCAUCAUUAGGUGUAGUAGAGGGUUCAAGCAUCACUUACCAAGUAACAAGAGGUGUAGAGAGGUUGGCCACCUUAGAGCUUCAAAACAACUUCACUAGUACACUUAUUAUCACUAAAAGGAAAGGUUUUAUGGAUUAAAAAUGGAUGUAAACAAAUGUUUUGGGUGAUUUGCACCAAGUAGAAGCUUGAAAGUUGAAGAGUUUCUUCUUUCUUCUUGCUUAAAGAGGGCCGGCCAUAAGGAGGAGAAAAAUGGUGAAUUUUGUGCAAUUUUUGGAUAUUUAAUCCUUUGGUCAAAAAAGUCAAGAAUGUGAAUAGUAUUUCUUAAGGUCCAACCAAUAGGAAAGUGACACUUGUCACCUCCAUUAAAUGCAUUCUUAUCUUUCUUUUCUCUCUCACAUCAAUCACUUCACACACACUACUUAUCUCUUAACACCCGAUAAAUUUUAACCAGUAUCCGGAAUGUAACCUAAUUGGCCGAAUUUUUCCGAACUUUUCGCACUAGUGGGUCCCACGUCCGUUAUAAACUCUUAAUUUCUCAAAAACUCUCCAAUACUAGAAAAAUCAUUUGAAAACGAUAUUUGCUCAUAAACUUUAUCUGGGGAAUUUUUCUAAUCAAGAAAAUGUAGAAAAGCGGGCGUUAAACAAAUAAACCCUAGAAAAGUAGAAAAUUUCCGGGUUCUCAAACUCAUUUUUUUUCGGGGCGUCACAAUCUCCCCUCCUUAAAAGAAUGUCGUCCUCGACAUUCCCUCUUGUACCAAUCAAGUCGAAACAUCCCGCAAAAAUCUCUCAAGAGUCAAAUCAAACCCACAGUCCGGCAUCCUAAACUUCAAGCCUAGGAUACACUACAGAGAUCUGAAGCCUAAGCUCUGAUACCAAUUGUCACGGCCCCACCUCCCCCGAGGCGAACCAGAGGGUUCGGCGGGCCGCCUGCCCAGCUCUCGCCGGGACUCAGUCGCUCACUACAGUCCUCAACCCAAUUACAAUAUAAAUCUCAAAAUUUCAUCAAAUUCUCCAAUGAUUACAUAUUACAAAUGCAGCGGAAACUGAUUCCAAUCGUAGAACGUAUACUUACAUCCAUAUCAAUUUCAAAUAUUUAUACAAGACCAACUCGUACAUAAAAUAUAUCCAAACUUAAACUGUACACAAUAUAAGCCAUCCAGUCACGUGAAUAAGCACUCCAAGCUUUUCUUCGCCUUGAGCCCUGUGGGGGGGGAAAUAAAACAUUUUUGGGGUGAGCUAGAAGCUCAGCGAGUAACCAUUAAAAUCAGUAAUCAAAUCGGUUUCACAAUAUUUCUUUUCAAUGAUGUCAUAAAUCAAUGAUGUCAUAAAUCAAAUGAUAAGUCCAGAAACGAUUACAGCAUUUACAAAACAUUAAAUAUGGAGUAUCAAUAAUUGAAGAAACAUGUACAAUGGAAAGCGAUAGUAACAUUCAUGAAAGGAUACAUUCAUUCUCCUGACAUUUCCUCGCUCAUUUGAUCAUUUAUUUCAUUUCAUUCACCCCGUCCCUGGCUUUUGGCCAGGCUCCACCAACCUACAUAGGUAAUACUCGAGUAUACCAAACGUUCACCCAAGUUCCUAAUCGCCUGACCGAGUCCGCUUCUGGCUCAAGAUGACCGGUAACAAGGGGCAAUGGCCAGUUUAGCCCAAAAGGCUUACAUUCAUGCGCAAGUAACAUUUCAAUCGAAAAUUUCACAUUUAUCGAGGUCGAGUGCGAUAAAGUACACACUCGCCUCGAAAACUCGUUUUGGAAAUCAUUAUAAGCGCUUAACACGUUAUCAACCAAAAUACAAGUCAUGAAGUCAAGAAAUAUAGCAAACAAGGCACACUCACAUGCCAGCACGCAUGAUAUGCAAGAAAACAUUUCAAAAGUAACUUUGGAAACAGUUCAAAAGUAAAUAAUGUAAGAAACGAAUCAUAAAUAACUUUAGAAGUAGUUUGAGGUCACUCACCUCCACGGCUCUGAAACCAUCCAUCAUAUAGCAUUGCCUUGCUCAAAUCCAAGUCUUAGAUCACAACCUCAAUGCAAACAAGUCCUUUCAAAGUUCGGACAGCACUUCCCCUAAAUCUUCUUACUUUCCCAGCCAUCAAGGCUUCAUGAUUUCCUCAUUCCAACCCAAAGGUACACCCACAACAACAAGUUCAUCCAAUAACCAUUCAGCAAGCUCCAAGUGGUACUAGUACAAGUCAAGCUAGGGAAAAGGUCCGGAAAUGAAGGUUUAGCUCAAACCAGAAAAACAGUUUUGGACGUCACUUUGCGGUAAUGGCACAACUUGCACUACGAUUAUCGGAUUAGGGUGUAAGACCCACCAUUUCGAAGCUAUGAAACAGGGCUACAACAAUGUAGAAGGCCUCUCAGUCCAACUCCUAGCACAACUAGGUCAAAAAUGCAGAAAACUAACCCAGAACCGUAAUUGCAGGUUCCCAAAUCCCACAAAACUGUAAUCAGUCCAAUUCAGUCUAUACAGGUCCAAAUGCAUUGAUUCCAAAGGCAUAUGAAAGCUAAGACAUCAAGCUACAUUUCAUCAGAAGACACCAACAACAAAAUCCAAAUCAAUUCCAGUCAAAACAGACAAUUUGUUAUCGCAGUUCGCACAUUCUGUUCACCAAAAACAGCAACAGUAAAAACGGCAUAACGCACUCUACACUACUCCAAAUGCCCUGAAAUUUUGCAGGCACUUCAUACUCACCAAUAUCUACAACUUUCAUGUUUUGAGAAAAGUCCAAUUCGGCCGCUAGCUAUGACCUAAAAUUUCGGACAAAAUAGGGGUUCAUGAACCCUAACUUUUCACAAUUCACUUCAAAUCCAAAAUUGAUUGCAUUUUCUUAUCCAAUACACCUCAUAGAGUCAUUAUCAGCCAUUACCAUUCAUCAUACAAGGCCACAACAUCCCCUUCAUAUUAAACCAGAAAAAUUCCCAAUAAAAUAAAAACUUCACCAAAACUCUUCAAAUCAAGAAAUAAAUCAUAUAUUCCUUCACUCAUGCCACCAUUAAGCAUCAUAUAACCAUCAUUAGGUGUAGUAGAGGGUUCAAGCAUCACUUACCAAGUAACAAGAGGUGUAGAGAGGUUGGCCACCUUAGAGCUUCAAAACAACUUCACUAGUACACUUAUUAUCACUAAAAGGAAAGGUUUUAUGGAUUAAAAAUGGAUGUAAACAAAUGUUUUGGGUGAUUUGCACCAAGUAGAAGCUUGAAAGUUGAAGAGUUUCUUCUUUCUUCUUGCUUAAAGAGGGCCGGCCAUAAGGAGGAGAAAAAUGGUGAAUUUUGUGCAAUUUUUGGAUAUUUAAUCCUUUGGUCAAAAAAGUCAAGAAUGUGAAUAGUAUUUCUUAAGGUCCAACCAAUAGGAAAGUGACACUUGUCACCUCCAUUAAAUGCAUUCUUAUCUUUCUUUUCUCUCUCACAUCAAUCACUUCACACACACUACUUAUCUCUUAACACCCGAUAAAUUUUAACCAGUAUCCGGAAUGUAACCUAAUUGGCCGAAUUUUUCCGAACAUUUCGCACUAGUGGGUCCCACGUCCGUUAUAAACUCUUAAUUUCUCAAAAACUCUCCAAUACUAGAAAAUCAUUUAAAAACCAUUUUUGCUCAUAAACUUUAUCUGAAAAAUUUUCUAAUCAAGAAAAUGUAGAAAAGCGGGCGUUAAACAAAUAAACCCUAGAAAAGUAGAAAAUUUCCGGGUUCUCAAACUCUUUUUUUUCGGGGCGUCACAUCUUACCUAUUUCUAAAGGCCUGUCCACUUUUGACCGGUUUUCUGGCAAAGUCAACAAUGACAUUGAAUCGGACCGGUGCCAUGGCCAGUUCGCGGUUCAACCUGUCGAACCGGUCCGGUUUUCAGAACAUUGCUUAAAACAUAUUAUUUGGAUGUUUUGAAAUGGCUGUGGUUGUUUGACAAUUUUGGAUGCUUUUGUAUUGGCAUAUUUACUUUAACUUUCUCAACUAUUUUGAUUGUGGACAAUAUCUCAAUGGUUGUUUCAUUUAUGAAGGAUAAAAUUGAACUCGAGAUCCCUUACUUAUAACACCUCCUACCUUAUCACUCACAUCCAACCCUCCCAACUUGAAUCAUAAUUUGGUCUUAAUUACUAAUCCUCAAGAAUUAGAAUUAGAACAUGCAUCUUAUUUUGUUUGGUUCCCUCAAGUGCUAGAGCAAGAAUUUUUAUCGGAUCAAUUAAUGGUCAGUUUUUGACUAAUGAAAAUAUUCUAAAUAAGAUUGUGAAAUCAAUUAAUUUCAUAUACAAUCCAAAUAAGAUUAUGAACUCCUUGUUUGUUUAAUUAAUUGCAUGUGCUAAUGAUUGUACUUGCCAAAUAUCGGACCAUUGUUUUUGUCCACGAUCAAAUCGUAAAAAGGAGAGUGAGAUUCUGUUUUGGUUACAUGCAUGUCAUUAUUGUUAAUCCUUGGAAAAUGAAUUUAUGACAUACAGUAAUUUGGUCUGAAUUUUGUUCGGUUUUGGGAAGCGACCACACUGGGAAGCAAUAAUAAAAUGUUCUCUGCUUUCGCACUAGCUAUGAUGCAUUUUGCUUCUUGGCUUAGUAAUCAGGCUUGAGAUUUUAAAUUACCUUUUGUACUUUAACGUUUCAAGUAUAUAACAUGAUCGGUAUGAAAUCCCUAGCCUUCUACUCCUCUCUUUAAAAUCUGAUAGUCUUUAAUUCAGAUCGGUAUUAAUCCUUUUUGUUAUUUUAUUUCUUAUUACUUUCUUUUUCUAGUUGAUUUUGGAUCCUUUUUUUUAUUACUUUUCUAACUUUUCUUUAGCUUUUGCUGACGCGUAUAUUGGUUUCUCCUCAAACUGGAUGUCUCUCAAUCUCUCUUGUGGGAAUUCAACAUACUUUAAGAUGAAUUUCAUUUUGCCAUUAUCAAGUCUCUCAAUCUUCUUUCCUCCAGUGUUUCUUUUCUAUAUCAACUCUCCAUGAUUCCAUUAUUGUCUCACAGCAUAAUCCAGAAACUGUCAGUAUAUAAGAAUUCUUUUGAAGUAAUUAUUACUAAUAUAGUUUCCGCUUCUUGUGGAAUGUUCUGAAUCUUUCCUAAAGCAACAUUUUCCAAUUUGAGUUCCAGAAUUGUUGCAAACUUUUUUGGUUUGCGCAUCACUUUGCAUGUAAGAAUUCAAAAUUUCACCACCAAUUAAAUAGUUUUCCUCGCAACUUGUCCCGUUUGGAUUGCUAUUUUUAGGAUUUUUUUUGUAGAAAAAUAUACCUUAGAGAUUUGAUGUAUGCGAGAUAAAAAGGUGAUUAAGAAAUGUAUUUACGAAAAAAAAUGUUAGUUUCCUUUUCUCUUCUAUUUCGAACUUCUCCCAACUUAUGUUUCCUUGUUGCUAAUCUUGCCAAACUUUAUAAGAUAUGUCUUACCAAUUUCUUUGAUACUUGAAACACAAGAAAUUUGUCAUUCCUUAUGUGUAUUCUUGUUUAAUUAUUUAAUUUGGCUCCUGAAACACAAGAAAUUAGUAAAGAAUUUAGAUCCAAUUUGGUGCAACGCUUCUUUGACAAACUGAAUCGGAUGCUUCUGCAACGGAAGUGUUUUUUUUUUUUUAUAGCAACAAUAACUUUUCCUACAACCUAAUCUAUUCUAUUCUAUAGAGAGGGGAAGCCUAAUCUAUUCUAUUCUACUGGGAGGGGAGCCUAAAAAGACUAUAUAAGGAAAUUGGUAUACAGAUCUAAUUAGACUGUAUUUUGACGCUUUCUUUAAAUUUUUUUCAUUACGUAGAGUUCGAACUCCACAUUUACAAUCCAAAAAAAAUUAAUCUCUUUUUUGUUACCGCUGAGCCAAGUCUCCUUUGUUUGUAGCAUAGUAGUUGCCGGGAUUCUUCAGCUGCCUUUGAUCCACAUUCCACAUGCUGGGGGCGGGGGGGGGCGGGAAAUCGGAUGUGGAAAAUUCCACCCAAGAAGGAAAAGAAACCGUGUUGAAUGAUGAAGAAAAGAAAAUGGCAAUCAUCAUUGAGACUCUAAUAAAUCUCACUCCUCAGUUCCUGGGAUGUGAACGUACGAUUAAUAAUUCCAUCUAAAUUGCUGAUCCUAAGUGGAUCAGAUUUGAAACAUAUUUUAUCCAUUGGAGACUCCUUAGUUUGUUUGCUUUCUGCAGGGGAUUAUUGUCACGGCCCCACCUCCCCCUGAGGCGAACCAGAGGGUUCGGCGGGCCGCCUGCCCAGCUCUCGCCGGGACUCAGUCGUUCACUACAAUCCUCAAAUGAAUUACAAGAAUAAACCUCAAAUAUUACAAUAAAUUCUCCAAUAAUUACAUGUCAUAAGCGAAGCGGAAACAAUUCUCAACUAUACAUAAAAUGAUUUCCAAUCCAAACUGUACAAGAUAUAGGCCAUCCAGACACGCGCACAAGUACUACAAGCCUUCCUUCGCCUUGAGCCCUGUGGAGGGGAAUAAAAUAUUUUUGGGGUGAGCUAGAAGCUCAGCGAGUAACCAGGAAAUCAGUAAUCAAAUCGGUUUAACAAUAUUUAUUUUCAAUGAUGUCAUAAAUCAAAUGAUAAGUCCAAAAACAAUUACAACAUUUACAAAACAUUAAAUAUGGAGUAUCAAUAAUUCAAGAAACAUGUACAAUGGAAAGCGAUAGUAACAUUCAUGAAAAGAUACGUUCGUUCUCCUGUCAUUUCCUUUUUUUUCAUUUGAAAUUGCAUCAUUUUCCACCAACCUCCACCAACCUACAAAGGUAAUACUCGAGUAUACCAAACGUUCACCCAGGUCCCUAAUCGCCCGACCGAGUCCGUUUCUGGCUCGAGACGACCGGUAACAAGGGCAAUGGCCAGUUCAGCCCAAAAGACUUACAUUCAUGCGCAAGUAGCAUUUAAUCAUUUAUCAUGAAAAUUUUACAUUGAUUUAGGUCGAGUGCGAUAAAAUACACACUCGCCUAGAAAGCUCGUUUUGGAAAUCAUUCAAUGCACGUAACACGGUAUCAAUCAAUAAUACAAGUCAUGAAGUCAAGGAAAUAUAUCAAACAAGGAACACUUUCAUAUAAACACGCAUGAUAUGCAAGAAAACAGUUCAAAAGUAGCUUUGGAAACAGUUCAAAAGUAAAUAAUGUAAGAAACAUUUCACUAGUACUUUGGAAAUAGUUUAGGGUCACUCACCUCCAUGGCUCAGAAAUCAUCCAGCAUAUAACAUUGCCUUGCUCAAAUCCAAGUCUUAGAUCACAAACUCAAUGCAAACAAAUCCCUUCAAAGUUCGGACAGCACUUCCCCUGAAUUUCUUUACUUUUCCAGCCAUCAUGGCUUCAUUAUUUCCUUAGCCAGUCCCAAAGGUACACACACAACAACAAGUUCAUCCAAUAGCCAUUCAGCAAGCUCCAAGUAGUACUAGUACAAGUUAAGCUAGGGAAAAGUCCGAAAAUGAAAGUUAAGCUCAAAACCAGAAAAACAGUUUUGACGUCAUUUUGCGGUAAUGGUACCAAAGGCGGUACGAUUGUCGGAUGAAGGUGAAAGACCCAUCGUUUCGAAGCUAAGAGACAGGGCUACAAUAUUUCAGAAGGUCACUCAGUCCAAAUCCCAGCACAACUAAGUCAAAUAUGCCAAAUAACAAACCAGAACCGUAAUUGCAGGUUCACAAAUCACACUAUGCUGUAAUUAGUCCAACUCAGUCUACACAAGUCCAAAUGCAGAAAUUCCAAAGGCAUAUGGUAGCUAGGACAUCAAGAUACAUUUCAUCAGAAGACCUCAACACCCAAAUCCAAAACAAUUCCAGUCAAAACAACCCAUUUCAGACGCAGUUCUAACAUCCUGAUGAACCCAGAACAGCAAUAGUAAUUUCGGCUUAUCUCAUUCUACACUACUCCAAUUGACCUGAAAUUUUUCAGACACCUUUAAAACAUCAAUACCUACAACUUUCAUGUUUAGAGCCAAGGCCAAUUCGGCCUCUAUCUAGGACCAAAAAUUUCGGACAGAAUGAAAAACCAAGAACCCUAAUUUUCCAGAUUUCUUCCAAAACAGAAUUUACUUGCAAUCUUCCACUUUUUCCACCUUCUAGAAUCAUUAAACAUCAUUUCCAAUCAUCAUACAUAACCACAUAAUCAUACUCAUAUUAAAACAGAAAAAUCCCCAAAAAAUAAUAAAAGUUGAUCCAUCCAACCACAACUCAAAAUAUAAUCCAUCAAACCAUCUCUUUAGCCAUCACAAGUCACUAAUUUAGUAUAAUCAAGAACAAAGAAAGGAUUGCUAGACAUGAACCUUGAAAUAUCAAGAAAGUUGAUGGCUUAGUCCUUUGCCUUCUCUAAUCACUCCACCACUACCUUCAAUCUUCCUAAACAAGUGACUUUUGUGGAGAAAUUCGAAAGUUUAACGGUUGAUUCACAAGAUUGAGCAAGAAAUGGAGUUGGAGUUGAAGGCUUUCUUCUUGUAUUUUUGCUCCAAGAGGUUCGGCCAAGUUUGCAGAAAUUUAGGUGAUUUUUGGGUCAAAAUUGAGUAUUAAUAAAGGUAAGAAAUAAUGGUCAAAGUCAAGGUUGAAUAGGAAGAUGACACUUGUCACCCUUUUGGUUCAAAACUUAUCUUUUUGUCUCUCCAAUACAAAUAUCUUAACACUUUGUAAAAUAAUAUCACUUAAUACAAAAUUCCUACAAGUUGUCAAAAAUAUAUUGCGUUUACCGCACUAGCGGGUCCCACGUCCAAAAUACGCUUUUAAUUUCUCAAAAACUAACCGAUACUAGAAAAAUCAUUUGAAAACUAUAUUUGCUCACAAACUUUAUCUGGGGAAUUUUUCUAAUCAAGAAAAUGUAGAAAAGGCGGGCGUUUAAAAAAAUAAACCCUAGAAAAUUAGAAAAUUUCCGGGUUCUCAAACUCAUUUUUUUUUCGGGGCGUCACAAUCUCCCCUCCUUAAAAGAAUGCCGUCCUCGAUUAUUCUCCAAUUUCUUUAAAAUCCACAGACCCCCAAAGUUCUCCAUUUCCAUGCUAGCUAUAUAUUUUCCUUUCUGGCUAGUUCAGAAUAGCUAGAAAUUUACAGUGGAUGCUUUUGUCAGCUCUUUAACCACUGGUAGAAAGAAGUGCUGCAGUAGUACAUCUUUAUUACUAUUUUUUUUUUUUGAAAUACAAUAUACAAUCAACUGGAGUUAAAAGUGAAAUAGGCCUUUAGCUCACACUGUGAUUAUAAACUUUGACUGAAUUGGAUGUUUUGGGAAGGGGGGGAAAUGAGCGUGUUCUUGCAGAUUUCAAUUUUUACAAUUGAAUUAUUUACCUAUGAUAUGAUCACAAGUUUAACUUAAAUGGAGUUGUGAUAAUAGAAGAUUCUCGAAAGAAGACUUCAAAAGGUGGAAAUUGAAAAUGAGUGGAAAUUAAUGGGGAAUUAACCAGUUAUUUGGAUACCUAUUUUUGUAUCCGACUCUUUUAUAAUUAGUUUUUCUUAUAAUUUUUCUCGCUCCUAACAAAUUUAUCUUUUCAGAUAAAUUUGAAUUAUUUGCUCUUUUGGUUCCUCUCUCUUCUAACAAUAUGAUUAAUUUGUAUAAAUUUUUUUUAUUCAUAUGGAUUAACUUAGUGUUAAAAAUUUUAACUGUUAGUUGAUAGAUUUAUCAAUAUUGCUGGAAAUUAAAUAUUUGUUGAUGUAGAAAACAAAUCGCAAAAUCUUUUGUACUUAGUUAAGUAGGAAAAUGUAACUAGUUUUAUGGUUAUUAUAAAAAUUGUAAUUAUCUAAAAAAUAUCCGUACACAAAAAGGUAGAAUAUCUAUUGAUUUUUUUAUAUGUGUUAUAAUAUUUGAUGAAUAUUAUUAUAUUAUAGUAAAAGUAUGUAAAGAAAUUUUUAAAAAUUAGUAUGAUAGUUAAGUAUAAUUAUUACAAUAAUUUUCUAAAAUUAAUAUAAAUGAACUUGUAUGAUCAUCAUUAAUUUUUUAUUUAAAUUAUUCAUGCUUGCACGAAUUCAUAAUAAAAUAAAAAAAAAUAAACCAUGCCAAGGCACAUGCAAGAUGCUAGUUCAAAUUAAUGUUGUACAUGUAUAGGAGUCACAAAACGGUUUGGUGCACAAGCAGACGAAAGGGGACAUCUAAAGUAUUAGGACAAGUUUUACAUCUAGCAGACGAAUUCAAUCGAUUGUGAUGUAUUUGCUGAUUUUCUUGAAAUAAAAAAUGCAUAGGAAAAAAAAUAUUAGAGAGUUAUCCUUUGCAUGGAGUUCAUAUCGUUACUACUUUUGCUGCGUGGAAUACCUUGUCUGAUGGAUGUCUGCUUGAAAUAUGCGUUCCACAUAUUUUGUAUGUUUAUCCUAAUAAAUCAUCUUAUAUUGUGCUAAUAUUUCAAACAGGUUUUGGAAUUUUGCUGCAAGUUUAUCUUCUCAAAAGAUAAGUCAUUUGAUUUGAUUUGCGUCAAAAAAUGCUUUGCUGAGGCCUUCAGUUGUGGAAAAAAACUCUCUGACCCAAGACGCACAAGAAACUAUUUUCCAGUUCUUUAGAAAUAAAAUAGACGUUCAACGCCCAUUUUCUAAUUCGAUUCAGUUCUGUGACCCCUUUUUUUAAUUCUCUAUUUUCUAUAAUUCUCAAUUCUUUAUUUUGCACUAUUUUGUUGGGUGAGCAAUUAACAGGCACGUGAAAUAGUGGCUCAAUGGGGGAAGAAAAAACAAGGGCUAUUCCUUUUUUUUUUUUUGGAUUGCGUGAUCAAUUAACAAGAAACGACAUAAGCAAAACAAAUUCUUCAUGUUCAGGCCCUUGAUUUUCCUUUGUGAAUAAUGAACUGAAAAAGAAACUUAAAAAUACUAGUUCAAUUGAAUCUUAAAAUUAAUGCAAAACAUGGACAAGAAUGCUGUAGUGUCUGAAGUACAAUCUCGAUUUAGUACAAGACCUCUGAAACUUGAAUACAUAAUGUUCCAGUUCCCCAAUUUUAAAACCUCUCAAGCCAGGCCAGAUUCUUCAAUGCUCGAUUCUCAAUUAAUGGCUUCAUGUAUUUUCCGUUAUGAAUGUGACAAAGUCUCCAUUCUGGAGCUCAUUUCCAGUUGUCUCGGAUUUGGUAUCACUUGAAACUGGUUCUGUAUCAGGGAAUGGGAAACAUAUGGCCGUCAACAAAAACCAGAGGAAAUUUGCAGCGCUCAGACCGGCAAGCACCCAAUAAUAGUAAUUCAAGUGACUCUCAUUCAAGUCAUGCUGAAACCAACUCUUUUUCCCUCAUUUCUCGCUAAUCUUGCCCACCAAAUGAACUGAUAAAACACUUCCCAUGAUUCCCAGACCGGAUAAUCCAGGAUUGAGGUAGACAAGGUACUUUUUCAUCGAUGGGGGACUUUGAUCAUUCAAGAAUUCUGCAACACUGUUCUCAUAAAAUGAGUCUAGCCCACCAAGAAGAAAGAAUUGCGGAACAAGCAAAAAGACAGUCAUGGGGAUUUUCUCGUUAGGCUUGUCAAUUAAACCAUUGUUAGGGUGGUUAUCUAAAUCUAACCACUGGUGAAAAUCAUCACCUUUAAACCCAAGAUCUGUAUGGCGAUUAUUAAGAAAUAAAUUAACUGUAAAAUAGCGGAAGCGUACCUGAAUCCAUAUUAAUAAACUUGAUACUUGAAUCCCUUAGAUAUUUGGGGUGGCCUUCCAAAUCAACAUGUAUUCACCAAUCCUUUGAGAGAGGUCUUUAGUUUCUCUCUGGUAUCUUUCCUGACGAUGGGAUAUCAGGGAAGGGCUGUUUUGUGGUAUUAGAAAAUACGACAACUAAAACGAUACCUGUGACCUGGGGACCAUAACCCUAUUUAUAGGCAACAUUCCUGUUACCUUUUGGAACCCUAUUUCAGCCCAUCAUUGAAAUAGGAGCCCAUAAGUUUCUACACAUUAAAGGGCCAACAUCCUAUUAAAUACAUUAAACCCAAACUAUAUUUGAUCACUUUAAUUGGGUUUAACCUUAAUUGACAGUUUGCAAUACAUAAUUAUUCACAUAUAAGUCCAAUGUUGAAUUAAGGAUCCAACAAUCUCCCACUUGGACUAUAUGUGUAACCUUAUAAUUAUGUUUUGCAAUUAACCGUAUGAGCUCAACUUUACUGUCAUUAUCACAAUGUAUCUGUAACUAAUUCGGUCCAUCAAUUACACAAAUAUAGGAUCAAAGCGGCCUUUGUUACAAUUUCGUAACUCGACCCAUCAAUGGUCACAUAUAUUAAUGCAAUUGAAUGACAUGAAUCAUGAUGUGGAUGUGUAGCAUGAAAAUUUCAUGUAAUGUGAUCAAAACAUGCCUAUUUCCAACUGGUCCACCUUAAAUUUUAUGAGAUCAAACCAUACCAAAGUUAGAGUGUAAAUAAAUUUAGACUUUAUUUAUGUAUAAAAUAUUCUUAAAUCCUUAAUAACUGAAAAAUAUCAUAAGAGCAUUCAAAAUAACAAACUCCCACUAAAACUGUACAUCAUUUAAUAACACGACACCCAUAUGAGCAGUAUGCUCAUGAAAUAAUUUGGGUGACAAUCCCUUAGUAAGCGGAUCCGCAACCAUGGAGUUUGUCCCGAUGUACUCUAUCGAUAACUGUCCAUUUUGCACUCUUUCUUUAACAGCCAGGAACUUGAUAACUAUAUGUUUAGAUUUGGUUGAGCUCCUGUUGUUAUUGGAAUAUAAGACUGCUGACUUAUUGUCACAGAAUAAUUUAAGUGGUCUUUCAAUGCUAUCCACUACACGUAAUCCUGUGACGAAAUUUCGCAGCCAAAUUCCUUGGUUGGAUGCCUCAUAACAAGCUAUAAAUUCUGCAGUCAUAGUGGAAGAUACUAUGAGGGACUGUUUAGCACUCUUCCAGGAUAUGACACCUCCAGCCAACAAGUAGAUAUAGUCUGACGUUGACUUCAUAGUAUCUUUGCAUCCAGCAUAAUCGGAAUCAGUAUACCCAAUGAUCUCUAACUCAUCUGACUUCCGAUACGUGAGCAUGUAGUCUUUUGUUUUCUGCAGAUACCGUAAGACCCGUUUGGUUGCUUUCCAAUGAUCUAAUCAAGGAUUACUCAAAUAUCUAUCCAACAUCCCAGUAAUGUACGCAAUAUUCGGACGCGUACAUACUUGAGCAUACAUUAAACUCCCUACUGCUGAUGCAUAAGGAAUCUUUUGCAUCUCUUUUUCCUCAAAAGCAUUCUUGGGACACUGCUCAAGACUAAAUUUGUCUCCUUUAGCCACAGGGGUGUCACCUGGUUUACAAUUUUGCAUGCCAUAUCUUUUAAGAACCUUUUCGAUAUAGCCCUUUUGUGAUAGUCCUAAAAUACCCCGAGAGCGAUCACGGUGUAUCUGUAUGCCUAACACAAAAGAUGCAUCACCAAGAUCUUUCAUCUCAAAAUUUUUAGUUAGAAAUUUCUUGAUUUCAUGCAAUAGACCAAUAUCAUUGCUGGCAAGCAAAAUGUCAUCAACAUACAAUACCAGAAAAAUAUAUUUGCUCCCACAGAACUUAUGGUAUAUGCAAUCAUCUACUAGAUUCAUCUCAAAACCAAAUGAGAUAAUCACUUGAUGAAAUUUGAAAUACCAUUGUCGAGACGCUUGUUUGAAUCCAUAGAUGGAUUUUUUUAAGUUUACAAACCAUAUUCUUUGGAUCUCCUGAUACAAAGUUUUCUAAUUGCACCAUAUAAAUCGUCUCAUCAAUGUUACCAUUGAGAAACGCUGUCUUUACGUCCAUCUGAUGUAACUCAAGACCAAAAUGUGCCACUAAUGCUAUGAUAAUUAUAAAGGAGUCCUUUGAAGAGACUGGAGAGAAGGUUUCUUUAUAAUCGAUACCUUCCUUUUGUGUAAAUCCCUUAGCGACAAGACGAGCUUUGUAUCUUUUCACAUUGCCUUUUGAAUUUCUCUUGAUUUUAAAUAUCCAUUUACAACCAAUGGGUUUCACUCCUUCUGGCAAUGGGACAAGAUCCCAAACGUCAUUGUCCUUCAUGGAUUUAAUUUUCUCAUUCAUGGCAUCGAUCCACUUUUGAGAAUUUGAACUUUCCAUAGCUUGACGGAAGUUGAUUGGAUCAUCUUCCAUCAAUCCAGAGUCAUUCUCAUGUUCUUGGAGAAAAACAAUGUAAUCAUCUGGCACUGCACUUUUUCUUUCUCUAGUGGAUCUUCUUAAUGGCACUGGUUCUUGAAAAGGAAGAGUUUGUUCUUCUAUAACAGUUUGCUCUUCGACAUUGUCUUGAUUUGUCAUGUCAUGAUCAAGUUCAGGAAUAGGGUCCUGAGCAAGAGUAAUGACACCCGUGGGAAUAUAUUCCUCUUUAAAGACAAUGACCCUUACUGUAUUUUCUCCCCCAAACUCGACAUCCUCAAAGAACCGAGCAUUUCCUGUCUCAAAAAUUGAUUUGGCUGUGGGAUCAUAAAACUUGUAACCCCUGGAUCUUUCAGAGUAUCCAAUAAAAUAACAACUAAUCGUUCUUGAGUCCAGUUUCUUUUUAUUAGGCCUAUAAGGCCUUACCUCAGCUGGACAUCUCCAAAUGUGUAGAUGUUUUAAACUGGGCUUUUUUCCCUGUCCAAAGUUCAUAAGGGGUUUUAAUAGUUGCUUUAGUUGGAACUCUGUUAAGAAUAUAUGCUGCAGUCUUAAGUGCUUCUCCCCAGAGUGACUCUGGUAAGGUGGAAUGACAUAUCAUACUCCUUACCAUGUUUUUAAGUGUUCUAUUUCGUCUUUCAGCUACACCAUUUAUAGUGGGUGAACCUGACAUAGUGUACUGUGGGACGAUACCGCACUCCUCUAGGUAUUUAACAAAUGGUCCUGGACGUUGUUCACCUGAACCGUCAUAUCUAUCAUAGUACUCACCACCACGGUCAGAUCUGACGCUUUUAAUUCUUUUGUUGAGUUGAUUCUCAAUUUCAGCUUUAAAAGUUUUGAACACGUCUAGUGACUGUGACUUUUCAGAAAUGAGAUAUAUAUAGUCAUAUCUUGAAAAAUCGUCUAUGAACGUUAUAAAAUAUUGUUGACCAUUCCAAGCAGAUGUAGGAAAUGGUCCACAAAUAUCAGUAUGUAUAAGUUCUAAGACGUCUGAGGACCUAUUGGCUUCAAAUCUCCUUUGAUUGGCUUGUUUCCCCUUUAUACAGUUAAUGUAAUCAUCAAAAUCUGUAAAAUUCAAAAGGUCGAGAAUUUCAUUUGACACAAGCCUUUCCAUUCUCCGUUUGGAGAUAUGUCCCAAUCUCUUGUGCCAUAAUGCAGCUGAAUUCUUAUUGGCUAAUUUUCUUUUAACUCCUCUAGUACUCAAAUGCAGAGAUUCAUUAAAUGAGACAAUUGUAUCAAUUAAAUAUAGAUUAUCGUAGUGCAUUAAAGAACCAGAACCAACCAAUUUUGAAUCAUGCAACAAUUCAAAUUUUUCAUUUCCAAAUGAACAAAAAUAACCAAAUUUGUCCAAAGCAAAAAUAGAAAUUAAAUUCCGUCUAAAAGACGGUACAACAAAUGUCUCAUUGAGAUCCAAAUAAAAUCCGCUCUUUAAUAAUAAUCUAAAAACUUCAAUUGCUUCAACUUGAACUGUUUUGUCAUCGCCCACGUAGAUAUAUCUUUCACUAUCAUUAGGCUUUCGGCAAUUCAGACAACCCUGCAUAGACACACUGAUGUGAGUUGUUGCACCAGAAUCCAGCCACCAUGUGUGUCUAGGUACCGAAGUUAAAUUAACCUCAAAACAAACCAAAUUAAGAAGCAUACCUUUCUUAGCACGCCAAGCGUGAUAGUUGGUGCAAUGCUUCUUUUGAUGCCCUUCAACUCCACAGAAGAAACAACUACUCUUUCCCUGAUCAUUUGAUUUCUUUUGUUGUUUCUUUUGUGGCGCUGUACCUGCAGCUCCUUUUUCUUUCUUUCUCUUAAGUCCCUUGCCUUUAUUAUUAGUGGUUGACACCAGAUGAGCACUUUCUGUCUGCUCCUGCUUCAACCUUUCCUCUUCCUCUACACAGUGUGAGAUGAGUUCAUUUAGAGACCAAGUCUCCUUUUGACAGUUGUAACUCACCUUAAAUUGGUUAAACUGUGUAGGAAGAGAUAUUAGAAUCAAAUGCACUAGUAACUCUUCAGAGAGUUUCAACUUAAGUGCAUUUAAUUUCGAAGCAAGAUGAGACAUCUCCAUGAUGUACUCUCUGAUAUUGCCUUUACCACUAUAUUUCAUUGAAACUAGGCGUGUCAAGAGCGUACUAAUUUCAGUCUUUUCAUUCUUUUUUUUUUUUUUUUUUUUUAAGGUGUGUCCCGCAGGGAGUGGACCCCGCAGACUAUUCACCACCCUCAACAACUUGCUGGCAGCAAGGUUCGAACCAGGGACCUGAAGCCCCAUCUUCAGCAACCUCAACCACCAGACCAAGCCCCUGAGGGCAGUCUUUUCAUUCUUGACAAACCUUUUUUCAAUGUCCUGAAGGAACUUUUUAGCGGUUACAGUCGUUUCUGACAUUGUUCCCCUGAAUGCUUUUGAAACGGCCUUUUUAAUGAUCAUCAGACACAAGCGAUUUGAUCUCUCCCACCUCUCAUUAUUUCUCUUUUCAUCAGAGGUACUCUGAUCUGUAAGAGGUGAGGGAGAAUCGUCCCUUAACGCAAGGUCGAGAUCCAUUACUCCAAGUACUAUCAAGAGAUUUUCUUUCCAGGACUUGAAGUUUGUGCCAUUCAGCAUAGGAAUGUUAUUGAUGUUGGCAGUAAUAUUUGUAAGAUCAUUUGCAACUAAACAGAAAACAUAAUAUAAUUAAAACAAUGCUCACAUAAACCAAAAUAAUAAUAAAUUUAAAUAAUGGUAACCCCAUCUCAAGAUAUCGAUAUUCCAUUAAUAUUUUAUCUUUGGACAAAAUAUUAACUUCUAAGUGAUAUCUUGGCGCAGUAAUAAACACUGACAAUAAUAACAUGUCAAAAAAUAAAUUUUCCUUUGGACCAAUUUAUAAUUCACAUGUAAAAGCCGAAUAAUUAUCACAUGUUUAUUACCACAAGUGCACAUGUAAUUUCAUUAAAUAUUGACCUUCUUUUGGGCCGAUCAAUAUUCAUAAAAUUACUAGUACCCAACCAGUUAUAUUUUAAAAUAAAUUAAUUUUCAUAAUAGAGGUCACUUUGGUGGCAUAUUAUUUCCACUAAUUUAUUCCAAAAUAUAUAUAAUCAUACCAAUAUUCAAAUUUAAAAUUAUCCAAAAUAAAUGAAAAUUUUAAUCAAAGUCAACUUUGGUCAACUUUGGUCAAAACGUGGUCAAACAUGGUGAAAUCAAUUAAAUUGAAUCAUGACUUAUUAGACCAAAGGUCCAUAUCCAUAAUUUGACCCAAAAUUAUCAUUCAAGCCCAAAAUUUCUUGAAAUCCAUAAGUACUUUAUAAAAUUAUAUAUAUAAUGGGCCACAUAUAUGGAUUUUAUAGGGCUUAAAUGUCCUAUUUAACUUUAUUAGGGUUCAAUUAAAUUAAAGAACCUCUAAUUUUCUUAACAUAAAUAUAUUGAAAAACGGUGAAUUGGCCAAGCAAAAGUGCAAAACAUCGAAGCCAAUAACCAUGAUUUGACCAUCAUGGAACCUUGGUCCACAUUUGUUCACAAAUUCACACAACAAUCAUCAAAAGUAAAAGGCACGUGAAUGACAUAAGCAAACAAGAAGUCUGGAUUCAUUGGCCAUGCAUCAGAACAAAAGUGAUUGCAAAUCUAACAAUCCGUGAACUAAAAAUUGUUAACAUGAAAUAAAAUUAACUUGUCCAUAAUGGUGGAGGAAAGGACAAAACACUUCCCGUGGCCAGAGGACAAAUUAGAUUACAUCAUCACUUGAUUCAUGUUUUAAGUAAACAUAAGGUGAAAAUCGUAUGAAGACUUAUGUCUCAAAAGCAUUGAGAUUGUUGGAAGAAUUUGACCGAAGGCCAAAAGUAUCACAGUUCUGACCAUGAAUUUGACCGAAGACAAAAAACACAUAAAUUGCAUCAAACUAGCAGUUCAUGCCUAUUAACUUACGCAAGCACUCAUGAACAUAAAAAAUCGUAUGAAGACUCAUCCAACAUGGGACCAGAACCCACAGUUUUUUUUUUUUUUAAUGAAUCAGAGGCCGAAAAACCAAAAGGCAUGCGUGGGUUCUCAAUCAGCUGUCAGCAAUUAUAAAAGGGAUGCAAUUAUCAAACCAUCAGCAACCAAAGCUUGCAAAUCACUAAAUCAGCCGUACAAAUUUACUACAAAUUACUAAAUCCAAAUUAUUUCCUAAUAAUCAACCAUAUGGGCUCUGAUACCACUUGUUAGGGUGGUUAUCUAAAUCCAACCACUGGUGAAAACCAUCACCUUUAAACCCAAGAUCUGUAUGGCGAUUAUUAAGAAAUAAAUUAACUGUAAAAUAGCGGAAGCGUACCUGAAUCCAUAUUGAUAAACUUGAUACUUGAAUCCCUUAGAUAUUUGGGGUAGCCUUCCAGGUCAACAGGUAUUCACCAAUCCUUUGAGAGAGGCCUUUAGUUUCUCUCUGGUAUCUUUCCUGACGAUGGGAUAUCAGGGAAGGGCUGUUUUGUGGUAUUAGAAAAUACGACAACUAAAACGAUACCUGUGACCUGGGGACUAUAACCCUAUUUAUAGGCAACAUUCCUGUUAUCUUUUGGAACCCUAUUUCAGCCCAUCAUUGAAAUAGGAGCCCAUAAGUUUCUACACAUUAAAGGGCCCACAUCCUAUUAAAUACAUUAAACCCAAACUAUAUUUGAUCACUUUAAUUGGGUUUAACCUUAAUUGACAGUUUGCAAUACAUAAUUAUUCACAUAUAAGUCCAAUGUUGGAUUAAGGAUCCAACAACCAUCACUUCUUAUCACAUGUAUCCUGUGAGUUUCUACAAUGGCCGUAAAUAUGCAACAUAAUGCUGAGCAUAUUGUAGCUAAUGCAAUUCCAGUUGCUGAUGCAUACCUUCUUCCGACUGCCACUUUCAUACAAUUGUACACACUUUUAAAACCCAUCUUCGCUGCUUCAUAUAGCAACAUAAGGGUUGAAUCAGGAAACUUCAAUUUCCCAACCUUGUAAUUCAGGUGGCUUGCUUGCUCUACGAAGUAUGUGUUUCCUACGGAAGUAACUACAGAACAAAUUAUGCAGGUGAUCCAAACUGGAAGCAUACAGAUUCUGAUCCGUCUUUCUUGACUUUGAGUCCUGAAUCUGAUAAUAUCCCUGUCAGAGAACCUAAGCAAAGCAAGAGAACAGCAAAAAAUUCCUAUGGUCAGAAGUUUCAUUAUCUCUUACUUGAGAACAAAGAAAUAGAUCUGUAUUUGAUUUAUGGAACACCCGACACUCUAUUCCUUUUCAAGUGAAAGUUGAAAAACAGGGAAGAAGGGCAAAAAUUAAGACUAUGAUCAGGAAGAGGAAGAUGAAAAAGGAAGGAUGUGUGGGAUGAACCCAAGUCUGCUGCCCUGGUAUUCGCAUGAACCCUGAAUGAAAAGAAGUGUUGCCGCCAGUGUGAAAAUUGCUGGAAUUCCAAACCGAAGUUUCCAUGGCUGUAUGUAUGGGAGUGCAAUUAGUGCAAUAACUGCGACAAUGUGCACAAAGAUAACGCCUAAUGAUCUUAGGCCAGAUAUGCCGCUUCCGUUUCUUUGGUUCUGUCUCUUAACAAGCUCCAUCAUUGCUUCUACUGGUUUAAACUGAAGUUUUGAUAUAUCCUCUUCAGGUUGAGGGCUUUGUUGCCUGUUGCUUGUUUUAUCAACAACUUGACUCCCUUCAAGCUGAUCCAAUGCAAAUGCAGCUAAUGAGACAAUGUGCCCACCCACUCCAACAGCUGUCAACGCCAGACCUGUGUAAAAGAUAGCCUUCUGUGUGUGACCAAUGCAAUUAGGCUGGUAAUUAGCACAGGUGUGCGUUAACUUGUGCAGUGCUGGUGGCGUAGACAUUGAUAGAAAACCCAAGCCCUGCUCAUAAUUUUGGAUAAUCAGUUCAAGAAAGUCCGGUAAAACUGGAAGCUAUACUUCUAUCAAGUUAGGCCGUGAAAUUGAUGACUAAAUGGAAGGAGGGGAGGAAGAACUGUGAAUGAAUUUGCCGACAGGAGAACUUACAGAGGAAAAGGCUAUACUCGAGAGAAGCAGUAUCCAGUAGUUAUCCACUCCAAAGUCCCCAAAUAAGAAAAGAAUAAAAGGGACCAAUUUAGUUAGGCCAGUAUAUACAUUCAUUAUUCCUGCAGCAUGAGUAAACCCAACUUUCCAAACAUCUGUUAAGUACUUCUGCAUUAUCCACGUCACGUAAGUCUCCAACAAAUCAGCCCAUAUUAGAACUGUUAAGACAACAAAAAAAGGAGUUAGCAUUAAGUAGACAAGAAUGAUUGUUCAAGCAGAGGAAGUUAAAGAAUGACAAGGCCUUUGAUGACUCUGAGAUGAAUUAAAAGUACCCAUUAUUCUGACGAAUGCCAUUGAUUUUUCGAACUUCUCGUUGAAAUCCUGAGUGUGAGAAAAAUACUAUCAGAACAAGGGAAGCUGACGAUUAGAGCAGUUUCAGAACCAUAUGGUGGCCAUAGCAAGCUGAAAGAAACCAGAGUUAAUAGUUUGGAUUGAGGUUUUCUUUAAUUACCUCCAACUGCUAUGUGUGCUGCUGGUCUGCGAGGGAAAAAGAGAGACGGAGAAACUUCUCUGCAAUAAGUCGUUGUUAGAAAAUUGGUUUAAUUUCUUUUAAACAGAUUCCUAAUUCCUUGUUUUGUGUGAAAGUAACUAGAUUCCUAAUUGAUUUUAGUUACUUAAAGUAGUAGUUAAGGAAUUUCCUAUGUGUAUGAGUUUAGGAAAAGAAGUUAUUUCCUAUUCUAAAUCAGUGUAGGAAUUAGCAUUGAUUUCCUAUUGUUAUUUGGAUUUUGUCCAAAUAAUGUUCCUUAUAAAUAGGUGAGUUAGCAUACUACAUACAAGGGCACACAAGGGGCGACAUGUAGCCUUAUACAUGGGUGGUGAAAGAGGGUUCUUGGGAGAUGAGAGAUGAUAUGCAAGAAUUGGGUUUGGGUUCAAGUUGUAUUAUUGUAUAGAGUUUUUCUCUCAUAAUAAAGAACGAAUUUCUCUUCGUAGAUGUAAGUUUAAUGGUGGAGUCAAAUUAUGUUAAAUAUUAUGUGUCGUUUAUCUUUCAUACUUAUGGCAUUUUAUCAUUAAAUUGUUGUAUACUUGAUAUUCCAAUGGUUGUUUAUUCCGCACUUGAAUCCUAACAAGUGGUAUCAGAGCUUGAUUGUGAGACUGGGUUGCUCACAAGCACUUGAAUCCCAACCAACUAAAUGGUUGGAUCAAGAGUUUGGUUGUUCAAGGUUGGAUCCUGGUUAACUAUUGAGAUCAAGUAGAUUGGUGGUUGUUACCAAUUGAACAAUUUAAUGGGUGGUAUUCUUAUUUCAAGAGUUUGGUAAGAAACAUUGAAAGUGAAGAAUAGAAAGUCGAAAAGCAUGGAGAUACUUGAUAGUGAAUCUAUGCAGGUGAUUUAAGAGUCAAGAAAAAGAUGGAAUCCAAUGUCGAUUUUUUAACAUAAAUCGUUGGGUUGAUAUCUGCUUCGUAUGCUGUCUGUCCUUCAACUGUAUAUCUAUUAGUCUCCACUAGGGGUGAGCAAACGGUACAAAUUCGGUAAUUCGGUUAGCUGAAUUCGGUGAAUUCGGUUAUUUGACUUAUAGAAAUCAAAAAUACUUUCAAUUUUGAAUUGGUUAUAACCAAAUUCAUUUCGCAACGAUUUCGAAUUCGGAAAUGGUAAUGAAUUCGAUCUAACCGAAUUCAUUUAUAAAAAAAAAAAAACUGAUGAGAUAACUCUGUUAUGGUCCUGAAGGAAGUGAUUGUGUAAUUUUUAAUUUACAAAUUGGGGUUCCUAAAUUAUAAUACAUUCAUUAUGCUCCUCAAUGAUUUAAAACUUAUUACUGAUUUGAUCCUCGAAUUUAUUCAUAAUUUAACACAUUACUUAUGUUCUAAUCAUUUUGUGGUUUAAUUGGCAUUUAUUUGAUCACUUAUACCUAGAAUCCUUAGUCUAUGAUUUGAGGAACACAUAAAAAGUGAUUAAUUUAAACUAGAUUAAACCUUAGACUGUACAAUGAUUAAUGAUAAUUUAUGAAUUUAUAAUUUGCAAUGAUUAAUAAUAAGUAAUAUUAGUUACAAACUUACAAAUUACAAUGAUUAGUGAUAAGUUAUAUUAGUUACAAACUUAUAAUUUAUUUUAAAUCAAAAUAAAACUUAUUUACUUACAUAUGUUAUUGUGAAAGUCAAUACACUAAUACAUUGAUUUACAAUUCAUAUGCAUUCACUUACAUUACUUAGUUGUCUUGUCUAUACUUAAAACCUUAAGAUUAGUGAGUAGAGAAUAUGAAUUUUUAUGUUAAAUAUGUAAUGUAAAUUUAGAGCAUACUAAUACUUGCAAGUUACAGGUUACGCAUUCAAAUAUUCAAUAAUUCAAACAUGAAUGAUGUAUCAAAUUACCAAUAUCUAAAUUUCCAAUUACUAAUUAUGUUUAUUGUUUAAUAUUUAGUAUUAUACAUAUAUGUAUUAAUUAUUAUCUAAUUCUAGUCAUGUUACUCAUGUAUAAAAUAAUAAGUAUUAUAGUUAUGGUAUAUUGUUAUGUAUUACUAUAUAUUUGUAUUAUUAUAGUCAUAUAACAAUUAACAAAUACUAAAAUAUAUUGUACAUUAUUAUAAGUACAUGAUAAUACCAUGUACUAACUAUUAUUAAUAGCAUUUACCUAUAUAAUAUAAUAUUUUUUUUAGGGGUGUCCCGCAGGGAGUGGACCCGCAAGACUAUUCCCCACCCUCAACAACUUGCUGGCAGUAAGGUUCGAACCAGGGACCUAAGUCUCCAUCUUCAGCAACCUCAACCACCAGACCAAGCCCCUGAGGGCACCUAUAUAAUAUAAUAAUAUAUUAGUACUAUAUACUAAUACUAAAUAGCAUUUAUCUAUAUAUUAUAUAAUUUUAUAAAUUAAUUUGGUAUUCGAAUGUGGUAAUGCAUUUCAUUUUACCGAAUUUGAAUGCGAAAUCGGUUAUUACCAAAUUCAUAAUCUCAUUACCUAUUUCAUAUCAUAUUAGAAUUCGGUGAAUUCGGUACCGAAUUUGUAUCAAAUUACCUAAUACCCGAUUUCAAAUUACCAAAUUGCAUUUGAAUUCGGUAUGUACCGAAUUUGCUCACCCCACUCUCCACUGUCUUAUUGCAGCUUUGCUCAUGACUAUCUUGACUCUGUGGCCUCAUCUACAGCUGCACUUCCUUUCCUUCAAAGCCCAUCCUUCUAUUGUUUCAAAUGACACAACAUCGUAGCGUUGGAUAAUUUUAUAUGCGCUCAUAGUUCACAAAUUUGAUACAUUGAAAUUUGAGACCACCAACUGUGUGGCUCCAAAUUUGAACUUUUAUUGGGCUGGUCCAGUUUGCUUAGUAAACAGAAAGUUCGCCUCUCGCGAUUUACAAUCCAUCUAUUUGUCUAUUAUCAGCUAGGAAAAAUGACUUGUCUCGUCCUUUAUAUUUUGGUGAAAAAUUAAUUUUAUUGUUUACUUUUAAUAUAAAGUAAAUUAGUCCCUCAUAUUUUAAAGUGAACCAAGUUAGUCUCAAAAUAACCUGAUAUAGUCAUAUGGAUCUUACACUUAAUCAACAUAAAAAGAAAAUAAAUUUAAAAUUAUAACAUAAAUUACAAUCCAUUUUUUCUAAAAAAAAUUAAAAAUUUUAAGAAAAUGACAUUAAGCUAACGUAGAAAGGAAAAAAAAUUAAAAUUCAUAUCAUAAAAGAAACCCCCAAGUUACAAAGUUUUAUAACUAAAAAAUUUUUAACUUUUUUUUAUAGAGAAUGGUUUGUUUUAGAUGUUAUAAUUUUUAAGUUUUCUCUUUUUUAGAGAGAAUAGUUUGUUUCAGGUGUUAUAAUUUUAGUUUCUUAAGAGAUAAUUGUUUAUUUUUUAUGUUACAAUUUUUAAUUUUUCCCUUUUUAUGUUGACUUAAUAAAAUUUCCUAAUGAAGUUUUAAUUUUUAAUUUUUUAAAAGAAAAGGGUUUUUUUGUUAUAAUUUUUAAUUUAUUUCAUUUUUUAUAUUGACUUAAUCACAUGUGCAUAUCAAACAUAGUUAGAUUUGGAAGAAAUUAAAGUGACUGUUUCAAUUUCACCCGUAAAAUCUAUAUCAGGUUGUCAUUUUGGGACUAACUUGCUUCAUUUUUAAAUAUGAGAAACUAAUUUGAUUCAUUUUAAAAAUGUAGAACAAAAAACAUUUUUUCCAAGAUGUGAUGAUUGAAAUUCAUCAGACCAUCAUAUUGACUUAGAAGAAAAUAAGAUGAAGGCAAAAGGUUAAUUGAUGAUUGAAGUUCACUAUAUUAUUGAAUGAAGACGGAAAAAAAAAGAAGAAAAAGUGGUUACGGAAAUGAAGGCAAAGCUGAAAACAGAAAAGAGCCCCAAUAUGCUCUGGAAUAUGAGGUGCGAUUUGGGGAGAAGGGGUUUUUGUCGAUGGUGUAGACAAUAUGCGUUUCCUUUUUUACCCACAAAUAAAGAGCAAGAUUAUACCACUCUUUCCACCCAAAAAAAAAAAAAAAAAGAAAAGAGAAACCACAUACACAGACACUCAAUUUUAUUUUAUUUUUACAGUCCUAAUGAAACUUUUAAUAACUGCCAAUAGCUUACUAUCUUCGAAAAAGCUUAGUAUCUUCUGAAAAAAAGGAAAAAAAACUCUCAUUUAUAGGCCUCAUAAAACCCUCCAAUACUUGCCAAUUGCCAUUGCUUUUUUUUUUUUUUUGUGUUAAAGGUUUUCUUCCCACUACAGCAAGUGGUUCUUGGAUGAACCCAAAUUUUGUAGGAGGCAAGAGGCUUGGGCCAAGAUAGGACUCGUAUAAGGACUUAAUGGGCAACACUUCUGUAGGUGAUUGGAGUGAUGGCUAAUAGAAUGACAAUCGCCAACUAAUCAUUGCUGUGUGAAAAAUGUCCUUUCCGCUUUAGUAUUAUACUAGUCUGGGGGCUGCGCCAUCCGCAGGGUAGGCAAAUGUAACCCCUGUUAAUAAUUUGUGUUUGUCUAGUAAUAUUUUGUAAAGUUUGUUUUGUAAAUAUUGAUGUAGGAAAUAAUUUUAUAAUAUGUAAAAUAAUUGUGAGCUAGUUAUUUUUGAAAAUUUAGAGAACAAUGCAACCAAGUAAAUAUAACAUACAUGUUGAAUGAAGGGAAAGAUAAAUGGCAUAACUGGAAAAUAAGGCACAACUAAGGCUAAACUAAUACACAUGAACAGCUAAGGUGUCCCAUCUCUGCGGCAACAAUGAUGCAAAAUAAAGAGGAACAAAGAACAAAUAAAAUUACAAAGGAAUCAACCAACUAUAGCAUGCAUCUUCUAGCGUCCUGAGUAAGGGAGAAACAGCAAAUGGCAUUACCAAAAAAUAAGGAACUAACUAAGGCUAAUGCUAAUCACAUGAGGAACUAUCAGGGAACCGAUGCAAAUGGACCGCAAUAGCCCAAAAAUAUCAAUCAAUACCGAAAUAACCAACGGAUACACUUUUACUGUUCAUUCAGCCAACUCUCACUUUUAUAUAGUUAGAUAGAUUAGAUUAGAUUUAGAGAAUUGUUAACGGCACUCUAUCUUUUUUGCUAGUGACAUUUCCAUUAUUAUUUUUAACAUAUGAUAUUUAUUUAUUAGACUAUAUGAUAAGUAAAAGAUGGGAAUGCGAUUAACAAAUAGUGAAGUGUGUUAAUAUUUCCCUUGUAUUUAACGGAUAACUAGAGUUUAAUACAUUAAACUUUGUCGUGCUUUAUGAGUAGUGACCUUUAAAUGUAGAAAAAAAUGUAUUGUUCUUUAGUACACUUAGUGAUGAUUAGAAAGAUAAAAACUUAGUGCUAAUAUGUAUUUUUAGUGAUAUUGUACAUAAAAGCGUGUUAAGGCAAAUUCUUAAAUUUUAGUUUCAUGGACAUAUACCCACAUUACUUUACUUCAAUCAAAAUUACAUAAUCAUCAAUCAUCACAAUCAACGCACUUUCAAAUACAAUUUGCAAGAGAAAUUUUUUUCCCCAUAAAUUUCUUAAUAAACUGUGUCAAGGGCAAAAUUUUUGAAUUUAACGGAAGAUAUUUCUUUCUUGUUAUAUGAGAUAAAUGUACUUGAUAAAUUUCUUUUUUUAUAUUAUUGAAAGGAUCUAUCACAUUUGAGAUCAAGUGAAGGUGUGUAUUUUAUUUUAUAUGUGUUUAACUUAGCCAAAGAGUCUCUUUCUUGAGUAAUUUAGUACAGUCAAUUUGUUCAAAAUGACAUCAUAUUUAUAUUAUGGAGUUAUAUAUGACUGUAGACAAUGGAAUUUUAAUUAAAUUCUAAAAAUUACCAUUGGUCUAUAAAAUAUUUUUAUCCAAUCGGAUAUUGCCAUAUGGCAUGUACACUUGGAAAGUUUGGUUAUUAAAUAGCCAAUUAUAUUCCUCCACGUGUCAAGUUGAGGUGUUCCAAACCAAUUCAAAUCGCAGGGGUAUCUUCACCAACCAAAUCAUAUCAUAUCACAUACCUAUUGGAUAAAUAUCUAAGUAUUUAUUUCUUAUUAAAGGGAUAAUAUUUAGAGUUAUUUAAUCCAAGUAUAUCUCUUAUAUACUGCAAUGGCCUGGCCAGUAAAAUAGCGCCACGUCACGUGUCCCCGCAAGUCUAGCCAAUCGAGAAAUUACUUAUCUCUUUAUUAAUGAAGAGAUAAUAUUUAACUAGCACAGUCCUAAUAUGACUGUACGUCUUGCUAGGCAAGUAGAGUGGUGUACAUGAUUUCAACCUCCACCUCUUGCUACAACUAUAAAUAGAGGUCUCUCAACCAAGUUAAGGGGACACAGAGAUAUCAAGAAGCAUCUCAUACACUCAAGUAUUGAAGCUUCAAGCUACGAAGGUCUGGGUCUCAAAGCUCCUCAAGUCUUCCGCAUAUCAAGGCUUGAGCCUUCAAGUAUUUUCAAAUCCUUCAAAUCUUCCAUAUCAAGAUUUGAAGGAGUCGGUGGUUGAUCCAAGAACAAGCUGCGAAGCCCUUGGAUUGGUGUUCGAGGAGAAGAAUCGAAGGAAGCUCUCCAUAAGUUCGAGAAAACCCCAGAGAUUGUACCUACAUAUUUUUCUAAAUUUAUAUAUCAUACAUUUGUCGUGUAUUUUUCGUGUCGUUUUGCAGACUUGAAAUUUUUAUCGCGUACAAUGACAUGUUGCGAAAAGAAAAGAAAAAGUUGGCUAGUAACAUCUUGAAAACAUAGAAUGUAAAAGAAAAGGCCAUAAAUAAAAUACUUUGUUUUGUUGUGAAACUAUAUCUAAUCUCUGUUAGCAUUCAUCAACUUUAGAAUAACGUAGCUUGGAAUUUAAAAUGGUGCUAUUAAAAUCAUGUUAACACUUUGAAUAAAUUAUAAAUGAGCUCCCCUAUUGUUUAAUGCUCGUUUGUAUAAUCCUUUACUAGUUACAAAAUCAAUAAAUGACCUCCACUACUUGAGCUGCUGGAAGUCAUCCCCUGCAAAGAAGUCACUGAAAAUGUCAAGGCUACCCCAUUAAAAGGCGCCACAAAAAUUCUGAAGGUCUCUAUUUUCUUCCAUUGGCUUCUUAGUUUCUACUUUCUAUUACAAAGGUAUUAGGGAGGACAACUUCCAAUAGUUUGAUACUUUCGAAGGGUCUACGUGUAACUUUUGAAACAUAAGAGAUCGUGUGAUAAACUUUAAAUUGCAGUGAUUUAAAAAGGUAGGUUCCAUUAGUUUGAUACUUUCAAGGGGGUUGCACGUAAUUUUUUGAAAUAUAAGAAAAUCAUGUGAAAAAACACUAAAUUAUAGAUCAUUAAAAAAAUUUACCCCUAAUUCUUUCUAAUAUGGUAAAUACACAUUGAAUCAUUCCAUAAGCUCUUACACAUGCACUGAAAGAAAAAGGGGGCAAGGUGGAGAGGAAAUUUAAUGACACAAAACCCCCUAAUGUUUUGCGGUAUUAACACUUUCCUACCCAUGACAAAGAGAUUCUAUGCUCUGCUAUUAUAACUUUUGAAACACACACAACAAUUGCUGAUUAUGUCAACUGGUUAGUUUUACAUAUUAUCGUCUCUUGAAUGAAAACAAAGAAGAUGCUUGAGAUUAGGACAAAUGGGAAGAACUCCAGCUUAUGUAAUGUUAAGCAGACUGUAAAUUGACCAUUUCAUUUGCGCCUCACAACAUCUGUUUCUGAUUGUUGGGACUUCAGUUGUGGAAAAAAUCUAAGAGGGUUGUCGGAAUAGUGGUCUGACCCAAGAGGCACGAGAAACUAGGGCUAUCGAUCGAGCCUAAUGAGUCGGAUUUUCAUGAGCUUGAGUUCAACUCAUUUAAUUUAUAAUAUUUUUGGUCUUCGAGCUAUAAGUUUCGGGUUAAUAUAUGUGAAAUUCAUAUUUAACUCACAUAAUAUUCGGACUAUAAGCCUUAUUUAGGUUUAACCCAAGCUCACUUAUUACCUUAAUUUUCUAUCUUAAUAUAAUUACUAUAACUAUUAAGUUGUAAAACUAAUUUAACAUUUACAAGACUAUAAUAUUAAAACUAAGCACGAACAAAUAAUAAUUCUUCAAAAGUACAUAAACCAAAAAAUUUUCAACAAUAUUUAUAUUUAAUUCAUUCAAAAUACAUGAAAAAUAGUAAUAAAACAUGCGGUCAUAAGCCAAUACAUCUUUGAAAGUUGAAACUUUUUUAUAAUCUUGUGAUUUGAAUCCAAACAUGCUUGAUGAUUUGUGUUUCUAGAACAUAAAGAAAUCAACUAAUAUUAUACCAAUACAAAAAUUUACUAAACCAAUAAGAAAGGUAGAGAUUCAGUUAUGCAUUAUUAAUAUUGGCUCUGAAGAAAGCUCAUAGAAGAGUCUUCAGAUGUAUUUUUGUAAUUUGUAAUUUAUAUAUAUUUAGUAUUUAGUAAAAUUAUAUUUGGAUAUAUAAUUAUACAUAAUAUCAAAAUAUAAAUAUUAUAUAUAUAGGUAAGUAAAGGGUCGGGCCUAUAUCGGGUUUGAGCCUAUUGAGACCUAAAUUCGACUCAUAUUUAAUUCGAGCCUAAUUUUUAGGCUCAAUCUCAUACCGGCUCACUAAAAGGUCGGGCUAAUUGGACUUUUUGUCAAGCCGAACAAGCCGCGCACGGGCUGGCCCAGCCCCAUUGACAGUCCUACAAGAAACCAUUGUCCUUAAGGAUAAAAAUGUACCCAAAUAAUAAUAAUAAUAAUAAAUAAAAGGAAAAUGACAAUCUACUUUGACUACUUUGUUCUGCCCAUUUUCUAGUUCUUGAGAAAUAAAACGAGGACAUAUUUAUAUUUGGAAGUUUUCAAGCACAUCAAACUUAAAGGAAUUUAACAACUCAUAUAAAGGCUGUACUAUUACUUCAAAUCCUUUUCUAAUGUUAUUGAGGAUAUUUGUGUGACAUCAAUGUUUCGGUUUUAUAUUAAACAGAGAAACUUAUUGUAUUGAAUUUUCUUAUGAAACAGACUUGGAUUAGGAAGACGCUACAUAAAUGUUAAUUUGUAAAAGAGAAAAGUAAACUGAACAAGAAAUCUCAAAAACAAGAAAGCUGGUUUUAUCUCAAAAAAGAAAUGCAAAAGAAAUUUGUGUUAGGAAAUAUUCAUGAUUCUAAACUUCUAUGAACCCAACUAUAAUGAUGCGAGAAUGGAUCAAACAUCUAUUAAGUUGUAUGACAGCAUUAUGGGAAGACUUUUAAAGCAAAAUUGAAGGAAAAUUUCUUGAAUGGGUUUAUACAGGAAUGGGAGGCAGUUUUGAGGAUAAUAUUAGUUAUUUAGUCUAACUAAGUUCGACUCAAGAAAGAAAUGUGUUGUCAUUAUUAUGGCUGCCAGUGAGAUUCAAUAACAUAAUUGUGAUUGGUAACCUCUGUUUUGAAACUCGGACCGGACCGGCCGGUCGAACCGGGAACCGAUCAAGUGUCCGGUCCGAGUCAUGGUAGAAAACCGGAAAUUUAAAGCCCGGUCAAAGACGGUCAAAAAUCGGGUUUGACCGGGAAAAAACCGAUUUUUCCGGUUCAAUGGUUUCAUGUGGCCGAGACUAGUUAGUCAGCAGUCAGCACCUCGAUAAUCUAUAAAGGUGAGCGUUUAAGGUGGGACCUACGUGUCCUCGUCUCGCAGGCACCAGCUAAUUGUUAGACAAACCUGUUGUCACUUGUCAUCAGCUCAGUUUUUCUCAAUUGGCGCUAACACUACCACUGUUCGGUAGGAAUAGCAACGGGCAAAAAAAACUCAAUUUUUUCAAUAUUAUGUUUUGACCCCCUAAAUUGUUAAAACUUAUUAAUAUAUCUCAAAUAUUUCAUACUUUAUAAAUAUUGUCCUAAAAUUUGAUGUUAUUUUUCAAUUAAACUCAUAAUUUUAAUUCUAAACUUGUUAAUAUUUAUUAAAUAACAUAAAUUGCUACUUGAUUGUUCUAAUUUUUUUGUAUUUUCUUGUUAAAUAUAUUUGAAACAUCAAAUAUAUAUGAAUAUACCUUUAUUAAUAUUAAUAUAUUAUUAGAUAUUUUAUAUAUAAUAUUUUAAUUUUUAAAUAAUUUUUAUUUAUGACGUCAUCCGGUUCGACCCCUAUCGACCCCCGGUCGAACCCAUUGACCCCUGACCCCUGAUCUCGGCCGAGUCGAUAUCCGGUCCGGUUCUGAAAACAUAGUUGGUAACUCCAUUUGUAUCUCACUCCAUUCUUUCCUUUUGUUCUGACAUUGGUCAAAGGCACUAAGAAUUUUACACUUCAAUAAUAGUGCAAAUGUAUUCAUGCUUAAGUGAUUGGGAGAUGGAUAAUCUUCCUAUGGAAACUAAGAUUUACUUCUUUUUUUUUGGGGUCAUUUCUGGUGAGGGCUUCAGAAGACUACCCUGUUGAGGAUAUUGUUUGUUGAAUAUUGUUUUUGGUUUAAUUGGGUUUCCUUGGUUUGGCAUAGUAUAGUCAGUUAGAUAGGAAGCUCCAAAUUCAUAUAUUUGCAUAGGAAAACUCAGGCGAAGCUAAAAUUAAUAAUUUGAGAUUCUCCAAUUGCGUUCUCAAGUACAUGCAAGUCGAAGUUCCAAAUUCAAACUUUCCUUUGCUUCUCCAGUAGAACCAAUUUCGAAUUCCAAUCUCACAAUAUUCGCCCUUUAUCAUGAUCAUGAUACGGCCUUUUUUCUUAUGCAAUUCAAAGUUUUUUUUUUUAGCUUUACUCUUCACAGAAUCUUGAUUUAUGCCCUUUUAACACCACCAAUUUAUUGCCCCAUUUUCUCAUUUCAAUAAUGGUCGCCCGAGAAGUUGUAGGAAUGGUAAACCGGUGAUGAAAUGGAAAGUAAUGAAGAAAUCAUUUUUCCAUAUACAAGAUUUAAGUGGUUCAAAUUCGAGGAGUUUUUUUAAAGUAGCAACAGACAAUCUACUGACUCUAAAGAGAAACAGGCCUUUGUUUUGCUUAAUUUGUUGGUUGUCUUGGACCUUUCCCUUGAAAGGAACGAUCCUAAUUUUCACCACUAAAUAUUUUGCUUGUAAUAUGAGCACGAGUUUAAAUGGCGUCAUGAUCACAGGAGAUUGUCUAAGCCCGAAUGAAGACUUCAGAAUGUGGAGAUUGAAUUAAUUCAUACGAUUACUGAAGGUUUUUCAGAAGAAAUGCUGGUUUUUAAAGUAUGGAUUAUUGAAGUUCCUAACAAGAAAAGCGUGGUUUUUCCACAAUAAUACAAGUCUCAGCCAUUUCUCCUUCCUCGACCAGAGUCAUCAAAUCAAGAUUUUUAUUAUUUUUUUUAAAUAAAGGAAGGUUUUUUGCAGUCGGGAACUGGUAAACUUAUCUAGACUAGAAUAAGUGGUUAUGAAGAAAAGAGCAUUGAUAAUUAGUCUGCAUAGAAAUGGAACGCUUCCUCGACAAACUUUAGAUGCCUUUGCAUUUGCAUUUUCACUUCUCAAUUAUUGUAACUUUAGAUGCUUUUCAAUCAUUGUUUUUGCUUGGGCCUUCAUCAUUUUUUUUUUUUUUGGUUGUUGGAAAAUAUAUGAAUGGUUGUUCCACCUAAGAUAUGUCCACAACAAUGAAAUUAUAACAAAAAAAACGAGAAUUACGUGAAAUUGUUGUUUUGGCAACUUUUAUCUAAUUGGUAAGUCAUAUUAACUUAAUAUUUUUGACAUUUAUAUGUCACAAACCUUACAAAUUUGGAUGCUUUUGCAUUGGCAUUUUCACUUUAACUUUCUCAACCAUCGUUGUUUUCUGAUUGAAUGCUGGGGCCUUCAACUUUUUUGAUUGUGGACAAUAUCUCAAUGAUUGUUGCAUUCGCGAAGGACAAUUAUUAAUUUCCAAGUUAAAAUUGUUAAAAGCAAAAUAAGAACUAUAAUUGCUCUUUGGAAACAUUAAUUUCAUUAGUUUAUCCUUGGAAAAUGAACUUGAAAUAUACUUUGGUCUUAAUUAUUGGUCCUCAAGAACUCGAAUUAAAAUAGACAUCUUAUUUUCUUUGGUUUUCUCAAGAGUUGGGGGCGACAAACCUUAUUUGGAUUGUAUAUAUGAAAUUAAUUGACUCGACAAUUUUACAUUGAGUAUUUUCAUUAGCCAAAAACUAAGUUAUGUUUUGCAAACAUAUAUGUUAUGUUUUGCUUUUUGGCUCAAUAAUCAGGCUUGUUAUUUUAAAUUAACAAAUAAUUAUUAGGCCUUCUAAAUGAUUAUAAUGGGGCGGAUUUGUCCAAAAAGCUCCCCUGCCCCCGCCCCGAUACCUCGCCACCCUUACUCGCGCCCCAAACCCACUCCAACUUCUAUGAUUUCUUGGCCGAAGGACACAUAUCAUGUUUGUCAAAGAAGUCCAACUGCCAAUUCAGGCCGACUGGCAAGAAAAACGCUCUAUCAAUUUGAUUCUAGCCCAAGCCCCAGUAAACCAAGAAAAGUAGAUAGCCAUUGGUGUUCACCCAGUGAAAUGCAAAAUCGGAUCCUGGAAAAUCUGAAAGAAGAAGAAACAAUGAUUCCAUUGCUUAAACCUCAAAGCGAUUUUCUGUGCUCAGACAUACUAUGGUAUAAAGCUUCAUUUCUUUUACAUAAAAGUCAUUAUUUUCCUUUGUUAGCAAAUCAGCAAUAAAACUGAACUCUCCCUCCAAGAUGCCUUUACACAUUGGCAAUUCCAGCUAUACAUAUGGCGGCUGGUCCUGAAGAAGUCGAAUAAUACAAAUUGAAUGCCACGAAUUGCUGAUCCCAAUACGCAUGAAAGAUGAAUUAGAUGGCAAUCUGAGGCAAAUGAAUACGCUACCAGCUACAUGUAAGGCGGUGAAAUUGGAUAGAAAUUUCAACCCAUAGAACCAACUAGCACAAGUAGCAGAAAUAUGAUGAAGGAAGCUGGACUGCGACACACACUUAAUAAGCAUCACAUAAUCUAAUUCUUAAAAACUCUUGCAAAAUGGCAAACCCAAGAAAAUCUUGUGCAAAAUAAGGCGUGACAGUCUGAUUGAUGCGAUACCAAAGUGAGUUUAUCAUUGCGAUUCAACCAGGAACUUGACAUUAGUUUCAUUAAGUUAGCAGAGAAGAUAAUGAAGACUGAAGAGCAGAGCCAAUCGAAACUCUUAAAAUUGAGAACUAUAGGUCAAGGCUUCAUUAAACAGGUGAUUGGAAAUGGACAGAAAACCAACUUUUGGUGUGAUCGAUGGCACCCUCUGAGAACUUGCUUUUCUGCACUUCUCUGAGAACUUGCUUGCUGGCUUCAAUCCAUCGAAGUCUGAUCCUGCAGCAAAAUGUUUCUGUGACGGUGCUUGGAAAUGGCCUAGUGGGAGGAAGUCUAAUGUGGAAGUUAGAAGGCUUCGACAGCUCACUUCUUGUCAACCAGCUCUUAAUCCAAAGGAGAGAGAUGUCGCUGUGUGGGCACCCUGCAACUCAGGCGUGUAUAAUGUCAAGUCUGCUUUACAAAUUCUUAGGCUUGCAUCACCUGAAGUCCCCAGGUACAUGCUGGUAUUGGGACAAGGGAUAAAUCCCUAAGUUCUCUUUUAUUCCAUGGGUGCUGUGUAGAAAAAGGCUGAACACUAAAGACAGAAUGAGGAAAUGUGGUUCUUUUGCAUGCUCUGUAUCAGCAGCGGUGUGGAGUAAAGUUCUGUCCAUGUGCCUGUCCCCUAGGAGGCCCCAACUGUGGUCUUCAGAACUGUCCUGGAUAUGUGAACAUUGGAAAUCCCCUUCGCUCAUUGACAGGUUUCGCAGAACAGCCUUGGCUGUCUCAACAUACUACAUCUGCAAAGCAAGAAAUCUGGUGAUCUUCCAAUAGGAAACAGUAACCUCCACGGGUAUAGUUGCCGAAAUUAUAGAUACUUCUAGACACUAGUAAUAGUUCACGUGCUUUGCACGUUAUUGUAAUAUCUUAAAAUGUAUUAUUCUUUAGAUACUAAAACUUUUUUAUGAAAUUUUGAUCACCAACAUCAUAAUAAUAAUAUUUUUAUAUUAUUUAUUUUUUUAAGCUAGUUACUUUUAAAAUUUUUAUUAAAUGAAAAGAGACAGAAAACAUUCCAAUGUAGUUGACAUAUCGUUUAGGAUUAAAUUUGAAAUUAUGACCCAAACACUUUUUAAUUUAUAACUUGAACUCUAACAUAUCAAAUAUUGAUAAUAUCAUGUUUUACCAAAAUUAUUGUAUAUUCAUGAUUCUAUUGCAUAUAAACUACAAUCAUCACAAUUGUUUAUAAAUGAAGAAUAUAAUUAAGUUAGAAAAUUAAACAUACAUGUAAUUUGAAUUCUUUGUAUUAUAUUAAUUUAGAGGUGGCAAUUUGUCCCAAGUCCCAAUGGGUUACCCAUGCCCAUGGGGACUUUGGGCGGGAUGGGUACUGAAAUUUGAUAUUGGGUUUAAAAUGGGACAAAUCCCAAUUGUACCCAUUAAUUGAUGGGAAAUCUUGGGAACUACUUGGGUACCCAUUGGGCUCAAAAAGCAAGGGCUCCGUUUGGAUUAGUUAUUUUUGGGGGGUGUUUUUGAAAUAUUUUAUUGUAGUAGUGUAUAUGAAAAAUUUUUACUAUAAAUUUUUUUUUUGAAAUAUUUGAUAUACUAAUAUAGAUGGGAUAUUUUUUGAAUUAUUGUAUAUUACUGUAAUAUUGUAUUUGAAAAACUUAUUUUUUGAAAAAAUAGCCAAUCCAAACGGAGUCUUAGAUUCAAAAAUUAUCUUUAACAAUUUUUAUAGUCAUACUAACGAAUAUAAUCUAGUAGUCUUCCUAGUCAAUAUCCACAAGAAUUUCCAGCAUUUCAGUCAAUUUAGACCUGUCAUCCUUGGACAAUGAUGAGAAUAAAUAUUCAACACCCUGAGUACCUUGACCAUCUUGAUAUAUGUUGGAAUAUGGUUGUAUAUCUAUUUUUUCCUUUAUUUGUUAAUCCAAUUUUUGGCGGGAAUCUUGAGUAUAAAGUACUUGCAUGUUUAUUUAAUAAAACUAAAAGAAAUUUAAUAAAUAAAAAAUAUUAAAUUUAUAUAAAAAAUAAAAAAUGAAUUAAAGGAAAAAAAAUAGGUAGAAAAUAGAUUUGGGUAUUGGGCGGGAUCAAUCUAAACCCAUCCCAAAGUGAUCCCGCCCAAGUUAGUCCCAAAACACGUAUGGGUAAGGUUGGGCCCAAACCCAUAUGACUCGAUUCCAUCUCAAACCCAAUCAAAUCCCGCCCAUCCCGCCCAUUUUGCCACCUCUAUAUUAAUUCUAUUUUUGUCAAUAAUGGAGUCAAAAUGAUCCACCACGUAAAGUUUUUUUGGUUUGUACAUUCUAACAAUUGAAAUUUUAUAGAUAGAGAUAGUUGAAGUUUUUUCUAUUUUGCUUUUCUUUUAUUCAUGUUUUUAGCACAAUCCAAUGCGAAACAAAAGCAACAAGUCUACUUUUUUCAUAUAAGCACAAUAUUUUUGGUUUUAGUAUUAGUUUUUUCUAUGAUCAUGGAAUUGGAAUGAGAAUUGUGACCAAUUAAUAAUUUUAAUAUUAAUUUUUUGGUGUUUUAUUUUUUAAUUGCCAACUUUUAAUCCAUAACCGCUAUCAUUAUUAUCAAUUAUUGGAAUGCACUAAAUAUGUCUAAUUACAAUUGUCACCAUAAAUGAAAUUUACUUAAUUUUAAAGCUUUUCAUUUCAUAACCGCUUCCAUUAUUCACUAAUAUUGCAAUACAAUAAAUAUAUGUAAUCAUUAGAAAAAUAAGGGUAGUUUGAACAUCACCAAAAACAAUUUGGAUAUCAUUUCCAUUUUAUCAUUCUUCAUUUUAAAUUUACCCUUAUUAUAAUUCUUAUUUUAUCAUUAGGGAUGACUUCUGACUUGAUGGAUGGACUUGGUUUGCUCAAACCAAUAUUGUUUGUCUUCCCCGAGAUCAGAGUCAUUUUGAUGUUGUCUUUGGUAUUAUUUGAAUUGUAUUCUAGUUUUUUAAUUCAUUUGCUAUUUACUUUAUGUCAUUUUAUAAAUAGUUUACAAUUUUUUUUCAAUUUUUUUUGAUCGGUUGCUAUUAAUGAUGAUAGUGGUUUGUAUGGUUCUAUUUUAGAUUUUUUUCCAGUUUAAUACUACUAUUUUAGUUAUAAAGGAGUCAUCAAUUUUUGUAUAUUGAAAUUCCAUUGGGUGCAACAUAAAAAAUUCUUCAUAUUGGUAAAAAGAGCAUAAUUGUAAAAUUUACUCGUGAUAUAUGUAUGAAGACAUACAGAUGAAUAAGGGUUCACUUGUCCUUAUAUGUUUCUCCAUUUUCUAGAGAGUAUCUAUUUUUUGAGAUUGAUUUUUCUUCUUACAAUGACAACUAAUGACUCAUGAGAAAUUUUUCAUGCUUCAAUUAAGAAAUUUUGAUAUGUAUAAUAAUUGGGAAUGGAGUCCAAGAGUAGAUAAAUAGUUUUUAAUGAGCAAUUUUUAAUUCUAAUUACCAAUACUAUUAAAAUGUAAUUAAUUGGAGUGUUUUAUUUCUUGUAAUUAGUGCCAUAUUAAAAUACAAUAAUUCUAAUUAAAAGACAUGAGGGUAAUUUAGGGAUAACAAAAACUAAGAUAAAACCGUGCUUACACUUGCACUCCCUAAAACCAACAUUCAUACUUUUUAUAUAGUAAUGACAAUUAUUCUAAUUACCAAUACUAUUGAAAUGUAAUCAAUUGGAGUGUUUUAUUUUUUUUAAUUAGUGCCAUAUUAAAAUGCAAUAAUUCUAAUUAAAAGACAUGAGGGUAAUUUAGGGAUAACAAAAACUAAGAUAAAAAAGUGCUUACACUUGCACUUCCUAAAACCAACAUUCAUACUUUUUAUAUAGUGAUGAUAUUGGUGUUUCAUGGAGAUGGGUGCCACAGACUCACAACAACUGAUUAUUGAGUGGGGAAUCUCGGAUAAAUGCUUUGAGUAUAUAGCUGAUGUAAAGGUGGACUUUGCCACUGUGUAAGUACUGAUCCUUUCUAUCAAUAAAAAUGAACAAGUUUUGCUCCAAAAAAAAAAAAAGAAAACAAAAGAGCCAAUCCAUACAACCAAAGAGAUGCAGAGACUAUGAAGGUGCUCAAUUAGAAAGUAGGAGGAAAACUAAUAGUUGUUGUUGUAAUUGCAACUUUACAUAUCAUCUGAACAUCAGAUUAUGUCUAGAAAAGGGAAGCACGAAAAAUGUAGAUAUCUCUGGUCAAUAGUUAAAGAUACUACAACAGUUUUUGGCAACUAAGUAGAAGCUAAUUUCAGAAACGAUGAGUCUGAGACAGAAUAGCAAAUUCACUACAAUAAUCAGUGAAUUAUUAGUACUGCCACAAAUCAUGACUAAAACUGCUAUAGCUGAUUGACAGUUUGAAGGCACCAUAUUUGCAACAAGAAAUCAAGAAGCUUUGGCCAGCAGAGACAAAGGAAGUGAAAAAGGCAGUGCCAUGAUGAAAUUCAAGAAAGGAUUAUCCAAAGAAAAGGCGGUAAUUAGGAGCCGUCAAAAUGUCUGUCUGAGCUUUAAGCCUACUGUCACUGCAAAACAGAAAUACUAGAAUCGGGACACCACAUAGCAAAUCAUAAGGCUUAACUGGAAAUUGCAUGACAUUAAUGUUUAGCAAUUAUUCAGAAAGCUAAUUCAGUAUUUUUUUUUUCGCUGUUCUUUUCUAACCUAAAUUAGUAAGCAGAUAUCAAAUCUUCCUGCUCAGUCUACAAGUACCAGUAGUGCCAUAGACAUUACACCCGUUUGUGUUUGAAACACUGAGAAAAGUGUUGUUCUAUAACAAUAUAGUUAUAAUAUGCGGCACCAACAAGAAUGAAAGGCAGAGACAGGUCCAGACAGAGUUGCCAUGAAUGCGAACUCUUUCAGACCUGCAAGAUACAAACGUCUUAAACAUGACAAUUUUUUAAGGUUUUAGUUAACUCAUUGCAUAUUGAAGUGGUUAAAACCCAACUAUUAAGUAGUGGAAGAAGAUUAUCGGUACUGUAAAUUAUCAAACCACUAAUUUCACAACCAAGGGCAGUGAGAGUUCCCUCAAUUGUCCGUUCCGAUUUAUACCGAGGAGAAUCAGUAGAAUCCCAUCAUUCAAGAGACACGAUAGAGAAUGCCAAUAACCGGGUAAUUUGGAGCAAGAUGACAAUUACAUAUUCAAGAGGUGAAAGUUUAGAGCAAGCAUUUCCACUUGCUCCCUUCAGCAAUCAUAGCGUACAACUGGAAGCAGCAGACAUCUGGUAAAAGUAAACUGCUAGUUUUUAUUUAAAACAAAGAAUUUUGUACCGUAGACGUAAAUACAAAAAAGUUCUCAGCUUUGACAUUGUGCUUGAUUCUCCACAUCAAAAAAUCUGCUCUUGAAUAUCUGUAUUCCAUAAUUGAAUUUUAUAUGUGGUUAGUGACAGUGUUUUCUUCCCUGAACAAAGCAUUCAACAAACUAAAGUUUAACAGUUGCAUAAUUUCCCAAAUUGCCAAUUUACUUCCAUAAUUCACAGCUUAUAAGAUAGCACAAUUAACGAUUGAGAUCUAUGUGGUGGAACUCAGAAAAUGAGCCAUUAAGUCACAGCAAAAUCCGCAUAUAACUGCAACCAAAACACCAGCUAGUUCUAAUUUCUAACGACGAGCAGUAUGCCAGAGAUAGCUAAUUCAGUUACAAGUAAAUCAGCCCCUCAUUAUUGUGACUACAAAUUGCUGAAUCAUUUGGACAGUUCAAGGUGGAUUCACUAAGAGCAGCAAGUUGCAACAAGUAGACUUGACUAGCUUUUGAAAGGCUUCAAAACAUCCUGCUUAAACUUGACCAUGUUGGAAGAUACUCCACCAAGUACCAAGUUUUGUGCAACUUCAUUGCAUGAACAGUACAUCGUCCUCGGCUACCUCGGCAAUAUCUUCACAAUGACAAGAUUUCUUUUGUUUUACAUGUAGCAUAUUAAAAAUCAAAGCGAUUAAAAGUCAAAAUUGAGUAGUGAAAAAAGAGAAGCGUAUCUUAAAUUACCAGAAAUUUGAACCAAAACACCAAAGCGAUGAUGCGAAAACCCCUUGAUUGACCAUUGUCUUCAUGGCUAGAAAAUCAUAACCGAGAAAAAGUGAGUCAAAAAAACCAUUAUUUUGAGACCCAGAGCUAUUACUAAUCAAAUGGUUCAGAGAAGUAUCUAAAUGCAUUUUUGAGAGGUAAAAGUUACAGAGAAACCAUUUCAUCCCCUUAGAAUCACAAGUUUAAAGAGAGUGGGCUGACUUUAGCAAUAAUAUCUUACAAUCCACAGAACCAAAUAUGGAAAAUCAACAAAACUAGACCGCUCGUUGUUAUUAUAUGUCGAUGGGCUAUUUGUAGGACGUGCAGGCAAAAAAUUAUUGAGUUCCGGCAAUAUAUACGGUGCUGAAGAAGCUUCACAAUUCUAACGUAUGUUCAUCUAAGCAAGAGACCACAAAAAUCAUCUUGGGAAGCAUUGAAGAAAGGAGUGCGGCAAGAAUUGCUGGUCUAAAGGUGCACAAUGGAAUCCUCUCAAAUUCCAGCUAUUGCACUGCUAGACAACAUCCUUGGAAGCAGAUCCUCCUAAACUUUGCAACAUAAUCAUUUUAGUUACCAUCUAUAUCACCUCACAAAAGGUAACAAAUAGAAAUCUUCAUAAAAGUUUCAUUAGAGUAAGUUCUCCUAUAGAAACAAAAGAAGCUAUAAAUUAAGAAGUCUAAAAUCUUUGUCUGCGGUUGCUAGUUCACAAUUUUUUUUGCUUUGACAUACAUUCAUUUGAGGAUUUACUCCAUGAAUAUAACGCAUUAUCUUUUUCCUUUUUUUAAACAAAUCAAUAAGAAAAUAAAAUUUUCACAGUAAAUGGUGGUGUGUAUGCCUAAGUUUGAUGAAAGCCCUCGAGAAAGCUUGUUCCUGCAUUAUAACUAUGAAAGAACAGGAAGUUCUAUUACAUUUUCUUGUGAUGGAAUCUUACAAAAGUGAGUUUCUUUUGCCACUUUUACCCUAAAGAUAAUGAGCAGGUACUAGGACUCGAUACAAUGUAUGUAUAUUUUUUUGACUUAGAUAUGCUAACCUUGCGAUAACACUCGAAAGUUUGCAAAACCUCUUAAUGGUCAAUCUAUUUCUCUAGUAAUGGUCAUCAAACUGCCAAUAAAGAUCAUCAAAAAGUCCUGGUAAUGAUGGCUCUUCAAAAACAUCUGAUAAGCUGGGGCAAGAAAUUUUUUCCCAGUAGAUUGUACAGGCCAGCUGACAGUCAUUGAGCAAUCAAAACACAGACAGAAAACUUUCUGCAAUUGAGGUACAACUAGUUUCAAAGACAAAAAGCCAGGGAAAAAAUUAAGCAAAUUUAUAGUAAUAUAGCAGGUAAAUUCUUACUGCUGGACCUCGUGACUGAAAAGGCAGAUAGACAAUGUGCAAGCUCCGACAACAAGGAUAUCAAGUGCUGGCUUUAUAAGGCACCGAUACGAAAGAAAAAUUGCCAUCAUAAAUAUUUUUGUCCAAGCUACUGGCCUUGCAAUUCAAUGAGUAAUUAAUGGCCAAUGGAGAUAUCCACUUAAACCUUGAGCCUAAGAUCACUGCAAAAUAGAAAAUUCAAGCUCAGACAUUAUGUAGUAAACAAGAGAUCUAACAAAACAAUUUAGAUAAUUUCGUGAAGCUAUUGUUCUGUCAAUCCUACAAAAACAAAGUGUGGAACAGAAUAUUAACAGAGUUAUAGUAAUACAUCAAAGCACAGAACAGGAUAGGUGAUUGGUUUCAUGUUAAUCGACGGUUACAAGAGUAUUAUGUUGUUAGGAGUAAAUGAGAAGCACGGUAUUUUGAACUUGGCAAGAAAUGCUAAUGCCGCAGCUUUGAAAGAUAAUAAAUAGGACGAGAAAAAGGAAGAAGAGAAAAUUGUGAAGAAUAACCACGGUAACUUUUUAGUUUUUUUCAUAUAAUUCCUCCACACUUAAAUCAUUGCUUGUCCUCGAGCAAUAAAAAAUACAAACCAGCAAUAAUUUAAGAAGUGAAAUGAAUCAAGUGAACUUGAAACUCAAUCUCUCUUAACUUUGGCAAGCUUUGAUUAUGCAAUUUUUUCCUAUUAACCGUAAUACUCAUCAUAUCAUGUAAAAGAGAGAUAAUUACACUCAAAAUUCAACCAAACAAAUUUAAUCUCUCUAUCUUACCUAAUUUCACAAAUAACUAACAUAUAUAGUUACCUUGGAGAUUUUCUUCCUUCUAAAUGAGAUGUUUAGCUUCACAAACCUUAAGAGGGAACUAUUCACUUUCUUUUUUCUUUUAUUUACUCUUAAAAUUGUGAAAAUGCCUUUUGACGAAGAUUGAUAUUUUUAGAUGAAGAUUUCCGGUUACUCAAAACUUCACUUAUUACUCCCAAUUCCAAUACCUUUUGACGCGAAAGUCGAUAUUUGUAGAUAAAACUCUCGGUUACUCAGUAUAAAAAUUUAUUGAAUAUUUUUACCAUAAAAUCCCUCAAUAAGGUCACAUUUGGAAGAAAAAUAUUCUAGCAACUAUAUAAAUCAAUUACUUGUAAAAAUAAGUAAGAUGAGAGAUUUCAUUUACUAUGCAAAAUGUAGGCAUAAUUUUCUUUAUUUUACAAUAUAUACUUUCUUACAUGCAAUAAUUCUAGUCAUAUUAUAAUUGUUUCCAAGUCAAGUGAGAAUUGAAUUGUUCAAUUACUAAAAUCAUCUCACUUGUAUAGGAGAAUUUUAAAACAAAAGGGACAUGAACUUCUUGCACUUGUGGAUUUAAAUGAACAAUUUGUGAAAGACUUGGGGCAAAUUUUGAAAUUUGGACAAGAUUUUGAAAAAAUUUUGACAGAGUUUCUCUUUAAAAUUGGAUGAAACUUCCUGCCGGCAAACCCAAAAGCCAACAAUUUUAAGCACAAGACAAAUUUCUAAUAUCAUAUCCAAGCAUUUACCAUAUAAGCACCAAAGUGACUCCUACUUAACAGCAUUUCCUCCCCCACACUUAACAUACACAUUUUCCUCAAUGUGUAGGGAAAGCGAAGAAGAAAAAGUAAAAACAAGUUACUCCCCAAUUCAAUGGCUGAGAUCCAGCUCAAUCUUGAAUCACGAGCCAUCGACGAAUCUACAACCAUCUAUGAAAACUGCCACAAGUCCCAAAUGCAAGAUGAGAAGUUCAAGUUAAACUUGUACAAUAAAAAGAGUUAAAAUAAAAAACUACAAGGAAAUAUGAAAGCAAAAAAAAAAUGCAGCAAGAGGUCGGCGAGUCUUCUCCUUGCACAUCACAUCACUGUGGAAAAGUGCUAAAUGAUUCUUUCAUAUAUAGUGCUAAAUGCACAUCACAUUUUCUCCUUGCAGUGAUUCUUGUCCCUCCUCUUCUCUUCUUUCUCUCUUUAGUGAUUCUUAAAUAUAUAGUGUUCAAGAGAGUCAAAAAGUGCUAAAUAAGAUGACAUAAAAUUUCUUUUGCACUUUUCUAGAGUUUCUUGAGCAUGUGUAGCCUAAAUUCUGUGCAAGAAUUGAGCAGAAAAGAAGUGUGAAAAUAGGGCAAGUUGCAAAACAAGUUACAAAAAAAUAGGAGAGAAUAAGCAGGCUUGGAAUACGUGACCUCAACUCGUGUAUUCAGAGCCUGUGUUUUCUCUUUUGUUACGUUUUCUUGUGUCUUUCUAUCCAAUGCACUAAGAUCAUAAGCAAGAUGCCCCAAUGUUUGUUCAUGCAAUGAAACAAUAAUACUUGCAUUUGAUGCUCUUCUAAUUCCAAAUCAUCAUUGAAUCAGCCACUAAUGAAUUCAAAUGAAUUCGCCUCGAUCCAAUAUUGAUAAUUCUCCUCAAAUCCUACCAAUAUAACCACAUUUGUACGUUCAACUUCCUAAAUGAAUCUUGCAAAAGUUAAAGACUUAGAGAGCAAGUUACACCGUAAAAACCCUAAAUUAUACCAAAAAAUACGCACAUAAUACUACUUAAAAGAAUGUAUAAUACACUUAUCGAGAAGGUUGAUUAGAGUGGGAAGUGAAGAGAAGGCAAAGAUGUCUUAUGCGUAGGUAGCAAGCAAUCUUACAUGAUUGAAUUUGAUCUGAAGAUGAACUGUUAAUCGCUUAUUAAUAGGAGUUGAAUAUGAGAAAUUUUGGACCACUGGGAGUCGAGGCCGCUGCUCUCAGGAGUGCACUUUUCUUUUAACAGAGGAGAACCAUAAACCAGUAGAACUUUUAGUUUGGUGAGACUUCUCAUGGCAUCCUCAGAGGGUAAAUGUCGAAGCUCUUUGAAACCAAAUAAACAUAGGUAUUCAAGAGCAGCAAAGUUUCCGAACCAAUCUGGCAGAGCUUUUAUACCUCCAAAGUCAUGUAGCCGAAGUGACGUGAGAGUGGUCAAGUAUUGGAUCUGAUGUGGUAGGAACUCCAUGUGUGGCAACCCAAAUAAUUCUAGGUCACAUAGUAUGGAUGACAAAGAGGAGAAGGAUAUCAAUCCAGACCAAUCAAAUUCAUUGUAAAUUGAAGAAUUUUCAUGGUCAUCAUCAUCUGAGAAGGGACCAAUUUCAAGGCGAUUUAAGCUGGGUAGGAAACCAAAUCCUUUGGGCAUCAUACUUGUUUUCAGUUUGGGACACGCGUAUAAUUCCAACUCCAAAAGAGAAGGCGUUUGUUGCAAAUCAAGCGGAAAGGAGAUAAGCUUGUCGCAAUAAGCCACCUGAAGCUUUUGGAGAGAGAUACAAGACUGUAGCAUGUCACUGGGUAGACUCGUUAACCCACGGCAAAACCAAAUCACCAGCUCUUUAAGAAACGUAAAGUUUUGCAAGGGAAGGAGUUCUCUGCAUCUGUGGCAAUAAUAAAACUCCAAACGCGCUAACUUGGGAAGUGUUAUUGGCAAAUCCAUUGACCAUCGAGGAAAUUGAUCACCCAUAAAACGCUGAAUUACCAACUCCUCCAAAUUUGGAUGAGGCUUAAGGCCAUCUAACACAUCUUUGUCGUAGUUGUAGUUGUCACCUUCUCGAUCCCAAGCCAAGGCCCACACAAGUAUCAGCCUAAAUAGAUUUGCCUUUCCAAAUAGAUUUGCUUCCUCAGCCGCUUUCCUAUCCUUUACUAGUUGAAGAUUGCGUAUACUUAAACUGCCUUUGAGGUUUUUCAAGCAUCCAAGCUCUUCAAUUUGUCGACCCUUUUCUCGACCCACAUUAAAGAACUCUAGUGUCUGAAGGCAAGAUAGUCGUCUCAUCUCUAGCGGCAUUUGAAAUUUUUCAUCAAAGGUGUAAAAGUAGAGAUGUCUCAAGCUAAUCAAAUUGCACAUCCCCUUCGGAAGAUCUUUGACAUACAUGCUAUCUAGUGCCAAUGUCUGCAAAUUAUAAAGCUUGCAAAGGGAGUCUGGCAAAAUACAGAUUCUAGAACUCGAAAGGUUAACAUAUCGCAAAUGUGUCAAUUUGCCAAUAGUGAUCGGUAGCUCUUGAGUUGUUGCAUGAGACAAAUUCAAAACAUACAAGUUCUUCAACUUCAUUAACAUAUCACCAGAUAGGUCACCCUUUACAAACAAUGUACGAAGCGAAGUUGAUAGACUUUCCAAAAGUUUUUCUUUUUCUUCUCUGCCACCAGAUAAAUCUACCGCAAGGUAACGAAUAUUGUUAAUAACUUUAGUAGACUUUGACAUUGACUCUGCGAGGUCGUGCACUAGAUCAUGCAUCUUAUAAUAACGUGUUUCCUGAUAACUUUUGGUUUCUGCAAACAACGAACUCUGUAAUAAAAUUCUCAGACAAUUCAUUCCAAUUUCCUCCAUCAUCAUUUGGUUGUUGACAUCUGCUUGGAGCAAACCUUCUGCCAUCCAAAGUUCGAUUAGUAUAUCUCCUUUCAUCAUAGUAUCCUUAGGAAAUAUAGAACAAUAUGCAAAACAUUUCUUAAUGGAUGGAGAUGGUAAACAAUCAAAACUCAAUUUAAGUAUUUCCAUGACACCAUCUUCAUCUCCACUGAAAUUUGAAAGCUUAUUCUUCAAAACCAAUUGCCACUCCUCUUUUCUCUUCAUGCGCAAUAAACCUCCCAUUACACUUGCAGCCAGUGGUAGACCACCACAUUUUUUUAUAAUUUCCUUUUUCAUGACAUGCAAUUGUUUGAGAAUUUCUCCACCUGCAAUGGCUUUCUUUGUUAGGAUAGACCAACAAUCAUCAUCAGAUAGCUUUCCUAGCACAUAAGGAUCAUGUGUGGCCACAAUGGAUGCAGUUUGUUGUUUACGAGUAGUCACAACACACCAAUUUCCAUUAGUUGCAUUUAGCCCCAGUAAUGAACCAAAAAAAUCAUCCCACAAGGUAAGAUUUUCGGUCCAGACAUCAUCAAGAACAAGAAAAUUUUUUUUCCCACAAGUUAUUCUCGAAUUUCCUGGACGAUGACAUCCCUACUGGUCAUUUCAACAUUUCUUCUUGUGAGUGCUUCUAAAAUCAUUUUCAAAAGCCUGGUCACGUCAAAAUUGUCGGACACACAAACCCAAAUUUUUUUCUCAAAAUGGCUAUGAACUUGACUAUUUUUGUAUAUAGAUUGAGCUAAAGUUGUCUUUCCCAAUCCGCCCAUCCCAAGGAUGGGAAUUACAGAAACGGUUUUUCUUGACAAGCUUAGCAGGAUCUCCACCAGCCUUGUUUCAUCCUUAGCUCUUCCUACAACAUAGUGGCCAGCAAUAGAAUCCGUCUCUCUAUUUAGUGUGACUUUAGCAGUAGUAGAAGGGGGGAAACUUGCCCUUUGGAAUCUGAUCAGUCCAAAAUCAUUGGCUUCUUUAUUGAUCUUAUACAACUUCUUGUUGAUGUCCCUGAUCUUAGAGGCCAUUCUCCGUCGGAAAACAAUAUUAAUGUCAGAGGACAGGAUGAAGGAGCGUACCUUGUCCACGAGAUGGCGACGAAGAGCUUCAUAAUUCAGCUCGUCCAACAAAUUCUCGGCAUCAAACGCCACGGCUUCUAGCCUCUGGAGCCACAGUUGCACGGCCUUGUCAUGCAUUUGCUUUUCCUCAGCAUCAGCCAAGACAGCUUGGAUCAUGGCAACAGAUCCUUUCAGGGUCUCCAAAUCCUCCUUGAAUUGGAAUAACUUGCCAAUCCUUUCAUUGGCAAGGGAAAGUGUCUUCUCCAACGCUACCUCUAUUGUGGAAGCUAUAAUUGCAUCAGCCAUUCUUCUUGUUCCUUGGGUACAGUCUUCAGAUAAGAAUACUCUUUUGCAGUGGAAGGUUUUAGCUGUAGUUAGAAGCAGCAAGGAACUGCUUUGACUCAAACGGAAGUGACAAGAGUUAUGAGGAUUUUUUGGUGCAGCGCUUCUUUGACAAUCUGGGUCGGAUGCUUUUGCAACGGAAGUUGCUUGGCAUUUUCAGUUGAAAAUAAAAUAUAGUCAUUGCCGGGAUUCUACAUCUGCUUUUGAUCCACAUUCCACAUGCCUGGGGCCCCUAGUCGUGGAAAAUUCCACCCAAGAAGGAUAAGAAAUUGUGCUGAACAAUGAAAGGUCCAAAAUAAUUGUUUAGAUAAUUCAAAUUAAGCAAUUUCUUCUAAUUCAAAUUAAUGUUGUGCAUGUAUAGGAGGCACAAAAUGGUUUGGUGCACUAGCAAACAGAAGGGUACAUCUAAGGUUACUACAAGUUUUACGUUAAAGUGGGAGAUUUGUAAACCAAUUCAGAGUAAACAAAUGAUGUUGAGGAAAAAAUAUGUUAGUUGCAAUGCAAUCAUAAAAGCUAUGAUACAUUUGUGAAAAGAAGAAACAUUUAUUAAUUUAGUGCAGUCUAAUUACAAACCUAGAAAAAAAAAUAUACAUGAAUGAUCCGAAAGCGGGAACGGUGUCAUUUUACUCAAAUAAAAGUGUGAUCGAAUCAAGGAUUAUUUAAAUAAAAAAAUUAGAUUAAUAAUAUAAUACUUUUUGUAUUUUUAUAUAAUGCAUGUGAGACAGAAUGGUGGCUGGUAAAAUUAAAAAAAAGGUGAUGGAAUAAGUAUAAAUUGUUUUUUUCAUAUAUUUAUCUAAUGAUAAUAGUGACAGGGUAAAAAAACAAAGGUGAUAACAAUGAUAAGUGUGGUGAGUACUUCUUGCAAUUGAUUGCACCAUGCAAUCUAUAUUUUACAUUAGGUAAAUUUGAAAUUGGAUGAAUAGAAUUGAUUAGCACGCAAAACUUUCAAUGAAUGAAACAUGUAUUGUGCUUUUGUGUUAAUUUUGCAUUAGGUUAAUUUUGUCUGCAUUUAAUAUGUCAGUGUAUACACGUCUAUUGUGUCAGAACCUAAAUUGCAUGGCGUGUAUGGCACUAAAUUUCCAGUUCACCUUUCCUACUUAAUGCCUUGCUGAGGCCUCUACUCUGAUUGAGAAACCUUAUAACUGCUGGGGCCUUCUAUUGUGCAAAAAAUCUCAACAAAAUAAUGGUCUGACCCAAGAAGCACAAGAAAGUAUUGUCCUUAACAAUUAGAAUGUCAAAGAAAAAAAAGAGGGAAAUUGAUAGGUUGCAAUUUUAUCAUUUAUUUUAUUAUUAAUUUUCCCUAUUACCUGACCUGAUGUGAAUUAAUUAUUAGAUUCUACUCACUUUUCGUAAUUUACAUUUAUUUCAGGGAGUAGAACAAAAAUAUCACAAUCAAGACCAAUUUGACAGUUAUCGGAAAAGAGUUCAAAUAGCAGACAAUCAAGAGCAUUCUUGAAACAAAGAGAUGCGACCCUUUCUGGUAAUUUGUGAAAGACAGCAUAAAAGGAGAAGGAGGAACACAGGACUAGGCGUUCUUUCCCUUGGGGGGCUAGAGCCGCCGCACAGAGCCAGGCAUUAGAAUAGGACUUUUGAUAGAGGGAGGAGUAGAGGAUUUUUCCUCCUGAAGCUUAGUUUUCCUUUGACUUUUCCAUCGUAGCUUUUGAGGGGUAUCUUCCCACGCAUGUCAGAGAGCAAAAUUGGGGAGAACUUUAACUUUUCUACUUUUGAACUUUGAGUAGUCUUUUGUUCCUUCUUGUAUGUCGGACGAAUUGAAUUUCCCCAAUUUCAAAGCACGAUUGCCGCGACUUUUGCUACAAUUUUGUGUGGGUUUUUCAUACCAAAUAUGAAUUAAUCUCUUCGCUCUAAUCAAGGAGUAACGGAGGCUCUGGGUCGCCUAAAAAUUGUGAGAUCGUUUUAAUUUAAUCUUUUCCUUUUAUUUAUUGGUAUUUGCAUAUUCCCUGGUUGCAGUGCUUAUGGUUGUUUAAUUAAUUGAUUGUCUUGGAUCCGGAUAAUUAGUUAAUUUAAUAAUCUAUUGUCAAUUGAGGUGUUAAAUCCGUAAUUGUUUAAUUACCUCAAAAUAGUGACAACUGGCAUGAUUAGAUUUGUGUCAGGGGGAUGCGCGGGCUAAUCUGAAAUAACCCUGGUAGUGCGUUAUUUGGUUAGAAUAGGGCUCCUCUAAUUUGUAAGGCAAUUGGGGAAUUAAAUCUUAUGGGCGUACCUAAGAUUAUUUCUCAAUUAGGGCAGUGAUUAACGGGCGUACCUUAAUCACCGACACAGUAAGGAGGGGUUGACUGUCAUCGCUUGUUUGGUAGUUAUAACCUAUUUAUUGAUAAAUAAUUGGGAUUGCCUUUGCGUCGAUGAUCAAUUAGAUGAACCAUUGCUGAAGUUAUUCCUUGGCUAGAUCCUUAAUUAUCACUCAUUUGAUUUUAGUAAUUUGUUACUUAAUUUUUAGUAGUUUUUUUUAGAUUUUAUUUGAAUUUCUUCGAUUGUCACCUUCUGCACAAAAACACCCCCCUUGUCACUGUGAAUUUGAAAAGAAACAAUUACUCCCAAUCCCUGUGGAUUCGACCCUGCUUACCGCUAUCUACAGAAAUUUAUUUUAGUUUGAGCAGGUUUUAUUAUUGCGCAGGCUUCGACACCCUGUCAAUUUUUGGCGCCGUUGCCGCAGACUGGUGCCAAAUUAAUUUGUUUCUUUUUGAGUUCAUCUUGUUUUUAUUUUUUUUUAUUUAUUUUUUUUUCUCUUAUUUUUUUUUUAUAUAGUUUAUGGCUUCUAACACUUCGUACUUUGGUGAUAUACUGGAUUUUCUUUCCGGGAAAGGCGAUGAGACUAGUUUUUUCGCUAAAUCUGCAUACUCAGAGGCACUAAACUCUAUUAGAGAAAGAAUGGCUGCUGUAACCUGUAAAAUUUGUUAUGCCAGGGAUCAUUCAACCGGUAUGUGCCCCGAAUAUCAAGAUACUCUGAGUGUCCCAUUCAAUAAUUAUGGAGAUUUUUCACCCUGGUCUCAAACGUGGUAUAACCCUAAUCCAAACGGGUAUGAUCAAGGAUGGUGGGAUAACUCCAAUUAUAAUUAUUCAACGGGGCCAAUGAAUUUUCAGCAGUAUGAGUCUCAAGAAUCGUCAUCUAUGUCAGGUAUAUCUCUUGAAGAAAUAGUUGAACCAAUAGCUACUAAUACAUACCAAUUCAAACAGGAGACACAAAUGAGGAAUGAGAUGAUGAAGGAUACAAUGAGUUAUCUGGCAGAUCAACUAUGUCUAUUGACAUCCAGAAUAAAUCGAUUGGCUUCUCAAAUGGAAGAAUUGCCCUCGGAAACCAUUGUUGAUCUAGAAGAAAAUGAGAGUGCAAUUUGCUUGACUGGUGAUGAGGAGAUGCAAGAGUGUCAAAAUGAGAAAUCUACAGAUGCAGUUGAAAAAGAAGCCGAAAAGGAAGAAAUGGAACCCCAACCGCAACCCAUUCAAGUGAACGAAUCCAGUGAACAAUCUCCAAAUGCGGUGACAUCUUCUCCAUUCCUUAAUCAAUAUUUUCCUGACUCCUAUUCUUCAAUUCCUGUUACUGAAAUUGAUUUUAUUAUACCAGAAAAUUUGAAAUUUCAUGACAGGAAUAAGUUAAGAGUGGCAAUGAAAAAAUAUCUUGAACCGAUGAAUGCGUGUGGUGGAGGAGUGAAUGGAGAAUACAAAUUAUCGUUGACUUGUUUGGCGCCAUUUACUAGUCUAUGGAAGCUCGUAACUCGUAUGUCCAAGGAUUACUCUAUUUACGAGAGCUAUCAGGACUAUAUAGAGGAUGAAGCAUUAAGACGAGCCACACGAUUUUAUCCUCCAUGAACAAAACAUGAUAAUGUCUAGCCAAAGACAUUAAAGAGAGGCGCUCAUUGGGAGGCAACCCAAUUGUUUCUUUUAAUUAUUUGUUUGAUUUCGUGUGAUAGUUUAAAUAUGUUUUCCUUGAGUUUAAUUGGUUUUGGGUCUGAAAUUUUUGUUUUUGGUGAGUUGUAGGUGUCUAUCUGACUCGGCAUGCCCGCGUCAUGUUGCAGGAAAAGCUCACGGUCAGAGAGCUCUCUUGCCCUCAUGACGUGCCCGCGUCACGUUCGCGGGAAAGGUAAGGAUUCUAAAAAAAAAAAAAAAAAAAAAAAUCUUAUCACCGUAGCUUUAGUUUCCAAAAUUCAAAAAAAAAAAUUAAAAAAAUUGAUUUCCAUAGAAAAAAAAGAGAAAAAAAACCAAAAAAAAAAAAAGAAAAGAAACAAAAAUAUUUCUCACGAUAGCUCAAAUGGAACCUAAAAAAAAAAAAAAAUCUUUUUUUUCUUUUUCUUUUUCCUUCUUUUCUUUCUUUCUUUUCUUUCUUUUUCUUUCUUCUUCUUCUUUCUUUCUUUUUUCUUCUUCUCCGCUACGUCUUCUUUCCCAUUUUGGCCGCCUCUUCAAUCGCGCGCCGCCCACUUGCCCGCGUGACCGCUGCUGCCUUCCACAACCACCUCGCACGUCCUCUCUCCUCUUCGCGAGCCACCGCCACCAAAUUUUUGGUGUAAUUUCAUUUUUUAGUUUUUAUUUGUCGUGUUCAUUUUUAGUUUUUAGUUUCCAGUUUUAUUUUUAUUUUUAAGUUUUAUCAUAGAAUUUGUUGAAAAAGAAAAAAGAGAAAAAGAAAAGCAUUCAAAAAAAUAUGUUUUAGUCAUUUUGUUUUUAUUCAAUGCUUUCUUGAAAGAAAAAUGAAAAUGAAAAUAAAAAAAAAAGGGAAAAAGGAAAUUUGUUCACAAAAAUAUAUUUAUUUCUUUAAAUGCAACCUUUUUGCACUUUAGUUAUUUUUAUUAAGUUAUUUUGAGAAAAAGAAAAUGAUGAAAAAUGAAAAAUGAAACAAAAAGAUGGAAAAGUGGCCAUUUUUGUUGUUUUUAGUUGUUUAGUUUUUAAAUUAUUUUCAUUAUUAUUAUUAUUAUUAUUACCUGGUUUUGGCAAUUUGUUAUUAUUAUUAUUAUUUAUAUCAUUUCUGUAUUUAUUAAGUUAUUAAGUUCAAAAAAAAAAAAAAAUGAUACGCGGCAGCAAGCUGCGUUUUACGCAGCUUGCAAAGGAAAUCUGGGACGGCUCCUAAAGCUGCAAAUACAGGAAAAGGACUAGAGGUUUUUAGGGUUUGGGGGUCUGAUAUAUAGCAAAAAGAAAGGUAGCCGCAACAGAGGUUUUAAGGGGAACCAACGGGGGAUAGAAACACAAGCAAAAAGGAAAAGAAAGAAAAAGAGCCGAGAGUGAAAAGAGAGGAAAGAUUGAUGGUGACGGCAGGAAGUGAGCCAGAAGCUUUGUGAAGUAAGAGGGAAAAGAAGCAAAGGAAGGACUGAGUAGAGUUGAUGGCUGUGAGGGUUUAGAAACGGAGAGUUGAACGGGAAAGGGAAAAAGAGAAAAUAGCAAAGGGAAGCUAGCUGGUGGCUGGGCAAGAGGAAAAAACGCAGAAAAGAAAACAGAGGGGGGGGGGAGGUUUCGGUUUCAAUGAUCGGCGAGGAGAAAAACUUGCAACCACCACAGCAGCCAUCUCAACUCCAUCCGUUGCCUGCCCAGACUCCUUUUCAUGCUAUCAGCCCAAGCCACCACAAACCUCCAUAACCACCGCCUACAAAUGACCACCUCCAAGUUCUGUCAUCGCCACCACCGCACGCAACUUCCAUCGAGGUCACCAGACAGCAGCCACCUUUUCUUCUCUAGCGUGACCAACGAGCGGUCAACUGCCUCCCAAGAGGUCCUCCAAGGACCACCACAUCAAGGAGGAAGAAAAGCCACCACCAGUCCGCUACCAUCACUAGAACUUCCCACCACUGCCUGAAAAUAAUUUCACGAAGCAGGCGCAGGUAAGCUGUCCUUUUCUUUUAAAAAUUCUCGGUUCUGUUUAAGCUCUCAGAGCAUGUCUGCCGUGGGUUUUGAGGGGAUAGCAUCUGGGUUUGGUUAAGGACAUCAAUAGGGCUCGCUUGAUUUGUUUCAUAUAGAUGUCCUGGUUGAAUGAUGAAGUUUGAAGAAAGAACUAAAAAUUGCAGAAUGUUGAUUCCCUGUAAUUGCAUGAACUUCUGGUAUCUAAACCUAAAUUUGUAUGGUGAAAAAUGGAAAACAUGCUUGUGAACUUGUUACUUUGCUCCUAGUUGUUGUUAGUUGAGCUGUUAGUAGUGUUUGGAUAGCAAAGAAUUGCAGCAAAAGGAAACUCAAAUGCUGCAGACAUUUUUUUGUUAACUGUCGGCUCACAUUCUCGUUUGUUCCCUUGCUUGUUUUCUUCUUGUAAUGAUUUAAAUCUGUCCCUUGUGCCUUGAAGUCUCCUCCCUUGUUGCCCAAGACCGUGAAUUCCUAUGUUAGCUGGAGAGUUUUUUUAUUUAUUUGCUGUGCUACAGUUUUGCUGCUCAUGAAGUUGUCAGCUCUGCUUCUAAAGCUGUUACAUAACAACCCAUUGGCAUGAUAGCUGCCGUUAGUUUUGCAUUCGGUGUGUGAUUUUGUAUGCGUGAGGGAGUAUUUGGAAUUACAAUUUGGGUAGGAAUUUGAGGUUGGUUUUAAGUUUGAAACGUUUAUCGACAUCUCGAGUGCAUGAAAGUUUGCUGCAACAGGUCUUAAGUUCUGUUUUAUUGCAGCAAUGUUGGCAGAGUUGUUUUUUUGCUGAUGACUAAAGUUUUGUUAGCUAAAUUUGUCUUCAAAUCUGUGGGUUGUUGGAAAGUGAUGCCACUGUGUGCGUUUGCUGCAUUUUGUUGCAGCAAAACAUGGCAUAAUAACAGGCCAUAGCACCAACUUUGCUAAGUAUUCACUGCUUCAAGUUUUUACUGAUUCUAUGUUCAGUUUUCCUUGUUGUUUUCAGUAAAGUAAACAUUGGUUUUUGGUUGUUUAGUUUAGGAUUUUGAUUUCUGGUAAAGAUGUCUAGAUUGGAGCCAUGCUUUCGGACCAUAAAUAUGCAUUUGUAAAUGGAGAGGCAUCAAACUUUCGCCGGCAGAAAGCUUCUUCAUGCAUUCUUGCUUGAAGUUUUUUUCUAUGUUUGCAUGAUUUCCUCCUAUGAUUUUGCUAGUUCGGAUGUCAAGUUCAUGUUUUGUGUUGUUUGGUUCAAAAUUUGAUGUUGAAUCAAGAAAGCCUUGGGUUAAGGUAUGAGAUCAAAUCCGGGUUUAGUGUUUGAAAGUGGAACAAAGGUGCAGCAAUUUCGUUUGCUUUGUUGAAGAAUGUUCUUUCACGAUGGUUUGCAUGCAUUUGCAUGAAUAAUCUCCAGAUUUUACACUUUGGCCCCCAAGUCUCUCCUUGUUCCACUAGGACCCAAUCAAUUAAAGAAUUUCAUCAAAUUGGUCCUUGAUAAUUUUAAUUUUUGCAACUUCAUUGCUUGUUUGCUUCAAUUAACUACCAUGCUUUGUUUCAAUUGCAUUUAAUUCAUGACUUUAGGGGCUUUAUGACCAAGUGAGCUUGUGUUUGCCUAUUUUCUUUAAUUUUCUCAAAUAAAUUGGUACCUUGACCAUUUCUUUUAUUUUGGAGGAUAAAUAAGUGAUUUCACUUCAUUGGGGCCCAAUUGCAAGGGAGGUAACCUCUAUCUCCUUGAAUUUCAUUUCUCCUAUGUGAUCCUACGUGUUAUGUGAAUAUGCAUGUCUACUCCGCUUUCCUUACCUCCUUGCGUGCAUUUACUUGCUUUCACUUUUAUUUAAGUUUUAUGGGGUAUGUGUACACCUCUUGGCUUGUAAUAGAUAGGGCUCGGAGAGCAUCUGGUCCAUUUCCCCUUUCCCUUUAUGUUUUUAUGGGGUAUGUGUACACCUCUUGGCUUGUAAUAGAUAGGGCUCGUAGAGCAUCUGGUCCAUUUCCCCUUCCCCUUGGUUGCUUGUUUUUGUUGCUACAUGUUUAAUUGCUUUAAUAGGCUCUUGCAUCUAGUCGAGCAUGCUAAGUGCUACGUGCUACGUGUUUACGAGCGUUUUGGCAUGUCUACUUGCUUUCAUAACCAUGAAUGAAUGGAAUGGAUGAAUGUACGUCACCACGCUAGUUCAAUGCUAGUUGUGGCUCAUUAUUUCAUUAGGAAUUCAUAGAAAGGGCUAGUCCAACGCUAGACCCAAUAGGAUUUUUCCUUUGUUUUUCAUUAAUGCAUUGUUUGCCUGUUCACUACAUAUCAUGCAUUUUUCCUUAGUUUUAUCAUCUGGCAUGCUCCUCGAUUCCCCUUGCCCCUCACUUUAGGUCUUGCAUCUCAUGCUAGUUAGGGUACAUUUGCCUGAAGAGUCCCCUUCUGAUAAGGGAAACGAGCGAGUGUGGCUACUCGAUAGCCUUAGCACGCUAGUUCCCCCUUCUAUCAAAGGAAAAAUCAAGUCACAAAGUUAGGACUCCCCGUUCCCGUUUUGAUGCAUUCCUAUAGAAUGUGAGCCGACAGUUAACAAAAAAAUGUCUGCAGCAUUUGAGUUUCCUUUUGCUGCAAUUCUUUGCUAUCCAAACACUACUAACAGCUCAACUAACAACAACUAGGAGCAAAGUAACAAGUUCACAAGCAUGUUUUCCAUUUUUCACCAUACAAAUUUAGGUUUAGAUACCAGAAGUUCAUGCAAUUACAGGGAAUCAACAUUCUGCAAUUUUUAGUUCUUUCUUCAAACUUCAUCAUUCAACCAGGACAUCUAUAUGAAACAAAUCAAGCGAGCCCUAUUGAUGUCCUUAACCAAACCCAGAUGCUAUCCCCUCAAAACCCACGGCAGACAUGCUCUGAGAGCUUAAACAGAACCGAGAAUUUUUAAAAGAAAAGGACAGCUUACCUGCGCCUGCUUCGUGAAAUUAUUUUCAGGCAGUGGUGGGAAGUUCUAGUGAUUGUAGCGGACUGGUGGUGGCUUUUCUUCCUCCUUGAUGUGGUGGUCCUUGGAGGACCUCUUGGGAGGCAGUUGACCGCUCGUUGGUCACGCUAGAGAAGAAAAGGUGGCUGCUGUCUGGUGACCUCGAUGGAAGUUGCGUGCGGUGGUGGCGAUGACAGAACUUGGAGGUGGUCAUUUGUAGGCGGUGGUUAUGGAGGUUUGUGGUGGCUUGGGCUGAUAGCAUGAAAAGGAGUCUGGGCAGGCAACGGAUGGAGUUGAGAUGGCUGCUGUGGUGGUUGCAAGUUUUUCUCCUCGCCGAUCAUUGAAACCGAAACCUCCCCCCCCCCUCUGUUUUCUUUUCUGCGUUUUUUCCUCUUGCCCAGCCACCAGCUAGCUUCCCUUUGCUAUUUUCUCUUUUUCCCUUUCCCGUUCAACUCUCCGUUUCUAAACCCUCACAGCCAUCAACUCUACUCAGUCCUUCCUUUGCUUCUUUUCCCUCUUACUUCACAAAGCUUCUGGCUCACUUCCUGCCGUCACCAUCAAUCUUUCCUCUCUUUUCACUCUCGGCUCUUUUUCUUUCUUUUCCUUUUUGCUUGUGUUUCUAUCCCCCGUUGGUUCCCCUUAAAACCUCUGUUGCGGCUACCUUUCUUUUUGCUAUAUAUCAGACCCCCAAACCCUAAAAACCUCUAGUCCUUUUCCUGUAUUUGCAGCUUUGGGAGCCGUCCCAGAUUUCCUUUGCAAGCUGCGUAAAACGCAGCUUGCUGCCGCGUAUCAUUUUUUUUUUUUUUUUUUGAACUUAAUAACUUAAUAAAUACAGAAAUGAUAUAAAUAAUAAUAAUAAUAACAAAUUGCCAAAACCAGGUAAUAAUAAUAAUAAUAAUAAUGAAAAUAAUUUAAAAACUAAACAACUAAAAACAACAAAAAUGGCCACUUUUCCAUCUUUUUGUUUCAUUUUUCAUUUUUCAUCAUUUUCUUUUUCUCAAAAUAACUUAAUAAAAAUAACUAAAGUGCAAAAAGGUUGCAUUUAAAGAAAUAAAUAUAUUUUUGUGAACAAAUUUCCUUUUUCCCUUUUUUUUAUUUUCAUUUUCAUUUUUCUUUCAAGAAAGCAUUGAAUAAAAACAAAAUGACUAAAACAUAUUUUUUUGAAUGCUUUUCUUUUUCUCUUUUUUCUUUUUCAACAAAUUCUAUGAUAAAACUUAAAAAUAAAAAUAAAACUGGAAACUAAAAACUAAAAAUGAACACGACAAAUAAAAACUAAAAAAUGAAAUUACACCAAAAAUUUGGUGUCUACAGUUUGCCCCUCUUUGUCUGAGUUUUGAAAAAAUUUGAGACAAAGAAGUAGACACCAAAUACUUACCAGUGUUAUUCGGUUGCAAAAAUGAUCUGAACGGACAGGAAUUCUAAAAUGGGACUGACCCGAACAUGAAUUUAAAAUUGGGGAUAGACCCACGGGAUAGACCCGGACAGAAAUGUAAAAUUGGGAUAGACCCACGGGAUUAAAAAUGGGAUAGACCCACGGGAUAGACCCGGACAGAAAUUUAAAAUUGGGAUAGACCCACGGGAUAGACCCGGAUAGACAGAAAUUUAAAAUUGGGAUAGACCCACGGGAUAGACCCGGACAGAAAUGUAAAAUUGGGAUAGACCCGGACAGAAAUGUAAAAUUGGAUUUGAUCUGUCAAGAUAUAAGAAAUUAAAUUUUGAUUUUCCAAGAAACAAAAAUUUGAACUUGAUUUUCGAUUUUUGACUUUUGAAUUUUUCUGAUUUUUCGAGAGAAUCUUUUUCCAAAAAUAAUUUGCCCCAGUGUAGGGCCCUUUUCCCUUCUUUCUUCUCUUUCUUCGGCAUCGGCUUUCUACAUCGCCAGAUGCUUUUCGUCGACUUCAACUGUGAAUACCUGCACAGGGCUUACGUGCACUCAAAUGAGCGUGACUGAUUUGAAAAAUGCAUUAUUUUGAUUCUUGGACGAAAUCCUCAAUUGGCCUACAAAAAUAUUUGCCCCUGUGUGGGCUUAUUUUGCAAAAUUUUGCAAAUAAAAAUUUUGCCCCAGUUUGGGCCCAUUUGAUUGCAAAAAUUGGUUUAGAUGAUUUCCCAUUUACUUGAACAAAGAAAAACCGCACUUUCUAAAAUUUAGAAAAGAGUGCACAUACAACAAUGUGAAGAAACUUUAAUCGUCAAGUUUGAACUCAUGCAGAAAUUUCAUGAUGAAUUCCUCAAAAUAAUGCCAAAUUACAAGAUAUUUCUUCCUUACCUUAGCAUCGAAGCUUUGGGUAAUGGGCGUUAUUUCUGACUUGGAAAUGGGAGGCCAAGAUUUGUCUUAUUUUGUGCUCAUUCGAUAUCACGUCUUCAUGAAAGCAAAGAGUUUAUCACCUUAUUUUUAAGAAAACGUAGUCACAUACAGCUUUAUAGGCUUGCAAUAAACGGAUGGAAACGAUAGCUAAAACAUGAAAAAACUGGUUGUUCCCUUAUGAUCACAAAUGAUUGAUGGAUUUCUUACGAGCAUAGUCGUCACUUUGGAUUGUCAUGAAGGAAUAAGUCAACGAUGGACUUUAUGAGCUUGUAAUGUGGCUUGAAAACGAUAGCUAAAGAAUAAAACUUUCAAGGACAUUACACCACAUAUCGUAUUUUUCAACAUUGCCUUCAUCUGGACUCCAGAUUCUUGGAUUUUGUUUGACUUUUUAUCAUCACCCAACAGGGUCUUUCAACAUCAAAUCUUUUUGCAUCUUUCUUUUGCAUUCAUUUCGCUCGUUUUUCUUUUCUUUCUCCCCCCCUUCUCGGGGUUUCAUAUGAAAGCAGUGUCAACCUCACGCCAAAUCAAUUCAGAAUACAGCAAAAUUUUCGACAUCAGAAAUUUUCUUAACAGGGCCAUUGCAAAGAAUAGAAGUCAGGGCUUUCGGCUUUUGUAAUGGGGUCAGGUGGGGUGCUUAGAAAAGUUAAGGCUUGAAAGCGGAUUUCAAAGCGGUUUGAAAAAUCUGAGAUCGCAUGUUGCGCAACCCUAUUUUAGGGUUAAAUCAGAAUUUGCCCCAGUUUUGCUCAAUGAGGCUUUUCACUUUCAUUUUCUUUUUCUUUUGACUUUUCGGCUUUUGCCAUUCUUUGAAAUUUGCCCCAAUUUAUUUUUGAACUGAGGUUCUCUUUUCUUCUUUUGAUUUGGAUUUUGUGCUUUUCACUUUUCACUUCUUGAAAUUUCCUUUUCAACCAAACUCGCCCCAGUGUGGGGUUUGCGAUUCUCAGGGGUUGCCAAACGAAAUAAUCCAUUCUGAUGGCUCAAAAGGGAUAACUAGGGAUAGAAUGUUCGAUUGGAAAAGAAGAUGGCCUGACUUGUAUUCCGUUCCUUACAAUAACUCUGAAAGGAAAUUUUCAUUAAUGGGAAAUUUUUGGCAUGUAUCUGAAUUAACUGAUUGGGGAAGACCCUUGUUCAUCCAUAUUUGUGAAACAUAGGUGAUCCACGCGGACAAAUCUCUUCCCUCUUUUUUCCAAAUUCGGAACCCAAGUGGAGUCAAAUUUCCCCAAUUUGCGGUUCCCUCCCUAUUUUAGCAUUUUUGCUUUUCCCCUUUUCUUUUCCUUUUUAAAAUUUCCCAAUCUCCUUCCCCAAUGCGAGGUACGAUCAUAAGUGCAUUCGAAAAGAACCACCAAUUUUAGCUCAAAUGAGGACGCAAGGGAUAAAUGGUGUUUAGAUUGAAGAAAUGAUGGCCAAAGUAUCAUUCUUACACUUCAUGACAACCAGAGUAACGAAAUGCUCAUUGACAAUCCAUUCCCUUUUGAAAGUUUUCCAAUGUAGGGUAGAGAUCAUUAAGGCGUUUAUUUGGAAGGAAAUUAUUCUUCUAUAGGCUCAAAUGGGAGAGCAAAUGAUAAAAAUCUGUAUAGGUAGUGAAACGAAUGCUUGAAGUAUCAUUCCAAAUUUUCAAACAAAUAAGAAUAAUGCACAUUUUUGCUUUCACUUAGAUGUGAUUGAAUCGAAUUAGUUACCGCGGACAUUUUCAAGCAAAAGUUGCCCCAAUUUACAAUUUAUCAAUCAAUGUGACUGAUUUUAUUUUGGGGUCAAAUGAAGGAGAAAAGGAAUCUCAUAGGGCCUUUUGAGUGACCUCUUUUAAUUCUGAACACUCUUAUUAUGAAUUUUCAGGCCGGAGGUUGAAAAAAUCCCAAUUUAGUCUUAUUUCUUAAAAUUCAUCAUGAACUCUCCAAUGAAUAAGAAUAAAGAAUGAAAUGUACAUAAAUAUACACAAAACAAUGAUUGUCCAAAAAUUUUAUUGCUGAAAAAGUUUGAAACAAAAUUUCUCAUUCAAUUACGAUACAAAUGAGGAUAGAAAACUUCUAAAGAGCUCCACAUAUAUAUCCUUUUUGUCUUCAUUUCUUUUGACACAAAAAUAUAUUAACAAGUCAAAUAUACAGAAUUUUCCUUGAAAGCGAUUGUGAAAUCUCUUAGAAGCUCUCAGCCUAGAGCUUUCAAAUGGGUCUUUCAUGUUUCCAUUGUUGGAUCUACCCAAGAAUCAAUAUAGGAAAAUAUUUUCAUCUUAUUGAAACAUUUUUUAAUGAAUGCAGGGGAGGGGGAAAACAAAAGAAAAAUACCCAAAGUUAGUAAUCAAAACCAUAGAAUCAGUAUGCAUGCCCUAUGGGGGAACCCUUUUAUGCCAAGGGUAGGCCUAGCAUGAAAAUGCAAUCCUCUAGGGUAGGCACCAUACAAUACCUGAUGGAUCCAAUCAGCUUAUGGAGUGAAAAAUAAUUUAAAAAAAUUUGGCCCACUGGAAUGAAAAGAGACAUUUGUCCUAAAAUGAGGGAAAAGUCCGAAUGGAUUGCUACUUUGAUCGAUGCAUGAAAUAAUGUGUAAAAGGGGCUGAUUGGAAUGUCUCAAUUAAUUUAUUCGGUGACCCUUAGACUUAAACCCUAAAAAGGGAAAAAACGGGUCAAAUGGAUUGGAUAAAAUUGAUGAUUUAUUUAAAAAUGACCAAAUUGCCCUAAAAAUAGGUAAACUGGUCAAAUGAAUGAAAUGAAAUUUGAUUUAUUCAAAAAUUGAUCGAAUCACCCUAAAAAGGGUAGAUUGGUCAAAUGAAUUGACGAUUUAUUCAAAAUCGACCGAAUGACCCUAAAAAGGGUAGAUUGGUCAAAAGAUUUGAUGAUUUAUUCAAAAUCGACCGAAUGACCCUAAAAAGGGUAAAUUGGUCAAAGGAAUGGUUUAUUUAAAAUCGAUUAUGAAUUGACAAAAUGGAUUGAUCGAAUCGGCCGGCCAUUGGUGGUUUCAGAAAAUCAGUCUAUGAGCCUUCUAAAAUCACAAUUUGGCCUCAAUUUAUUUAUCAUCUCAAUAGGAGGAAUCAUUUGUGAAUUUCUUCAAAUUAAUGUCCUUCGCGCAAGGGAUUUUUACCAAUUUUUGAUAAAAUGGCCAAAAAGUGAUUAUUAGAUGCUCAUAUUCCAAAGAUCACUCUAUGAAAAUGAUCGGAUCCUACCUUACCUUGUGCACUACCCCUUUGGAUGGUACAAAAUGUAAACGUGCAAGUCUCACUGGAUUAAGUAUCCGAGACACAAGGUGGCUUAUUCCUAAACACGGGAUUCCCUAUGUGGCAUUCCCUUUCUAUGGUUUAUGCAUGAUGCCAGUUUAUUAAAGCGAUGUAAAUAUGUGACAAAUAUGGCUAAAGGACAUAAAUAAUGCAUCGGGGGGAAAAGGUCUAAAAUGAAAUGUAUUAUUGAAAAGUAAGCAAAGACUGAAAUUUAGACAUGUGAGCUAUCUAGUGGGUGAGUCACUAAAAGAGUGCCAAAGAGGCCUCUUAUUGCUAAGGCACAUGAAUGCAAGCCAGGAAAACAAAAGAAUGGUUAGUGCAAUUGAUAGUACACAUAACACAUUGGGAGCAAUUAAGAAAAGAAAUACAAUAAAAGCAAGUAAAAGGGGUGGAACCCCUUCCCUCGUGCCUAAUGUGCUUAAAAAGGGUGAGGCUGACUCUACCCUAGGCAAAUGCUAAUAUGGAUGCAUGAGGUGGUUCACUAAUGCCUAGACUCGAUAAAGCUUCGGCUCCCAAGCCUUCAGACCUAAAGGCGAAGGGUCAUCACUCCCAGGGCCUUUGAUCGGUGGCUCGAGUGAUCCCUUAGGUAGCGCUAUGGGCGCAGAGCACACCAGCCGCCUACCCAAGGCGAUCGAUCCUAAUCCUACAAGGCGGUGUGGGAAACGCCCACGAAAAACAAAAUAAAAUGGGAUAAAAGCAAGUAAACGUGCACGUAUGAAGUGUUCCCCUAUUUUGAGGGAAGGGGUGAGAACCACACGAGGCUCUAAAGGCGACACACCCCCCCAAAUGCAAUGCAAGCGCGAGAUAAAUAAGUAAACAUACAUCCAAUCAACCAAUCACACGUACGUGAGUGAGGGAAUAGUUGGAUACGCGCACGAGGCAAAAGGCCCUAAAAAUGGAAAGUGCAACCCUAAUAUCCAAAUGCAAUGCAUAAAAAAGGGUAGAAAAAGGAAAAGAAUGGCCAAGUCAAAUGCUCGGACCCACUUAGGAAGUCCCCAGUGGAGUCGCCAACUGUCGCGCCCCACUUUUCGAUUGUGUGGAUGUGUGAUGUGUGGUGUGUAAUGCGGUGUGAACGUGUGCAAAAUGAAAAGUAAAAAGGCCAUGGGAUUUUGGAAAGCGACGAUUUGGCCAAAUGAAAUUUUAAAAAGGGUUUUUUAAAUAUGAAAACGGAGUCGCCACUUGGUAUAGAUUUGGGGUGUACCAAGUCACCCAAAAAGUGUUUUUUAAAGACAAAGUAGUAAAACCCCUUUUAAAACGACUCCUAGUCCACGUAAGCCAAAGAAAAAGGUUCGGGGGUCACGUUUGACAAAAGGGAAGGCAAGGAUAGAAUCCAAGGCACCCCUUUGACCUAGCCAAGGCUAGUUGCGCGACUCAAACCAAUUUUUCCUAGUUUUUCUACCCAAGGUAUGUAUCGCGUAUUGGAUAUGUCUAUAUGGAUGCAAAAACCUAGACCUAGGGGGAUUGGGGGAAAUUUCUCUUCAAAGGUUGGGUGGUGCCAAUCACAUUAAUUGUGAAGCCCAAUAAUGAUCCUUUUGGAGAGGUCACACCUAAACCUAAAUGACGUGAAAAAUGAGUGGAAUGCAUGCCAUGUGAAAGUGUGAGUUUGUGUGAAGUGAGAAAAUGAUAAAAGUAAUAAGAUAUAAGUGGAUGUGUGCAAAUGUCUUUACAAGGUAAGGUAAGUGAAGAAUAAUAAGGUGAAAACGCCAUUAAGUGCAUGUGUGCGAGUGAUAUGGUAUAGAGUGUAAGUAGUUGAAUAAAAACGUGUAAAAUGAAAGUAGUGUGAAGUGAGAAUAUAGAAAGAGGAAUGGAAUAUACAGUAAGUGAUAGUGAAUGAAUGAAAUGCGUGAAUCCUAUAGGAAUGCAUCAAAACGGGAACGGGGAGUCCUAACUUUGUGACUUGAUUUUUCCUUUGAUAGAAGGGGGAACUAGCGUGCUAAGGCUAUCGAGUAGCCACACUCGCUCGUUUCCCUUAUCAGAAGGGGACUCUUCAGGCAAAUGUACCCUAACUAGCAUGAGAUGCAAGACCUAAAGUGAGGGGCAAGGGGAAUCGAGGAGCAUGCCAGAUGAUAAAACUAAGGAAAAAUGCAUGAUAUGUAGUGAACAGGCAAACAAUGCAUUAAUGAAAAACAAAGGAAAAAUCCUAUUGGGUCUAGCGUUGGACUAGCCCUUUCUAUGAAUUCCUAAUGAAAUAAUGAGCCACAACUAGCAUUGAACUAGCGUGGUGACGUACAUUCAUCCAUUCCAUUCAUUCAUGGUUAUGAAAGCAAGUAGACAUGCCAAAACGCUCGUAAACACGUAGCACGUAGCACUUAGCAUGCUCGACUAGAUGCAAGAGCCUAUUAAAGCAAUUAAACAUGUAGCAACAAAAACAAGCAACCAAGGGGAAGGGGAAAUGGACCAGAUGCUCUACGAGCCCUAUCUAUUACAAGCCAAGAGGUGUACACAUACCCCAUAAAAACAUAAAGGGAAAGGGGAAAUGGACCAGAUGCUCUCCGAGCCCUAUCUAUUACAAGCCAAGAGGUGUACACAUACCCCAUAAAACUUAAAUAAAAGUGAAAGCAAGUAAAUGCACGCAAGGAGGUAAGGAAAGCGGAGUAGACAUGCAUAUUCACAUAACACGUAGGAUCACAUAGGAGAAAUGAAAUUCAAGGAGAUAGAGGUUACCUCCCUUGCAAUUGGGCCCCAAUGAAGUGAAAUCACUUAUUUAUCCUCCAAAAUAAAAGAAAUGGUCAAGGUACCAAUUUAUUUGAGAAAAUUAAAGAAAAUAGGCAAACACAAGCUCACUUGGUCAUAAAGCCCCUAAAGUCAUGAAUUAAAUGCAAUUGAAACAAAGCAUGGUAGUUAAUUGAAGCAAACAAGCAAUGAAGUUGCAAAAAUUAAAAUUAUCAAGGAUCAAUUUGAUGAAAUUCUUUAAUUGAUUGGGUCCUAGUGGAACAAGGAGAGACUUGGGGGCCAAAGUGUAAAAUCUGGAGAUUAUUCAUGCAAAUGCAUGCAAACCAUCGUGAAAGAACAUUCUUCAACAAAGCAAACGAAAUUGCUGCACCUUUGUUCCACUUUCAAACACUAAACCCGGAUUUGAUCUCAUACCUUAACCCAAGGCUUUCUUGAUUCAACAUCAAAUUUUGAACCAAACAACACAAAACAUGAACUUGACAUCCGAACUAGCAAAAUCAUAGGAGGAAAUCAUGCAAACAUAGAAAAAAACUUCAAGCAAGAAUGCAUGAAGAAGCUUUCUGCCGGCGAAAGUUUGAUGCCUCUCCAUUUACAAAUGCAUAUUUAUGGUCCGAAAGCAUGGCUCCAAUCUAGACAUCUUUACCAGAAAUCAAAAUCCUAAACUAAACAACCAAAAACCAAUGUUUACUUUACUGAAAACAACAAGGAAAACUGAACAUAGAAUCAGUAAAAACUUGAAGCAGUGAAUACUUAGCAAAGUUGGUGCUAUGGCCUGUUAUUAUGCCAUGUUUUGCUGCAACAAAAUGCAGCAAACGCACACAGUGGCAUCACUUUCCAACAACCCACAGAUUUGAAGACAAAUUUAGCUAACAAAACUUUAGUCAUCAGCAAAAAAACAACUCUGCCAACAUUGCUGCAAUAAAACAGAACUUAAGACCUGUUGCAGCAAACUUUCAUGCACUCGAGAUGUCGAUAAACGUUUCAAACUUAAAACCAACCUCAAAUUCCUACCCAAAUUGUAAUUCCAAAUACUCCCUCACGCAUACAAAAUCACACACCGAAUGCAAAACUAACGGCAGCUAUCAUGCCAAUGGGUUGUUAUGUAACAGCUUUAGAAGCAGAGCUGACAACUUCAUGAGCAGCAAAACUGUAGCACAGCAAAUAAAUAAAAAAACUCUCCAGCUAACAUAGGAAUUCACGGUCUUGGGCAACAAGGGAGGAGACUUCAAGGCACAAGGGACAGAUUUAAAUCAUUACAAGAAGAAAACAAGCAAGGGAACAAACGAGAAUGUGAGCCGACAGUUAACAAAAAAAUGUCUGCAGCAUUUGAGUUUCCUUUUGCUGCAAUUCUUUGCUAUCCAAACACUACUAACAGCUCAACUAACAACAACUAGGAGCAAAGUAACAAGUUCACAAGCAUGUUUUCCAUUUUUCACCAUACAAAUUUAGGUUUAGAUACCAGAAGUUCAUGCAAUUACAGGGAAUCAACAUUCUGCAAUUUUUAGUUCUUUCUUCAAACUUCAUCAUUCAACCAGGACAUCUAUAUGAAACAAAUCAAGCGAGCCCUAUUGAUGUCCUUAACCAAACCCAGAUGCUAUCCCCUCAAAACCCACGGCAGACAUGCUCUGAGAGCUUAAACAGAACCGAGAAUUUUUAAAAGAAAAGGACAGCUUACCUGCGCCUGCUUCGUGAAAUUAUUUUCAGGCAGUGGUGGGAAGUUCUAGUGAUGGUAGCGGACUGGUGGUGGCUUUUCUUCCUCCUUGAUGUGGUGGUCCUUGGAGGACCUCUUGGGAGGCAGUUGACCGCUCGUUGGUCACGCUAGAGAAGAAAAGGUGGCUGCUGUCUGGUGACCUCGAUGGAAGUUGCGUGCGGUGGUGGCGAUGACAGAACUUGGAGGUGGUCAUUUGUAGGCGGUGGUUAUGGAGGUUUGUGGUGGCUUGGGCUGAUAGCAUGAAAAGGAGUCUGGGCAGGCAACGGAUGGAGUUGAGAUGGCUGCUGUGGUGGUUGCAAGUUUUUCUCCUCGCCGAUCAUUGAAACCGAAACCUCCCCCCCCCCUCUGUUUUCUUUUCUGCGUUUUUUCCUCUUGCCCAGCCACCAGCUAGCUUCCCUUUGCUAUUUUCUCUUUUUCCCUUUCCCGUUCAACUCUCCGUUUCUAAACCCUCACAGCCAUCAACUCUACUCAGUCCUUCCUUUGCUUCUUUUCCCUCUUACUUCACAAAGCUUCUGGCUCACUUCCUGCCGUCACCAUCAAUCUUUCCUCUCUUUUCACUCUCGGCUCUUUUUCUUUCUUUUCCUUUUUGCUUGUGUUUCUAUCCCCCGUUGGUUCCCCUUAAAACCUCUGUUGCGGCUACCUUUCUUUUUGCUAUAUAUCAGACCCCCAAACCCUAAAAACCUCUAGUCCUUUUCCUGUAUUUGCAGCUUUGGGAGCCGUCCCAGAUUUCCUUUGCAAGCUGCGUAAAACGCAGCUUGCUGCCGCGUAUCAUUUUUUUUUUUUUUUUUUGAACUUAAUAACUUAAUAAAUACAGAAAUGAUAUAAAUAAUAAUAAUAAUAACAAAUUGCCAAAACCAGGUAAUAAUAAUAAUAAUAAUAAUGAAAAUAAUUUAAAAACUAAACAACUAAAAACAACAAAAAUGGCCACUUUUCCAUCUUUUUGUUUCAUUUUUCAUUUUUCAUCAUUUUCUUUUUCUCAAAAUAACUUAAUAAAAAUAACUAAAGUGCAAAAAGGUUGCAUUUAAAGAAAUAAAUAUAUUUUUGUGAACAAAUUUCCUUUUUCCCUUUUUUUUAUUUUCAUUUUCAUUUUUCUUUCAAGAAAGCAUUGAAUAAAAACAAAAUGACUAAAACAUAUUUUUUUGAAUGCUUUUCUUUUUCUCUUUUUUCUUUUUCAACAAAUUCUAUGAUAAAACUUAAAAAUAAAAAUAAAACUGGAAACUAAAAACUAAAAAUGAACACGACAAAUAAAAACUAAAAAAUGAAAUUACACCAAAAAUUUGGUGUCUACAGUUUGCCCCUCUUUGUCUGAGUUUUGAAAAAAUUUGAGACAAAGAAGUAGACACCAAAUACUUACCAGUGUUAUUCGGUUGCAAAAAUGAUCUGAACGGACAGGAAUUCUAAAAUGGGACUGACCCGAACAUGAAUUUAAAAUUGGGGAUAGACCCACGGGAUAGACCCGGACAGAAAUGUAAAAUUGGGAUAGACCCACGGGAUAGACCCGGACAGAAAUUUAAAAUUGGGAUAGACCCACGGGAUAGACCCGGACAGAAAUGUAAAAUUGGGAUAGACCCACGGGAUAGACCCGGACAGAAAUUGUUGUUUAGUUUAGGAUUUUGAUUUCUGGUAAAGAUGUCUAGAUUGGAGCCAUGCUUUCGGACCAUAAAUAUGCAUUUGUAAAUGGAGAGGCAUCAAACUUUCGCCGGCAGAAAGCUUCUUCAUGCAUUCUUGCUUGAAGUUUUUUUCUAUGUUUGCAUGAUUUCCUCCUAUGAUUUUGCUAGUUCGGAUGUCAAGUUCAUGUUUUGUGUUGUUUGGUUCAAAAUUUGAUGUUGAAUCAAGAAAGCCUUGGGUUAAGGUAUGAGAUCAAAUCCGGGUUUAGUGUUUGAAAGUGGAACAAAGGUGCAGCAAUUUCGUUUGCUUUGUUGAAGAAUGUUCUUUCACGAUGGUUUGCAUGCAUUUGCAUGAAUAAUCUCCAGAUUUUACACUUUGGCCCCCAAGUCUCUCCUUGUUCCACUAGGACCCAAUCAAUUAAAGAAUUUCAUCAAAUUGGUCCUUGAUAAUUUUAAUUUUUGCAACUUCAUUGCUUGUUUGCUUCAAUUAACUACCAUGCUUUGUUUCAAUUGCAUUUAAUUCAUGACUUUAGGGGCUUUAUGACCAAGUGAGCUUGUGUUUGCCUAUUUUCUUUAAUUUUCUCAAAUAAAUUGGUACCUUGACCAUUUCUUUUAUUUUGGAGGAUAAAUAAGUGAUUUCACUUCAUUGGGGCCCAAUUGCAAGGGAGGUAACCUCUAUCUCCUUGAAUUUCAUUUCUCCUAUGUGAUCCUACGUGUUAUGUGAAUAUGCAUGUCUACUCCGCUUUCCUUACCUCCUUGCGUGCAUUUACUUGCUUUCACUUUUAUUUAAGUUUUAUGGGGUAUGUGUACACCUCUUGGCUUGUAAUAGAUAGGGCUCGGAGAGCAUCUGGUCCAUUUCCCCUUUCCCUUUAUGUUUUUAUGGGGUAUGUGUACACCUCUUGGCUUGUAAUAGAUAGGGCUCGUAGAGCAUCUGGUCCAUUUCCCCUUCCCCUUGGUUGCUUGUUUUUGUUGCUACAUGUUUAAUUGCUUUAAUAGGCUCUUGCAUCUAGUCGAGCAUGCUAAGUGCUACGUGCUACGUGUUUACGAGCGUUUUGGCAUGUCUACUUGCUUUCAUAACCAUGAAUGAAUGGAAUGGAUGAAUGUACGUCACCACGCUAGUUCAAUGCUAGUUGUGGCUCAUUAUUUCAUUAGGAAUUCAUAGAAAGGGCUAGUCCAACGCUAGACCCAAUAGGAUUUUUCCUUUGUUUUUCAUUAAUGCAUUGUUUGCCUGUUCACUACAUAUCAUGCAUUUUUCCUUAGUUUUAUCAUCUGGCAUGCUCCUCGAUUCCCCUUGCCCCUCACUUUAGGUCUUGCAUCUCAUGCUAGUUAGGGUACAUUUGCCUGAAGAGUCCCCUUCUGAUAAGGGAAACGAGCGAGUGUGGCUACUCGAUAGCCUUAGCACGCUAGUUCCCCCUUCUAUCAAAGGAAAAAUCAAGUCACAAAGUUAGGACUCCCCGUUCCCGUUUUGAUGCAUUCCUAUAGGAUUCACGCAUUUCAUUCAUUCACUAUCACUUACUGUAUAUUCCAUUCCUCUUUCUAUAUUCUCACUUCACACUACUUUCAUUUUACACGUUUUUAUUCAACUACUUACACUCUAUACCAUAUCACUCGCACACAUGCACUUAAUGGCGUUUUCACCUUAUUAUUCUUCACUUACCUUACCUUGUAAAGACAUUUGCACACAUCCACUUAUAUCUUAUUACUUUUAUCAUUUUCUCACUUCACACAAACUCACACUUUCACAUGGCAUGCAUUCCACUCAUUUUUCACGUCAUUUAGGUUUAGGUGUGACCUCUCCAAAAGGAUCAUUAUUGGGCUUCACAAUUAAUGUGAUUGGCACCACCCAACCUUUGAAGAGAAAUUUCCCCCAAUCCCCCUAGGUCUAGGUUUUUGCAUCCAUAUAGACAUAUCCAAUACGCGAUACAUACCUUGGGUAGAAAAACUAGGAAAAAUUGGUUUGAGUCGCGCAACUAGCCUUGGCUAGGUCAAAGGGGUGCCUUGGAUUCUAUCCUUGCCUUCCCUUUUGUCAAACGUGACCCCCGAACCUUUUUCUUUGGCUUACGUGGACUAGGAGUCGUUUUAAAAGGGGUUUUACUACUUUGUCUUUAAAAAACACUUUUUGGGUGACUUGGUACACCCCAAAUCUAUACCAAGUGGCGACUCCGUUUUCAUAUUUAAAAAACCCUUUUUAAAAUUUCAUUUGGCCAAAUCGUCGCUUUCCAAAGUCCCAUGGCCUUUUUACUUUUCAUUUUGCACACGUUCACACCGCAUUACACACCACACAUCACACAUCCACACAAUCGAAAAGUGGGGCGCGACAGUUGGCGACUCCACUGGGGACUUCCUAAGUGGGUCCGAGCAUUUGACUUGGCCAUUCUUUUCCUUUUUCUACCCUUUUUUAUGCAUUGCAUUUGGAUAUUAGGGUUGCACUUUCCAUUUUUAGGGCCUUUUGCCUCGUGCGCGUAUCCAACUAUUCCCUCACUCACGUACGUGUGAUUGGUUGAUUGGAUGUAUGUUUACUUAUUUAUCUCGCGCUUGCAUUGCAUUUUGCACACGUUCACACCGCAUUACACACCACACAUCACACAUCCACACAAUCGAAAAGUGGGGCGCGACAGCCAACCAGCAGCACGCCGCCACAUCUCUCUCCAUCUCGCCGCCGCCAACCAGCCAUAUACCUCCUCGUGCGAGCUCCACCUGCUCGCAACUCCCCUCACCAGCUUUCUCUUCGCCAUCGAUCCAUCGCGGCCACGAGGAGCUUUGCCGCCGCCGCUGCUCAACGCCUCCACCGCGAGCUACCGCCAGCAGCACCAUAGGCAGCACCCACCUCGUGUCUCCGCCAGCGACGACCAGCUCGUGCGCCGCCGCCGCUCACCAACCACGCGCAGGCCACCUCGCAGCUCUCUCUUCAGCCGCGACCCCUCCGCACGCCACGCAGCUCCGACCGCGCGCUCCACCAGCUCUCCUUCACUGUCGCGCGCUUUGCCCGAGCCGACGCCGUCGCUGCUGUAGUCGCGCGCCGCCGCCCGUGCCCACGCGUAGUCGCGCUCCCUCGCAGCUCCAGCCCAAGGACGCCGCCUUUCCCCCGCGUCCUACACAGCGCCUCUUUUUCUUAGCCACUACUGCCCCAGUUUCUUCAUUCGGCCACUGGGAGAGGUAUUUGCUACUAAAUCCCCAAUUUUUGGUUUGUAUUGGAUUCACUUGAGGGUUUGUCAGUAGAGUGAAGUGGCAAUUGGAUUUUCUGCCUUAACCGUGCGGUGCACCAGUGCUAGCAAUUGUGCUAUUUUCCGUCGUAUUGUUGUGCUAUUUUGCUAUACCUGUGGUACUGGUGGAGUAACUGGACCUUGAUUUGGUACCUCUAUCUGGUUGACUGCGUUUGUAGUGUCAAAUAUCUAAGCCGUUUUCAUUGAAAUUGUUGAUUUUGAAUUAAGAUUUUAACUGGCCAACUGGAGCCAUUUGUUGAAAUUUUGGGUAAGCUGAAAUAUUGCACUUGUUUGUUAAAUUGGGAAGUUUCUAUGCUAUUUACAUUGCUUCCUCCAGUUGGGUGCAUCUAAUUGAAUUGCUGAGAAAUAUUCUGACCAUUGCUUUCAACUACUAAGUUCGUUGAGGUUUCUUUUAGGAUUCUGGUUGAGUUAUUUCUAAUAUUGCCUAUUGAAUCAGGAGCUUGUGCUGCUUAAUUUGCCCCGUUAGGAGCUGGUUUGCUUGUUAGAAUUUUCUGUGACGGUUAACUAACGUGUUCAUCUUAGUGACUUCAACUAUUUCGUUGGGUGGAAGUGAAUUCUGUGCUUUGAACCAUUAGGUCGUUGAGAUAAUUUCACUUGUUUUUGUGGGUAGAUGCCUGAUUGCCAGUUGAGGGUAUAUAUUGAGUCGUUAUUGCCGAAUCACUGCACUACUGUUGCCUGACUUGUUGACUUGUUGACUGCUGGGGGCAAUUGUUGAGCUUUUGGGUGCAAUUGUUGAAGUUCUUGGGUGGGCUGGAAUUUUAACAAUUGUCUGUGAUAUUUUGGGAAGAAUCUCGGCCAGUGUUGUGCUUGUUGAAAUUUUGGUUGAUUUAAUUCGGCAACUGCAUUCCUUGUUGGCAUUAGUAGUUUUUAAUCGAGUUUUUGAGGACAUUUUGGAUGUUGGUUUAUAUUGCUGAUUUGGAGGAACAGUGUCUGUGAUUUUGGUCUGAUCAUUUGUGCAAUUUGUUGACUCAUUUUGUGACGACCCCAUCUCCCCCUAAGGCGAACCAGAGGGUUCGGCGGCCGCCUGCCCGGCUCUCGCCGGGACUCAGUCGUUCACUAAAGUUCUCAAAUGAAUUACAAGAAUAAACCUCAAAUAUACAUCACAUUGUCCACAAAUAUACAUUCAAAUCUCCAAUAAUUACAUGUCACAAAUGCAGCGGAAACAAUUCCCAACUAUACAUAAAAUGAUUCCAAAUCCAAAUUGUACAACAUAAAGGCCAUCCAUUCACGUGAAUAAGCACAACAAGUCCUGCCUUUGCCUUGAGCCCUGUGGAGGGGAAUAAAAUAUUUUUGGGGUGAGCUAGAAACUCAGCGAGUAACCAGAAAAUCAGUAAUCAAAUCGAUUUAACAAUAUUUCUUUUCAAUGAUGUCAUAAAUCAAUGAUGUCAUAAAUCAAAUGAUAAGUCCAGAAACGAUUACAGCAUUUACAAAACAUUAAAUAUGGAGUAUCAAUAAUUCAAGAAACAUGUACAAUGGAAAGCGAUAGUAACAUUCAUGAAAAGGAUACGUUCAUUUUUUAUAAAUAAUCCCUCGUUCAUCUUUUUAUUCGUUCAUCUUUUUUUUUUUCCGGACGUUGGCCGGUCUCCACCCAUCCGGACGUAGCCGGACUCCACCCAUCCGGACGUAGCCGGACUACAAGGUAAUACUCGAGUAUACCAAAUUCACCCAGGGUCACCAUAUCGCCCGACCGAGUCCGCUUCUGGCUCGAGUCGAUCGGUAACGAAGGGCAGUGCCCAGUUCAGCCAAACGGCUUACAUUCAUGCGCAACUAGCAUUUAAUCAUUAAUCAUUGAAAAUUUCAUAUUUAUUUAGGUCGAGUGCGAUAAAGUACACACUCGCCUAGAAAACUCGUUUUAACAAUCAUUGAAAGCACUUAACACAUUAUCAAUCAAUAAUAACAAGCCAAUAAAUCAAGGAAUACAGCCAACAAGGAACACUCAUAUGCAAGCACGCAUGAUAUGCAAGAAAACAGUUCAAAAGUAACUUUGGAAACAGUUUAAAGGUAAAUAAUGUAAGAAAACGGUUCGAAAGUAACUUUGGAAACAAUUCAAAAGUAAAUAAUGCAGCAAACGAUUCAUAAAUAACUUUAGAAAUAGUUUGAGGUCACUCACCUCAAUGGCUCAGAAAUCAUCAUCAUAUAACAUUGCCUUGCUCAAACCCAAGUCUUAGAUCACAAACUCAAUGCAAUCAAGUCCUUUCAAAGUUCGGACAGCACUUCCCCUGAAUAUGCUUACUUUUCCAGCCAUCAUGGCUUCAUUAUAUCUUCAGCCAGUCCCAAAGGUACACACACAACAACAAGUUCAUACAAUAGCCAUUCAGCAAGCUCCAAGUAGUACUAGUACAAGUCAAGCUAGGGAAAAGUCCGGAAAUGAAAGUUUAGCUCAAAACCAGAAAAAAUAUUUUGACGUCAUUUUGCGGUAAUGGUACCAAAGGCACUACGAUUGUCGGAUGAAGGUACAAGAUACACCGUUUCGAAGCUAAGAGAUAGGACUACAAUAUUGAAGAAGGUCACUCAACCCAGUUUCGAGUGUAACCAGGUCAAAAAUGCAAGAUACUACACCAGGAAUCACAAAAACAGAUUCACAGAACGUAUUCUAGCGGAAACAUCAUAAAUCAGGCUAUCCAACUCCAAAUCCAGAAAUUCCAAAACCAGCUGAAAGGUAAGAAACAGGGCUAAAUUUCAUCAGAAGGCCUCAACAACCAAUUCGGAAGCAAUUCCAGCCAAAACAACCAAUUACAGUCGCAAAUCCCAAUUUCGGGUAAACCAGAACAGCAAUAGUAAUUUUGACUUUUCUCACUCUACGCUACUCCGAUUGACCUGAAAUUUUGUAAGCACCUUUAAAAUGUCAUUCCCUACAACUUUCAUGUUUUAAGAAAAUGCCAAUUCGGCCUCUAUCUAGGACCUAAAAAUUCGGACAGAAUGCUCCUUCACAAAACCUGAUUUUCUGAAAUUUCUUCCAAAACAGAAAUUGAUUGCAAUUAAUCACUUUUUCCACCUCAUAGAGUCCUUAAAUAUCAUUUCCAAUCAUCAUACAUGACCCCAUAAUCAUAUUCAUAUGAAAACAGAAAAAUCCCCAAUAAUUAUAAAACUUCAUCAAUUCAACCAAAACUCAAGAAAUAAUCCAUAAAACCAUCUCUUUAGCCAUCACAAGUCUCUAAUUUAGCAUAAUCAAGAACAAAGAAAGGAUGGCUAGACAUGAUACCUUCAAAUAUCAAGAAAGGUGAUGACUUAGGGAUUUUUCUUCCAAAACAACUCCACCAAGAGCUUCAAUCUUCCUUAGCUAGCAAGUUUUAUGGAGUGAUUUGCAAUUUAAUCGGUUGGAACUCAAGAUUUGGACAAGAAAUUGAAGUGCAAGAUGAUGGAUUUUCUCUCUCUUUUUCUCUCAAAAUUUCGUCCAAGACAAGCUAAAAUGGAGAGAAAUUGGGUCCAAAUUGGUUUUAGUAAAGUUAGAAAAGUCUUGGUCAAAAGUCAAGGUCCAAUGGUUUUGUGACAAAUGGUCCUUUAGGGUUUUAAUCUUAUCUUUUUGUCUCUCCAAUACAAAUAUCUUAACACAUUGUAAAAUAAUAUCACUUAAUACAAAAUUCCAACAAGUUGUCAAAAAUAUAAUGCAUUUACCGCACUUGCGGGUCCCACGUCCAAAAUAGGCUUUUAAUUUCUCAAAAACUAACCGAUACUAGAAAAAUUAUUUUAAAACUAUUUUUGCUCAUAAACUUUAUCUGGGGAAUUUUUCUAAUCAAGAAAAUGUAGAAAAGGCGGGCGUUUAAAAAAUAAACCCUAGAGAAUUAGAAAAUUUCCGGGUUCUCAAACUCUUUUUUUUCGGGGCGUCACACAUUUGCGGACUUAUUUGUUUCUUGGGUUUGUUUAUUGACUUCGGUGGACUGGGUUCCCACCUACGGUUCCUCUACUUGCUCUAUUCAUUGGAAUUCUAGUCGCCUAUUGCUCUUCUUUAGAGGUUUAGAAUCUUUCUUGUGACUAGAUUAAUACUUGGGGCUAUUGCUUUAAUACUGCUCUACUCUACUAUAGCAAUUUCAUUGAUUUUGGACUAUGUUUUGCACUAAUGAUACUGGUUGGAAUAUUUCCCCUUGCAUGUGUCAGUUCUACUUGGUUGGAUACUUGAUUGACUGCUGGGCAUGUGUGACUGGGUUGUUCUUGUGCAAUUGGAGAUAUUUAGAGGGAUUUUGGGUGGGCAAGUUGUGUCGCUCUCUAUUGAUAUUUGGGAGGCACCGGUGGCUAUUAAAUUGUUAUUGCUUUGAAUUUUCUGUUUACAUUAUCUGUGGGCAAUUUUGUCUCUUGUUGAUUGAAAUGACAUUUGGAGAAAAUGGUAAGACCCGAGCCCUCUUCUUCUGCGCCUCCCCCACCGAUGGCCUCUGAUGUUAAGUCGCACCACUUGCGAGCUCAGAUUCAUCACGUAGUUGAGAGAGUGACGAACAUCACCCGCCAAGUGGCAAGGAUGUCUCAGAACUCGGCUUCCCUCCACUGUUCCCUCCUAUCCCUUAGCUGUUCAACAGGGAAGUUUCAUUGUUCUCUUCGCUUUAAUUACUUUAUUACCUCCAUUGAGGACAAUGUAGGAUUUAGGUGUAGGGGGAGCAGUUAUGGUGCUAGUGUCUUUCGUUCAUUUUCUUUUUCUUUUUUUUAGUGAUUAGCUCGUAUGGGAUGCCAAGUUUGAUGUUGGAUUAUUGCCUCUAUUUCUACUUUUGCCAAGUUUUAGUAAUAAAAGGGUAUCAAGUUAAUGUGGUUGAGUUCAGGAAUAUCCCUUUGGUGAAUAUCAGUAAUUGAUUGACUUUUCUAAUUUUUGGUUAACUUUUCUAGACAUAGGGAAUGAUUGUUGGCAUUUUCAUGUGAAUUGGUCCGAUUAUUAACCUUAGUUCUCCAUAUUUGAAAAUGAGGCUAGCUGAUGCAAGUUUUCUUUUGGUUCUUGUGUUAUAGUGAGUUCUUGUGAAUUUUAGCUAUGAAUAAACUUGACUGUACUCCGCUAUUAGUUACUACUGAGUAACCGGGGAUCUGCACCUAAAAGUGUUGAUUCUCGCGUCAAAAGGUAGUAAUUCCUAUGAGUACGUGGUCACAUGGCGAUAAAAGCUGAGUAACCGGGCUCCUUCAUCUGGCCAAUGUUGGAGUUCGCGUCAAAAGGCUCUAAUGGCUAACGACUAAGUCUUUUGUUACUAUUUAGAAAAGAAAAAAAAAAGAGAAAAGUAGAAAAAUGUGAAAAAAAAAAAGUGAAUGUUGUGUUAGUGUACAAUAAAAGUCAGCUUGUCGAUUUAUGGAUUUAAUGUUGAGAUUUUGGUUAAUAGUUGGACCAUUUGCUGAUAAAUGUUGCGCGUCAUUCCUUUUUCUUAGAUUAGUUAACCUGGAAUUAGAGGAGUUUGUGGUUUAGAAGCUAACCGGAGUGAUGUUUCUUGGACUUGACCAUUGAUGUUUGAUUAUUAUUUUUCUUGGUAUCUUGGCAAUUUGUUGGAUAGAGCAAUAGUCAUUGUCAAAUAUUGGUGUUUGUUUACUGUUCUUAUGCUUGAGGGCAAGCAUGAUUUAGGUGUGGGGGGAAUUGAUAGGUUACAAUUUUAUCAUUUAUUUUAUUAUUAAUUUUCCCUAUUACCUGACCUGAUGUGAAUUAAUUAUUAGAUUCUACUCACUUUUCGUAAUUUACAUUUAUUUCAGGGAGUAGAACAAAAAUAUCACAAUCAAGACCAAUUUGACAGUUAUCGAAAAAGAGUUCAAAUAGCAGACAAUCAAGAGCAUUCUUGAAACAAGGAGAUGCGACCCUUUCUGGUAAUUUGUGAAAGACAGCAUAAAAGGAGAAGGAGGAACACAGGACUAGGCGUUCUUUCCCUUGGGGGGCUAGAGCCACCGCACAGAGCCAGGCAUUAGAAUAGGACUUUUGAUAGAGGGAGGAGUAGAGGAUUUUUCCUCCUGAAGCUUAGUUUUCCUUUGACUUUUCCAUCGUAGCUUUUGAGGGGUGUAUACACGUCUAUUGUGUCAGCACCUAAAUUGCAUGGCGUGUAUGGCACUAAAUUUCCAGUUCACCUUUCCUACUUAAUGCCUUGCUGAGGCCUCUACUCUGAUUGAGAAACCUUAUAACUGCUGGGGCCUUCUAUUGUGCAAAAAAUCUCAACAAAAUAAUGGUCUGACCCAAGAAGCACAAGAAAGUAUUGUCCUUAACAAUUAGAAUGUCAAAGAAAAAAAAGAGGGAAAUUGACAAUGAUGUUAUGAUUUUAGCUACAUUAUUCAUCUCAUUUUUCUAGUUCCGGAGAAACAAAAUAAAAAGAUUUCACUAAGUUUGCCUUUUGUAAUGUACCGCGCUGGGCUUUGUCCCCCCCCUUAAUAGAAGUUAGAAAUUCGGCUUUUAUAAAUCUAACUUCCAGAAAAAACUUCAAAAACCCGCAACUUUCUGGGGACUUAUAAACCCAAACCCAACGCUUCCCCAGAACCGAUGUGGGAUGGCAACCCCACAAGGGCAAGCCAGUCAAAUGCCCCAUUUUUUGCUAGAAUCUGGGGUUCGUUAAGUUGUCCAUUUCCCUGGAAUUACUUAUUUUGCUUCUCGUUUGGUUCUAUUAUACUAUACAGAAUUAUAUGUAUAUAACGUGGAUUGUCAUCUUAAGAAUCAAGAUUGCCAAUCUGAUCACGUAAAUUGGCCAGAAAUUGGUUGGAAUUCUUUGCAUUUUUCACUUGUGGAAAUAGUUAAAAGAACAGUCACUAAUAUACCUGCAAGUUUUCCAUCACCUCAAACUUUCAUAAAUUUAACAACUCACUAGAAAAAUGCACUAAUAGAUUAUACAAUAAAGAAGAUAGCGAAAGCGUGCCAGCAUAGAAAAGUAGAGCGCGAUUAAUAUUUUUCUAAAUUAUUAAUUAAUUUGAGUCUCUGGAUUUCAAGAAGUCUAAUAAUCAUAUUUAGUACAUUAGCAACAAAAGGAAGAUAAAUGAAAUUGGGCCAAAAACAGUCUGGGCCAACUAGUACAUUUUCCGUUUAUGGGCAAUCAGAUGAAAAGCUAGUGGAGCAUGUGUUUAAGAGUAAAAUGCAGUUUUGGUAUUCAAAUUUUGACUCUUGAACAAUUUUUUUAGUAUCUAAACUUUAAACUUUGAAUGAAAACAAAUUCGAUAUGCACUUGACGGAUUUUUUGUCCAAUUUUCACUAGAAAAAAAAAAUCCCAUGUUGUCAUGUGUCUGGCAACAAAAUUGUUAAAAGAAUUCCAAAAGAAUUGAUGAUGGCCAGGCUAAGGAAUACUAGAACAUGGGUCAUCAUUUUAAAAGAAAUAAAUUAAUCUAAACAAAUAAUUAAUCGAGCUAAUCAUAAUACGCUCAAAACUUCCCUCUUUUCUCCUCUCCUUUUUCAUACCUUUCAUAAACAAACACCUUAAAAAAUAACUAUUCAACUAUUUGUCACAGUAAAUAUAAAAAGUACUGGAGCAUAUAUCCGAGAUUUAUAAAACAUUUGUAUGUACUAUUUUUUUUUUUUUUUGGUCGACACAGGGGUGUCCGGAUCAAUCCUUACGGGGCCCGACUAAUCCAUUUGUCGACUACGUAUGUACUACAUAUGUAGAUUUUAGAACUUUGUCAUACCAUUGUAUGACGACUCAAGUGAUAUUAACAGCUGGGUCAAUUUGAAGUUGUCAACAAAAGCUACAAGUGAUUAAUGGACUAAUAAGUCUAAUUUUAAGCACAAGAACCACCUUCUAGAAACUUAUCUAUUUUCUUUAUUUAUUGAUAGAAAGAUAGGCAAAUUUUAUUAAUAGCAUACUAAAUCUGCUUCAAGAACAACAAAAACAAAAAUAAUAAAAUAAGGUGCAUUACACGUGUCGACAUUGAAGUAAAAUUUCUCCUUUCAAUUUUAAAAUAAUACUACUUAUCAUCUUACUUAUAACUUACAUACUAAUAUGUGAUGAAAAAGGAAAGGGAAAAUGGCAGUCAUAAUUGCAGCUCAGGCAACCUUUUUUUUUUUUUUUUUUUUUAAUCUAAUUUGCUAAUUCUUGGGACAUAAGGAUAGAACUGACUUCAUCUAAAUAAUAAUAAUUCCUUGACAAACUUGAAUGCUAUUAAUUGCCAUAGAAGAUGCUUGGCAAUUUCACUAUUUGGCCUUUCUUAAUCAAUCCAUGAGGCUUACAUCUUGGACAAAACUUGGACGCUUUCUCAAGAAUGACAGAUAGCUGCGUUCAACUGCCAAAAUGUAAAUGAGAAGGGAAAUGAUAAUCAUAGGUGGUGACAUGGGCAACAUCAAUCAUGUCAUCUGUUAAUCCAGAAAUAAAUUUGAAAAGAAUAAAAGAUAGGAGUUUAUUUGGAUGAUUUAUUUGAAAUAAUUACUGUAGCACUUUUUGUGAUGUGAUAUAUGUGAGAUAAAAAGGUGAUUGGAAAAAUAAAAAGGCAAUUGAAAUUUGUGAAGCAAAUUAUUUUAUCUGAAAUCAAGGCAAUCCAAACAAGACGAAUAAAUUGGCCUUACUAACUAUCCUUGGGAAUUAGACUAACAGCAUAACUGGAGUAAUAUUUGUUUGCUUAAAAACUUAUUUGGAUGUUUUGAAAUGGCUGUGGUUGUUUGACAAAUUUGGAUGCUUUUGUAUUGGCAUUUUUACUUAACUUUCUCAACUAUUUUGAUUGUGGACAAUAUCUCAAUGGUUGUUGUAUUUAUGAAGGAGAAUAAUUUAUGUCUAAGAUAAAAUUGAACUCGGAAUCCUUUACUUACAACACCUCCCACCUUAUCGCCCACACCCAAACCUCUCCAACUUGAAUCAUAAUUUGGUCUUAAUCACUUAUCCUCAAGAAUUAGAAUUAGAAUGCGCAUCUUAUUUUGUUUGGUUCCCUCAAGUGGCAGAGCAAGAAUUUUUAUCGGAUCAAUUAAUGGUCAGUUUUUGACUAAUGAAAAUAUUCUAAAUAAGAUUGUGAAAUCAAUUAAUUUCAUAUACAAUCCAAAUAAGAUUAUGAACUCCUUGUUUGUUUAAUUAAUUUCAUGUGCUAACGAUUGUACUUGCCAAAUAAUUGACGGUGACUUUAAUAAAAUUUCUUUGUUAGGGGUCAAAGUUCUUCCUUUCAGCACUAACUGUGUUACAUUCUGAUAUAUAGUCCAUGUUCUACCCAUCUCAAACUUUCUAUAUUAUUUCUAGGUCCGAGACAAAUAUUUUUUGUUUUUGAAAGAAAAAGUUUGAAUGAUUUCGACCCUAGUUAUCACCAUGGUAAAAUACGGUAUACUUUUAUAUUUAUUUAUUCAAAAAACAGAGGUCCGACUAAGAAUCCGGCUAACUGACAAGAAAAAAGCAGUGUCAAUCGAUUGAUUUUGGCCCAAGGAAAGUACUUAGCAGUUGAAUAUUCUCACUCAGUAAAAUGGUCAGAUCCUUGAGAAUCUCAAAGUAGAAGCAAUGAUUCUAUUCCUUAAACCUGAAACAAUUUUCCGUGCUUAGACAUACUUUGGAAUAAAGCAUCAUUUCUUUUAUGAAAAAAAAGACAAUCUUGUAUAUUUGGUUAUUUGACACAAGACGUCAAUACACUUCAAAUGAAACAGUGAAUCCAACAAAUAAGGCAUGACAAGCUGUGAUUAAUGCCAUACAAACGUGAGUUUAUCUUUACGAUUUAUUCAGGAAGUUGCUGUUAGUUUCAUUAAAUUAACAGAGAAGAUAGUGAAGAGUGAAGGGCAGAGCCAUUCCAAAAUGCCAAAGAGGCAGAGAGAUUAUAAAGAUGAUCAACUAACUAAUCAUAAUCAGCCACAUACCCUUCAAGAAGGGCAUCAUACAGGGAGGCUUGAAAACAACUUUUAGUCCAACAUAACGACAUUCAACACAAAUAGCCAAAUAUCUGAGGUUUGAGAAAUGACAGCAAUUGUUGCAGUCAAGCAAUAGCAAUGAAAGGGGGGACUACACAUCCAAAAGAAGGCACAACAAUAUGAUCAGUGUGGAACAAAAUUUGCAUUAUAAACUAAUUCAGAGCCAGCUACAAUGUCACAGAAGAACAGGCAAUAGGCAUGAAACUUCCAAUACAGGGAUAACAACACUUUUUCUGUGUCCUACUUGGUCCGACCAGGGACAAAAGAACAUCUGGCCAAAUUAAAACAGAGAGGUUGGAGCUACAAUCCUUGUGAUUUCAAGACUACUUCAUUAAAAGUAAUGUUCAUUACUACCGGAGAUAGGCUGGAAAAAUUCUUUCAAAUGCAGUUCAAGAACUAAGUAGAAACUGCUGAAACCAGUCACAUUGCUCGAAAAUUUAAAAAGAACAAAAAAAAAUGAGAAAGAAGAAGGGAAAAAGGAACUGCUUAGAAUCAGAGAGAGAAGAGGGACUUCUGAGAGCAGCACUAAUCGGCGGGGACAACUCUGGCAAGUGGAUGGCAAAGACAGCACUAAUCGGCGAGGACAGCACCAAUCCCUUCCCUUUUGUGUAGAAAUAAGUUCAUCUGAAAGUUUUUAUUAUUUUUAGGUAACUAAUUAUGAUUAUUACUACUACUACUACUUUCUGUACCGAUACAGACAUGAGAUGAUUUACUUAUAUUGGCCGUCAAAGUCUAGAGGCAUAGAAAAGUAGAAAUGCUUUCCUUGUAACAUAUCCUGAGCUAAUGAUAUGAGGCCAAGAUGUGUAAGAUCCAUGUCACAUUAGUGCUUCAUGGAACAAUAUUGACGUACAAGGAGACAAGUUCGCAUAGAAGUAAUUUUACAAAUAGAUGCUAUGUUAAAUGUCAGUUUGAUGAACUAAGGUUGACCUUAUAUGUUCCUAUAUAAUCCUGUUCAAUUGAUUUCCAUAAUUUCAUCUCUCCAACGUUCCCAUCCACCAAGUGGGAUCCUUUCUUGCAUAGAAAUGGGUACCUUAGCAAUUCAGUUUUCUAAAUUGCUCUCGAAUUAACAUAUAUAGAAGGGCUCAACCUGACUGAUUCUUUGUGCUCUGAGUCCUGUCUGAGCUUUACAGAUACAAGGAGCAAUGGAAAAGUAUCAUUGGACACAACCAUGUAGUCAACUGCAAAACACUGAGAAAAAAAUAUGUUGACUGUUGUAGAGCUAAGAUACAACUUCAAGAAGGAUGCAAGCAGCUAUCAGGGUUCAGCUAAUCCACAUCUUUCUGCUGCAAAAUACUGGCUACUUUGAACUACAAGCAGCACGGAAGAUAUGGCAAAUUGAGUUCCAAAAGAAGUAAAAGAGCACCUCAUUAACAUGUUUACAAAUUGCUGAAUCGGUUGGACAGUUUAAAAUCACCAGCCGACAAGGAAGAUCUCAGGCUUUGGCCGUCCAAGGCAGAGAGCAAAAGAGACUCCAUCCUGGAUGUUUUCAUUUGAUCUGAUUGAAACAGGAUCUGGUUCAGCAAAGGAUCAUCGGACUUUUAAUAAUGUACCAAGGAUAGUAAGUAAGAGCUAUGAAGGUUUUGAGCGUAAAAUCACUGCAAAACACAAGAACUCAAGAAACUGGAGACAACACAUAGUUGCAUGACAUUUUUAUUGUAUUUGAAACACUAAAAUAAGAACUUACCAUGACGAGAGGAGCAACCAACAAGUAUAGAAGGUGGGAUGAGCUUAAUAGCCUUCAUCACAGCGGAUGAAACAAUUGCAGCAAGUAGCAGCGGGCAGCAAGUAUGCUUGACAGUCUUGACUAACUGCGGCGAUAUGCUUCAAAACUUGCAGCUUAGACUUGAUUGUGUUAGAAGAUACUCUAACAAGUCCGUGCAGCUUUUUUGCAUGAACAGACAUCUUCUGUCGCUGCUCCAAAAAACAUCUACAUUAGGAGAAGAUUUCUCAAGUUUUAGUUGUAAUAUAAUCAGAAUCAAAGUAUUUAAAAGUAAAAAUUGAGUAGUAAAGAAGAGUAGUAUAUCUGACCUUACCGGACUCUUAGAACCAAAAAUCAGUUUGACAACCAACAGCUUUGGAAACUUCUGAAGUCUUUAUGGCUAGAAAAAGGAAAAGUGAGACAGAAACCCAUCAUCUACGAGAUUAUCGAACAAAUCACUAAUCAAUUGGUUCAAGAAGCUUGAUAAAUGCGCCUUCAAGAGGUGAUUAAACUUUGGAGCAACUAUUUACUCCCUCUGGAAUCAUAAGUUAGGGAGCUGAUCACUUUAGCAAUCACAUCUUACAUCAACAAAAGAAGAUAUAUAAAAUCAACAAAACGAAGCUCCUAGUGCUUAUUUCAUAUUGAUGGGUAACUUGUCGGAAAUGCAAACCAAAAAUUAAUUAAUACCAGCUAUAAAAAUCCAAUCUACGUUCAUCCAGGGGAGAGACCACAAAAAUCUGCUUGCUAAGUGUAGGAGAAAGACGUGCAGCAGAGAAUUGUUGGUUUAAAGUCUUGUAGAAAAGGUUUCUAGAAUUGCUGCAUGUGAUAUCGAAUCUAAAAUGUCCAAUGCAUUUUCAACAGGUGAAACUUCAGAGUGAGCAACCAUUUCAUCCUGGUGAAAUCAUGAGUUUAAAGAGAGUGCGCUGAUGUUAGCAAACACAACGUACAAAGGACAGUAACUGACAUACACGAUAAACAAAACUAAAUGCUCAAUUCCGCCCCACAUUAGUGCAUUUGUUUCAGUGUUAGUUCAUCCAAAACAUGAUUCAGUUAACCCAAGAAAAUCUCAUUCAUUUUCCAUGUUUGAUCUAGUACAGAAACAUGGUAUUGAAUUAAGCCUUCAUUUGCCAUGUUUGAUCUUUGCAUCAGCAGAUAAUAUGUGAUAGAACGUGAGCAAUACCAAUUUAACACUAGAAAUUAACCAAAAAGAUUGUUUAGUUCCAUUAAUUGACAUGAAGCCGUGCAUGGCUUAUUAGUGGUAAAGGUAAAAGAACCUACUCUGUUGUUACUUCAAUUAUCAGUUGAUAUACUCUCAAGGAAAGAGAGGAUUUUCAAAAGUGAAGGCAGUAAUUAAAGAACCUACUCUGUUGUUCCCCGACUGAGCUUUAAGCCUACAGUCACUGCAAAACAGAAAACUCAGAUUCAGGACUUCACAUAGCAAAUCAUAAGGCUAACUGGAAAUUGCAUGACAUUUUUUUUAGUCAAUUAUUCAGAAAGCCAAAUCAAUAUUUGUUUCUGUUGCGCUUUUCUAACCUAAAUCAGUAAGAAUAUAUCAAAUUUUUCUGCUCAGUCUACAAGUACCAGAAGUGCCAUAGAAACUAUAUUAGUUUUGGUUCAAAACACUGAAAAAAGAGUAGCACCUACAAGCGUGAAAGGCAGAGAGCUCCUGAAUUGCCAUGAAGGCAAACUCUUUGAGACAGCAAGAUGCAACGCGUAGAGCUAAUUAUAACUCUUUUGACUCUUAAAAUCUCAAAUCAUGGCAUUUGAACAUAAACUUCAGAAGGCGAUAGUCUACCAAGCCUCUGCUGCUUGAAGAAGGUCUUAAACAUAACAAUUUUUUAAAGGUUUUAAUUAAUUCAUUGGAUAUUAAACUUCUUAAAACCCAAUAUUAAGCAGUGGAAGAAGAUGAUUGGUAUUAAAAAUUAUCUGACAGUAAGUAAGUAAGAGCCAUGGAUGAGGUUCCCUGUUGAGUUUUGGGCCUAAAAUCGCUGCAAAGCACAAAAAUUCAAACUCAAGCCGGCGAAUAGCAUAGAAUAAAGCAAAUGGAAAUUUUCAGAUAAUUGCAGGUUUUCUGUCAUUGUAACUAAAGCCCCAAAAGGAGAAACUUACCAUUAAAAAAGGAAGCAACCAACAAUCAUAAAAGCAGAGAGAGCUUAAAAGCCUCUAUCAAGAUGGAUUCAUUAAGAGAAGCAAUUCACAACAAGCAAACUUGACUAACUACCAGAAUGCUUCAGAACAUUGCACAUAGAGUUGUUCAGUUGGAAGAUACUCCACCAAGUUUUGUGCAACUUCAUUGCUCAAACAGUACAAACCUUCCUUUGCUACCUCAAAAAUAUCUUCAUGACAACAAGAUUUCUUCUGUUUUAUAUGUAACAUAUUAGAUAUUAAAGUGGUUAAAAGUCAAAAUUGAGUAGUGAAAGAAGAGAAGCAUAACUAAAAUUACCAGAAUUUUUGAACCCAAACAUGAAAGUGAUGACCAACAGUUGCGAAAACUCCUCAAUAAUUGACCAUUGUCUUCAUGGAUCAAAAUCCAAAAUCAAGGAUAAGUGAGCCAGAAAACCAUCUUAUAUGACUCUGAUAGAGCAAUUACUAGCCAAAUAGUUCAGAUAAGUACGCAAGUUCAUUAUCAAGAGGUAAAAGUUCAGUCCCCUUAGAAUCACAAUUUUAAAUAGAGUGAGAUGACUUUAGCAUUAAUAACUUAAAAUCCACAGAAGCAGAUCACGUAAAAUAAACAAAACAAGACUUCUAGUUGUUCUAAACGUUGAUAGACUAUUUGUAGGAAAUGCAGGCCAAAAGUUAUUGAGUUCUAGCCAUAUAAACGGUGCUGAAGAAGCUUCAAAAUUCUAACCUCUGUUCGUGAAGCUAUUCUUCUAUCAAUCCUACAAAAACAAAGCAUAGAACAGAAUAUGAACAGAGAUACAGUAAAACAUCAAAGCACGAAAUAGAACAGGUGCUUGGGGUCAUUCUAAUUGAUAGUUACAAGAGCAUUACUAUUAUGUUGUAAGGAGUAAAUGAAGAGCACCAAUAUUUUGGACCUAAUAAGAAAUGCUAAUGCCGCAGCUUUGAAAGAUAAUAAAUAGGACGAUAAAAAGGGAGAAGAGAAAAUUGUGAAAAUAACCACGGAGACUUUUUAGGUUUUCUCACGAGAAGGUUAAUCAGAGGGGGAGGUGAAGAGAACGGGAGAUUGAUUGCAAAGCAAAUUAAGAAAGUGGUUAUUGAAGGCAAUCUUACGUGAUUGAAUUUGAUCUGAAGAUGAAAGUUGGUUAAUCAUCGGUUAUGUCUAGGUCUUGAAUGUGAGAAACUUUGGACCACUGGGAGUCGGGGCCGCUGCUCCCAGGAGUGCAUCUUUCUUUUAACAGAGGAGAACCAUGGACCUGCAGACGUUUUAGUUUGGUGAGACUUCUCAUGGCAUCCUCAGAGGGUAGAUGUCCAAGCCCUUUGAAACCAGUUAACCGCAGCGCUUCAAGAGUAGCGAAGUUUCCGAACCAAUCUGGCAGAGCUUUUAUACCUCCAAAGCCACGUAGCGUUAGUGACGUGAGAGUGGUCAAGUAUUGGAUCUGAGGUGGCAGUGACUCCAUGUGUGGCAACCCAUAUAAUACUAAUCGACGGAGUGCGCAUGACGAAGAGGAGGAGGAGGAGGAUAUCAAUCCAGACCAAUCAAACUCAUUGUAAAUUGAAGAAUUUUCAUGAUCAUCACCAUCAUCUGAGAAGGGACCAAUUUCAAGCUCCCUUAAGCUAGUUAGGAAACCAAAUCCUUUGGGCGUCAUGCUUGUUUUCAGUUUGGGACACCCCAAUAAUUUCAGCUCCGAGAGAGAAGGCGUUUGUUGCAAAUCAGGCGGAAAGGAGAUAAGAUUGUCGCACCCACUCACCUCAAGCUUCUGGAGAGAGGCACAAGAGUGUAGAAUGUCACCGGGCAGAUUCGUUAACCCAUCACACUUAUAAAUCUCCAGCUCUUUAAGAGACGUAAAGUUUUGUAGGGGAUGGAGUUCUCUGCAUCUGUUGCAGCAAUUAAAUUCCAAACGCGCUAACUUGGGGAGUGUUGUUGCUAACUUGGGGAUUGUUGUUGUUGUUGGCAAAUCCAUUAACCAUCGAGGAAAUUGAUCGCCCAUAAAAUUCCAAAUUACCAACUCCUCCAAAUUUGGGUGGGGUCGAAGGCUGUCUAACACAUCUUCGUCGUUGUAAUUGUCGCCUUCUCGAUCAUCUGCCCACUCAAGUUCCAGCCUAAAUAGAUUUGCCUUUUCAGAUAGUUUUGCUUCCUCAGCUCCUUUCUUAUCCGUUACUAGUUCCAGAUUGCGUAUCUCCAAUUUGCCUUUGAGGUUCUUCAAGCUUCCAAGCUCUCCAAUUCGCCGACCCUUCUCUCGACCCACGUUAAAGAACUCUAGCGUCCGAAGGCAAGUCAGCCGUCCCAUCUCUAGCGGCAUUUGAAAUGUUUCAUCAAAUGUGUAAUAGUGGAGAUGUCUCAAACUAAUCAAAUUGCACAUCCUCUCCGGAAGACGGUCAACAUCUGAGUGACUUAGCGUCAAUGUCUGCAGAUUAUAAAGCUUGCAAAGGGAGUCUGGCAAAAUACUGAUUGCAGACCACUUAAGGUUAAUGUACCGCAAAUGUAUCAGUUUGCCAAUUGAGACUGGUAGCUCUCGAGUUCUUGUAUGAGACAAAUUCAAAACAUACAAGUUCUUCAACUUCAUUAACAUAUCACCAGAUAAGUAACCUUUUACAAACAAUGUAUGAAGCGAAGUUGAUAGACUCUCCAAAAGUUUUUCUCUGUCUUCUCCACCACCAAAUAAGUCUGUUGCAAGGUAACGAAUCUGAUUACCAUUGCCUACUAUACUCGUAUCCCUAUCAAUAAUGACUUUGGUAGACUUUGACAUUAACUCGGCAAGGUCGUGCACCAGAUCAUGCAUCUUAUAAGAUGUUGAUGUUUCUGACUCAUCAAUUAUUUCUUCAAACAAUGAACUCUGC